GUUGAUACCUCGCGCUCCUGGUGUUCCACGUAGUUGCCAAAUGGAUGGACACGCGAUCUCAACCCAUAAAGGUUCUUGAUUCAGUCGUUAUACCUGCAAAAGACAUCCGGACAGGGUGUCUGGAUGCACCCUCCGAUGAUUUUAUUAGCCAUGGUUAAGAGAGGGAGAUAUAAAUCAGUUGGCCUUUUUUUAGGUAUUAGGAGGUUACCUUCCUCUUCGUGUGAAGGUUUAUAUAUAGUGCCAAGAGUACUGUUCCUCUCAUUAAUGGUGAGGAGAUAUUUUAUGUUUUGUCAUGAUGACACUUGGAGGCAGCAUGGUCAUCGCCACCCUACUGGCGGCUGUCAGAAACCGUGGUAGGUGACGCUGCUGUCAGAGAUCGUGGGAAGUGAUCAUGUUGAAUGAUCAUGGGAAGUGACUUGUUGUCACCUCAACUCAUCCUUUCACUCUGCAAGUGAUGGGACGUGGGCCAUGGCUAGUUGUCGUGAUAGCGUGUAAGACUCGCUAUACUUUAGUCAAUGAUCCAGACAAUAAUAUCCGGAUAGCCCAUGUUGUUAUCCGGAUGUAUUGUGGAGCGGACGUAUUUAUGGAAGCCGUCCGGAUGCUUAUGCUUUGUAAGCGUCGUGUGCUCUUCCUUGAGGCAGUCCGGAUAUAAAAGGUGCGCCAUGUGUGCUUUAUAGGAAGGUCCGGAUGAGGGUGACCCAAAUGACAAUGCGUGCCACGUGUCACUGUAGGAUGCGUGCCACGUGUCUUGGAGGGAGGGGUCCCUACAUGACCCAGGUUGAAAUCACAUGCUAGGCAUAGUUAUGACAUUAGAAGCAUUCACCAGUCGCUUCAUCUUUAAAAAUGAAGCAAAGUAAGAACUAAAUAAGUAUUAAUUCAUGCUUAUUCUACCAACUCAGACUUAUAAGUUAAUUAUACAAUUUAUAAACAUAUGAUAAUUGUGAAGCUCUAAAUAGAAAUAUUGAUUAAUUUAAAUAAAAAUUUUGGCCUCUUUUAUUUCUAAAUUCAAUAAUUCAUUUCAAAUAUAAAGCUUUGGAUAAGUACUAAGAUAUUUAUAAAAGAAAAAAAAAUUAAUUUUGGAUAGGCCUAAUGAUCAGGGAUCUCUAAAUUCCAUAAAAUUUUGAGAUAAUUAAAAAUAAUAAUAUUAAAAUAAAGGUAUAAAAGAAAAAAAAUAAUCGAUUCAAAUUACUUGACUAUAUCUAACAUCAUAUUCAACUCCAUAUAGUUCCAAGCAUUUAAUCAUUUUAAAAAUAUUAAAAAUUUAUUAAACUCAAAUAUAGCUAAUUUAAUAAUCAUAUCAAAAUGACUUGAUAUAAAUAUGAUUUGUUUAUCAUAUACAUAACAAAGUACAACUUGUUUAAUCUCAUUAAUAAAUAGGUUAAGUUGAAUUAUAAAUGAAUUGAUUCAAACGCACAUGUUAGCAUGAUUCUAGUCAUGAUUAUAAACCUAUUUAAAAUUCUAAAUAUAUAAAAAUAUUAUUUUUUAAAUACUUCUUUUUGUUGCUUUAACUUUCUAGUUAUAGUUUUUUAAUUCUUAAUUAACUUAGUUAUUUAAUUUAGAUAUAAUAUAUUAUACCAUAAAACAUAGUUACACUUAAUAAAUUAGACUUAACAAAUUCAUAUCAAUUUUUUGGUUGUGAUAUCAAGUGGAUAUAAAGAAAAAAAAAAUAGAGUUUGUUUAAAAAAAUAUAUUCUAAUAAGUGGUCUUACAAAUAAAAAAUUUAUUCAGCAAUGAAAGCAUAGUCAUAUAAACAUUGUACAAAUGAAGUAUUCAAAAUGUAGUCAUAUUUGUAUAUUUCAUUUAAGUUGUUUUUAUUAUGAGAUAAAUCUUUCAUUCUGUUAAUGAUAUUAAAUAGAUGCAUUAAAUGUGUAAUGAUUAAAAAGUAAUAAAUAAGAGGUUAAAGAUGACACUAAAAAUAUUUUAAAAUAGGUCUUUCAAAAUGGUCAUCAAACAAAAUAAAAUUUAUAUUUAACAUAAUAACUUUUGGAUUUAGGUUUAUGAAAUUUUAAACUAGUGUCUUCAUAGAUAGGAUUUAACAACACUAAUUGGGAUUAUGUUCACAUUUUCUAUAAUAUUUGGAUUAUGAUGGACUACAUUUAUAAUUAAGUAUUGAAUACAUGAUCUUAGUAGAUAAAUGAAGAUAAUUUACCAAUGUGUGAAAAUUAUUCUUCAAAGAACUUAUGAAUAAUUUAAAAUAAAUAAAAUUGCCUAUACCUAAAUGCAUACAAUUAAAUCAAUAAUCCAAAUUGUCUAUGUUUAAAAGCAUACAAACUAAAAUCAAUAAUUUGAACAAAGAGCCUUUUUUAUGGUAUUCUCAUUAUGGUUCACCUCAAGCAUCUGCGCUACCGCUUUCGACUCUUGUAGAUCCUAUUCAAUGGUUAGUCAUGUUUCCAUAAACAUAUUUUUAUAAUGAUAAAUGUCCUAGAAUUUUUUCAUCUUUGGAAAUAAAGCAAGGGAAGAGCUAAAUAAGUACUAAUUCAUACUUCCACCAACUUAACUUAUAAGAUAAUUAUACAAUUUAAAGACAUGAUAAUUGUGAAGCUAUAUAUAAAAAAUUAAUUAAUUCUAAUAAGGAUUUUGGCCUACUGAAAUCGAUAUAGUAACAUGGUCCUUUCUUUCUAAAUUCAAUGAUUCAUUUCAAAUAGAAAGCUUUGGAUAGUUACUAAGAUACUUAUAAAGGAAAAAAUGAAAAAAAAAUAAAAGAAAAGAAAAGACUUUUAACUUCAUAGACGGGAUCUCCAAAUUCCAAAAAAUUUUGGGAUAAUUAAAAAUAAAUAAAUAAAAAUAAAAAGCAUUAAAAAAAACCUAUUUAAAUGACUUGACAAUAUCUAAUACCAUAUUGAACUCCAUAUUAUUCCAAGCAUGUAACCAUUUUAAAAAUUAUCUAGAUAUUUUUCUCAUUAAUUUUAAUAAAUAUUUUAACCUUCAAUAAAACCAAAAAUAGAGAAGGCAUAUUACUAGUGCCUUUAGUCUAACCAAAGCUUUAUUGAGUUGGAAACUUGAAAUGUCUUCAUCCUUUCUUUUCUUAGUCCCUUGCAUAAGAAUAUUUAUUCUCUUGCAAUGACUAAAUUAAAAAUAUAAUCUCAUAAUUUUUAAUCCAUUAAUAAUGACAAGAUAAUAUAUAUUUACAUGUUUCAAAAUUUUAAAGUCAAAUUGAAAACAACCACCCUUAAAAAAAUUAUUUAAUAAAAUAUAAAGUUGUGGACCCUGCAUUUCGGCUCAUGCGUUUCCCACUCGAAGGCGAGCUCGAUUUUGAUUUCGAAAAAUGAUCUUUAUUGUUUAAGAAAAAUUGACUUGGAGUCGCCACUUAUUUUUGUUUUAUUUUUAAAAGGGUAAAAAAAAAAAAAAAAAAAAAAACCCUAAGUGCAACUCCUGGUUUUGGAAAAGGUGAUCUACGAAAAACUAGAUCGGGCUUGGGGGUCAGGUUACUUAUCGGGAAGGUACGGUGAAGACCAUAGCACCCUCUAAGUCCCUAAAGUCGGGUCUCUACUGAUAAAAUGAAGCUGAUGUGGCAAUUGAUGAGUAAAUCAAUGAAUAUCCUGAAUGAUCAUGCACACAUAAGAGUCGAGACAUGCAUAGACAACGAUUAGAGGGAAAAUGGGUACAUACCUGGGCAACGAACCGCCAUGCGCUAUCAAUAAAGAGGGUUAGUACACCUUAUAGAGCACAAAACAUACCACAUGCAUCACUAAGCAGGGAUUAAAAUUGUUCGAAGGAAAGCUAGAUUUUUGAAAUUCAUUUGAGAAUCGGAAUCUUAAAGAUUAUUUGAAAAUUGGAUUCGUAGGAAAUAAAUGUAAGAAUGAGAACUUUUAGAAAUUAAAUUUGAAAGAAAAUUGGGAUUUUGAAGAAUUAUUUGAAAGUUCGGGAUUUUUAAGAAAAAUUAAGUUAUGAAAAUUGGGAUUAUGGGAGUUAAAUUUUGAAAGGGAUCAAAAUCGUAAGUUAUUUGAGGCGUAGAAAUUAUGAAAGUUGACGUGUAAAAAUUGGAUAUCUUAGAAAUCAUUUGAAGGCAGAAUUUAUAGAAAUAAUGAAUAAGAUGAUAAUAAUAAUGAUGAUAAUAAGUAGCGGGGUAAAUACGGGAAUUGGAGCAUGGGAAACUGGAAAUUAAGUUCGGAGAUAGGACAAUUGGAAUUUCAAAUAGCUAAAUUUAGGAAUCAAGAUUUUGAAAAAUUAGACUCUAAUGAUUGAAAUUUUUAAGAGAAAUAAAUGGGUAAGUAUGGAGUAAUGUUACUGAUUAAUCAAAACGAUAUUUGGGCGAAUGAAUGGUGAAUAGUGGGAUUUUGAAAAUUAAAUUUUGAAGGUCGGGCCUUUGAAUAACUGAACUCUAAUUAUUGGAAUUUUUAGAAGAAACGUGGAAUUUAUAAUAAUGAUAACAAAGAUGAUAUUUAAAUGAAUAAAAAUGAAUGGUGAAAUUUUUUUUAGUCUAAAGAUUAAAUUUGGAAAUCCGGUUUUGAAGAGUUGAAUUUUAAUGAUUGAAAUAAAUAAAUGAACGAAUAUGGAAUAACGGUACUUAUUAACAAAAAUAAUGUUCAAACGAAUAAAAUAGUGGAAUUUUUCUAAUUGAAAAUUUGAAUUAGGGCGUUGGAUUUUUAAAGGAUAUGACUUUGAAUAAAUAGGUAGGUAUGAGAUUAUAAUACUAAUUAACGAGAAUAAUAUUUAGGUGAAUAAAGAUGGAUAGUAGAAUUUUGAGAUUGAAGUUUUAAUUAAGGCAUGGGGUUUUCGAAAGAUUGAACUUUGAAUAGACAUGGAAAUAAUGAUUCUAAUUGAUGAGGAUAAAAUUUAGACGAACUAUAGAAUUUUUAGGAUUGAAAAAUUGAAUUAAGUCAAGAGAUUUUUGAAGAACUAGGUUUUAAAUAAAUAGACGAAUACGAGAUAAUAAUCCUAAUUGAUGAAAAUAAGAUUUAAACGAAUUAUUGAAAAAUUAGGUUAAGGCAUGGGAUUUUCGAAGGAUUAGACUUUAAAUAGAUAGGUAAAUAGGGGAGGAUAAUUCUAAUGAAUGAAAAAUGAGAUUUAAACCAAUUAUUGAAGAAUUAAAUUGAGGCAUGGGAUUUUCGAAGGAUUAGACUUUAAAUAAGUAAAUGAACAUAGGAUACUAAUUCUAAUUAAAGAAAAUAACAUUUAGACAAAUAGUGGGAUUUUAGGAUUGAGAAUUAAAUUAUGACAUUGGAUCUUUUUAAAGGUCGGAUUUUGGAUAAAUAAACUAAUAUAAGAUGAUAAUACUAAUUAACGAAAAUAAUCAUUUAAACCGAAUAAAAGGAAUUUGGAAUUUUUAGGGGUUUGAGAAUUAAAUCAGGACAUUAGGGUUUUGAAGAGUUGGACCUUAAAUGAAUAAUAAUAAAAAAAAAAAAAACACAGGGGAUAAGAAUUCUAGUUAACGAAAAUAACAUUUAGGCGAUUAAUAGAAUUUCUAAGGUUGAAAGUUAAAUUGAGGCUUUUGAAAUAUCGGACUUUAAAUAAAUAUGGGAUGAUAGUUUUAAUUGAUAAAAAGGAAAUUUAAACGAAUUGUGGAAUUCUUAGGGUUGGAAAAUUAAAUUAAAAUAUGAAAUGUUCGAAGGAUUAGACUUUAAAUAACUAAAUAAAUACGGGAUUGUAACUCUAAGCGAUGAAAAUAAGAUUGAGUUGAAUUGUAGAGGUUUUAGGAUUUGAAAGAUUAAAUUAAAACAUGGAAAAUUUGAAGGAUUAAACUUUAAAUAACUAGAUAAAUAUGUGAUAAUAUUUCUAAUUGACGUAAAUGAGAUUUGAACGACAUAUGGAGAAAUUAAAUUAAGACAUGGGAUUUUUAGAAAGGUGUAGACUUUAAAUAACUAUAUAAAUAUGGGAUCAUAAUGAUUCUAUUUAUAAAUAUAAGAUUUAAGCAAAUAUUUGAAUAAGUAAAUUAAAAACAAGGGACUUGUGAAGGCUUGGCAUAAGGCCCUUCAUCCACACGAUGCAUGCAAAACUGGAUGAGGAAGCCAUGUAAGCUGAGUUGGGAUGAAUGCCAGCCGUGAAGGCUAUCCAAGUGCUGGAGCUUCAAGCGAUACACACUAGCCACGCGCAGCCCCCACGACGCCGGUGCUGGUGGCGCCACCUUCAUGGAUGGCGAGCCCCGCGUCCUCCAAGCUACUGCCGGCCUUCAUGGCGAGGACCUCCCCGCCACCUGCAUCGCAGGCGGCCCUAACUCCGACGACCACGGAACCCAUGUUGGAAGCUCCUUCCCGAAGAUGUUGCCCAGGUGGAAGAUUUGGUCUUGUUGAAGAUUAAAGGCCUGGGUCAUCUUGCCAUUGGAUAUGGACGUUGAGAUAUAGCCCAAGCCCAUAUAUAUUGUUGGGGGGCCUCAUGUUUGGCCCACCUAUGUAAAGUCAGCCCAUGCAUAUCCUAAGCUAUCCUAUUUGGCCAUCUUUGAUGGCCCAUUUCCAAGGCCCAUAAAAAAAUGGAUUUUAUAAAAUUUAGUUUUUAAACAAUUCAACUCUCUAAAUACCUCAGCUUUAUAAUUUUCAGAUUCUCAAUUCUAUCUCCUAACUUCCCAAAUCCCUAUUUCCAUAUUUAUUUAAUUAAUAAUUAUUAUUUCCGCUAUUAUUACUAUCCGAUUAUUUAUCCACUUAUCUUAAAAUCUCAUCCUUUAACAAACCUUCAAAAUUCUGACUCUCAAAUGCAAUUCCAGAUUUUAUUAUUAUUAUUAUUAUUAUUAUUAUUAUUAUUAUUAUUAUUAAACUUUUUUAAUUCUAAAACCCACAUUUCAUUUAUUUAAUUAUUAUCCUCGUCAUCUCUAUUACUUUUCCAUCCACUUAUUCAUUUAUUUAUUUUAAAAUUCCACCUUCUAACAACCUUUAAAUAAUCUUUCAAAAUCUUGAUCUCUAAAUUUAAUCUCCUAAUCCCAAAAAUUCCCAAUAUUCACAUUAAUCUAUUUAAUUAUUAUUAUUUUAUUUAUUUAUUCUAAAAUUUCAUUUUAAACAAUUCAUUAAAAUUUCCGACUUCUAGAUUUUAAUUUCUAAUUCCAAAAAUCCCUAUAUUCACAUUAAUUUAUUUAAUUAUUAUUAUUUUAUUUAUUUAUUUAUUCUAAAAAUCCAUUUUAAACAAUUCAUUAAAAUUUCCGACUUCCGAUUUUAAUUUCUAAUUUCUAAAAAUUCCAAUAUUCACAUUAAUUUAUUUAAUUAUUAUUUUAUUUAUUUAUUUAUUCUAAAAAUCCAUUUUAAACAAUUCAUUAAAAUUUCCGACUUCCGAUUUUAAUUUCUAAUUUCUAAAAAUUCCAAUAUUCACAGUAAUUUAUUUAAUUAUUAUUAUUUUAUUUAUUUAUUCUAAAAUUUCAUUUUAAACAAUUCUUUAAAAUUUUCGAUUUUAAUUCCAAAAAUCCCAAUAUUCAUAUUAAUCUAUUUAAUUAUUAUUAUUUUAUUUAUUUAUUCUAAAAUUCCAUUUUAAACAAUUCAUUAAAAUUUCGAUUUUAAUUUCUAAUUUAUGAAAAUUCCAAUAUUCACGUUAAUUUAUUUCAUUAUUAUUAUUUUAUUUAUUUAUUCUAAAAUUUCAUUUUAAACAAUUCUUUAAAAUUUUCGACUUUCGAUUUUAAUUUCUAAUUCCAAAAAUCCCAAUAUUCACAUUAAUCUAUUUAAUUAUUAUUAUUUUAUUUAUUUAUUCUAAAAUUCCAUUUUAAACGAUUCAUUAAAAUUUCCGACUUCUAGAUUUUAAUUUCUAAUUCCAAAAAUCCCUAUAUUCACAUUAAUUUAUUUAAUUAUUAUUAUUUUAUUUAUUUAUUCUAAAAUUUCAUUUUAAACAAUUCUUUAAAAUUUCCGACUUCCGAUUUUAAUUUCUAAUUCCAAAAAUUCCAAUAUGCACAUUAAUCUAUUUAAUUAUUAUUUUAUUUAUUUUUUUUAAAAUUCCAUUUUAAACAAAUUCAUUAAAAUUUCCGACUUCCGAUUUUUAUUUCUAAUUCCAAAAAUCCCAAUAUUCACAUUAAUCCAUUUAAUUAUUAUUAUUUUAUUUAUUUUUUCUAAAAUUCCAUUUUAAACAAUUCAUUAAAAUUUCCGACUUCCAAUUUUAAUUUCUAAUUUCAAAAAUUCCAAUUUUCACAUUAAGCUAUUUAAUUAUUAUUAUUUUAUUUAUUUAUUCUAAAAUUCCAUUUUAAACAAUUCAUUAAAUUUUCCGACUUUCGAUUUAAUUUCUAAUUCCAAAAUUCCAAUAUUCACAUUAAUCUAUUUAAUUAUUAUUAUUUUAUUUAUUUAUUCUAAAAUUCCAUUUUAAACAAUUCUUUAAAAUUCCAAUUUCCGAACUUAAUUUGCAAUUCCUAAAAUUCCAACUUUUAAAUUUAAUUCCCAAGACCCCGAUUCUCAAACAAAUUCCAAGAAUCCAGUUUUCACUCAAACAGUUUUAAUUCCAUUUCGGUUCCUAAAUAAUCUUCUGAUCUUCUUGAUUUUACAUAAUCAAUAAUGAAUUCUUCAUAAUUCUAAAACACGGAAUUUGUGAGAUUAGCUCAUGAACAAUAAAAUUGGGCUUUGGUGGGGGCCCUAUGUUUGAUCCCUUUUGAUUGUCAAUUGUCGUGCUUAAUGUAUUUUGCUUGAGCUUCGUUUUGCACUCCGAUAUGCAUGAGCUAUAUUUUGUAUUCAUUAAUUGUGCACUAAUCCCGUUUCUUGAUAGCGCAUUGUGGCUUGUGGUCAAGGUACGCAUCCACUCCCAUUCUAGUCAAUCCCCAUUGCGUGUUUUGAUUUCCAUAUUGUGCAUGAUUUAGGUGAGUAUCCAUUGACUUUCUCGUUGAUUGCCACACCAGUUUCAUUGUAUUAGUAGAGACCCGACUCUAGGGACUUAGAGGGUUGCUACGGUUUAUACCGUACUUUCCUGAUAAGUAACCUGACCCCUGAGCCCGAUCCGGUUUUUCGCAGACCACCUUUUUCAAAAUAAGGAGUCACACUUAGGGUUUUCUUUCUUAUUUUGUUUACCCUUUUAAAAAUAAAACAAAAAUAAGUGGCGACUCCAAGUCAGUUUUCUUAAUAAAAUAAAAUCAAUUUUUCAAAAUAAAAAAAAUCGAGCACGCCAUCAAGUGGGAAAUGCAUGAGCCGAAAUGCGGGGUCCACAAAAAUAUUUAAAUUAAAUUAAACUUUAUAAAAAAAUUAAACAGAAUUUAAUUUAAAUAAUUAUGUAGUCAUUUAUAAAUUAGUAACUACUUAAUUAAAGUUAUAAAUUAGUAACAUUUUAUAAUCUCAAAAUCAAAUCGAAGAUAUCCCGCCUCAAAAAAUAUUUACUAAAAUAUCAACUACAAAAUGCAAAAGGCCAUUUUUUAGAAUUUAUUUUAUAAUAUAUAUCAAGGUUUAAAAAAAAUAAUUUUAUAUAUGUUAAAUAAAAAAAAUAUUUUAUAAAAUCCAUUUAGUAUCUGUAAUUAUCUCCUUUUUUUUUUCUCACAAAGAAAUAUUUUAUAAAAUUUAUUUAGUAUCCUUACUUAUCUUUUAAUCAUGCUCCUUGCAAUAUUAAAUCUCAUCUGUUCCAACAGGUUGCUUUGAGGUGUCUCCUAAAGCCCAAGCUUGAUAGUCCUUCACUAGCUGCAUAACCAUGAAAGUGAAUAUAUGAAACUAUUCAUGUAUUAUAAAUAGAAAUAAAGAAUUUCGAUCUUGGAUAGCUUUGUAAUCAUCUAAUUGUUCCAAAAUGGGUCCAUUCAGUGAUGUCUAAUAUCAAAAAAUGAUAAAAGAAUUUAUUGAAAGAGAUCACCCAAUUCCAAAAAGCAAGUAGGGGGCUGUGUAUAUAUGGAUGUGGUGUGAGAGAGGGUUCAUAAAAUCUAUUAUUCUAACAACUCCACAAAAGGAAAACAACUAUUAAUAAUAAGGCCAAAGAACAAUGGAGACUUUCUAUUCAUAAUUGAUAAUCGAGACAAACUUUCAAUGCCUUAUGUACUAUUCUUACAGUAACUGUAACCAAAGUAAACCUGCAACUACCAAAUUAAUUUAAGACAUAUUGUAGGUUUAUCAAAGAAGUGGGAACAACAUGGCUGGUAUUAAAAAUUUGCAACCUUAAAAUUUAUGUGAAGUGUUUGGAGGAAAAGAACAUGAGAACCAUUAGAAUAGUUGCAAAAUAGAAUAGUUUCAAAAUCCAUUCUAGAAAGUUCACUUCCCAAAAAUUAACAACAAUUCUACAUACAUAAAAAAUAAAAUCCGAUAGUCCCAAAAACAAAGCAACAAGAAUCAUUUCAUUCCAAAGCACAAUAGAAACUUAAAAUUUACAGCAAAGAAAAAAAAAAUGAUAUGAAAUUUGAAAAUUAAAAAGUAAGACCUUACAAAGCUUACAAAGUAAGGGUUAAAACCAUUAUAUUAUUUAACGGUAAAUUUUUAAAAAAUACUAUAUUUAUAGAGAUAUUAUUAAAUUUUCUACCAUAUAAAAAUAAUUAUAUAUUGUUCAUAAUCAAAGCAAAGCUGAGUAUUCCUUUUUAUAGAAAAUAACAAUCCAAAAUUAAUAAUCCAUUAAUAUUAAAAGUCAAACUUUAUAUAUAAGUUAACCACUAAUAAUCCAAUUUAAUAGUUAAGACCCAAAAACGUUUAAAGUUAAGAAAACUAAAUAUUCUAUAAUUGUUUUUUAGGGAAGAAUCACUCAUAAAAUAACUGCUUUUCAAUUGGAGCACUCCACUUCAAACCACGAACAGAGAUGAAGCUCCCAUUAUCGCAAUUCACCAAAGCUCAAACAUGUCUCUGACCACUCUCUUUCUCUUUGAAAUUGGAACAAAGCCAAACCUAUACAUAACCAAAUAAACAUUAAACUAAAUAAAAAAUUCAAAGCCCCAAACCCAAUUUUGAAACAAAUUUUCUACAUAUUUGUAGCUGAUUCAUCCACUUUCCCUACAACCAAACACUAGAAAUGAAAAACUACAAUCUUGAGAGACCAAUGAAACCCUAAGAUUUUGAAACAACAAAGACACCACCACCAAUGCUCCCAGCCAGGCUUCCCCCUCUCCUCCUUUUCCAGCCACUGAGGUUCUCUACACCACUCUGAAUACCAACCAACUACAACCCUAAUCAAAAUGCACUAAAACAAACCCAAAAAUUAACCUUUCCAACAUAAAUAUCGAGAUCUUGAAAACUCUAAUAGAUUGAUUACGUUCAAGCUUUGAAAAUGCAUGAUUCCAAUUCUAUUUCAUUUUUUAUUAUGUUUUUUUACCCACUGUUAGAAAUUACCUCACACAAUGAAGUGCUUUUUGGUGUCUCCAAUGUGGUACUCUCAUUAUCACCGGUCAGUAGUUGAUGGUUCCAUAGUUGGGCGUCUCCGAUGAGUUUGCUGAAGGCAAGAAAUAAUGGAUGAUUUUGGGUUUAGUUUUCUAGGUUUGUUGAGAUGAGGUAGGAUGUUUGAGAAAUGGGGAAAUAUGAGUACAUAUAAAUAGUGGGAGACAAUGACACUUGUUACAACUACCAAGAAUUAUGAAGUGCAACAAUGACACUUACAUAAAACGCCAUCGUUUAUAAAACGUCAUUAUUCAUUUAUACAAUUGUUGUUCAUUGAAUUCCUUGACACUUUUUAGAAGCGCCAAGGAAUUAAACGUCAUUAUUUACAAUUUUGUAGUAGUGUAUGAUUAAUAAAUUGAUUUUGCAUCUCAAAUUUCUUUAAGACAUGUUUUUAUGAUUGAAAAAUUUUGAGUUAUAUAAAAUAAUAUAUAUUAUUGCAUGUUAUCACAUACGGUAUUUUUAUUAAUGUAAUAAUUUUAUUAUUCAAAAAUAAUUUUUCAAUUACAAUAGAUUUAACUAUUGUUUCUAAUACAUUUUGUUAUAUCUUUACGUAUAUAUUUAGAUAGAUUUUUAGUCUUUCAACUAAAUUUUUGAGAUAACAAGAUGCUUUAAAUCAUGAUAUAUUCUCUUGAAAUUUUGAUUUAUGAAUUAAUUUUUGCAUAUUGAUUUAGAUCAUAAUAAUAUUUUGAAUAAUUUAUUGAUCUAUCACUAGAAUUAGUUUGAUUAUUGAAAUACUUUCUAGUUAUUUCAUGUAUAAAUUGCUCCACACUUACAAAAUCAAAUGUGUGAGAUAAGUAAGAAAUAUAUAACUUCAAAUUCUUUUUCAUAUUUGUUUUGUUGUAUUAUAUAUGCUCUCAUUGCUUUUACACAACUUAUAAAGCUAAGUCAUCAUCGAUGACUAAUAUUUUUUUGUUCAUUUUAACUCUUCCUUCAUGAUAAUAUUUCUUCAAUUCUAUAAAGGUGAGACCUUUAUGAUAUAUUUUAUGACUUGUUAUUUUGAUGAAAGUGUCUCAUUAAUUACACAACAUUGAUGACAAACAAUGUUAAUACUAUAUAAGGUGAUAGAAACAUAAUUAAAGGCUCUAGAAGAGCUUAUACUAUGUCACUAGUAGUAUUUGAUUCCAUGUGAAUGACACUUUAUACGAUGAUAUAGAUCCAGAAGAAUCUUGUAAGACCAACUUAGUCCCUCGGGGUAAACAAUGAUACAUAAUUUUUUUUGUAAAGUCGUAUGGAUGUACAUUAUAAAACCGGAAGUUUUUAUCUAUUGACUAGUCUACCUAUACACUUGAAAGGUAGAAUGACAUAUUGUGUAUAUUAUCAUUUUAAUGAGACAAUUCUCCCAUUGUUAGAGGGAAAAGAGCCAAUUCUAGACGAAUAGUGUGAAAUUAUUUGGAAUGCAUUGAUUUUGACUCAUUUUAAUCCUCUUAAAUCAAUGUGAAUUGGAAGUUCAAAAAGACAAUUCAUUUUCAAUGACUUGCAAAUCAACUACCAAAUACUUUCAUUGAUGCAAAGAAAGUGAAAAAAUCAUUUUCAUUGACCUAGAAUAUUCCAGUACGAAUUGAUGUCCCUAAAGGACAAUUAAAUAAUGAGUUGAUAUCCUUGACAGAUGAUUAAAUAAUGUGUUGAUGCCCUUAAAGGAUGAUUAUAUAAUGUGUUGAUGUCCUUGAAGGACAAUUAAAUAAUAAGUUGAUGUCCCUCAAAGACAAUUAAAUAAUGAGUUGUUGUCCUUUAAGGAUAAUUAAAUAAUGAGUUGAUGUCCCUAAAGGACAAUUAAAUAAUGAGUCUAAGGCACGUUUGAAGUGUGGUAGACCUUGACGAGGCAAACACAUUCCCUAGAAGAGUAAAAAACACAAGGAAAGAUAUAUGAAAGGUGGCACUCUUGAAGAAGUUGCAUAUAAAGUGAGUUAUUAAAAUGACUGAUCAGUCUCAAGCAGCCCCUAAAGAGGCACAGUUUAAACAAAUAGCCAUAGGAGAGGCAUAUGUUUUACAAUCAGCUCAUGAAAAUGUACAAGUACCUAAUAAUGAUGAGAUCUCAAUUAUUUACUUAUAAAGGUAUAAGUACAUAUACCAAUUUUCUCCGAUCUAGAUAUAUAAAACUUGAAAGGCCAAAAUGGUAAUAUGAGGUUCGUUGAGUAUAUUACAAUCUUGCAUGAUCAUUUUGAAGAUAUAAUCAUCUUUAUUCUUCAUUCGCAUCCAUAAUUGAUUGAUGCUAUUAUAUGGUAAUGAAGACAAAAAUCAUAUCUUAGUCUCAAAUUUGGUAUUAAACAAACACUACAAGUAGUUAAUUAUGUGUUACCUUACAUAUGCUUGAUUUUCCCACACUUUUCAUUUAUUCCUUUCCAUCUAUUUUUCACUACAAUGAUGGCCAUGGAAACCCCUUGGGAUGUCAUGAUAGAGAAUAAAUGCAGCUAAAGGAGCAAAGUUGUGUCAAGCUUGGUGGUGCUAGCCUAUUUCAACCAACCACAAAUUUGAGGUUGGUUGAGGGUUUAAAGAUUGAUUGAUAUCUCCUAUUUGGAAAAUGAUUUUUGACUCAAACAAAGUUCUAUAAAUAUAUUUAAGAAGUCUACAACAUCAUGCGCUUGUAAGAAAAAAUGUUCCAAAUAAUCCAAAUCUAAUUUUUCAUUCAAAAGGUUCAAAAAAUAGACCAAAUAGUUAGUAGGAUGCUUGUUCAUGGAUAAGCUCACCAGGGCAAGAAAUUACUCCAUUAAUGUGGAGCCAUGGAUUUAUUUUCAUGUGUUUUAGAUUCAAAAUUCAUUUAGAAAGUAAUGGAAAAGUGCAUACCGAAUAAAAUAGGUAGCAUAACCUUUUGAGAAUAGAUUUUCACAUCUAAAAGGUUGGAAGCAAUUUCAAAAACAUAAAUAACAAUUUCAAACAAUCAAGAAAAAGUGCAUGUGCAUGUAUGUGAAUUCUAGCAUGUUAAUAUGAACUUCAAAUGUCUUAAAUAAGAACCUAGGGUACAUUUGUACAUAAGAUCAAUUUGUGACCUAAAAGCAAACCUAAAUGAACAAAUUAUGUGUCUCAAAGUGACCUAAAGAAGUGCUAAAACAAGUUGAUCAUAUAACACACCAAUGCAUGGAAAAUUGGAACCAAUUGUGCAUCAAAUUGAGAAUAAAAAAUGUCCUAAACAAGAGCUAAAUGUGACCUAUUGUGUAAGUCAAAUGUGAAACCAUAUAAGUGAUUAAUUAAAGACCUAUUUUAAGUGCCAAAUCAAGUACAAAAGAAUCCUAAACAAGUGUCUCAUUAAAUCUAAGUAUGUGAUUGAGGACAUAACAACCAUAUAGAGACCCCUCUUGACAGAUGGAUAGAGGUAGGUUUUUCAAAGAUUUUAGGAAGUUGAGAUUGAGGGGUCUUAAAAGGAGCCGACCACACAUAGAGAUUUUUUAGGAUUGAUAAUUAGGAGCUAUCACAUUUGAGAUUUAAGGAGAGAGAGAGGGGGGGAGCAAGGUACACGACUGAUUUUUUGGAGAGAUGACACAAAUGGAUUUUUUUUUUUAAGGGGAGGGCUGCCACUUGAGAGAUAUCUGUGUGCUACCAAUGGAUUUUGGAGAUUAAGGGGAAUGACUUUAGAGGAGUUUGGGAAGAUUCUUUAGAGAAGAACAUGUGAUUUAGGGAAAGACGCAUAGAGGGGUUAACACAUUAGAGAUUCAAGACUAGAAAGGAAGAGUUGAAUCCAAAUUGCUAUUUUUUUUAAAGUCACAUGUUUGAUAUUAAAUUUGAGAACUUUUGAUUGAUUAUAUAUUGAUUAUCCAUGAGUUGAAGGCAUAUUACUAGAGCCUUUAGUCUAACCAAAGCUUUAUUGAGUUGGAAACUUGAAAUGUCUUCAUCUUUUCUUUUCUUAGUCCCUUGCAUAAGAAUAUUUAUUCUCUUGCAAUGACUAAAUUAAAAAUAUAAUCUCAUAAUUUUUAAUCCAUUAAUAAUGUCAAGAUAAAAUAUAUAUAUAUUUACAUGUUUCAAAAUUUUAAAGUCAAAUUGAAAACAACCACCCUUAAAAUAAUUAUUUAAUAAAAUAUAAAGUAUUUAAAUUAAAUUAAAUUUUAUAAAAAAAUUAAUCUGAAUUUAAUUUAAAUAAUUAUGCAGUCAUUUAUAAAUUAAUAACUACUUAAUUAAAGUUAUAAGUUAGUAACAUUUUAUAAUCUCAAAAUCAAAUCGAAGAUAUCCCACCUCAAAAAAUAUUUACUAAAAUAUCAACUACAAAAUGCAAAAGACCAUUUUUUAGAAUUUAUUUUAUAAUAUAUAUCAAGGUUUAAAAAAAAAAUUUAUAUACGUUAAAUAAAUUUUUUUUUUAUAAAAUCUAUUUAGUAUCUAUAAUUAUCUUUUUUUUUUCUCACAAAGAAAUAUUUUAUAAAAUUUAUUUAGUAUCCUUACUUAUCUUUUAAUCAUGCUCCUACUUAGGAAACCAUAACUUUUAUUGAAAGUUGUAAUUUUAAAAUUUCAUCUUCUAUUUUAAAAGAAAAUGAUUCAUGCACUUUCUCACCUUAGAGCAAAACAAGUACCAAAAUUCAUGCCUCGCCUAAUUUGACUCAAAACAUAAUUAAGUAUCUAAAGAAAAUUGUAGACCCUUCAUUUUGUCCUUUCAGCAUGUCUUUUAAGUUCACUUCCAAUGCUCCACAGUAAUUCUUUGGUGACCCAUUGCUACUUAUACUACUUACCUUUUUUUUUUUUAGCCACCUUAGAGACUUUGGUUGAGGGAUUUAUUUAACCCCAUUGUGACUCUUAGCAACCCUAAUUUAGACUUAGAUUUUUCCUUCCUUUUUAGGGUAGUUUUUAGGUGCACUUUUAGGAAAGUGCACUUAGGCAUGUUUAGGUCACUUAGACAAUGUCCUAAUCACUUUAGUUCACUUAGCCUUAUUCUUGAUUUUGAUUGCGUGGUUUCUGAGUUUAAGACGAGUAUUAGCUUUAAUUUUGAUUUUUGAUUGCUUGAGAUGAAUUUUCGAUAUUUAAUUAUAAGAGUUUGGUGUUUUGAUUUUCAAUAUUUGGUUAUUGUGUUAGUUUAACAUUUGGCUUUUCUUUUAAUCUUUUUAUUAUUAUUCCAUGCAUUUAAUAAUUAUAUUUAUUUUGUUUACUUAUUAAUUUCUUUAUUUACUUAUUUAUUAGAAAAUUGCUUGAAUUGUUUUGACUUUAAAUAUGCACGUGGUUGCCUUAUUAAAUUGUUGAAUUACAUAAUCUGUUUUUUUUUCUUUUUAAUCUUCUUUUAAUUUUUUUUUAUCAAUCUCAUGAUUUUCAUUAGUUUUUUUUUCUUUUAAUUUUGAAUUUUAUUUUAAUGAGGAAACGAUUGCAUAUUUGGGAAUGGUGAAUCAAGGUCAGAUUUUUUUUUUUAAGGAAAAAGAAGGUCAAUGGGCUAUCUAUUUUUUUUUUGGAAUGAAAAAUCAGGAUGGAAAGAGGAGUGUCUUUUAAAGGCAUCUAUGGAUUGGGAAAGCUGGAGGAAAUCUGCAAGGAAGGUCCACAUGCAUGAUUCUUGAUGGACUUUCCAAAAUAGUAGUCGGAGGAUUUCGGAGGGAAUCUCCACGAAGGCAUUUAGAAACAAGGAGCAGCAGCCUGCGCCACCAGGGGGGGCACCAAAAAUCCACAGGACGCAAUCCCAUUGAUAACGGGAACAAGCACCAGAUUGAGAGGCACCACGACAAUAGCAUAAGGAGAGCACAACACACACAGAAUUUUUUGAAGAAAAAAAUAGCACGCAUCACCAGAUUUUAGAGGAUGUUCAGCCGUACCUUAAAAAAAAAAAUCCGAGGGAGGAGGGGACUCCCGACAGCACGCAUGAUAAGGCUCCUACAACACACACAAACUUUAGAGAACAACAAGGCCCUUUGGAAAGGCAGAUUCGGUUGCCAGUUUGACAUACCAAGAGAGGAUUUUCUCAGAAACAAUCGCACCAUCAAUAUAGAGAAACAAAAAUCUGAACCCACUUUGAGAGAAACAAACAUCUCAUGCUGCCACUUUGGAUGGACACUUGAAAUCCAAGAGCACGAAUUGAGGGGUAGCUUGCACUCCCAUGGGGACCACGCACUAACAGCAACACGCCACUUCGGGAAGUCUCCACAGCCGCAUGAUGGAGUCCACGCAUAGUUUUGAUUUUCUGAGAACACACACACACGCAUAGUCCACUUUCUAGAGGAACCCCCAGAAUUUUUUUACGAAGUUGUGCGCACCAAAGGACUCCACGCACAGGUUUAUUUGUUUUUGUUUUGGUUUUGGUUCAUCAUGAUAGUUGUAUAAAGCUUGAUAUUUGUUUAAUUUUUGUUUGGCUUCUUUAUUUUAUUUUCAAUAAGUUAGAAUUAUGUUAUAUUUGAGUGUUAUAUGGGAUGUUAUAUUUGAUUGAAUUGUUAGUUCUCUUUAUCUUUGAUACUUAUUUUAUAGGCACCUUAGGGAAUUCUUGAGUUCGAACUUUCUUUUAGAAAAAGUUUUUUAUUUAUUUAUUAAAUUGACAUUUUGAGUUGAGUCAAAUUUUCUUUUUUCAAAAAUGAAUUUUUCCAUCCUAAGUUUGGCUCCUUGAUCCCAAAUGAAAGGUAGUAAAAAAGGGGAUCCAAUUUAGUUUUUCUCUUAUUUUCAAAAACCCUUUUAAGUUAGAAAUCAAAAAUCUCUAUUUUGUGUCUAGUGAUUGGGAUUUAACAAAUCAUUAGGUCCUUUCUUUUUUUACUUCCCUUAAAGUCAUUUUCAAAAGCAUUUAAAUCACCAAUAAAGCAUUUAGAAAACAUUUAUUCUAGCUUUAGGCAAAGAACACACUUUCUAGUAAAAUUAUGAAACUUUCAUUUAAGUUGCAUUUCUCCUUUGUUGGUUUUUCAAAAAUUUGGUUUUUAUUCACAUAGGUUUGGACUUGUGCUCCCAAACUAAUGGGGAUACACAGGUAAAACUUACGGAAAUUGAAUGGGGACUUGAUGGAACCCCUACAUAAGAAAAUUUUUCAAAACUCUUCCUUGUUGCCAGUUUUCACUCAACCACUUACCCUUUAGAUUUAAAAUUCAUUCAUAAACUUCAGAAUAUUUUAAAAAAAAUUUCCAAAACUUGUAUGAUUUUCCUCACUUCUUGAAAUUGAACUUAAAAUUUCGUUUGAGUUAGAAAGCAAUUCUAGAAUAGAAGAUAUAAAUGAGUUUUUUGGAGGGCUUUGUUUUCACCCAAUUCUGGACAUCCGAAAUAUUUUUCUAACAAUAAAAUGACAUAUUACUUUUUAAAUUUGAUUCGAUAUAUUUUUUUAAUUCUAAACUUCUUGAAAUUGAUCUUAGACAUAUAAAAUAUUAAAAAAUAUGCAUUUUUGAGGGAGAUGUGAUUUUUCAAAUUCAUACCUACUGUACAUGAUGAAAUAUUUUUAUUCAUGCCUAAUUAAAUCUUUUGCUUACUACCUAGCUUUGCUCACUCAUCAUGCAAUUUUAGCUAGUAUUAAUAACAUGGUUCUAUCCUAUACUUGAUAUAAGGUCUUAUACUUAAUGAAUAGUGAUGGUGAUGAAUAACAACCAUGAAAAUUAAUGUGGUGGGUGAACAAUGAGUGCUCAAAGUGACUGAUCAUGAUAACGACAAAAAGAAAAUUAGACAAAAUGAAUUGUAAUAGCAUUCCAAGAAUUUCUUAAAUGGGGAGAUAGGGUAGGGAUGAAUAGGGAAAUCUUUAUAUAAUCGCCCAAAAAUAUUAAUUAUUAUUUGUUUACUUAUUUUUUUAAGAUAUAAUUAAUCAAUGAAAGCAAAGGACAAUCAAUCACACAAGAGAAAAUGACAUUUAUGUGGAAAACAACCCAAAAAGGCCCUUAUAAACUUUGUAAAUGUAAAGAUCACAGGGUCAUAGACUACAAAGCUAAAAUCCACUAACUCUAUGUGAAGAAAUAGGUACACAUAGUAGUUGUUACUCCUUGAUACUUACACUAUACUACACACACCUACUCUCUUGUCCUUAACACAACUUUUUUGUGUUCCUUAGUGGGCGCUUCAACACUUUAAGGGAAUGCGAUUUUUUUACCACAAUAUUAAAAAAAAAAAAAAAAAAAACAAUGUUACAACACUUUGAUAGUAUAAGGUUGAAGGCAAGGAAUACUAACCCAAAUCUUAGGCACCUAAAGAGCAAAAUUGCUCAAUAUUAGGCAUAGACACACAUAAGUACUCACACACAUAUAUUGUAAACCCCAGUGCACUUGUAAAUAUUUAGAAAUCAAUUUUUACAAAAAUUAGAAUUAAUAUAUCAACAAAUUUAGACAAAUCCUCAAAACUGAGUAAAAUUGAUCUCAAGCAAUACUUGAGCCGCUUAGAAUGCUGCUUGAGUGCUAGGAGUGUUUCAGUAGCCUUUGAGGGUGCAUAAGCACUCUCACUAUUUUGUUUUUCAAUUUUUAAAUUUGAAUUUCCAUUUUUAUAUAACAUAACAUCCAAUUUAAUAUUUGUUUCCAAAACAAUUAUAUAUAUUUUUUUAUUUCCAUAAGAAUCCAAUUUAUAACUUUUAUGUCAUUAUCCUCAAUGAACUUAACUAUACUUACAUGUUUAAUCUAGGUUGAUUAUGAAAAUCACACGAUAUCACUUAUACCUCAAACAAACAUCAUAAUCACUAAUAUGAAAUAUUUGCAACCCAUUUGGAAAAUUCUUGCGCUAUGGAACUUGUGAUUUGCACACACUAAAACAUUAAUACCUAUGAAAAGUAAUGUGUGGAAAGAAAACGAACAAUAUCAUAAUUCAAUUAGAAUCAACCGAAUAUAAGAAACUAAUCCAAUGAUUAAAUAUCUUGAACUAAAAAUAGUGAUGCAUACUUCUAUCACAAAAGUGAUAGAUAAAAGAUAACACAAUGAUAAUCAAAAGAUGAAUGCAAAUAUUUAGAUAGAUAAUGAGCUCAAAAUAUCUCCAUAAGAUAACCAAAAUAACUAGAUCAUAAGAAAUUAAAUAAAUAAGUCUAUUAUACAAUCCAAAAAUCAUAACCAUAGAGUUAAUCAUUCUAAAACAUCUUGCUAGAGUUGUUUAAAGGUGGUGGUAGAAACUGACUAAAGCUUGAGCCAAGAGAAAACAUGAUCCAUGCUAAAGUAGAUGCUAGUUGGUUGUCUACAUGUUGAGAUCAAUCAUAAAUCUCAUCAAUCCAUGAGUUCAGAUGGACACAAAGUCAGUUAAUACAAUCAUCAACAUAAAGGUGAAGCUGAUCAAUGAUGUGAAAACCCAAACCAAAGAAUUCAUCCAUAGGCUAGUAUAAACCUAUUAUAGCUUUAGAACUACUUGCAUGAUGACCUCGACUCCCAAGCCACGAGUGUGAGAUCUCAUGAUUUAGUUCCAACUCUUCAAUCACAUCCUCCUCAUCAAUAGUCAAAGCAUUAAUCACUAUUAAGGGUAUGACUCACAUGCUUGAAUCAGGAAUUCUCAUCAAUAGAGCAUAAUAGUCAAGCACCUAGAAGUCGCAUAGAUGUCAAACACAAUAUCCACCAAUAGAUGGGAAAAGAUGAGUGCAAAUUGUAAACUUCUAGGUUGAGUCAACUUUCGAUAACUAACCAUAAUAUUUGUCAUCAUAGUAGCUAUAUUAAUGGGUUGGCCACGAAGAAUAGAAUGGAUAAAAUGCACUACAAACUAGUGAAUCUGAAGACUUUGAUUAGGGAAAACAUAGGAAGCUCUUGUAGCCCCCUAAAUAGGUUAGCAAGGUAGCACUAACCAAUUCUAAGUUUAAAUUAACCUCAUCUAAGAAAUGAAGAAUGACCUCUAUGAAAGGUUGCAAAUGCAAAGCUUGAUCAAUAGAGUAAGGUAAGACCAAAAUAAUCUAUCAUGGUAGCAAAAAAAUUGCAUGGGCUAACAAAUGUUUAAAUAGAAUAUCCAAACAUAAUGGGAAUACACGACCAUAGAAAGUGAAACUAAAGAAUCCUAAUGACAAUCUUGAAAAACCUAAGGGACCAUAAUAUAUCUUAAGAAUGUCAAGGAGGGCUCUCACUCAACCAUGACUCGGUAAUCAUGAAAACAAACAUAUUGUAGUUCUUUAUGCUCAAAAUCAAGGAAAAAGAAUAAAAAAGGUUAUUAACCUCAAAUGGUCCCUUAAUCGGGGAACUAAGGUUAGAUACAAAACUAGAAGAUGAUAGGAGUGAGAACUUGACACUAGUAGGUACACCUAGACAUACCAAACAUGUUUGGGGGAAUGAAAAAGUAAACUAGUCAAAGUACUAAGGAAACCCUUAAGACUAAUAAUCCUUUGAAAUUGGAACAUAGAGAUGAACAACAAUGAAGAUCACACACGAACUGGGCCACUCAAACCCUUUAAAAUGUAUGAAAUGGUGAAAAUGACAUGAGAAAGAUAUAUUUAUAGGAAAAGAACCUGCGGGAGAGCUUGAUGCAAUGCUUAAUGCUUUAGAAUAACACUUCAAUGCUUCAAGAAUGGGAAAGGGAGCUGGAUGCAACUAAGAGCACUUGAGUGUUUCAGGAUGACUUAAAGCAACUUUGAGGGCUUGAGCACCCAAAAUGUUCAUUCAACUUCCCAUACUCCUUUGAGCACCCAAAACAUAUUUUGUAAUGCAAAACCAUGAAAAUAUCCAUCCAAGAAACCUACAAUGAAAUAUAACAACCAAACACACAUGAACUAACAUAAAAAUAGGUCUCCAAACAUGUUGGAACUGUAAUAAUAAAUAAUUAAGUAAAAUUUAAUGAGAAUGAGAUCAUAUCAUGCACCUUUUUCACAUACAAUUAAGUAGAGAAUCAAAUUACGUUUAAGUAGACCAUGUAACCAUUCAAAAGAAAAAGAGAUAUAACCAAGGAAAAAUUAUCCAAGGUAGCUAAAGGAUAUGUUAGCUGUAUAUAUCUGUACAUACCAUAAUUUGGUUGUUUCCUUAGGGAUAAUACCUUCCUAAUUUAGGACUCUCAACUGUAUAUAUAAACAAGUAUUAUUCAUCUAAUAAAAAAAAGGAAUUGAGAAUUACCUUGAUUCGGUUACAUGGUAUCAGAGCCACGUUUGGUUCAAGGGAAUUUUCUGGGUUUUGGGUUUUGUUCCUAACAAUCUGGAACAGUAACCUGUUACGUUUUUUUUUUGGUCUGGAUUGCGUCACCACCGACCCAGGGAGGAGCGCAUUCUUGUUUCCGGAGCGUGGGAGUGCUUGAGGUCACCGUUUCUUCACCUAUUUGACGUCCCGACGUUUCCCAUCUCUCGAUCUGACUUUCCGACGUUUCUCAUCCGGUGUUCGAUCAACUGUCGAGGGAUCGCAAAGAUUCAUCGACGACUGCGGAAUCGCUGUCGCCUUCUUCACAGAUCCCGCCACCCUCUCACGCUUUCUCUUCGCCCCGUUCUCCGUCAACGCGGUCUUCACCUCGGCCGGAACCCUAAGCCCCCCUCACCUAAAACUCAGCACGACGCCUUUUCUCAUCGGCAGCACUGUGUUCGCGCUCAAAUCCACGCCAGAAAACAAACAGUUGCCGUCGUCCGAGAUCAUUGAAAGCCCCGACCUUCCCGUCUUAGCUUCAAUGCCGAUCGUUUGUGGCUGAGGGACUCCUGCUGCAGCCUCUCGAGCCCGACACACGACUUUCAGGGUGAGAAAGAGAGGGAGUCAAGGGUUUGACGCACGCUUUUGACCCUUUGACUCUUUUGACACCUUGUAAGAGAGGUAUUUGUCUCUUUCUUCUUGUAGUGGUAAAUUGCAAUUUCUGGUCUGGAUGAUUGCUUUGAAGAUUAAAUUUUAUUGUCAUGGAAGAGAGUAAGAAUUCUGUUGCUGAUAUAGUGCCUAUUGUGUCAAAAAUAACUGAACACAAAUUAAAUGGGUCUAAUUAUAUUGAAUGGAGCAAGACUAUCAAAAUUUAUUUGAGAAGUGUUGCUAAGGAUGACCACUUGACUGAGGAACCUCCUAAUGAUCACACUAGAAAACUUUGGAUGCAAGAUGAUGCACGGUUAUUUCUGCAGAUGAAAAACUCUAUUAAUAGUGAUAUCGUUGGUCUGCUGAGUCAUUGUGAAUUUGUUAAAGAGCUAAUGGAUUAUCUUGAUUUUCUGUACUCUGGAAAAGGAAAUGUAUCUCAGAUGUAUGAUGUAUGGAAUGCCUUUCAUUGUCCUGAGAAGGGAGCUAAAUCCCUCACUGCAUAUUUUAUGGACUUCAAGAAAGUAUAUGAGGAAUUGAAUGCACUUAUGCCUUUCAGUCCGGAUGUUAGAGUACAACAGGCUCAAUGGGAACAGAUGACUGUUAUGAGUUUCUUAUCCGGUCUCCCAUCUGAGUUUGAGACUGCAAAAUCUCAGAUUCUUUCUGGUUCUGACAUUGAUUCCCUUCAGGAAGUUUUCAGUAGAGUUCUACGAACUGAGAAUGUCUCAUCUUCUCAGCACACCAAUGUUCUUGUUGCAAAAGGAGAAAAUGCAGAAAAUGCAAGAAGGGUGACUAACAGGGGCGGAAACAGGGCAUUUGAAAAUCAUGGCAAUGAUUCAAGUACAAUUGUGUGUUUUUACUGCCAUGAGGCUGGCCAUACCAAGAAGAACUGCAGGAAAUUGCAAAAUCGAAAUCGGAGAAUUCAAACUACCAAUGUUGCUACAUCUGAUACUGCUACAUUUUCAGACUCCUUAAACAAGAUCGUCACAAUGACAGCAAAAGAGUUUUCUAAAUAUUCACAGUAUCAAGACGCACUGAAAGCAUCUACUCCUGUUAGUGCUCUGGCAGAGUCAGGUAAAACAUGUCUUGUCUCCUCCUCAAACAAAUGGAUAAUUGAUUCAGGUGCCACAGAUCAUAUGACAGGUAAUCAUAAAACCUUCUCUACCUUCAGAACACAUUCUGCUCCUCCUGUUACUGUUGCUGAUGGUUCUACCUAUGAGAUUAAAGGGUCUGGGACUGUGAAACCAACAUCUUCUAUUACGUUAUCUUCUGUGUUAAACUUACCCAAUUUGGCCUUUAACCUAAUCUCUGUCAGUAAACUUACCAAAAAUCUGAAUUGUAGUGUCUCAUUUUUCCCUGAUCAUUGUGUGUUUCAGGAUCUUAUGACGAAACGGACAUUUGGUAAAGGACAUGUAUCUGAUGGGCUCUAUAUUCUUGAUGAGUGGGUACCUCGACCAGUUGCGUGUGUCAGUACUGCCUCUCCUGUUGAAGCUCAUUGUCGGUUAGGACAUCCUUCUCUACCGGUGUUGAAGAAAUUAUGUCCUCAGUUUGAUACUUUACCUUCAUUAGAUUGUGAGUCGUGUCAUUUUGCGAAGCAUCAUCGUAGUUCUUUAGGCCCACGGCUUAAUAAACGGGUUGAGUCUUUGUUUGAGCUAGUACAUUCUGAUGUUUGGGGUCCGUGUCCUGUUACUUCUCAAACUGGGUUUCGAUAUUUUGUUACCUUUGUGGAUGAUUUUUCUCGAAUGACUUGGAUUUAUUUUAUGAAGAAUCGUUCAGAAGUAUUUUCUCAUUUUUGUGCCUUCUCUGCUGAGAUUAAAACCCAAUAUGAUGUGUCUGUGAAAAUAUUAAGAAGCGAUAAUGGAAAAGAAUAUGUGUCUAACUCAUUUCAGAAUUACAUGAGUCACAAUGGGAUUCUUCAUCAAACAUCUUGUGUUGAUACUCCUUCUCAGAAUGGGGUUGCCGAAAGAAAGAACAGGCAUUUACUUGAGACAGCUCGUGCCCUCAUGUUCCAGAUGAAGGUUCCGAAACAGUUUUGGGCUGAUGCAGUUUCCACAGCUUGCUUUCUGAUCAACCGUAUGCCCACUGUUGUGCUUAAAGGUGAUAUUCCGUACAAAGCAAUACAUCCACAGAAAUCACUUUUUCCACUGGCCCCAAGAAUUUUUGGAUGUACAUGCUAUGUUAGAGAUACAAGGCCUUUUGUUACUAAACUUGAUCCUAAGGCGUUACAGUGUGUUUUCUUGGGGUACUCAAGACUGCAAAAGGGCUAUAGAUGUUUCUCGCCUAAUCUCAAUAAGUAUCUAGUAUCAACGGAUAUUGUGUUUUCAGAAGACACAUCAUUUUUCUCUUCACCCACAAGUUCUGCAAGUGAGGAGGAUGAAGAAUGGCUUGUGUAUCAAGUGGUUAAUUCAAGACCAACUGUUGGGCAAUCAAGUGUGGUCGAUUCUGAUGCAUCUCUUGCUCAUUCGAGUCCUGUUGUUAAUAUUCCUCCUGCUCCAGCCAAACCACCAAUUGUUCAGAUGUACUCUCGGCGCCCAGUGACAACCGAUACAUGUCCUGCACCAGCUCCUUCGUCAUCUGAUCCUUCCAGUGAUCUCGACCUUCCUAUUAGCCUUUGGAAAGGUAAACGACACUGCAAAUCUAUCUAUUCCAUUGCUAACUUUGUGUCUUAUGAUCACCUGUCAUCUUCCUCCAGUGUCCUUGUAGCCUCUAUAGAUUCUAUUUCAGUCCCUAAAACUGUUACAGAGGCCCUGAAUCAUCCUGGUUGGAAGAAUGCAAUGCUUGAAGAAAUCUAUGCAUUGGAGGAUAAUCAUACAUGGCAACUUGUCGAUUUGCCUCAAGGAAAGAAAGUUGUUGGCUGCAAGUGGGUCUUUGCGGUAAAAGUUCAUCCUGAUGGCUCUGUGGCACGAUUGAAAGCCAGACUUGUAGCUAGAGGAUAUGCUCAGACAUAUGGAGUAGACUAUUCUGAUACUUUCUCUCCAGUUGCCAAACUCAAUUCAGUUCGACUAUUUAUUUCUAUUGCUGCUUCCCAACAGUGGAUGAUACAUCAGUUAGACAUCAAGAAUGCCUUUCUUCAUGGUGAUCUAGAGGAAGAGGUCUAUCUGGAGCAACCUCCUGGGUUUGUUGCUCAGGGGGAGUAUGGGAAGGUUUGUCGUCUGAAAAAAGCUCUCUAUGGAUUGAAGCAGAGUCCCCGUGCUUGGUUUGGAAAAUUCAGUAAGGAGAUUCAAGCAUUUGGCAUGAACAAGAGCGAGAAAGAUCACUCCGUUUUCUACAAGAAAUCAGCUGCUGGUAUCAUACUUCUUGUGGUCUAUGUCAAUGAUAUAGUUAUUACAAGAAAUGAUCAUGCAGGAAUCUCUGAUCUUAAGACAUUCAUGCAUUCCAAGUUUCAUACAAAGGACUUGGGUGAACUGAAGUAUUUCCUGGGAAUAGAAGUAUCAAGGAGCAAGAAAAGGAUGUUCUUAUCACAAAGGAAGUAUGUGCUUGAUCUGCUGAAAGAGACCGGUAAGAUAGAAGCAAAGCCAUGUACUACCCCGAUGGUUCCUAAUGUACAACUUAUGCCAGAUGAUGGAGAUCCCUUCUAUAACCCUGAAAGGUGUCGGAGAGUGGUUGGGAAGCUGAAUUAUCUCACCGUGACGCGACCAGAUAUUGCAUAUGCAGUAAGUGUUGUUAGUCAGUUCACAUUUGCGCCUACAAUAAAGCAUUGGGCGGCUUUAGAGCAGAUUUUGUGCUAUCUAAAGAAGGCUCCUGGUCUAGGUAUACUAUAUAGUAGUCAGGGACACACUCGCAUCGAGUGUUUUUCUGAUACGGAUUGGGCAGGUUCUAAGUUUGAUAGAAGAUCCACUACAGGUUAUUGUGUGUUCUUUGGCGGGAAUCUAGUGGCUUGGAAAAGUAAGAAGCAGAGUGUUGUAUCCCGUUCGAGUGCAGAAUCUGAGUACAGGGCCAUGGCACAGGCUACUUGUGAAAUCAUAUGGAUACAUCAACUCUUAUGUGAAGUGGGAAUGAAGUGCACAAUGCCAGCAAAGCUUUGGUGUGACAAUCAAGCCGCUCUUCAUAUUGCUGCGAACCCAGUCUAUCAUGAAAGAACCAAACACAUUGAGGUCGAUUGUCACUUCAUUCGUGAAAAGAUUGAGGAAAAUCUAGUCUCUACUGGCUAUGUGAAGACUGGAGAGCAACUUGGGGAUAUUUUUACAAAAGCUCUGAAUGGAUCUCGAGUUGAGUACUUUUGUAAUAAGCUGGGUCUCGAGUUGAGUACUUUUGUAAUAAGCUGGGCAUGAUCAACAUCUAUGCUCCAGCUUGAGGGGGAGUGUUAGCUGUAUAUAUCUGUACAUACCAUAAUUUGGUUGUUUCCUUAGGGAUAAUACCUUCCUAAUUUAGGACUCUCAACUGUAUAUAUAAACAAGUAUUAUUCAUCUAAUAAAAAAAAGGAAUUGAGAAUUACCUUGAUUCGGUUACAAGGAUAAAGUUAUUCUUUUCUUAUGUUUAUGGGUUUUUUUUUUUAUACUUGGUUGUUGAUUUUUAUAUUUAAUAAUCUUAUGAAGAUAACAAGUUUAUAUUUUUUCCUUUUUUAAUGUAGCUUCAAAUGAUAGAAAAUUUAUUUGAUAUGAGCAGAGUUGGAAAUAGGUACGAGUUUCACACAUUUAAAAUUAUGAUGACAAUGCAAAAUAAUUUCGACUUAAAAUUUUAGCUAAUAGUGAAAAUAUAUUAUUCUAUUUAACUCAAUCAAUAAAUGUCCCAUUGUAGAAUAAAUUUAUUGAAUUAUUGAUUUCAAUGUUAUUUUCAAUCAAAUUGAGUUUUUAGCCUUUUGAUCUCAACCAUAUUCUUGUCAACAAUUAACAUGUCAUCAACAUAUAAUAAUAAAUAAACCAUUAGAUAGUUCGAUGAAAAGAACUAUCCCACUCACUUCUACACUAGUCAUUACCAAUCAUAAAAGCAUCAAACCUUUUAUACCAUUGCCUAGGAGAUUGCUUUAAGUCAUAAAGAGUUUUUCUUCAAAAAAUAAACAUGACCUUCCUUUCCCAAUAAUAAAUCCCUCAAAUUAAUGCAUAUAAAUAUGCUCUUCGAAAUCAUCAUGUAGAAAGGUAGUCUUAACACCAAAUUACUUUGUUUAUAAAUCAAAUAAAUUAGUAAUAGAAAUUAACACCCUGAUUAAGUUAUGUUUCCCAACUAGAGAAAACACUUUAUUGAUGUCCAUACUGCUCUUUUAUGUGUAUUCCUUUGUCAUCAAGCAUCCUCCAUUCCUAAAAUUUCUUUCCUUAAAGACCCACUUGCAACCUAACAACCUUUUGCUCCUUAGGCUUCUCAACUAGUUGCCAAGUAUGGUUCUUUUAAAGAUAUCUAAUCUUCUCAUUCAUAGUGACAAUCCACUUUGUAGGCUCUCUACCAAUGAUGGCUUCAUGAUAAGCAUGAAAUUCCUCAUUUUCAAUGCUUUUUGACAUAGUAAGUGCAUGAGACACCAAAUUUGUAUAAGAAUACAUCUUAUGUGGUUUAAUUUGCCUCAUUUUAUCACUAGCCAAAGUGUGUUGUUGCUCUUAUGAUGCAUUUUUUUUAAUGUCAAGAUGUUGUACCUUUUCUUUAUCUUGAUUUACUAAAACAUGUUUUCUAUAGUUCCUAAAGUUUUAGACUCAAACUCAACUUUUCUCUCCCACUGAGGUUCUUUUGUCUCUCAAAAUUUCUCAUUCUUUAGUUUCAAUAUUAUAGACUUACAAAGGUCACAUCCAUAGUAAUAAAAAAUUUGGAAGAUUUUGAAUCUAAGCACCGCAACUUGUACCCUUUUACUUUAUUUCAUAUCCUAAAAAUAUACACUUCCUUGUUCUUGGUUCUAAUUAACCUUUAUUUCCAUGAUCAUAAGAAGGACAAUACAAAAUUUUGAACUUUUCAUAAUUAGUAGAAGAACUAAACCAUAUCUCUUCAAAAGUUCUAUAAUUAAUAGAAAUUGAAGGAGAUGUAUUCAGAAGAUAAUAAGUUGAAUUAGCUACUUUAACUCGGAAGUCCUUCAAAACAUGCUCUCUCUAGAAGAGUUCUAUUCAUCCAUUCUGCAACAUCAUUUUGUUAUGGAUUAUGUUUGAUUUUGUAAUGUAUCACAAUUCCUCCAUUCUUGCAAACUCAUUGGACUUUUUCCCAUAGAAUUCCAUAUCAUUGUCAAUUCUUAAGCGCUUGAUCUUUUUUGUUGUCUAUUUUCUCAAUGAUAACUUUCCAUUGCUUAAACUUCUUGAAGACAUCAUUCUUAUGUUGUAAUCAUCAAUGAAGACCAACAUAUAUCCUCACCCACCAUGUGAUACAAAUUGAGAAGGGCCCUAAGAUCUAAAUGGAUGUAAUUCAAAGUAAUUUUUGUCUCUUGAAUAGCUAUGCUAAAUUUAAACUUACAUUGCUUCCCAUAAACAUAAUUCUCACAAAAAUCAAGUUCUCCUAUUUUAUGCCCACCAAGAAAACCUCAUUUACUCAAAAUUGUCAACCUUCUCACUCAUAUGCCUAAACCACAUAUUCCAUAUUUUCAUAGUCUCUCAAAUUAAUUUUAUGAUUGAAACUAUAGUUACACCUGUAACAGUGCCACUUUGUAAUGUAUAAAGACCAUUAGGUUUUUUUCCCCUCUCUAUUCAUCAAAUCUAGAACACCAUUUGAGAACGCCUCCAUCAUUAUAAUGCAUCCAUUAGAGUUAAGUGUCCCUAAAGAAAAAAAAAUUCUUCCAACUCUAGAACAUGUUUUAUAUCAAUUAAUGUCCUUACAAUGUCUAUCAUGCAUCAUAAUUCAAAUUAUGCCUAUUCCAACAACCUUGCAAUCUACAUGAUUUCCUGUGAAAACUUCUUUCCAUUUAUAAGUUUAUAUGUACUAAACUAAUCCUUAUUGGGAGGCAUAUGAUAGGAAUACCUUCAAUGAAGGAUCCACUCAUCACAUAAGUUGCUAACAAUAAUUGAAAGGAUAUCUAUAGUACAUGGAUUUUCUUCUACAACUAUUGCAUCAUCAGAAUUAGAAGUUUGGUAUUUUUAUUUUUCUUUAUGUUUUGCACAAUUUCUCAUAUAAUGUUCUUCUUUGUGGUAAUUGAAAUAUUUGUUGUUUUCCUUGGACUUUGAUUUUGAUCUAGGUCAACCUUUCUUAUCAUUGUUAUUAUUUGUUUUGUUCUCCCUCUAGCAUUAGUAACUUCACUAUAACUUUCUUCUCUACUUUCAUAUGCUCUCUUUUCCAACUCAUUUGAGCUCACCAUUGGCCUAACAUCCUUUAUAGAGAGAUUACCUAUGCCAUACAUCAUGAUAUUCAUAAAGUACCCAUGGGAAUUUGCUGGAGAAUGUAUCAAAAUUAAGAUAUGGUCUUCAUCAUUAUUUCUAAUAUCAAUUAUCUUUAACUUCAUAAUAGUUUUAUUAAACUCAUCAAGCUAUUUUCAUCUACAAAGUGAAGAAUUGUUUCUUCUAAUACAAAUGAUUUGUAAAAGACUUUGUCAUAUAUAAACUUUUUAGCUUCAUUCACAACUUGGCAAUUAUAUCCUUUUUUGUAGCCUCUCAUGAAAUACCUCAUUACCAAGUACAAUAAAGUAGCACUACACCCUUUCUCCACAAGUUCAUCCUUUUCUUCAUCAAACGUCAAUGUUGGUAGAGACUUUCUACCUUUCAGUGCUUUGGACAACCCCUGUUGAACCAACAAGUUUUGUAUCUUAAUGUGCUAUAAUUAAAUGUCAUUUCUUUCAUCACAUUUCUCAACCUCAAACUUUGUUACCAUACUAGGUCUAAUAAACUAAGCUUUGAUAUCAAUUUGUUAUGAAAAACAAUAAUGACAAAUAAUAAUAAUAAGAAGAAAAUAAGAAAACAAAAAAAAAAAAAAAAACACACAAAGCACACGCCAAUUUACAUGGUUAGUGAAAACAAAGAAAAACUUCUACUAUUUUUUUUAAGGGGAUUACAACCCUAGAAAUCUAAAAUCGUAAGUCUCAUGUACACCUAAAAAGAGACUCUCACUCAAUUGAAAUCUCUAGUAAACUAUUGAGAGAGAGAGAGAGAGAGAGAGAUUUCAUAUAGGAAACUAACUGUAUAAUUAUCAAACAUAUCUAUUCCUAAGAAAACUAUAAGAUGUUUCCUUUAUAAUAAUAGGAAACUCCUUUACAUGAAUAUAUCCUAUUAGACUAUUGAGAUAGGUCUCUACUUUCUUUGUACUAAAUAUAACGAGAAAAUUUCUAUCAAGUUCAUAUUAAGCAAGGUUCAAGCACAAUAACACAUUCUUUCAAAUCAAGUUAUGUUGUUCUAAUUUUAUAUUUUGAUUUAUUAAUAUUUUAAUUUUGUUUAUAAUUUAUUUUCAUUUGUGGUGCCAAAUUGUUUGCUUAGUUGUAAUGUUUUGUUGCGUUAUGUUAUUGUAUAUAUAUUUUUUUUAAAAAAAUUAAGAAAUAAUAUGUUUGCUUGAAAAUAUAAAUUGACAUAUGAUAAAACUAAAAAGAAAAGAGGAAAAUAUAUACAUUAAUUGAAUUUAAAAAAACAACUAUAAGUAAAUAUUCUAGUAAUAAUAAACAUGAUUUAAUAGAUCAUGAAACAUGAUGAGUUAUCUCAUAUUGAUGGUUUAAAAUUAUUUUCAAAGUUAAAUGUUUUAAAGAAGGUUUUGCAAGUAGGAAUACAUAAUAUAAUUGUAAUACUAAAUUAUAAAAAGAAAUUAAAUUCUUUUCCAAAUGCAUGUAUUUUUCAAAUGCAUGUGUUGUGCAUAUAAUAUUAUCAAAUAUACAUGUGAUGGUUGCUUUCGCAGAAAGAAGUUAUUUGAAACUAAAAUAAAUAAAAUCUUAUUUAUGAUCUACCAUGUGAAAAGAAAUUUUAAAUAAAAUAACUAUAUUAUCUAUUAAAAAAGAUAGUUCAAUGAACUCAGAACUAGAAGAUAGGAUUUUUACCUUAAGUGCCUACAAAACUAACUCAAAAAAAUUAAGUAGUCAAGAAUGAAGAAGGAGAAGCUAUAGAGGAUGCAAUUGCUACUCCAAUUUUCUCUAUCGAUCUCUAAACAUUUCAUAAGUGAUCUGUCCAAGAUCAAAGAUAAAAUAGUGAACCUAUUAACCAAUCUUAAGUGUCCCAAACUUCAAGAUUUUAGAUGGUAGAAAGACAUGUUUUUUUAAUGAGAGUUAUGUUAAGAUCAAACCAUAAUCAAUCUUUUGUAAAGAAAAAUUUAUCUCAAAAUUACUUAAGACUUUUGUAAAAAAUGUUAGGCUUAAGAUUAAAGAAUAAUUUAAUGGUCAAAUCCCUUAUGGUAAUUGAACAUAUGGAGAAAUUAUAAAUAUUAACACUAUAGAAGGAAUGAACAUAUGUAAUGAUGUUAAGCUUAACCAACAAAUGAAAUCUAAAUGAAAUAUUUAUAAGAAUGAAUUUGGAACAUUUUAUAGUUAGUUUGGAUUUAGCUAAAAUCUCCAUUUUAUCUAAUGUAAGAAGGGACAAAUAAUUAGGAAACCAAGGAAAAAAGCUUUCCAGAACAAAAAAAAAAAAAAAAAAAAAAAAAAAAAAACACACAUGGAAUAUAGACAAAAUAAAACUAAAAGACUAAGACAUAAUAUAAGAAAAUCCACAUAGGAACCUCAUAAAAAAAUAGAAACUUCAUCACACUCAAAUCCAAUAUGCUUUAAAUGUGGAAAAGUUAAACAUUUUAAGAAAGAUUGUAAAAUUAAAAAAAGGAAUUAAUGAUUGAAUUCUUUCGAUCAAGUAAAAAAAUAUGCUAUGUGAUUCAAUGCUAAACAUCUCAAAAUAUGAAUCCAUAACUUAAUCAAAUAAUGAAGACCAUAUUAACCAUUUGGAAAAUACUAACGAAAGUGUAAGUCAAAUCUCUAGUGAUCAAGAAAAAUAUGAUUGUCAACCUAAAACAAUAAAUUUAAUCUCCAAAGAACAAGAAUUAAUCUUAGAAUUACUUAAUGAAGUAGAAGACUCUUUGGUAUAAUUAAAAAUAUAUGAAAAAUCCAUAUAACACAACAAGCAAUACCAACUUUGAUAUACUUUUAUUAGUAUUCAAUUGAAUUCGCUAAAAUUUAGGAACUUUCACUUAGAGCCUCAAUUAUUUAAUCCCAACAAGGUUCUUCUUAAGGUAUGUUGUGGGUCUUUAACCUAAGGACACUUUGUCUUUCUUUCUUUAAGGGCUCUAACCUAAGGGUCUCAAUUGUAACUUUCUCUCCUAUUGAGGUAGAUAGCCCAUUUCCAAAGAUAACCCACCACAUUAGUCCCCUAUUAAAGUCAUCUUUUAGUUGAAACUUUCUAUAAAUUACUUUACUUAUUGUAUCCCUAAUCUAUCUUGUGAUUUUAGCUAUUAUUGUCUUCGAAAUCUAAAUUUAUUGGUUAUAUUUUAUGCAAAACUAAGUAAACAGUUAUUAUAGGGAGAACAAGAAGAAGAAUAAGGAGUUAAAUUUCAUGUUAGUUGACAAUUAUUUUGUGAGGAAAUAGAAGCUUGAAAACCAUACAAUGCUUUCUAUUUGUGUUCUUAAUAUCUACUCUUCUAGAAGACUAUUAAGAUGACUUAAAGAUAUUUAAUUCUUAGAAAUCAAGUUGUGUUCUUCAAAUUCUUAACCUGAUGAGAAUUGUUGUUGGUUUUGGUUUUCUACCUAAGUAAACUUCAAUGAAAUGUUGAAGGAAGGACUAAUCAUGAUACUUUAGUGGAAGAGUGUUGAUUUCUUGUUCUUUGAUGAGGCAUCAAAGUUACCAUUGAUGAGAGGGACCAGUGGUGAAAGAAUUCAUGUGUUAAUAUUAAAACAAACAAUCAUUUAGAUGCUAAUUGUGCAGUAAUCUAGGUUAUUAUGAUAUCUAAAAAUGGCCUCGUAUAGGCUUUCUGAGACAUUACAGAACAACAAUUCAAAGCCAAACCACUAUCUCUAGACUCUCUUUUCCAUUGUUUUUUGUUAUUUGUUUGUGAGCUACAAUUUGAGUAAGUACAUAUGGAAAAGAGAACAAAUAUCCAGAUUAAGAUUUAUCAUGGGAUAUAACUUCUCUUGCAUUGGUAUACCUAAAUAGUUAAAGCUUAGUAACCUAUAAAUAGCAAAAAACAAAAAUUAUUUUUUGGAUGAUAUGCAAUAAUUUCAAAUCAACAGUUGAUAUACCUGUCGAUCGUUUUUUUCUGUUGACUUCAAAUUACUAAAAGUUAGCAACAACUAUAAAAUAUGAUGUAGUCAUCAAUAAAAUAUAGGUUAUGGAAAAGUACCUAGAAAGACUAGAUAUAUGAUGUAGCCAUUAAUGGAAUGUAAGUUAUAGAGAAUUACCUAGAAGGACCAGACAUUGCUAUAAAGAAAUAUCAACAUUUAACUCCAUAGAUGGGUUUAAAAACAUUAAAAGAUGUGUUUAUAUUGCAAAUGUAAUUAAGAAGGUUAAAUAGUAGGGGAGCUACUCGUAGGUGAAGAGGAACCAGAUGCUAAAUUGCUUCCAUUUUUAGAUUCAAAUGUUCAAAAAAUUGAGACCACUUAGGAGGAAAAGAGUUUAUUUGAGGAAAAGAGUUGUUACUGAAAUUCUAAAAAUUAUUAUUAGCUCUACAGACUAGUGUAUGUAGAAGUCAAAGGACCUUUAAGUACCAUUGAACAAAAAAUAAUAUUGGAAUUAAUACAAUUGACUUGAAUGAUUUUUUAGGUCUCUUUUAUUGCAUUCUUUAAGUGUUUUUGUUGUCUAGUUACAUUUGGCAUUGUCCCUUGACUAAAUCUCACCAUGUGUUGCUGCUCAAUUUGGAAAUUCCCUGGGACUAGAAAAAGAGAAAGCUGAGUGAUACACUAGAAAUUGGCCCAGAUUUCAAUAUUGCACCCACAUGUGAUCAAGGGACACCAAGUUCUUUCUCUUAGCGGAAACCAUAUGAUCGUAACUGUCCAAGCAGUCCAGGAGAAACAAGUACUUUGGUUUUCAGUGAGAAGGGCAGAAGCAAAUACCACACCCAAGGACCCAUCCUCAAGAAAUCAAAGGAAUAGCCAGUGGAAUUUUCUCAACGUUAAACAAUGGAAGAAGAAGCUACUAUAGCAGCAUUAUGACAAUGAAAAGUUCUAUAUGAACCACUUCAUGGGAAAAGUUGCCAACAAUAGAAGAUGAUAAAAAGAUAAAUCUUGCAUACCAAAGUUGCAGUUUGAAGUACUUGUGUCACCAAUCAAACACGAGUCUGAAAGCAGUAACAUUCCCAGAUCAUUUGGUGAAGAUGACUACCAGAAAUCACAAAUGCAUCAGUCAUCACCACUCCCAAAGACCAAUGUUUCUGCUAAAUCAAUCCAGUUGAAUGAUAUGUGUAAGUCAAUUGAAAAAAUUGCAGCAGUCAAAGACCAAAAUUUCAGUUAACUUAAUCCAACCUAACCAUAUAAGAGGAAAGGUUUGCAGAAUCUUCUUUCUUAUGUUUUUUUGGAAGUACAUAUUGUUGAUAGCAAAAUUCCCCCACUGUAGUAGCAAUUACCAGCAAUAGAAUCUCGAUCAACACAUUACAGUGAUUUUUCCUUCCUCCUACAAAAAAGAUGUCCGGAUGGGUUGUGCGGACACACCCUCCGAUGAUUAAGUUAGUCUUUUGGAAGUUAUUUGAAAAUAGAUUUUUUCUUUGGGAGUGUUGCUCCGUGAUUUUCUUCAAGGAUGCUUAACCCCCCCCCCCCCCCCCCCCCUUUUUGUGAGAGUCUCCUUAAAGUUUAUAUAUGAGUCAGAGAGUAUGGCCUCGCUGUGCUAGUGGGUCCCAUAGUUAUGAUUGCGGCUCAUAAGGUGGUGAAGCAAUCAUGACCCUUCUGGUGCAAGGUGAUGGCUGUCAGAAGGGUAUUUAGGUGGCGAUUGUCACCUCAAUUUAUGAUUUUCGAUACCGAGAAUGCGUCAGGCAAUCUGAGAAGAUUUAGGAAUGUCUUGUCAAGCGUAUCUUGUAUUGAAGAUGAGUGAUAGUUCAGGAGACUUGGUCGACAGUGUUGUCGGAGUUUGCUUCUUGAUCGUGGGCAGAAAUGGAUCCGGCAAAUCGCGAGUGUUUGACGAGUCAAAUUGUCUGGGGAAUCUGAAUCGUCGGCCGCGGAUGCACUCCGGGUAAGCGUCGCCAGCGGAUCCGGACAUGUCUGACUGAGGAAGUUGAAUCUCACUUCUCUUCCAUCCGGUGGCAGGCGCCGGCUUUGAAAUAUCCGGAGAAGGUGGAACGUCGGCCAUACAUAAUCCCCCCACCCCCAAUGGGUGGAAUGAGCGAUGCCACGUGCCGCAAGGGGGGUCAUCUGCGUGGCCAAGGGAGAGGGAGCCACGUGGCACUUUUUAGGGAGGAUCCCACACAUAUGGGAAGGUGAAUUCUUCCACUAAAUUUCACCAUCUAUUAAAUCAAAUAUCCUGUGAGAAUUAUUGACAGUAUUUUAGCAAGAAUUACUAAUUGUUGCAUCAUUGUUCCUAUGGUUACAUAUACUUAUUUUAGUGGAAACAGUUAGAUGUUUUAAUUCAAGUAGCUUAAAUAGGUGUAGUACAAAACUUCCUUGUGCUCCAAGAGAAUUCAUAAGGCAAUGCCCAUGUUUUAUAUAUAUAUAUAUAUAUAUAUAUAUAGAGAGAGAGAGAGAGAGAGAGAGAGAGAAAGAGAGAGAGAGAGAAUGUUUUGAAAAUCUAGAAUUACCUAUCCUCUUACAUUCUCUAUUGGGUUAACCCUCAAUAUUUGGAUAUAUAUCAAAACCCCAAUUCUAGAUGACACUAGAACCUCACACGCUAACCUAAUGUCAAAGGUUUAACCUCGAGGGUCACUCUAUCCUAGUUGAUAGUCAACUAGAUAACCUAAUUUUCAUGAAAUAAAUUGAAAUAUUAUUAGGUAUCACUUGCUCAUAAGCACCAUUAAUUUGCUAAUAUUUUAUCCACAUGAUGUAGUUCUCCAAAUUCUACACUAGUCCCUAUGCCAAAAUAACAAAAUAUGGUUGAAGUUACAAUCAUCCAUAUAAUCCAACUUAAUACAUGCCAAAAAAAUUAAUAUAAGUUAAAAAGACCGUCAUUUAGGUUGUUCCUUCAUUUCUUGAUACUUUCCAAGAUUCUCUCUUUGAUAUUCUUGUAGUCAAAGAAAAACUAUAUCUUCAUCCAAAAUAAUUCUAGGGGAGUGAGAAUCAACAUGUUUCUCGGUAGGGUGCCUUGUACCCAAGGAACAUAAACAUUCUAAUUAAGUACAAUAUAAUCAUUUAACAAUCCAUUUCUAUUGUCUACAUUAGCUAAAACUUCAACCAUACAAAAUUAAAUCGACUUAGAUUGACAAUUUUCCCAUUCAAUCAUAUAUCACAUAAAAUAUUUUCAAUUUUCUAACACAAAAUAAAUUAUUCAUUACAUGGCAAAAUAGAUGAUGGAGAAACACAAUAAAGACUAUCUAUCAAAGAUCUUAAGUAUGUAAAUGAAGCAUUUAAUUUAAUAAAAACCUAUUUAUUAUAAAAAAAAAAAAACCUAAUGAAUAAUUUUCUCUACAUGGACUAGAAACCAAAAUUAAAUUCUUCCUAUACUUAAGAACACAAAGAGAAAUUUUUAACUUUAGAAGACAACUAUCAUCUUAGAUAAGGGUAACAUCUCCCAUUGCCUGUACAACAAUCCUUGCUUCAAAAGCUAAUGUCAAGUACAUGUCCUAUAAUUCAAUCUUCUCCUUAGAUUGAACCCCCUAUGAAGAAUUGCAAACAUGAUUAGUAGAGCUAGAAUCUAUCCACCAAUAAUUAGUGGAAUCUAACACUAAAUGUGAUUCAACUAGAAGAGAAUGAGGCAUACUUGACUACCUCUUUAGGAAUUUAGGGAAUUUAAGGCAUUCCUCCUUCUAGUGGCCUUUCUAACAACAAAAGAAACACUUUCCUUGACCUUUGCUCUUCUUCUUCAUCCCUUUUCCCUUGAACGUCCCAUUCUACUUGGUGGUCUUCUUGUUGUUUUAAUUCUAGCUAUAAAAGAAACAUUAACUGACAUAUGGAUGCUUCUUUGAUCCUUAAGAAUCCCCUCAGCCGUCUAGAGUUCUCUCAUCAAUUUAGUUAAGCUUAUCACCAUCUUAUUCAUAAAAUAAUUGAGCUUGAACUGCUUAAAAUAAUUUGACAAGGUCUUUAUAAUUAUGUUAACCUAGGUUUCCUCAUCGAUCUCAACUUCAAGGAUCUCUAUCUCGUUAAAGAGUUUGAUCUUAUGGCUUAUAUGAUCUCUAAUGGGAGUUUUUUCUGACAUUUAAGUAUUCAUAAUUGUCUUAAGGGAAGCUUAUCUAGUCAACUUGCCCUAGCAACCAAACACGUCAUGGAGACUAGUAAGUAUAUCAUAAGCUAUUGGCAUCGAUAUGUGUUGAUGUUGCAACACGUUAUACAAAGACCCAAGUAUAAUGCACUUAGUCUUUUGAUCCACCAUCUGCUAACUAUGAUAUGCAUCAAUCACCUCUUGAGUGAAAUGUUCAUUAAGGGAAGAUAGAAGUGUUAGAUUUAAAGAUCCCCAUGGAUAGAUGCAUGUACCGCAACCUACGAGAACCAAGACAGGAGAAAGGAGUAAUUUGAGGUUCCCAACAACUAGUAUCAAAGCCCUAGGGUAGGCUUUUGUAUGCUAGAUCUAUUCUAGGGUGUGCUUACUUCUAUUUUGUUUUUUUUUUAUGUUUAUUCAUUUGAUGACCUAAAGGGAUGAAUAAAUGUAAUAUGAUGGUUAUUUUGCGAUUCAUUAUUAUUUGUUCAAUUGAAUGAAUGAGUAUGAAGAGAUGUGAUCUCUGCCUUUUAUUCUCUAGAUUAGGUUGUACACCUCGUAAAGGUUAUAGGAUUUUUAUUUUAUUUUAAAAAUAUUUUAUUUUCAAUAGAUGGGUUGUAAGCUUCAUUAUAAGAGCAUAGGAAUUCUUUUUAUUAUUAUAAAACAAUUAUUUUUUUUAUUCAAUUAUGGUGACCAAAGAGAAAAGAAAGAAUUCUUGAAGUUUCUUGUUUGAUAUCCUAUGGUAAUCCAAUAUAUAUAUAUGGUACUAUGGACUUGCAUUUUUCAUGUGUCUUCAUUUGAUUGCGAGACUCUUUUUUAGUGAAAAUUUGAUUUUGAAAAAGGUUGGAAUCACUAAUUAUUUUUGUUUAUUUUUUAAAGGAGAUAACAACCAUGCACAAAAUGGGUCAAAUUAUCAAAAACAUAUAUAGUAUCAUCAACAGAGCAAAACAAAGGUAUUCAUAAAAUAAUGCCUAAAUAAAUACCUAGAAGUAUUAUUUCAUCAAAAUAAGAAAAGGAGAGCACCUUCAAAUGUGCCUAGAUUAUAACCCAAAAGGCCAAAUUAUUUAAUUACAUGUCAUUCAAUCUCAGAUUUAAUAAAACCCUCAUUGGUCAAUAAUAGGGUUGAUUUCUAAAUUAUACAAAGAUUAAUUUAUUUGGCUAUAACUUAGGAGAACGAUAAAAUAAAACCAAAAUUUUUAAAACCUAUAUAAGAUACACAUAACAUACUAAAGUCAAAAAAAUAAACCCUAACUAUAAAACCAAGCUAGUGUAGUAGGUGUAGAAAGAAAAACUUAUUUCUCCCACUUGGAGAAUUAUUUUGAGUGUCACAAGGUCCUAAGGUAUAAUUUAUGAAUUCUAGGUUAAGGGAAAAAUAUCAAAAUUAAUUAAAGAAAUCGCUAACUAAUUUAAUUUUGCAAAACUAUUUUGGGUGUUUAGAAUAGUGUUGAAAUUGGACCUAUUGGAAAACUAAUUUAAAUCUCUUACUUGGAGAAAUGUAUUGAAUACAACUAAAUUUUUUUUGAUACAUUUAAGAAGUUAAUAACAUUAUCCAAGGAUAAAAAUAAUUUUAGGUUUCCAAGUGAUUGGAUUCCAAUUUACAACUUUGAAGGUUCAAUGAACUAACAAAAGUGGUAGUAGGGUAUUGAUUUUUGAAAACUUUAAAUGUAGGGAUUCACCAAAUCCCUAAUUAAUUUCCAUGAAUUCAUGUAUGCUUCUUUCUUUAAUCUCAUGUGAUCACGAAUAAGCUCACCAAGGCAAGGAAUGACUUUAGUAUUUGGAGUUAUGAAUUUAAUUCAUGCAUGAGAAAAUCAGUGGAAACCUUUACAAUAAUGCAUACCAAAUGAAGCAUUAUAGCAUGAUUUUUGAAAAGAGACUUCUCUUCACUUAAUUGAUCUAAGAUGAAUUUGAAAUAUGGACUUUGAGGAUGAAUUUCCAUAAGAAAACAAUGGAAAGCAUUUUCAAAAUCAUAAAAUACAUAAAUCACAAAAAAUACAAACAAAGAAUUCUCUAAGAUAGAAGCAUGUGUGUGAAAGCAAGUGAUCAAAUAAGCUGAAUUGAACUUCAAGGUGAGCUGAACAUAGACUAAUUUGUGAUCUAAACGAGCAUCUAAAAAUGACCUAAAAAGUUGAGUUGAAUGGUAAAUUAAAUAGAGUUGAAUGAUGAACUAAACUUAAACUGAAUUAUAUCCUAAGUGUGAUUCAAAGUGAGCUGAAAGUGUGAGUUGAAUGUGAUCUGAAUUGAACCUCAAAUUGAGCUUAAAAAUGGUUGAAAGUGUGCCUUAAUUGUAAGCUGAAAAUGACCUUAAUUCUGAGUUGAAUUAUGAUUAGAAUGAUGUCCUAAAAUGUGAGGAGAUUGUGAGCUAAAAAUGCCUUUGAUUGUGAGUCUAAGAGUGAACCUAAACAUGAGCUAAAUCAUGAAUUAAACUAGAGCUGAAUUGUGAUCUCAAUUAUGGCCUAAAUGAAAGUUAAAUUGUGGUCUACAAUACAUAUGAACUAAAAGUGAAACUAAGUUGGUGUUUGUUGAUGUCGAGCCAAUUGGAUUAAGGUUCAUCCAACUUCACUAGAGUCAGAGGAACUUCUUCCCUUGUUCGUGCUUAUUGAGGAGUCCAUCCUCUUUCACUAGAGUCAGACAAACUUCUUCUCUACAUAGAAGGAUGUCCGAACGGGCAGUCCAGGAAUGCCCCUCCGAAGCUUUAGUCAGAUGAUGAUAACUCUAACUAUUUUUGUGGGAGAGAAUGAGCAUUUGUACUUUAUUCGUGCUUCUUAAGGGGUUUAUAUAGAGCUGAUGGCACUAUCCUCACGUUGUAAUGAUGAUUGCGUGGACUGUCAACGGCGUCACUAUUGUGUAAUUGGGCAAUCACACCAAGUAAAGGCUGUUGACUGGUGCCAUUUACUGAUUGUUAUGCCAAAAUCUUGGGUCGUGUAGGUGACUGUCCAUUUAGCUUGCCAAUGUCUGGGAUUGUAUAUAACAAUUAAUUGACAUUGACUUCUGGGUGUAAAUGACAUCUAGUUUGGCGCUUAGACUUCAAGUGGUUAGGCCGGCGCUCAAACAUCAGGCGGCUAGGCUGGUACUUUGACAUUAGGUAUGGUUAACCACGUAUGUUAGAAAUCCUGAGGACUUGACUGGAUUGAUUUGCCCGUCUAAAAGGUCUAGCCGACUUGGUCUGUCGAUUCUAUCUAGCAUUGUGAGCCUUCUAAAAAGGUUAGCUAGCUUGGUCUGUCCAUUCCGUCUGGCAUUGUGGAAGAAGGAAAAAUUUUCACUUUUGGUACCAAACAGAGCUUAACAUAAUCCAAACGGAGUGAUCCUAGACGGGUUAUACGUUUGCCCUGGUCGGCCCAAGGGUCUUGGGAAUGGGAAGGACAUGUGGAGGGGAGCCCCCCACAAUGCCCCAUAAUCUGUCUGCCUUUAUCUGCUAGGGUAGCCGUCAGGUUGAGAUAGGACGAAUUUUCCAUUUUCAAGUUUUUUGGGCGCCAAGGGGCAAUUUUUGAGAUAGCAGAAGUGGUAGUUCGUCUUCCUUUUUUUUUUUUUUUGCUUGUUUUACCUUAGUCUCUUGUUUUAUAACGAUUUCUCUGUUGCCCCCCAGGUGGUAGUUGGAGUUUGAAACCUUAUGUUGUAGCACACUCACCUUUUCCAUCAGUUGGAAGUAGCUGAGACCAUGAGGGCAUAUGUUGCUUAUAACAUGGACGGGAAUGAGGAUCUUCUUACCAACUUAGAAAUGAUGAAAAGUGAGGUUGAUGCUACCCAAGAGUUGGCUAAAGAAGGUGUUGAUCUGUUGAGGAAGGCCAAAGAGGAGGAGGUAUCUCAAGCUAAAGCUCACUAACUAGUUGAGGAAAAGGUAGCUGUGGUGGCCGAGGAAGAGAAGGCUAAAGAAGGAGUUGUCUAACUGAGGUAGGAACUGUAAGAUCUCCGGGUAGAGUUUGAUUUUACUCUGGUCGGCUGAAGCCUAGUCUUUCAUACUUUGUCUAGAGUCUGGAGAUGGUAUGCCCAUGAGUCUCAUGCCUUAGUUACAACAUAUGGCCCUUUCCAAUUAUAUUGCAGCUCUCUGGUUCCUACUUCAAUUGUAUUCUGGAAGACUCUUCUAAGGACUAAAGAUCCUAGCCAGAAAAAUAGUGGUUGUGCCAUUUUUUGUACUGAGCAAUUGCCCUCUGAUUGUAUGAAGCUAUUCGGACAGUUGCGUCUCUUCACAAUUCGUCUACCCAAUUUAGUUGUUUUGAGUUCUUCAUCCCUAUCCCUUUAGUUUUGCAUGACUGUUUUGGCAGUAGAUAUGCCAAUCUUAGUUGGAAUAAUGGCCCCCAUCCCAUAAGCAAGGGCGAAAGGAGUGGCCCCCAUUGGCCAUCUAGAUGUUGUCCAGUAAGCCCAUAAGACUUUGGGUAGCUCGCCCACCCACUUUCCUUUUGCUUCUUCCAACAUUUUCUUCAAUGCACUUAAUAAGGUUUUGUUUGUCACCUCCGCUUGUCUGUUGCUUUGUGGAUAGCGAGGUGUUGAGUAUAAGUUCUUAAUAUUUAACUCUAAGCAGAAUGUUUAUUAGACAAUACUAUCAAACUAUGGACCAUUAUCCGUCACAAUCGCUCGUGGAACUUCAAAUCGAUAUAUGAUGUUUUUCUAGACGAACUUGGAGACAUAUUUAUCUUUGAUGUUGGCAUAGACUUUUGUCUCCACCCACUUGCUGAAAUAGUCAGUUGCAACAAGUAAAACCUUCUUUUGUGUUGUUGUAAUGGGUAAGGGUUCAACUCUGUCCAUCCCCCAUUGUGCAAAUGACUAAUGAAUUGUGACUUGGUUGAGAGAUUCAAAAGAUACACGGGGAAUGGGAGUGUGCCAUUGAUACCGAUCACACCUUUUAACAUAACUUUUAGCAUCCUACUUCAUGGUGGGCCAAUAGUACCCUUGCGUGUAAGCGCGAUGUGCCAAAGUUCGUUCACCUAAGCGAUUGCCACAUACACCUUCAUGGAGUUCGACUAGAGAAUAUUUGGCCUUUGAAUCAUUCAAACACUUUAGGUAUGAACCUUCAAAUGAUCGUCUAUAUAGUUGGUCAUUAAUUAGAGUGAAGUAUGCUGCUUAUGUGUAAAGUUUGUGCGCUUGCUUCUUAUCUCCUGGUACCUCCCUCGUUUGAAGGUAUUUCAUGAUGCUAAACAUCCAACCUGAGUUCGUUUGACUGGUGUUACACAUUGGCUUGGGUGUGAUUGAGGGGGAAACUUUAAGGUAAAUGGGUAUCAUCACAACCUCUUUCACCAUGGGUAGUUAUUCUAGCUAGUGCGUCUACCUUCUCAUUCUCCUCACGUGGCACUCGUCUAAUGGCCCACUCAUCCAUCUUUUCCAGGCGACUUUCCACCAUGGCGAGGUAGUGAGCCAUGCAUUCAUCAUUUGAUUCAUACUUUAGUUGAAUCUAUUUAACUUGGUUACUGCUAAUAGUAGGGUAAGAUCUAGUCUGGCUAGGACAACUUCAUAUUCUGCUUUGUUAUUGGAGGCAGAAAAGUUGAGACAGGUAGCUUGCUCCAUCAGUUCCCCAACUGUUGAUUAUAGGAUCAUACCUACUCCAGAUUCGGGCACUCUGGACGCUCCGUUUACAUGAAGUGUCAACCAUUACUUUUCAGGGCAAUCAGUCGAAUGGGCAUGUUUUUUAGGGAGUUCAACUAUAACAUCGGCCAUAACUUGUCCCUUCAAUGAUAACCUUGACUAAUACUUGAUUUAAUAGAUCCCUACAUACAAAGUUUUCAAAAAAUCGGUUUCCUAUUGCCAUUGCUGAAUGCCCACUACACCUUUGAACUUGUGAAUUGGAAUUCAAUAACCUAGAGACCUUAAAUAUAUGAAACAAUUUUAUUUUAUUUAUUUAUUUAUUUUUAACCUAAAACAAUUCUCUAAUCAAUAAAUUUAAUUUAUUUUUCCAACAUAUAUAGUUUAAGCACUAUUUUGGACAUCUUCAAAUUAAUUUUUGACGCAUAAAAUAUUGGAAAAUAUUUUCCUAAUAGGAAGAUAUAAUUUCCUCUUUUUUCACCCACUACACUGUCCCAAUUUUGAACCAAGGGAAAGUCUGGUUGUUUAUAAAAUUUAUGCAUAUGUUUUAUUGCAUUACCAAUAUUGUUCUUGUAAAAUAUACACUCUUAAAUUGUUCUAUGAUUUUAUCACAUUUAUGGAGUGGUUAAAAAAUUGAUUUAUGCAUGUUAAAGAAUUUAAUCAUGUUUUGGACCUUUUAGAAUAUUUUGGUGAAUUGGAAUUAAUUGGAUCUUUAUUAAUUUUUUUGGUCACUUGGAUAAUAAACUAAACAUCUAUGAAAUAUUCCCUAAAAUUUUGUUAAUUAAAUUCACACUCUAGUUAUUUUUUUAAGAUUUAUUUUAUGAACCUUUCUAUUCCAACUGCAUAUUGAAAUUCUCAUACAAUGCUUGCUUUGUUCUUUAAUCCGGUGUUGUUUAGCAUUCCCAAAAUUUUUCAUGAUGAAAUAUUGGUUUUAGGUAUUUACUUAUGUUUUUCCUAAAGAAAUUGACUAUUCAGUCACUUUAUUGCAUAUUUUGACUUAGUCACUAAUUUUGGUAUUUUUAAGCUCUCUUGGGAAUUAGUUCAUCUUUGAUAAUAAAUUGGAUGUAUAUCUUAUAUGAUAGUUGAUAUUUUUAAGAUUCUUUUCAUUUCAUUUGAGCCAUACAUAUGCCAUGUAAAUUAGGGUUGACUAUCAUAGUUAUUUAUUGUCAUGAUUUAUUCUAAUCGCUCUAGCUAUAUGUAGGCAUAUUGAAAGCUAUAAAUGCGAUCAAGGUAUGUUCUUUGUUUCCUUUAUUUCUCUAACUCUAUAAAUAGACAUGCUAUGUUUGUAAACAUCUUUAUGCUUUAUUAUACUUUCUUAUGCUUUAAUCAUUGCUUAGUUUUCUUGGAUGAUAUGAAUUGCAUGUUGUAUUAUUUAUUAAACUAACUUUAAUAUUUUAAUGAAAGUGCUUUGGAUUUCAGCUCAAGUAUGCUCAUAUUCUUUUCUUUCACAUGUGAUUGAUUUCUUUUGAUAUGUUUGGUUUGGUGUGAAUAGAAUCCUAUAAAGCUUUAGGCAUAAUCAUUUUUAUUAUGUUUGGUAUCCACUAACUUACAAAUCAAUUAUCAUAGAUACCUUCACUUAUUUAGUAAAGACCUGUUUUAAGGCUUAAAGGGGUGCUACCUUCUGGUACCUUUCCAAACAGUAACCUGACCCCCAGGCUUGGACUAAGUUUUCAAAGACAUGUUUUUCCAAAAUAAAAAGUCAUUUUUUAGGCUUUUAUUUCUUAUUUUGUUUUCGCUUAAAAAAUAUAUAUAUAAAAUAAGUGGCAACUCUAAUUUUUUAUAAAAACUAGUUUUUCAUUAAAAAGCGAGUCUCACCAUCAAGUGAGAACACAUGUGAAAAAAGCAAGUCCAUAUAUAUAUAUUGAGAUAGAAUUUUUAGAAGAAAUUAAGUCAUGCCUUUGGUCAAAUUAAGAACACAUCUAAUCAAUUUGUUCUAAGAUUGUCGGAUUUCUAUUUAAUACAACAUUGUUGAUCUACAUAUAUAUAUAUACUAAAAGAAAUCAUGAGAGAAGAAAAGACUUCUAAAUGGAACAUAAAUCUCGGACAAAAGAUAAACCAAUAAAAGAGGGUCUUAGGCUAUGGAGCAAUGACCUAAGUAGAGGUAGAGACUCCUAAAGAUUUCCUAAGAUCUAGUUUCCUAAGAGAAUAUAAAGGAACAUCUUCAGACAUAAUUAAGCCCUUAUUCUUGACAUGAAUAAGGAGUGUUUUUCUGAUUCUAAGGCUUAAUAUUUGUUCUCCUUCAUUUUUCACUAUUUAGAAUAUUGUUUUUAAGAGAAUUAAAAUCAUUCACAAGCCUAUUCAAUUGAGACUCAUACCUCUUAAGAAAUCUAGUGUGGCAUCUAUGCUGAGUAUGUCCAGACUUCUUACAAUGUGUGUAAAGUGAAAGAGUGCUGGUAGGUGCUACUUAGCUAGGGGUUUCAUCUUUGCCUUUAACAAAAAAAAUUUGUCCACUAUUAAGAGUUUCAACUUUAUUCACAUACCCUAAACCUCUCUUAUCACCAUGGGUUUUACAUUUAUCAAAGAUUUCAUUAAGUACUUUAGUUCCAGGGUAAGAUUUCAUUAACAAAAGAGGAGGAUUUCAUUGUUUCAAUCUCUAGAAUGAGAACAUUAUUUCUCUCAAGAAAAGAAUUAUGUUUAGACUUGAGAAAUCAAUUUUUUUCAAGGCAACUAGUCCUUUCCUCAUCAAUCAAUUCAAUCUUAGCUUUGUGGGCAUGAAGAAUAUCAUGAUUUUUCAAAUGUUUUUUUAAUAAGAUUCUCAUGCUCAACAACUAGAUUGUACUGAUAAGCACCAUUUUGUUAAUCAGUGUAAUCGCAAUAAGUGUCACUGUCACAAUCACUCUCAUGCAUAGAAUCAAGAGAUGCAAUAAAAGUUAAAUAAUCAUCAUGAUUCAAAAGUGGUCUUCAGAAUUUGUAUCACUCCAUGUAGCUUUCAUGGACUUUUUGAUGUCUUUGGACUAGGACAUCAAAUGUUAAUUUAUAUUAUUGAGUUUUUUUUUCUCUUUCUCUUGUAUAUUUGGGGAAAAGAAAGAGAACUUAUUCAUGUAAGUAAUACUACCUUUCAAUAUUUUCAUUUACAUCAAAAAAUAUUGUUCAAGGAUUUUAGACAAGUUGGAAAAACUUUUUCUACACUAAAAAAUGAAAAAUAAAAAAUAGGAUUAAAUAUCAAAAUUUUGGUGGAUCCAAAUCAUAUCAAGAUACAUUCUUCAUGUCACAUAUGUCAACUUGACACAUCAAGAUUAGGUUUGUGAUUGAAGCCUACAGAUUUAAAUUUCUAAACUUAAAAAAGAAUUUCAAAUAUCAAAUGAGUAAGCCUCUCUAUAUUUUCCCAUAAACAAAUGCACUUUCUUUUACUCCAAAGGGGGUGGAGAAAGGGAAUAGGGAAAUCAAGACAAAUCUUAUUAUCGAUAAGAAGGUUUCUAGUCACACCCUCUCUUUGAGUAUAACUUUUAACCAUGACUUCCAAUAGUCUUGAUCCCAAGUGGAAGUUCAACAAAUUCUCAGAUAAAGUACUUUCUCAUAGACUCCAUCAUCGCAACAUUGCACAUUUCACAAGUAAAGGAUGAGAGGCUACCCAAUAUAUAAACAUGUAAACAUGUAAACUUCCCCCUUAUUAAUAGAGAACAACUCCACCUUUGGUCCUACCCAAUACUCAUCAUCCAAUGUAAUUUUUUCAAUCCAUAAAAUUAGCAACGAUCAUUGAAAUCACAUUCCUUGGUCACUAAAUUACUAAAAUCACAACCGAAACUUCAAAAGAAAAAAGAUAAUAGUAAAAUAUUUGUUUAAGACAUGUUCCUUAUUAUAUUCAUUUAAUUAGUAAGAACUAAAUUAUCAAAUUUUGAUGAAUUGUAGCUAUAACUCACUUUCUAGGGCACCAAUGUUAAGGAGGCAACUGUACGCGCACUAUCUAUUUCAGCAAGUAGUAGUAACAAUUGCGAUUAUAUUCACAAUCAUUGACAUCACAACAUUUGAUGAUAUUUUUUAAUUGAAUAGAAAUCUAUGGAAAAAUUUACAUAGGAUAUACAACCUCUAUGCCUGAACCAUCACCACAUACCACGACUACAAAUUGGCCUUCAUGGAUUACAGGGCGGUAAUCGUGCUGCCAAGUCGACAAUAUGUAUGCCAUGAUUAUCACUCUUAACAUCAAUUAACAUAUAGAUAAAUCAAAGAGAAAAUGAAUUAAUUGGUGAAAUACAUAAAUCGUUACUAUUCUCCACCCAAGCCAGUUUCCACAAGAAGUACAGUAGACAGAAAACGCAUCAACAUGACUCCCUGUUGGAUGUUCACCAACAUAAACCACCACGAAGACGACCUUACAUCACACCAAUACUGCACACUUGGAACAUCAGAAAUCUUAUAAUUAAAACAAUCAACAACAUUUAAUUCUCAUAGCAUGGGAACCUUACACUCCACCAUCAAAGAGGAGCUGAGUCAUGGAAAAUGGAAAAAGAUCCUACUAGAAUAGCAAAGAAAUUAAUUAAUUAAUUAAUUAAGCAUCAAAUCUUAAUUAAAAUCACAAAUCAUGUAUAUAACAGAAAAGAAACACUACCUGCAUAAAAUUGUUGUCAAAAGCAACGUAAUUAUAACAACGGAUGCAGCGGAGUAGCAAGAAAGUGGUGGGGCAUCCAGAAAGGCUUCAAGAGCAUUAAGCAUACGUGCAGUUUCUGGUGGAAGCGCCAUUGGAACUUGGAAUAUCAAAGUGUAGACCCCCCAUUUGGGGCCAUUCUGGCAGCUACUCAUUUUGCCACGUGGAAGAGCCUUGCUCCACCACGUGUCUUCUCUUGAGAGGCUGGUGCGGAAUCAGAUAGUGCUUUUGAAGGCCAAUCUGGGGUCGACACGUGUCAUCAUGGAAUCAGACAAAAAAUCAUUUUUUGCUAUUAUUUGAGGGGGAAAAGCCAGCUGCAUGGAAGAGGUUGUCUGGCCGUUAGAGAGGGAUUGAGAGGGAAGACGGUUUUUCUGGCUUGUGAGUCAAGUUUUGCUGCUAGAGAGAUUUUCUGGGAAAGAAGAGACAUUAGAGAGGUUUGAGGGGAGCGAGAGGAGGUUUUUUUUUGGCUGCCAUUCUUGAGGAUUUAGAGCUCCCGGAGAAUCAAGUAUUUUGUCUUCAAGGGAGGCAUUCAGGUUUGAUCAUCUCCUUCUUAAGGUUUCUUCACUUUUACAGUCAUAUUUUAACCAUUUCUGAUGUUUGAGAUCCUCAUUUUUGACUGUCUAGAAUUUUAAGCUGGUUUCUCAUCUUUGUUUGCUUGAUCUCUAUUUAUUCCUGUGCUAGUUACAUGAUGUUCAUGCUAUCUCCUUACAUGUGGAAACCACUGAUGCUAUCCCACCAGUUUUUUUAAGCUCUUUGGUUUCCAUGAAAUGAAGCUAUGUUUAAUGUCAUUAUCUGCUUUUGUUCCCAUUCUGUUUCUCUUCAUUUUCCUCUCUGUUCCUGGUACUUUUGGAGUGGGUAUCCCUUUUGGGCUGGUCGUCUGGAUUGAAAGGUUUCUGAAGGAGAUCGGCAUCCGAGUUUUUUUUCAGAGAUAUCUGGACAAGGAAAGCAUAUGAGUUUGCUUGGGCAGCCUAAGUUGAGGUAAACUGUGGAACUAGGCUCGGGUUGAGGUUUAGUUGGCUGUAUUGCUGUCCUAUUUCGGGUGCAUGGGAGCCUUGUUCUUCGCUGUUAGUGCGUUCCAGAUCUGGGAGUCAGUACAAUGGCCGCAUACAGCUCGGUAUCAACAGAAAUUCCGCAUAUCCAGUACAUGUUCUUACCCCUGCUACUAUAUCCAAGCUGACCAUGAAGACGAUUUUCUUCAUCUUCGCCUCACAAACCAUUUAUCUCACUAAAAUCCCACCAUCUAGUCUACUGAUGCCACACCCACAUUCCCCUACGCUGUUUGUACCCUUUCUCUCUCACCCAUCAGGCCCGUUCCUCUAUACCACUACUCCACUAAUCCCAUGUUCACUGUCAUCCAUCUCAUGCAUGCAGCCCAUAUCCAUCAAAUCCAUUACCUUCAUAACCCAUUUCUAGACCCAUUAAUACCCUCACAUGCCAACCACUGCCCUUAUCUCUCUAUACCACAUGCCGUUCAUGCAUACAGUCCCCCCAUUGGCCUCCAUCAUCUCAUGCUAUCACAACUCCAUACCCAUCAUCAUUUUCUCGUGCUCACCCGAACUCGCGCACCACCUCCAACACUUCAUCCCCUCUCAUCAUGUCUCUGACGUUGAAGAAGAACCACAAGUCUGCAUCGUGUCACAGGAUGCUUCAAAUGACCCUCCCCAUGGGCUUAUAUAGGAGGAGGGAAGCUUCUGGAGACUCCUGGAGCCAUCUACACUAAGCCAUUGGUGGGAAGAGUGUGGAAGGUUCUAGAAAUGCCUAGAGAUGUCCACACAUCUCUACACUAUGGUGGAAGGCAUGGGAGGAGUCCAAGGCUUUCUAGAGACUUCUAGGAAUCUCUUGUAUAUUCUUGUACAUAGGGUUGUACAUAGAAUAGGGUAGGAUGUUCUAGAAUAUUCUUGAUUUGUAAGGAACCCUCCAAGGUUCUAGAGAGUUCCAUUGGUGCCUAUAAAUAGGUGAGAGCCUCAUUUGGCCAAGGCACCAAGCAAGUGAGCUUCCAAGCACUUGUAAAAGCUUCUUUGAGUAAUAAAGAGCUUCCAUUCUUUAAGGAGUUGCCUACCAAGCUUCUUAAGCUUUUGAGUCGCGAGUGUCUUAGCCGAGCGAGCUAAGUAUUGGGAGCAAGGCUGACUUAGCAAGAUCAAGCGUCUUGGCUUGUCUAAGUGCCGCACGAGCUUAGUGAACGACUAAGUCCGUGACAAGUGGUAUCAGAGCGGGGUUACGAAGCGGGCAUAGCAAAGGAAGCAUGUCGGGUUCCAACGUGGAGGAGACUAGUGAGCAAACCCGUGGGAGGGAGACCGAGACUACUGCACGGGGCAGGGGCAGGAAGGAUAAAUCUCGUGAUGCCGUUGCCAACAUGGAGGCAAGGUUAGCCAAGGUGGAGCUAGCCAUGACGGACACUCGGGAGGGGUUGGACUUGAUCGAGCAAGGCAUGGAGAAGGGCUUAGAGGAUCUAAGGGAGCAGAUCCAAGACCUUCGUGAGAGGGUGCUAGUCUCACAAGUUCAACCAGUGUCGCACGAGGAGUUUGUGUCCUUCCAAGGAAAGGUCUUGAGCAUGCUUGCUAGCAUGGAGUCAAGGAUAGAGGCCUUGGCCACUCGAAUGGAGUCCCGAGACCAGGAAGUUAGGCAGGAGUUGGCCACCUACAAGGCUGCUGUGUCGGCACGGGUCAUGGCCACACAGGAGGCAUCUAGGGUGGAGGUGCCGAAGCCACGAGGGUUUAGUGGCAAUUAGGAUGCCAAGGAGUUGGAUAACUUCUUAUGGCAUAUGGAGCGAUACUUUGAGGCUAUCGCAUUGACGGAUGAGGCGGCUAAGGUGAGAACUGCGACCCUCUACCUUACUGACACAGCUACUCUAUGGUGGCGUCGAAGGUUUGCCGAUAUGGAGAAAGGCAUUUGCACCAUAGAGACGUGGGAGGACUUCAAGAGGGAGAUUAAGAGGCAGUUCUACCCCGAGGACGUGGCUUACCUGGCUAGGAAAAACAUGAGGCGUCUCAAGCACAUAGGUUCGAUACGUGACUAUGUCAAGGAAUUCUCUUCGCUCAUGCUUGAGAUUCCUAACAUGACUCAGGAGGAGUUGCUAUUCAACUUCAUGGAUAACCUGCAAGGGUGGGCCGAGCAGGAAUUAAGGCGCCGAGGCGUUCAAGACUUAGCCACUGCUAUGGCAAUAGCAGAAUCCUUAGCGGAUUAUAAGAGGGGAGACUCCUCCAAGAUUGAGUCUUUGGAGGAUAGCCACGCCAUGGGUGGGGGAGACGAGGUUCCAAGGGACCACAAUGCUCCUAAAAAGGGAUCAGGCAAGACGUCUAACGUCCGAGAAGGAAGGGAUAAGGCGGAAAGGAAGGAGUUUACGCCUAAAAUCAAAUGCUUCCUGUGUGACGGUCCACAUUGGGCACGGGAUUGUCCAAAGAGGAAGGCGCUUAGUGCCAUGAUCGAGGAGAGGGAGCAAGAGGACGAAGCACAUAUGGGCUCAAUGCAGCUACUAGGUGCCCUCCAAUUCAACCCGAAGCCUAGUACGCCUAAGACCUCCAUACUAGCAAGGGUGCAAGUAAAGGAGGAAAAAGGGGAGCGAGCUGAGGUAGCCCGCACACACAUGGAAGAGCUCACCAAGGGAAAGGUGAACUCAAUGGGUAAAAGGAAGCAGCACUCUAAGCAUCGAAAGCGCACGGGUCUGCAUCCAUCUGGAGCCUCACGGGAGAAGGAGGUGAAGAAUAUCCUGGCUGAACGGGUCACCAGGAGACAAGGGGUCCCUCCUGUGAUAGAGUAUCUAGUCCGAUGGAAAGGACUACCCAAGAGGCAGGUAAGUUGGGAACAUGCGGAUGCCUUGAGAAAAUUCUGGAAACACAUCGAGAGGUUUCAGAAUGAGGCAACGACGAGGACGUCGACAGCAUCGGUGGGGGAGAGUGUCACAGGAUGCUUCAAAUGACCCUCCCCAUGGGCUUAUAUAGGAGGAGGGAAGCUUCUGGAGACUCCUGGAGCCAUCUACACUAAGCCAUUGGUGGGAAGAGUGUGGAAGGUUCUAGAAAUGCCUAGAGAUGUCCACACAUCUCUACACUAUGGUGGAAGGCAUGGGAGGAGUCCAAGGCUUUCUAGAGACUUCUAGGAAUCUCUUGUAUAUUCUUGUACAUAGGGUUGUACAUAGAAUAGGGUAGGAUGUUCUAGAAUAUUCUUGAUUUGUAAGGAACCCUCCAAGGUUCUAGAGAGUUCCAUUGGUGCCUAUAAAUAGGUGAGAGCCUCAUUUGGCCAAGGCACCAAGCAAGUGAGCUUCCAAGCACUUGUAAAAGCUUCUUUGAGUAAUAAAGAGCUUCCAUUCUUUAAGGAGUUGCCUACCAAGCUUCUUAAGCUUUUGAGUCGCGAGUGUCUUAGCCGAGCGAGCUAAGUAUUGGGAGCAAGGCUGACUUAGCAAGAUCAAGCGUCUUGGCUUGUCUAAGUGCCGCACGAGCUUAGUGAACGACUAAGUCCGUGACAAUCGGCACUGAAACAGUUGGGAAGAGUAUCCCAUAAUUUUAUGCUCCAUAGAUCCGUCUACGACUAGCAUGUUUGAGAAUAUUGACUGGUUUGACAUGAAGGAAAUCCCAACAGUUCAUGUAUGCAAGAGGGUGUUAUGAAACAAGGCCCAUGUUCAGUCUGAAGCAUUGAAGAAAUCGAAUGAGGCAAUUCCUUUUGAGCGUGACAAUUUAGAUAUGAUUUUCGAGUUGAGGGUUCAUUAUGCAGAACAUCAGAAUCUGAAUGUUGCUUCGCAUUAUACGAAGCGGUUCAUUGAUGCAACUGGUGGGUCCAUACCGAAAGAUUAAAACAAGGGCCGCUACUUAGUUUGAAAGCAAAGUUGAAGAUCUCUGAACAUGGCAAUGUGGAGAAUGAUGAGAUUAGUGAACUCUCUCUUCAAAAGUAACUGUUGCGGCGUGCUGAUGACGAAGCAGUUGGGCUUUCACAUGAGAUCUUAGCGAGCAUUGAGAUAUUGGUUGAUGGACUUACCUUGAGGUCACCAGAAAAUAGGAGAUGCCGAGGAGUCACUUCUCACCUGUGGAGAUAGGCAAAGAUGAUGCCUAUGCCAGCAGUAGUUCACGUAGUUCCUGUGGCUCUAGUUCUAGCAGUGAUGACUCCUCAUCCGAGUGAUUCUGCCAGUGUGGCUUAUGACGUGUUUCCAAUCCCAACAGUGAACCCCCACGAAGUACCUUCCAAUGGAUCAAAUGCUCUAAUGCCAUCCCAUGCACGCCUAUGUCUGGGACAUCAAUGGGAAGAAGUACCUCGAUUCUCUGGUUGGUCUACGGUGCACCAGCAGGCGGGGAUCCAUGGCCGGACGAAUUUAGGGGUGUCCGCGAUUUAACAUGAUCAAAAUCAGCAGCAGCUGGGGGAGUGGUGCUGCUGGUGGCGGUGGUGUCAAGAAAGUGGUAACUUCAGCUCCAUCAGCUGAUGCACCGAUGUUUGUGGUAUGAGUAAAUGAGACUUCGUACAAGCCAAACAUGAAUAUUGUUUCCAAUGAGAGCUAUACCACCAAUUGCCUUGCCCCUCUUGCCUAGCUUGUUCAUAAGGACGUGCUAUAGAAAUGACAACAUGUUCAUGCUCCUCAAAUUCAGCUUGCUCAUUUCCGACAUUGUGAAAUUCUGCUAUGACUGUGAUUUCGUUUGCUCGAUAGCAGAGGAUAUAAUUGUCACCUAUAUGAGAAAGUCAAAUGAGCCAAAGCAGCUGGUCAUCUAAACAAGUCAUUCACGAAUAUGGCACCUGUGAGGGGUCUCAGUCUGCAGUAGAGUGAUCACGUGAUCAGAAGGCCUUUUGGUUUAGUAAGAGUAAUUGUGACAUGGUUGGAGGGGAAAAUAUGAAAGACCAGUUUCUAAUGGUGGAGCCCAUGUCUCUGCCAAGCAUCAUUCCUCCCUGGGCCCACCUCUGCAUACUCUCAGCUUGAAGAUGGUUUUUUUGUAUCCCGAUUGGUACAUUUUUUUUUUGGAAAUAUCGGUUUUUGGACAAUUUCAAAUCUCCCAAAUUUUUCAUCUUUCUUUUUUUCAUAAGUUUUCAAAAAUCCAUUUUCAAUAAAAUUUUGUUGCCAUUUUUCUUUUUGGCAAACAAUUUUCCCAACUCCAUGAUUUUAAAAUGUUUUAAAAAUAAGCAAGAAUUAAAUUCCGUAAUUCCGAGUGAUGGAAUUUAUGGAAUUAAUUCAUGCAAAAAUAAACGGGCUUUGGUGGGGGCCCGACAUAUGUGACUUCAUGAUUGAUUGACUGAUUGAUUGAUUUCACUGCCAUGCAUAAUUGAUUUAUUCUGAUUUGUGACAUGCAUGAGAUUAUUUCUUAACUGUGCUCUAACCCUAUUUCUUGAUAGCGCAUGGCGGCUCGUCACCUAGGUACAUGUCCAUUCCCAUUCUUGUAAUUCUUUAUGCAUGUACUGAUUCUCAUAUGUGCGAUCAUGCUGAGUAUUCAUUGAUUUCCUCAUCAUUGCCACAUCGGCUUCAUUUUAUUAGUAGAGACUCGACUUUAGAGACUUAGAGGGGUGCUACGGUCUUUACCGUACCUUCUCGAUAAGUAACCUGACCCCCGAACCCAAUCCGGUUUUUCACAGACCACCUUUUCCAAAAUAAGGAGUCACACUUAGGGUUUUUCUUUCUUAUUUUGUUUACCCUUUAAAAAUAAAACAAAAAUAAGUGGCGACUCCAAGUCAUUUUCAAAUAAUCAAUAAAAAUCAAAUUUUCAAAUAAAAAUCGAGCUCGCCAUUCGAGUGGAAAACGCAUUGAGCGAGUCGAAAUGCGGGGUCCACACAAAGAUUACCAGCUACUCUUCUUGAAGGAUACUGCAGUAUCAUUCAGACAAAUUAAGAAAAAAAGAAUAAUCCUAAGGUGAUGCAUUUGAUGGGUUUGAUAUGUUGGAUGUACUAUCUUUUUGUGAACAUUUGAUAUACAAAUAUUAUUAGAUGAUCAAUGUAUUAUGAGUUAUUCCAGAAACAUUACAGAAAAAUGAGUUAAAUAUAAUAUGAUUGUUAUAUUUAUGGACAAAAUAUAAAUAGGUUAAUCUUACUUAUUAAUUCAUAAGCAUUACAAAAAUCUAUAACUAAAAGCAAUCAUAUCUUCCACAAUAAUUUACAAUGAUGUGACACCAUUACUCAAAGGUGAUGCAUUUAAUAUGACAUCAUAACUCAAAGAUGAUGUAUUUAAUGCGACACCCUAUCAUCACUAGAAAUAUAUGGUGUCACUUCUGAAUGGGUCACCAUUUAUCUACUUUGGUGUCACUUCCAAAUACGUCACCAAUUGGUACCCUCUAUGGUGUCAGUGGAGAAGGUGACGCUAUGUUGUAGUGACACCCUAUGUUUAUGGUGACUCAUUAUAAAUGUCACCAUAUAUUUUUUUCCUUGUAAUGUGUUUAUUUUUAACAACAUACACCACACAAGUGACUCAUCCACUAUAUGAGAGUAGUGAGUUGAAGACCUUGACAAUAUAAUUCACAAGGUGACUCAAUCUCACUUCAUGGAUUAAGGUAAAAAUAUGAUCAUUAUUUUAGCACUUAUAAAUUAUUUUGUUUUAUGUAUCCAAAAUUGUUUUCAAAAAUAAUUAUUCCCGCAUAAAGUUUAUGAAAGUUUGGUUAACACACUAAGCAUACGUGUAGUUUCUGGUGGAAGCACCAUUGGAACUUGGAAUAUCAAAGAUUACCAGCUACUCUUCUUGAAGGAUACUGUAGUAUCAUUCAGACAAAUUAAGAAAAAAAGAAUAAUCCUAAGGUUUCCAGAUUGCAACUUUGAUACAAGAGAUUCCGGGUGAGAAAAUACCAGAUAUUUAUGAAGAAGGCUUCAAAGUGAAAGCUCCCAACAACUUAGUUCCUGGCUAUUUUGUUUUAGAAAAACAGUUAAAUGAGUGUGAUGAUUAUUUAUAUGGUAAAAUACACCAAUUGCCACAUCAUCUUGUUAGAUUAUGAUUAUAAUUGUAAAGCAACAACUUCCACGUAAAAAGGCAAUCUGAUUAGAAAAAAGAAAUUAACAACUCCUUGUUCUAUAAAAAUUGUUUUUUAUUUAACUUUGUUUUAAAAAAUUGUUUCUAGAAAACAAUGGUCAAAUAGUAUUAGAAAUUUUUAAAAACAAUUUUUUCGUUUUUAAAAACAGAAAACCGUUUUUAAAUCACACAACCAAAUGGACUCUAAUAUUUUUAAAAUUAUAGAAGUAAUAUGGGAAAAGAGUUGAGGUAAGAUUAAACCAUCCAAAUUAUUUAUCAUAUCUUCCUUUACCUAAUGGGAUUUGUUUUUUUCAAAUUUAUUUUGUUCCUAAGAUUUCAAAAUAUUACCUUUUAAUUUUAAAAGUAAAAAAAAAUAUAUAUAAAUAGGUUGCUUAUAUUUUAAAAUAGUAUUGUUGCAUCUUUAACAUCAAAAGAAAAAAAAAAUGAAAAAACAAACAAAUUGUGCAAGUAAAUUUCAAAACAAUGUAACUAUUCUCAGUCUUCAUCAUCUAUCAGGUACAAAUUCUUUAAUCCUGUGUUUUGUUUUAUUGAUUUUCUUGAUAUCCUUGACAAGUUAAUUAUCUGUGAUCAACAACUGUUUCUUUCUCAACUUAUUUCUCAAUCCAAAUGGAAGCAGUUGCUUUCAAAUUUAUCCAACAUGUAUGCUAAUUUCGGGUACAUUCCCAUAUUGAAUUCUUUUCAUCAAAGUUGUCAUCUUUUUUAUAAUAUUUUUAUUCUCUCUUAAACUCAAUCAAAAUGCAUGGGUCAAGUUGCUAGGUUUCACGAAUCUAACACAAUUUUAUAAUUUGGAAGUUGUUGAUUUCACAUUAUACAAUUUCAUGGUCUUUUUAUUCAUCAAUCGGUAAAAUUCUCUUAACUCUUUCUCCUCUCUCUCUUUCUUUCUUUCUCUCGAGAUCCAUUUCAAGUUCAUUUGUUUGUUUCAUAUCUAAGAUUCUUAACUUUCGGUAUCACUUUCUCUCACUUUCGCUCUCACUUUCUCCAGAAAAUUAAAUUCAAGUUUGCUAGUUUUCAAGAAUCUGAUAGCUUGGGUGUCAGAUGAUGUCACAUUCAGCAAUUUCUUCUCAGCAUUGUUCAUCAUCAAUCAAGUACAAAUUCUUUAAUACUGUGUUUCUUUUUCUUGAUAUCCUUGAAUUCUUUAAUCCCAUAUUGAAUUCUUUUCAUAACAGUUCUCAUCACGCCCAUCAUCAGCACCACCAGUAGACCAUCUGUAACCAAAAGCAACAUCAGGCUCAUCCACCACACACCAGAACAUAUCUCACCUGUGCAUCGAGCCACACCAUCGUCUUCUCACCUCACUGCUCCAUCAUUAGCAUCACACGAGCAGCACACCAUCAGUGGAGCACCACAUGAGGAGUGCACCAUCGGUGGAGCAGCACCACUGCACAUCUCCAGUUGCUCACCACUCACCAGUUCAUCACCAAAUUUGCAGAGACUCCAAGUCAGUUUUGUUUUCAAUUUUGAUUUUUAAUCUCUUUUUCUUUUCUUUCUCACAUAAUUAUAGAAAUAUUAGGACCUGUUUGGGUGUGGAUAAAUUAGGCCACACAUGAGUGUUGUUAGAUGUAUUGUAUAGGUGGUUAUGUGACUAACUCUUGUUGUUUGAUGAUUUAGAAUUGAAUUUGGGCUAAUUCAUCUCUAGUUAUUUUUACCUAAACAAGUCAUAUGAUAAUCAUAUGAUAAUUGGCUUUGAAUGAAUUUUUUGAUCUUGAUUCAUGUCUUUUGAUUUUUUGUUUUUAGUUAAUUAAUGUUUGUAAGUUUACAUCUCAUAAUUCACAUACACACUUUAUGUAAAUAGGUGAUCAUAUGCUUAGAUUUAAUUAGGCACUUGUUUAGGAUUCUUUUAGUACUAGAUUUUUGACACUUAAAACGGGUUUUUAAUCAAUCACUUAUAUGGUUGCACAUUUGACUUACACAUUAGCUCACAUUUAGCUUUUUUUCAGGACAUUUUUUAUUCUCAAUUUGAUGCAUAAUUGGUUCUAAUUUUUGAUGCAUUGGUGUGUUCUAUGAUCUACUUGUUUAGGCACUUCCUCAGGUCACUUAGAGACAUAUAAUUAGCUUAUUUAGGUUUGGUUUUAGGUCACAAAUUGAUCUUAUGCACAGCUGCACCCUAGGUUCUUAUUUAGGACACUUGAAGUUCAUAUUAACAUGCUAGAAUUCUUAUGUAUACACAUGCACUUUUUCUUGAUUGUUUUUGUUGUUUUAUGUGUUUUGAUGUUUUUGAAAUUGCUUUUAAUCUUUUCUUAAGUAAAUCAAUCCUCCAACUUCUCUUUAAAGUUCAUCAUAUGUGAUUAAGCAUGAAAAUCUGUUCUCAAAAAGCUAUGCUACCUAUUUCAUUCGGUAUGCACUUUUUCUAUUGAUUUUUAAAUGAAUUUCAACUCUGAAACACAUGAAAAUAAAUUCAUGCAUGGCUCCACAUCAAUUGAGUAGUUCCUUGCCUUGGUGAGCUUAUCCAUAAUAACUUGAGGUUAAAGAAGUAUGAAUAAUUUUCAUGGGCAUUAAUUUGGGAAGUGUUAAAUCUCUACAUUGAAGUUCUUCAAGAACAAGUAUCCUAUUGACUAUUUGGUUGAUUUGCCGAAUAUUUUGAAUAAAAAAUUAGAUUUGGAUUAUUUGUAGUCUUCCUAAAAUUUUCCUCAUAAGUGCAUAAUGUUGUAGACUUCCUAAAUAUGUCAAUAGAAUUUUCUUUAUAUCAAAAAUCAUUUUUCAAAUAGGAGAUAUCAAUCAAUCUUUAAACCCUUAACCAACCUCAAUUUUGUGAUUGGUCAAAAUAGGUUGGUAGCACCAAACAAGACACAACUUUGCUCCUUUAUGCUCUAUGACAUAACUUCCAUAACCAUCCUUGUAAUGAAAAUAGAUGUAAAUGGGUGCUUUAAAAUUUUUAAUAAAUAUUUAUAUAAUAUACCCAAUUCUUUUAUCCUAAGAUAUAUAUACAAAAAAUACCCAAUAUAACUAAAUGAGUCAUACCUAAACUCUUUUGGUAUAUCAAAAUAUGAUUUUUAGUACUUGGGGAUAACCUACAAGAUGUUAAGGAUAAUCAAUCAUAGACAAUUCAAGUAGAAUAUGAAGUAUUAAAAGAUAAAGAAAUAUAGACAAUGAGGCACACAAAUUUUUUACAUGGAAAAUCCCCACACUAAUUGUAGAGAUAAAAAAACCAUAAGGUAUAAUACUGUUAAUCUAAAUCCACUAUUCAAAAUCAAAUUACACAAAUUUACCUAACUGCUUUAUCCUGAAGACUUACCCUCUAGUACCUAUAACUUGAUUCACAUCCACAAUGCAACAACCAAAAAUUGCUCCCUAAUAGAUCCUUCAGCCAUUCUGAAAGGAUGAUGGUCUUCAGCCAAAAAUUCAAAGAUCAAAUCCUUGAAUGAGAGAUUGAGAAUGGUGUGACACUUUAGGCUUUCUCUCUAGGAAACCUUCUCUACAGAAAACAUGGUUUCUCAAUAAUCUUUAUGCGAUCUCUAAACCUUUAGGGGUUAAUAGGGGGGAAUUUAUAAGCAAAGGCCCAAAAAGUAUUUAUUUUAAAAGGUUUUUCAAUUGAAAUUGCAUGAAAAUCUCAGUAGAAAUUGCAUGACUGCUUGAGCCAACUCAUUGAUUACUUGAGCAGCUUGGGAGCUUGAGUGAUCCUAAGCACUUGAGCACUCGAAGCAGUUUGAGUGGUCCUACUCAAUUUAAAAAUCCACUUUUAAGUCAUUUUAAGUUUAAAAAAAACAAAAAAACAAAAAAAAAAAAACCUGAUCCUCUUAAUACCUCAACAAAUCCUAAUGUGUCACAAGUAAAACAUUUUUAGACAUACCUGUGACUUCCUGGUUGGACGAACAACAACCCUUGAUCUUCUAUCAGAGUAGGUCACUUGACUUCUGUGGCCAAACAUAGAGUGAAAGGCCUGAAAGCUUAAUGACAUAAUAAAAGUCUUAAUUAAGCUUAGUGAACCAUGCCCAUGGUGCUUACUUCAAACCAUAGAUGGAUUUGUGCAAUUUAUCCUUGCAAAUUUACGAAGCAUAAUAAAAGUCUAUCUCAUGGUUGAAUCCUUGUAAAAUUUAGCCACUAAAAUUUCAUUUGAUUAGGGCACGUCAAAUGACAAGAAAGAUUUAUGAAGCUUUAAGGAAUACAGUGUAUGUAUAAAGGAAAUGAUUAAUUUUAAUGUCUCAACUACAUACGUCACUCUAAUGAAUACUUUGCAAUCUAAUAAUUAUCGUUAAUUUUCAAUCCACAAAAUAAUUCAAUUUAUGAACAUGUUGUGAUAAAAGUCUUAAUAUCAAAGGAAUAUUUCUUCAUCAGAAUUAUUUAUACAUACAUGUAUAUUCAUAUGGCACACAAACGCCUAAGAAAGAGGGCACUGACCAUUCAUUCAUCAUCAUUACUGCACUGAAUAUUUAACAUACAGGCAACAUGAUGAGGCUGAAACUUAUUAAUAAAGUCGAGGGGCUGAGACAUGAAGAUCUCUUCAUGCACAUGUCCAUGAAGGAAUGCAUUGUUGACAUCAAGUUGAUGCAUUGGCCAUUCCCGAGAGAGAGUAAUGGAAAGAACAAUCCAAAUGAUGGUAGGCUUGAUCACAAGGUUGAAUGUCUUAUGAUAGUCAAGACUAAGGUGUUGGUGAAAGCCCUUUUCUACAAGGUGAGCCUUGUAUCAAGCAAUGCUACCAUUAGGAUUUCAUUUGAUCCGAAACACACACUUACAACUAAUGAUGUUUCGUUAACGCUCGUAAGAGACCAACUAUCAUGUAUCAUUAUAGGAGAGAGCUUGGAGUUCUUCACUCAUGGCAUCUCAACUUUCUUUGUGCUUUAAGGCUUAGGUGAUGAUGGUAGGUUCAAGGCUUGGAGGUAUGGGGUGCUUAGUGGCAUGGUGGGCAAAGAAUUCUCUGGGUUUAAAAAUGUGUUUUUGACCGAGUUUGCAUGGGAUGAUGAGGAAUUUGGAUAGGAAUAGAGGAUAUGUGUAGAACCUCCAUUUUAUUCUCUUGGCACAUGUUUUCUAGUGUUUAUCCUUUUUUAUCUUAUGCUCCCUCAUUGUACACUUAAUUAUGAUUCAUUUUUUAGCUUUUAUUGAGUCUCCAUUGGUGGUCCACUAUAAUUUACUUGUUCGUUGUUUCUAAAAUUCCUUUAUAGACAUCUUGGAAGGGAUUUUAUGAAACCUUAUUGUGAUUAUUAGUGUCCUCUGAUUUUAGUUUAGGAUUUUGUUAGUUUUGUUGAUUUUAGUGCAUUUAGGUUUGAUUUUUUUUUUCUAUUGCAAGAUUUCAGGAUUAGAUGAGUAUUCGAUUGUUAUUUGAUUUUUGAUUGCAUGAGAGAUUGAUAUUUCAAUAUUUAAUUAAAUAUGAUUGACAUUUUCAUUUUGAUACACGUGAUUGAUAUUCUUUAUUUUUAGAUAUGCACAUGGUUGACAUUUUAAUUUUUAAUUUCAUGAAUUUGAUAUUUGAUUUUUUUUAGGUGCAUGAGAUUGUUUUAUGUUUUUUCUUAAUUGUAUGGUUUUGAUUUUUGGAUUUUUAGUUGCAUGAGAGUGAUUUCUAAUUUUUUAAUUACAUGUGAAUUAACCUUGAUUUUAUUUUUGUUUGUGAUUAUAACUUUAAAUUUUCUAGUGUGUGAUUUGUAUUUUGAUCAUUCAUACAUGAUUUUUUUAUUUUUAUGUGAGCAUGAGUAUGUGGGGGGUAUGAGAUUCACUUAAAAGAAAAUUCUAGGAGUGUUCUCUUGCAAGUGGAAAUUUUCUAGAAGGGGCCAUUUUUAGAAGAGGGAAAUUUUUAUAUUUUUGGUGUGAGGGGAAGAAUUCUCUAGAAGUAUUUUUGAAAUUCCAGAAUAAAAAUUCAAUGGGAAGAAAUAGAAAAUUCUGGAGAAGACUAUAGAAGGGGAAUUAAAAAUUUUAGAGGGGUAACUUGGAACUUUUGGGGGACUUGGAGAGAUUUCUAGAAUUUUGGAGAAACUUGAGAAUAGAGAGAGGUUUGGGAAAACUUGUUUGGAUGAUGAGAAAAUCUUGGAGAGAAAAUUGAGAGAAUUUUGUGAGAGAUUUGAGAGAAAAUAGAAAGUGAACUUUGAGAAUUUUUUAGAGAACUUUGGAAGAAUUCUCUAGACUUUUUUGGAGCCAUUGAAGACACUUUUGGCGUGAGAGAUAAUUAGCUUGAGUGGAUGAAGAAUUAGAGCUUAGAUUUUGAAGAAAUUUGAGGUAAGUUGAUGGUUUUAAUUUUUUAUUUCAAGUCCUUCAUAAUCAUCUUCAUUUUAUGAUUUUGAAUAUAUUAGGUUAGGUUGGGUGUGGAAAUAGGCCACAAAUAAGUGUUGUUUAUUUGGAUGUUGAUAGAUUGAAUGUUUCUUGAAUGUGAAAUAUUGCUUGUUGAUAAUUUAGAAUUAAGAUUAGGUUGUUUUUUCUUCUAAAUUUGUUACAUCAAAAUAAUCCAUUAAAAAAUCAUGAAAAUAGGCUUUGAGUACUUAUGUUUUAGUAUUGAUUCAUGUCUCUUAAUUUUUAUUUUUAGGUUAGUUGAUUUUUGUUGUUCUCCAUCACAAACCACACAUACAUAAGCCACUAGUUCAGUUCACAAUGUGCCUCAAUUUUUGUAUCACUUGUUUAUUCCACUUUUAGGUCAAUUUCGUAUGCUAGUUUAGAUCACUUUAGAGGCUUAAUUUUGGCUCACUUUAGGGUAUAUUUUCUGGUCACUUUUAAGAUGCACAAAUAGGUCACAAUUCAUUUCACUUUGAACACUCAAUUUUUUAUGUACACAUUUGUCUUUAGGUGCCUUUUUUUUUUAGUGAUUUAUGAUUUUGUGUUUUAAUGGUUUUGAAAGUCUUUUUAAUUGUUUCUAAAAUAAAAUGAAUUUUCAAAGUUCAUAUUUCCAAUUCAUCUUAGGUCAAUUAGGUGAAGAGAAGUCUAUUUUAAAAAAUAAUGUUGCCUUGUUCAUUUAAUACACAUAUUUCAAAAUAUUUUAAUUGAUUUUCCAUUUUUCUCAUUACAUGAAUUAAGUUCAUAGUUCCAAACAUUGGAGUGAUUCCUAGCCUUAGUGAGAUUAUUCAUGAUCACAUGAGGUUAAUGACGCAUGGAUGAAUUCAUGGAAAUUAAAAAGAGACUCAGUGAAUCCCUACAAAGUUUUCCAAAAAUUGGUUCUCUAUUGCCUCUUCUGAUAGUCCACUGCACCUUCAUAGUUGUAAAUUAGAAUCUGACUUCUAAAAUUAUUUCAAUUCUUUAAUAUUGUUCUAGACUUUUUAAAUGUGUGAAAUGAAUUUUGUUUGGGCCUAAAAUACUUUUGAAAUUAAGAGAUCUAAAUUAAUCUUCCAAUAGGUUCAAUUUCAAUACUAUUCUGGAAACCUGAAAUGAUUUUGUAAAACUAAAUUAGUUAUCACUUUUAUAAUUAUUUUUGAUAUUUUUCUCUUAAUUUAGACUUUUUAAAUUGCGAUUUAGACACCUGUAGCACUCAAAAUUGAUCUUUCAAGUAGGAAAAAUAGUUUUUCCUUUUUCACUUAUUGCACAGGUCCUUUUCUAGAGUUAAGGGGUUGUUUAUUUAAUUUUAAAUAUGAUAAGUGUAUGAUCAUGAUUUGUGAUUAUUUUUCAUGUAAACUAGACAUAUUAAAUAAGUUAUUUUAGCACAUCUCUAAGUAAGUCGAAUAAAUUAGUCUUUGUAUGCCAUGGAAAAAUACUUUGUUUUGGACUAAUUGAGACUUUAUAAAAACUUAUUAAAUGGGACAUAAUUAAUUAAUUUGGUCUUUUAGUUUGUAAUCAAGACAAAUAGGAGAUAUUGCAUAAUUUUUUCAUGAUGAAAUUCCACUUCUAGAUAUUUCCUUAUCAUUUAUUUUGUAAACUCUUUUGUUCUAGUCAUAUGCAAAUUAUUCUAUGUUGUAUCCCAAUUGUGGUUUAAUUUAAUAUUAAUUAGCACCUAAUUAAUUAAUUUGGGUUUGUGGAUUGUGAUCUAGACAUAUGGAAUAUGUACUCUAGCUAUUUUUUUAUCUUGAUGAAAUAAUACAUCUAGAUAUUUAUUCAUGAAUUAUUUUGUGAAUAUCUCUAAUCUACCCUAUUGUAUAUUUUUUAUAAUUCAAUCACCUUUAUGCAUGCUUGUGAGCUCUUUUGAAUGUUGAUUCACAUUGUAGAUAUAUUUACAUAUUAGUUACCCUAAACCCUAAACCCUAAACCCUAAACCCUAAAUCCUAAACCCUAAACCAUAAACCCCAAACCCCAAACCCCAAACCCCAAACCCCAAACCCCAAACCCUAAACCUUAAAUCCCAAACCCCAAACCUCAAACCCCAAACCCCAAACCCUAAACCUUAAACCCCAAACCCCAAACCUCAAACCCCAAACCCUAAACCCUAAACCCCAAACCCUAAACUCCUAAUCCCAAACCCCAAACCCUAAACCCUAAACCCCAAACCCCAAACCCUGAACUCCAAACCCUAAACCCUAAACCCUAAACCCUAGAUAAGAUAUUUAUUAAAUUGGAACUAUAUAAAGAAUGAGAAUUUUAUGAAAAUAGAUUUUAAAUUUUGAGAUUAUUUUUAUUAUCAAAAUUAAUUUUUUUUUUUCAUAAAACACCUUACAAAGAUGUUAAAUUUCAAGAUUGCAUUCUCCUAUUACACUAGGCUUCAAUUAGGAUAUAAAUAUUUUCUAAAUUUCUCAUAAAAGAUGACCCAUUCAUCAAUGUAAUUACUAAAGUUUUAAAGCUCUUAAUUAAAUCAAAAGAGUAAGAGUGUGCUUGGUAGUGAUUAUAGGAAGUGUUGCUAACAUCUUUAAAACUUGAAACAUAAAAAAUUUCAAGUGUUAGAAAGACCAGAAACCCUUCCUAAAAUCACUAUCAAACGCACUUUAAAUGAAAGAGGGUUAUAAGUAGGCCUACAAGCUCCAAGAUCAAGCCCAUCUUGAUUAGGUCAUUACCACCCCAAUGGUAGAUAGGUCCAAGCAUCAAGGGAUGUGGAACUUAAGACUCAUCUUAAUUUUGGGUCAUCAUUACCCCUACAGUGGGUUGAGUCAAGGUAUCAAAGAAUGUGGAUUUUCUUAAGAACAAGACUAGAUAUAUUAGUAGUGGGAGAAACCACCCCAAUAGUGGAAUUCUCUAUAGUAUAAAAUUGACAUCAAAGAUCUUGGUUAUACACUUAACUUAAAAUAAGAAAUUGGUCUACCCAACGUAGGGACUUUCACUUUCAUGGACUAAAGGCUAAACUAAAAGGUAUGUUCAUCUUGCUUUAAGAACUUUCCAAGUUUAAGGUAGAAAGAUCAAUUUGAGAGAGUUUCUACCUUUACCCAAUCUAGGUUUGAUACUUAUGAUACUAGGAUAUCUAACGAAGAAUAUGUAGUCAUAAGAGUUCUAUAAUUGUUAAACUAUUAUUUGCUUGGAAUGCUUAACAUUUAAUGCAUGCUUUUAAUUUUUUGUUAUAGAUAUCAUCUCGUAUAAUUUUGUCACCUUUGUUCUCAAAAUUAGUUAAUAGACCAAACCUAACUAUAUGGAUUGGAAUGUGAACUGGAUAUAGUAAUAACAACAUUGAAGUUAAAAAUAUGUAUUUCUUAUAGCCAACUAUUCCUUAUGAAUAAUUCCAGUAGGAAGAAAAAAAGUUACAUUAAAGGUGGCAUAAGGUGGACCAAAAAACUAGUUGUCCUAUACUUGGAUAUUUGGAUAAUGUGUCGUAAUAAUGACACAUUUUAUUACCAUGGUCUAUGAUAUUCUCUUUACUCUACAAGGAAUUUUUGGUGACAAAGGCAAGUUAGCUAAAUAGGCUACCCUUAAGGUCAUUAUGAACACCAAGCUAGGCUUAUAUGUUCUUAGAAACCUUAUCAAAUUCCUUUAGGAUGACUAAUGGGAGUUCUCAAACACCAAAAGAGUGUUCAUAUGAGAGUCAAAGGAUAGGUUCUUUUUUAUAAAUAAAAAAGAAAAGAAAAGAAAAAUAAAAACAACAACAACACCAAAUAAGGAAAGUUUAAGAAAAUGAACGAAAAAAAAAAAAACAAACUUUUAGAUAGUAAUUCCUUUAUGGCUUAUGGAACAUUGGAAAAUGAUUACCUACGAAAAAAGAAAGUACACAUCAUACUCUCAUUAUUGAAUAUAUAGUGGAUGGAUUCAAAGCUCACUAUCUAUAAUUCUUUAUAGGGUUUUCAAUGAGAGUGAAGAUUACAUGAUGGGGAUGUGCUUACCUUAACUUCAUUACCACUUUUCCAAGUGUUGAGAAUAAUCAAAUCUCACUAAAAGGAAAAAUAACAUAACACUAAUCAAAUAUUUGGUUUCUAAUGUCAAAAAAAAUUAAUCUAAAUAAGGUCGAAAUAUUGGUUAAGUUAGGGUCAUUAUACAUAAUAAUUUUGAAGGAUCUUCCAAUCUGUGAAUUCUUUAUAGAUGACAAAAUGACCAAGAGGUCAUUUACUAUUAAAGGAUGUAGAGACAAGGAAUGUUUGGAUUUAGUUCACAUUGACUUGUGUAAACCUUUGUGAUCAUAUUCAAAGAGGGUACGAGUAUUGGGUAUAUUUACAUAAUGCAUAUGAAAUUCAAUGCCUUGGAUAAAUUUGUAAAAUUUAAGGUAGAAUAAAAAAAAUCAAUUAGGUGAACAUAUCAAGGCAUUUUAAUUUGAGUUAGGCGGUGUGUACAUGUCUAGUAAGUUUGAUUCUCUUUUUAAGGAUCAUGGGACUAUGUCCAAUUAAGUGUACUCGAGGAUUCGUUGCAAAUGAAGUAGUAGAAAAAAGAAAUUGAACUUUGAUGGACAUAGUGAGAUCGAUGAUAAGUUUUUCAUCACUUCCCAUAUCCUUUUUGGGAUAUGUUUUAGAUACAGUGUCUUAUCUCUUUUACUUAAGACCUUCAAGUCAUUACUUUUAACUCCUAGAGAAAUGUGGACAAGUCUUAAACUUAGUUUGCAAUAUUUUUGCAUGUUGGGUUGUCCAACACGUGUUGAAAUCGAAGGUAAACAAAUUGAAAGUAAGGUAAGAGGUAUAUUAGUCCAUAGGUUAUCUAAGAGGAACUUGUAGGCUACUACUUUUAUAGUCAAGAUGAUAAUAAGGUAUUUAUUGGUACAAAUGUCCACUUCUAGAAGAAAACUAUAUCAUAAGUAAUAACAGAAAGAAUAUAUAAACUAGAGAAAACUAGAAGAUAAUCUCACAUUUGCACUAAAUUUAUGAUUAGCCAACCCAUUCAUUCCAUUCUUCCAAAGAGAAAGCAAUAGCCUCUAUUUCUUUGCCUCACAAGUGUGUAAGCACUCUACACCUAUGUUUUAUUUUUCCCAUAUUUUGUUAGAUACAUGAGCGCUUUCUAAAUUUAUUAUAUAUAUAUAUAGAUAAAGAGAGAGAUUUAUUAAAAACAUAGUCAUUCCUAUAGUUAAGAAUUAGAACUUUGAGAUUUACAAUUUAAUAAUACUUCAAGAUUCACACCAAAAAAGAAAACAAAAAAAAACACAGAACAAAACAAAAAAGAUCAAAAUGAUUUAUAUUACAACGAAUGAAAAGUAUGAUAAUGAUGGGAAAGUACUUCUAUUUUAUUAUAAACAAGAAAUCCACAUUGGAUCAUGACCUUAAAAAGAAUAGCAGUAACACCCCAAAAUUUAAUCUAGGGGUAAAAUAGUAAUUUAUAAAGUAAUUAAAUAAUUAAUUAAAUUCAUUAAAGGUGAAAGAGUCCUUUUACAAUUAAAAUUCCUAGGUAUAAAUUGGACUUUUUCCUCUUAUCUUCUUCAUUCAGAAAACCCUAUCACCCAAAAGUAGAGAAUUGGAGAUCGUAUGGCUCAAAGGUUAGAGAUUCAGAGUUGAAGUUCAAGUUUUUCCAGGUAAGAUUCUAACCCUAAAUUAAUAUAUUAUAUUCGUUAGUUAGUUCUGAACAUGCUAGUUUUUCUUUGGAAAAAAAAAAUUAGAUUAGGGUUAGUUAUUUUUUUAGUUAAUUUUUUUAAUUUGUUUUGAUAUGAAAAUAUUGAAAAUUUAGGAUUAUUGGUGGUUUUAUUGUUAGAAAUUGGGAAAUCUUAAGUUUUUUAAAAUAAAUAAAUAAAAAUGAUUCUUUGGAAGAUUUUGAUUUAGGCUAUGGUUAACCUAUUUAAAACUUUUAGGUCAAAAUAUUGAAAUUAGGAAUAUAGAUUGUUCUAUUGAUGAAAAUAGGUAAAUUCAAAAUUCUUAGAUGAAUAGAUCUAAGUAAUGAUUUUUUAAAAAAAUAAAGUAAAAAUAAAUGAGUAAAUAAAUAUAUUGUUAUAUGUGGCUUAAGGGAUUAGAAAAUAUUAGGAAAAAAAAAAAAGAAAGAAAGAAAGAGAAUACGUGUGCAGAGGAGGAAGUUUUUUUAUAAAACAAAAAAAAAAAAGAAAAAAAAAAGAAGAAGAAUGCGUGCUUGUGGAAGAUGAAGAAUGGUGAAAAGAAAAAAAAAUAGUAAUACUAAUAAUAAAGGAAGAUGUGUAUGGAUGGUAUUUGGUGAUUAUAUAUAUUAUUAUGUUAGCAAUAAUGGAAAAUUAUUGGGGAUACAAUUUAUGUUUAGUGAAAAGAAAAAAAUUGAAAGUGGGAGAAUAGAAGUUAUCAAUAUAAUUAUACUAAUGAUGAGUGCAAGUUCAUAAGUAGCAUAAAAUUUAAUUAGUAGAACAAAUUGUAGUUUAAUUAAAUUAUGUCGUGUCCUAAGAAAUAAAUUGAAAAUAAAAUUUAAGUUUUAAAUGAAUUAGAAAUUUAUUAAUUUUUCUAAAAUAGGAAUGGAUUAAAUUAUCUUUCAUAAUUAAAAACAUUAAUUUGAAUACCUAAAAUUUUAGGAUUGUCAAACCUAUAAUUUUAUAUAAAUAGUAAUGGUUAUUUCUCUUAUACUUUGUUAGGUGAAGAGUAGAUUUUCCAAAAUUAUUUUUCUUCUAAGUUUUUGAGGACUUCUUUUGAGGUAAGGGAAAUUAAUGCAUUUUUUUUUAGAGACAAAUUUUUAUAUACAGCAUUUGGAAACGUUUUUAGUUAUUAUUCAUUUUAUGGAUGGAUCAAACAUGUUUUGCAUGAAAAGUAUGUUAGAACCUUACAUUUUGUUUACAAUAGAGAAAUUUGAAGAUAUUAUGUUUUGCAAAUUUGAAUAAUUGAAAUAAGUGUUUGACUCUGGUUUGUUUGGCCCUUGUCAACGAAAUAUAAUAGUUAACUUUUGACUUUUUGGUCCUUGUAAACGGGAUAUAAUAGUUGACAUUUACAUUUCUUGGUAGAGAAUGUAAUUGCUUUGGAUCCCAACCUGUAGGGGUUUGGUUAGAGGUUACUAGUACUAGUAGUGUUUGGUUUUGUCCACCUGAAAGGAACAAUUUGAGGCUAGCCACCUAUUUGAGAAGUCCCACCUAACUGGGCACCAUUUGAUGUUUGAUAACUAGAGUAAAUAAAUGAUUUGAAUGUUUUGACUGAAUUUGAUAUGAAAUUGUUUGAAUCAGAAAUGAAAGUGUACAGUUAAAAGUUUUGAAUGUAUUGGCAAAACUGACUCAAAGGUUUAUGAAAAUAAUUAGUUAUAAUAUCUCCUAUUUUGCAAGUGAACAUGAAAUAUUUGAUCCAUGAAAUUGUAUUAAUGUUCUUUAUUGGGCUUUGAGCUCAUUCCUAUUUGUUGAUUACUUUUCAGGUACCCUUAGUUCGGGUGAGGAGUGAUGGCUAGGUUAGAGAAUGGUCAUCAUUAGGAUUUUGCUUAGGAUGUUAUUUUUGGACAUUGUUAGCUUAUAAGUUUAUGUUUAUUUGGAUUAUUUGGUUUUUGGAAGCUAUUUAGAUAUUGAACUUUUAAUUUUUUUUUUUUUUAUGAUAGUUUGAAGUUGAGUUUUGGAGAUUAUGAAAAUUUUUGUUAGCACUUGAAUUGUUUGAGUUUGCAAUCUAUUUGGAUAAUGGAUUUUGGUUGUUGGAUGCUUAGUUUUAAAGUUAAGUUUUGAAUAGAAUUUUGUUCCACUACUCUGAACAGGUAUUUGGUAAUUGGUGACUUCCAAUUACAAGAUAAUUGUUUGGGUUUGGUUACACUUUAAGCCUUUAGGUUUGAGGUGUGAAAUGACCGUCACGCCCUUGGAGUGGGUCUUGGGGCGUGAUAGAGUGGUAGCAAAGCACUAGGUUGUGAUCUUGAUGGGAACUUGCUUAGUUUACCUUUGGGAAUAGAUGAGUGACGCAUUAGUUUAAGUUUCAACUUCAUCUAGUCUGAUUCUUUUUAUUCCUUACAAUUCUGAUAUGCUUAUUGGCUUCUUAGUGACUAAUUUAGUUAUAUCUUUUGCUUGUUUGUUGGGUAUGUUGAUUGAUAACAUGGACUUUGAUUUAUUUGUUGCUACUCCUUUGAGAGAUUUUUUUGUGGUUAAUAAAAUACUUAGAGAUUAUUAUGUGAUGAUUGGGUAUAGAGAGAUGACAGUUGACUUAGUACUUCUUAACCUCCAGGAUUUUGAUGUGAUUUUGGGGAUAGAUUGGUUAGCGUCAUACCAUGCAUCUGUUGAUUGUUUUAGGAAAAGAGUGACGUUUAGCAUUCCUGGUCAGCCUGAUUUUAGUUUUGGGGGGAAGCAUGUGGAUAAACCAUUGCAUAUGAUCUUAGCCUUGCAAGCAAGUUCUUUGCUUAGGAAAGGUUGUCAAGGCUUUUUGGCUUAUGUUGUGAAUGAGGAAAAUGAUUUAAAGUUGGAAAGCAUACCCAUUGUAUGGAACUAUCCUGAUGUCUUUCCAGAUGACCUACCUAGCUUGCCACCAGAGAGGUAGGUGGAGUUCACCAUUGAUUUGGCACUAGGGUUGGCUCCUAUCUCUAAGGCCCCUUAUAGGAUGGCACCUAUGGAGCUUAAAGAGUUAAAGAUUCAACUUCAAGAGUUGUUAUAUAAGGGCUUCAUUAGGCUUAGUGUUUCACCUUGGGGAGCACCUGUUUUAUUUGUAAAGAAUACAGAUGGAUCUAUGAGACUCUGCAUUAAUUAUAGAGAGUUGAAUAAAGUAAUGGUGAGGAACAAGUAUGCCCUCCUCGGAUUUAUGAUUUGUUUGAUCAACGUCAGGGUGCAUGUGUGUUCUCUAAGAUUGAUCUUUGGUCUGGUUAUCAUCAGUUAAGGGUUAGAAGUAAAGAUGUACCCAAGAUUGCUUUCCGAACUAGAUAUGGGCAUUAUGAGUUUUUGGUUAUGUUUUUUGGUUUGACUAAUGCAUCUGCUGCUUUUAUAGACUUAAUGAAUAGGGUAUUCAAGCCCUAUCUAUAUCAGUUUAUGGUGGUUUUUAUAGAUGAUAUUUUGGUGUACUCAAAGAGUAGGGAGGAGCAUGAGAGCCAUUUGAGUAUUGUAUUACAGACUCUCAAAGAUAAGCAAUUGUAUGCUAAACUAAAGAAGUGUGAGUUCUAGUUAGACAAAGUCUCUUUCCUUGGGCAUAUGGUGACCAAGGAUGGCAUCUCUGUUGACCCUAGAAAGGUAGAUGUUGUGUCAAAUUGGAGGAGGCCUAAUACUGUGACCGAGAUUCGAAGUUUCUUAGGACUAACUGGUUAUUAUAGGCAGUUUAUUGAGAGGUUCUCUAAGAUCGUCCUACCUCUGACCAGGUUGACUCAGAAAGGGGUUAAGUUUGAGUGGUCUAAUGAUUGUAAACAUAGUUUCCAAGAGUUAAAGAACAUAUUAGUGACAACUCCUAUUUUGACUAUCCCUUCAGGCUCAGGAGGGUUUAUGGUGUAUAGUGAUGCUUCUCGUCAGGGUUUGGGUUGUGUUCUUAUGCAAAAUGGGAAAGUUGUAGUUUAUGCUUCCAAAUAGUUGAAGCCUUAUGAACGAAAUUAUUCUACUCAUGAUUUGAAGCUAGCUGAAGUGGUUUUUGCUCUUAAGAUCUGGAGACGUUUUCUUUUUGGUGAAACUUGUGAGAGAUUCACAUAUCAUAAGAAUUUGAAGUAUUUAUUUUCCCAAAAGGAAUUGAACAUGAGACAGAAGAGGUGGAUUGAACUACUUAAAGACUAUGAUUGCAUUAUUCAAUAUCACCCAGGAAAGGCGAAUGUUGUGGUUGGUGCGUUGAGCAGGAAAUCUGUUGGUUCCUUAGCAACUAUUAGAGGUUUUCAGAGGCAGUUAUUGGAAUAUUUGAGGAGUUUACAAGUCCAUAUAAGAGUUUUGAACUCGGGAGCUCUUGCAGCGAACUUUAGAGUGCAACCAAACUUGGUUGGGAGAAUUAAGACCCUAAAAAAGAAUGAUAUGCAAUUAGUGCAGCUUAUGAAGGAAGUUAAAAAGGGUAGUAAGUCUGACUUUGUCUUAUUAGAUGAUGGGAUGGGAUUUUGAGAUUUGGGACUAGACUUUGUGUCCUAAAUGAUGGAGAUUUAAGGAGAGAGCUAUUAGAGGAAGCUCAUUGUUCUAAGUUUGGAAUCCACCUAGGAGGGACGAAGAUGUAUAGAGAUUUGAAGCAAAAUUAUUGGUGGCUAGGUAUGAAGAGGGAUAUUGCAAGAUUUGUGGCUCAAUAUUUGGUGCGCCAACAGGUGAAAGCUGAGCAUCAACGACCAGUAGGAUCAUUACAACCACUUUUUAUUCCUGAAUGGAAAUGGGAACAUAUUACCAUGGACUUUGUGACAGGGUUUCCAAGAACCUUAAGGGGUAAUAAUCUUAUUUUGGUAAUUGUGGAUCGAUUAACAAAGUCUGCUCAUUUUCUGCCUAUGAAAGUCAAUUUUUCUAUGGAUCGCUUAGCUUCUCUUAAUAUUAAGGAGAUUGUGAGAAUGCAUAGUGUACCUAUUUCUAUAGCAUCUGACAGAGAUCCUCAUUUCACUUCUAGAUUUUGGCAUAGUUUACAGAAAGCAUUAGGUACUAAGUUGAGUUUUAGUACUGCUUUUCAUCCGCAAAUUGAUGGUCUAUCAGAGAGGGUAAUUCAAGUCUUGGAAGAUUUGUUUAGAACUUAUGCCUUGGACCUAAAAGGUAAUUGGGAUGAUUAUUUGCCCUUCGUGGAGUUUGCCUAUAAUAAUAGCUUUCAAGCUAGCAUUAGGAUGAUACCUUUUGAGGCGUUAUAUCGUAGGAGAUGUCGAUCUCUUGUUUGUUGGGAUGAUGUUAGAGAAAAGAAACUUUUGGGGCCUGAACUUGUGCAGUUGACUGUUGAAAAGGUUUUUUUAAUUAAAGAAAGAUUGAAAGCAGCACAAAGUAGACAAAAGAGUUAUGUUGAUAAUCGCAAAGGAGAUUUGGAGUUUGAGGUGGGUGAUCAUGUUUUCUUGAAAGUUUCACCUAUGAAGUCUAUAAUGAGAUUUAGAAGAAAAGGGAAACUCAAUCCUCGUUUUAUGGGACCAUUUGAGGUAUUAGAAAGAGUAGGCCCUUUGGCUUAUAAAGUGGCCUUACCCCCAACUCUAUCUAAGAUUCAUAAUAUAUUCCAUGUUUCGACUUUGAGGAAAUAUAUUUAUGAUCCCUUUCAUGUUGUGGAGUUGGAGCCUAUUCAAAUUUCUGAGGACUUGACCUAUGAAGAGGUGCCCAUUCAUAUUGUGGAUGUGAUGGACAAGGUACUACGUCAUGUUGUUGUCAAGUUAGUAAAAAUCCAAUGGAGCAAUCACAAUAUUCGAGAAGCCACUUGGGAAUUGGAAGAGGAGAUGAGAGAAAAGCACCUACAUCUUUUUCAAGACCUAGGUAUGUCAAGUUUAGAGGACUAAACUUUUUUUAAGGAGUGGAGGAGGUAACACCCCAAAAUUUAAACUAGGGGCAAAAUAGUAAUUUAUAAAGUAAUUAAGUAAUUAAUUAAAUUCAUUCAGGGUGAAAGAGUCCUUUUAUAAUUAAAAGUCCUAGGUAUAAAUUGGAUUUUUCCUCUUGUCUUCUUCAUUUAGAAAACCCUAUGACCUAAAAGUAGAGAAUUGGAGAUCGUAUGGCUCAAAGGUUAGAGAUUAAGAGUUGAAGUUUAAGUUUUUCCAGGUAAGAUUCUAACCCUAAAUUAAUAUAUUAUAUUUGUUAGUUAGUUCUGAACACACUAGUUAUUCUUUGAAAAAAAAAUUAAUUUAGAUUAGGGUUAGUUUUUUUUUUUAAUUUGUUUUAAUAUCAAAAUAUUGGAAAUUUAGGAUUAUUGGUGGUUUUAUUGUUAGAAAUUGGGAAAUUUUAAGUUUUUGAAAAAAAAAAUGAUUCUUUAGAAGAUUUCGAUUUAGGCUAGGGUUAACAUAUUUAAAACUUUUAGGUCAAAAUAUUGAAAUUAGGAAUAUACAUUGUUCUAUUGAUGAAAAUAGGGAAAUUCAAAAUUCUUAGAUGAAUAGAUCUAAGUAAUGAAUUUUUUUAAAAAUAAAUAAAUAAAUAUAUUGUUAUAUGUGGCUUAAGGGAUUAGAAAAUGAAGUUCUUUUUAUAAAAAAAAAAAAGAAAAAAAAAAGAAUGCGUGCUUGUGGAAGAUGAAGAAUGGUGAAAAGAAAAAAAAAAGUAUAGUAAUAUUAAUAAUAAAGGAAGAUGUGUACGGAUAGUGUUUGGUGGUUAUAUAUAUUAUUAUGUUAGCAAUAAUGGAAAACUAUUGGGGAUACAGUUUAUGUUUAGUGGGGAAAAAAAAAAAAAAAACUGAAAGUGAGAGAAUAAAUGUUAUCAAUAUUAUUAUACUAAUGAUGAGUGUAAGUUAAUAAGUAGCAUAAAAUUUAAUUAGUAGAAUAAAUUGUAGUUUAAUUAAAUUAUGUUGUGUCCUAAGAAAUAAAUUGAAAAUAAAAUUUAAGUUUUAUAUGAAUUAGAAAUUUAUUAAUUUUUCUAAAAUAGGAAUAGAUUAAAUUAUCUUUCAUAAUUAAAAACAUUAAUUUGAAUACCUAAAAUUUUAGGAUUGUCAAACCUAUAAUUUUUAAUAAAUAGUAAUGGUUAUUUCUCUUAUACUUUGUUAGGUGAAGAGUAUAUUUUCCAGAAUUAUUUUUCUUCUAAGUUUUUGAGGACUUUUUUUGAGGUAAGGGAAAUUAAUGUAGUUGUUUUUUUUUAAAAAAAAAAAACAAAUUUUUAUAUACAUCAUUUGGAAACGUUUUGAGUUAUUAUUCAUUUUAUGGAUGGAUCAAACAUGUUUUGCAUGAAAAGUAUGUUAGAACCUUACAUUUUGUUUACAACAAAGAAAUGUGGAGAGAUUAUGCUUUGCAAAUUUGAAUAAUUGAAAUAAGUGUUUGACUUUGGUUUGUUUGGCCCUUGUCAACGAAAUAUAAUAGUUGACCUUUACAUUUCUUGGUGGGGAAUGUAAUUGAUUUGGACCCCAGCCUCUAGGGGUUUAGUUAGAGGUUACUAAUACUAGUAGUGUUUGGAUCUGUCCACCUUAAAGGAACAAUUUGAGGCUAGCUACCUAUUUGAAAAGUCCCACCUAACAGGGCACUAUUUGAUGUUUGAUAACCAGAGUAAAUAAAUGAUUUGAAUGUUUUGACUGAAUUUGAUAUGAAAUUGUUUGAAUUAGAAAUGAAAGUGUAUAGUUAAAAGUUUUGAAUGUAUUGGCAAAACUGACUCAAAGGUUUAUGAAAAUAAUUAGUUAUAAUAUCUCCUAUUUUGCAAGUGAACAUGAAAUUGUAUUAAUGUUCCUUAUUGGGCCUUGAGCUUAUUCCUAUUUGUUGAUUACUUUUCAGGUACCCUUAGUUCGGGUGAGGAGUGAUGGCUAGGUCGGGAAAUGGUCAUCAUUAGGAUUUUGCUUAGGAUGUUAUUUUUGGACAUUGUUAGCUUAUAAGUUUAUGUUCAUUUGGAUUAUUUGGUUUUUGGAAGCUAUUUAGAUAUUGAACUUUUAAAUUUUUUUUAUGAUAAUUUGAAGUUGAGUUUUGGAGAUUAUGAAAAUUUUUGUUAGCACUUGAAUUGUUUGAGUUUGCAAUCUAUUUGGAUAAUGGAUUUUGGUUGUUGGAUGCUUAGUUUUAAAGUUAAGUUUUGAAGAUUUUAGAAUUUUGUUCCACUACUCUGAACAAGUAUUUGGUAAUUGGUAACUUUCAGUUACAAGAUAAUUGUUUGGGUCAUGUUUACACUUUAAUCCUUCGGGUUUGAGGUGUGAAAUGACUAUCAGGCCCUUGGAGUGGGUCUUGGGGCAUGACAAUACCUUUAUGAAGAGAACUUUGAAUUGUGUUGACCUUUCCAUGCUAAGAUGUUUGUAAAAGAUCAAUAUCAAAUAAAUAAUACAAAAGGACAUAUCUACAAUUAAUUGCAAUAUAUAUGAUGACUAGUUACAAUAUAUCUAAUGAUCUUACACAAAUUGGAAUUUAUCGAGGAUAUAAAUCAGUAAUUGAAACUUCAUUCACCGUAAAUUGGGUUGAGAUUCUCAUUUGAGAACUAUGCCCCGCUAUCUGUGUGCUACUUUGCAAUAAAAAUCCAGGUCGUGAGGGACUGGGAAGAGGGAGAUAAUAGCUGUUGAGCAUGGAAACAAUCAAUGCCAUUGUUGGCCUAUUAGCUACACUUUCUUGUACACAUAGCAACCCAAUGUGAAGGCAUCUUAUUAUUUCAUUUCUUAAAUUAGUCCCCAAAAUUGGAUCGACAAUAUCUACAACCCUCCCUUCAUUCCAAUGUCUCCAAGCCUGCAAGAAUUUAUAUAUUAGAAUAUUGGUUAGUACUCUGGAUUGUAAUUUCCUUUUUCAGGCGAUGAAGAAAUGUAUUCUGUCCAUGUGCAUACUUACAUAGGUUACAAGGUGCUCUAACUCCUCUCCAUUAUCAAAACAAAUCUUUUGGCCACUUACAAUUUCUAGAAUUAAUACGCCAAAACUAUAUACAUCCGACUUAGUAGAGAAGUGGCCUUGAUGUGCAUAUUCUGGAGCCAUAUAUCCACUGCAUAACAUGAUGAAUUAGACCUUAAUUCAAAUCCAUUGCCAAAAGAGCUCUUGAAGGUAAAGUUAUUUUCAAAGUACUCAAUAUAUGUUCUUUUACAUAGAAAAGAUGUCUCUCUAUUAUGCAUGCAAGAACUGUCCUAUUUCUUAAGACAAAUCAUUUUCUUUAACAUCAAUAACAAGAACAUCAAAAUAUUUAAUAUUCAAUAGCUUUGGAAUGAUUUACUUACUAGGUUCCUGCAAUUCGACUCGCAUUAGCAUGAGUUUCAUCCAUUGAAAACAACCUUGCCAUACCAAAAUCUGAAAUUUUAGGAUUCAUAUCUUCAUCUAGAAGGAUGUUGCUAGCUUUGAGAUCACAAUGGACUAUUCGAAGACGAGAAUCUUCAUGCAAGUAUAGAAGUCCACGUGCAAUGCCUUUUAUGAUUCUAUGACGCCUCUCCCAGUCCAAACAUACCCUAUUAGCAGGAUCUUGAUGUCCAUAUGUACAUACAAUAACGUAGAGCUCAAAUGAGCACUGUUUACUCUACUAUUUAUAAGUGAAUAGAAGCUUCGAAUUAGAAAUAGUUUCAAUAAAAGAAAAAAAAAAUGGAUUCUUACCAAAGAUGAAGUGAUCAAGGCUUGAAUUGAGCAGGAACUCAUAAAUGAGAAGUCUCUCCUCUCCUUCUAGGCAAAAACCUAGGAGUCUAAUCAAAUUCCUAUGUUGAAGUUUGGCCAAUAGUAGAACUUCAUUUUUAAACUCUGGUUCACCUUGAUCAGUUUUCUUUGAUAGCCUCUUCACCGCUAUUUCUUGUCCAUUUGAAAGUACUCCCUAAAUAUACAUAAGAUUAAGUCAAGAUUGAAAGUGAUAAGCUAAUCUAUGAGUUUGCAAAUAUAUUUUACCUUGUAAACAUCACCGAAUCCACCCCUUCCAAGCGUAUUACCAUUUGAAAAAUUGUUUGUUGCAACUUUAAUAGUACUAAAGUUGAAUUGUAAGGAUUCCACACUUAUAAUUUCAUCAUCUUCACAAAAAGGAACUAUAUCAAUGAGAGUUUUGGCUGUACAUUAUGUAAGCUUUAAUAUCAUUUAGAAUAUUAACUAGAGAAAUGAGAAGUUUUAUGAACUUACUUUCAACUUUCUCUUUGCAAUUCCACCUCACAAUGAACCAUAUGAGAAUGAUAAGCACAACUAUUACUGUAGGAACAGCCGUAGUCAGGACAAUUCUGGAUAUCUUACUCCUCUUUUCUGCACGAAUUUCACAAUUGUUUUGUUGAUUAAAAUUUACUUACUACGAUGCAUUAAUAGCAGUCCCUCCUUGCUGCUUUUAUUCUAAAUUCCUGAUCAAAUAGUGGAUGGAGUUUAAGAUAUUGUAUAGUGCAGGCAGCAAAAACUUGGGCACAUAUGUAUUCCUAAAGGAAACUUUAAAACAAGAGUGUUGAUAUCAUAAAAUUCAUGUCUUGUUUAUGCCAUAUGAGGGUCAAUCUAUAACUAUUGUAAGCAAGUAAAGUCAUCAACCAACUUUAAUUUUUUAAAAGAAUUUUUAUUAAUUUUUUGAAUUUUAAAAGAAUAUACAACAUUAAGUUUGUUAAUAUAUAGCCUUGGCUUUGAGAAUGAAAUGUAGAGAGGAAAGAGUAUUCCAGAAAAGGACAAUGGACGGAGGUUUUUUUAAAGCUUAUUCCACCUCAUCCUUGAUAGAGCAUAUUUGAUUAUUUACUAUGGUCACCCACAAGGAGUCAAAUCUGGCAUACUAAACUUUUCUUUUACGUUUGUUUUUCUAUUAAUUAUUUAUUGCAACAACUUUAAAGAACAUUGAUUAUAUUGCAUUAAAUAAUUAAUUAUUUAGAUUUCAAAUAAAAAAAUAAAUCUCAUACUUUAUUAAAUUAUAUCAAUAUAUUAAAAAAUGGGGAAAAUAUUAAAAUAUUUAAAAGAUUUUCUAAGAUUUUUUUUUAAAAAAAUACAUUUUUAAUUUAAUAAUGUAUUUUUUUUUCUUCUACAUUUCUAUAUAAUGAUAAAAAAAGAUAAUAAGAGAGAAGAAAAAUUAAUUACCAGGAGGGAUGGUUGGGUUGGUUGGUGGCUGCGAAGAUGAAGUCGCAGCAGGAGACGAUGGCACUGUUGUUCCAUUGGUUUCGAAAAAGGGGCCUGAUUCAUAUCUUAUAGUGCAACUCGGUGCAAGAACUCUUCCACCCUCCCUUCCGCCACAGCACGUUGGAAUAUCACCUAAUGCAUUUCUCAAGCAAACAUUACAGAAAUGUUGAGAUAUAUCUGGAGUGCACUGCACCAAUCCAUACAAGUUCCUGAAAUCUGUUACUUUCACUUCUUCAAUAGCAAACAUGUCCUGAGGAGAUCCUGAGACGGCUCUUGUCACCAGCCUGUCCAUCAAAUCUCCCAAAAUCCUAUUAAACUCACCCGAGUCUGAGCGGGUAGCAGUUGGACUCUGUGCAGACCCUCUAGGCCUUUGUUCCAUGUAGGAGAAUAUGGCACGGUUGGCGUACCGCACCAUGCACACAUCAAACCAUAUGAUUGCCUCUUUCUGGUUUGGGCACCGAUUUACUAGGUCCUCACUGGCAGCCUUGACACAAUCUUGGCAUAGCUGGGGUUUGGUGUCCCCUCUGCAUAGGAAGAUGCCAUAAACCCUGUCAUCAGGACUCAGGCCGGCAGUGGUGUUGUAAAACCGGUCGGGGCGGCUAGCAUUAGCAGACAGAGAAGAGAGGACGAUGUUAAGGCUAGUGGAGUAUGUGCUGUUGGCGCUGUAAUUACCCGAAGCUACACACGCAUGUUUUUUGAAAGUGAAUAGCACUUGAGCAGUACCGAGUGAAAGGUGAAUGGUGAUGGCACAAAGGAAGAAGAGGAUAUUACAAAACCGGCCCAUUUAUGCCAUGGCAUGAUUUCAAAGGCAAUUUAUAGUUUGUUUCUGAUGAGAAUGGCCCCAGUUUUCCACGUAAACCCUGGUUUGGUAGGUGAAGGUCUUAGUACAGUUGAAUCUUUUUCCGAAGACACACGGUCUCGUGGAAAGUUUCAAAGAAAGCUACUAGGGUUGUGUUGUCAGUCAAAAGGCUCUCACAUAUUUUAGGGUCAGGAAUAUUCUAAACUAUAAUAAAUUUGACCCACAACCAAUGCCUCCGCGUCUUUGAAAGGCUGUCAAGUCUGACUCUAAAUUUGGUGCAUUGAAUUGGUGUAAAAUCUGCGAAUUGGGAUUGAAAGCUCAAGGAAGGUGCCCUUCUUUCUUUACUUAAUAAAAUAUACCUUGUUGAAAUCAAAACCCUCAUGAUUAUAAAUUCUCAUAUGUACUUGAGAAGCCCGCAACCAAGACGUACAAGUCUAAUUGGGGUUCACAAAACUUGGUGCUGGCUCAAACCAGCAUGACAUAUCUAGGUGCCAUGCUAGUUAAGCAUUUAUUAUGAUAGGACAUGAGAUAUCUUGGUAUCACUUAUUAAAAUAUGCCAAUUUUUUUGUGAUAUAUCGUCGAAAUAUCGCUGUAUCAAUACAUAUGGAUACGAUAUUUUCAACCGAAAUAUCAACGGUCAACAUGGGUCGAAGCUUUGUGUUGACCGAGUCAAAGCUCAAUAAAAUAAGUUAUUGUGUUGUUCAAAAUGAAUUGUUUUACUGCUAGUUGCCCUUUGUUAAUUAUCAUGCAUCAAUAAAUAUAUAUAUAUUAAAAGUUUUUAUAUACACAAAAUAUUAAGGUGUAUCCGUACAUAUGGAUAUGAUAUUUUCAACCCAAAUAUCAACGGUCAACAUGGGUCAAAGUUCCAUGUUGAUCAAGUCAAAGCUCAAUAAAAUAAGUUGUUGUGUUGCUCAAAAUGAGUUGUUUUGCUGCUGAUUGCCUUUGUUAAUUAUCAUGCAUCAAUAUAUAUAUAUUAAAAGUUUUUAUAUACACAAAAGAUUAAAAUAAUGCUUUAAACAACGAAUUAAUUAUAAUUAUUUUAUAUGUAAAUAAUUUUUUUUCAUUUAAUUAAGUAGUAAAAAGUUUUUAAUAUCAUUAAUAUAUUAAUUAAAUAUAUCAUAAUUUUAAUAUGAAAUAUAUUUUAAAAUUAAAUAUAUUAUAAUUAAAUAUCACAAUAUUAUUAUUGAAUAAGAUUUUAUAUAAUUUAAUAAUUAAUAUAUAUUAAUUUCUUUAAUAAAAUAAUUUUAAAAUAUUUAUUAUGCUUUUAAUUUUAUUUAUAAGAGUUUUAUUUUAUAUUUUUAUAAAUUUUGAUUAAUUUUAGGUUAAUUGAUAUUUUAUAUUAAAAUAUUUAUUAAUAUAUUUUCGACAUAUCCAUCAAAUCGAAAAUCCUUGGCUGGUGCGACUCUCAGAAGCAGGGAGACAAUUCGUGGUGAUAUUUUAUUUUGUUGUAGUAAGAAGAGAGGCAAGAAAGUCAACCGUUGUAAUCCAGCUUAACAUGAUUUAGUGAUUCAUAUUAUAAGUGUCUUGUCAAUUGUCAUGACUCAUGAGAUGGGUUGGAGAUAGGGUUGAAAUAAGAGAGGUUAGUGUAACUCAAUUUGACGCGUGUACGGACUUACGCCAUCAUUUUUAAUACUUGAGUUCUUGAGUUUGCGGCCAAAGUAAUCUUUGCUGAAAAAAAAAAAAAAAAAACUAAUACAACUUUCAAAUUAUUUGUCAAAAUAGUCUUUUGAAUCCACAUCAGCAAUCCACAUCAGCAAUCCACUACUCUGAAGAUCCAAUUUUUUCAUCCGAAAUCAUUCAACAAAAACGCUAACUAUUAUUUUAUCUUCUCUGCGGCUUCCACCGUCUCUCCUCAUUGUCUGCAAAUCCCACCAUCUACGGCUCCCACCAUCAACAGCUCCCACCAGCAGCAUCUACUAAGUAAGUUUUUUUUUCCCUCAUUUUCCUUAGCUUUCUUACUAACUUGUUUAUUUUCCUUUUUUAAUAAAAAAAAUUAAAAGUCCACUAGUUUAUUUUCCUUUUUUGAAUAAAAAAUUAAAAAUCCACUUGUUUAUUUUCCUUUUUUGAAUAAAAAAUUAAAAAUCCACUUAUUUGUUUUCCUUUUUUAAAUAAAGAUAAAAAAUUAAUUAAAAAUCCACUUGUUUGUUUUCUUUUUUAAAUAAAAAAUAAAAAAUUAAUUAAAAAUCCACUUGUUUAUUUUCCUUUUUUUAAUAAAAAAUUAAAAAUCCACUUGUUUGUUUUCCUUUUUUAAAUAAAAAAUAAAAAAUUAAUCAUAAUCCACUUGUUUAUUUUCCUUUUUUUAAUAAAAAAUUAAAAAUUAAUCAUAAUCCACUUGUUUUAAAAUCUAGUGUGAACAAAAAAAAAGAAAAAAAAAAGAAAAUUAAAAUAAAAAAAAAAAACCACAAAGGAAUAUAUAUAUAUAUUUCACUUAUUAUUAUUAUUAUUAUGAAAACUAAAAAAUAUCAAAUUGUGUAUAGUUAUUAAUUGUUUUCAAACACAAGUUUUUGAUAGAUAAAAUAUUAUAAAUAAAAUAUAUUUUUAAUAAAUAUUUAAAUUUUUAAUAAAUAUUUGAAAAACAAUAAAACAUGUCCAAAAUCUUACCAUAUGUAUUUUUAUUCUAAAAAAAAUAUUACAAAUAGAAUAAAAUUCCCAUAUGUAUUUUUAUUCUAAAAAAAAUUCCCAAAUUAAAAAAAAAAAAAAAAAAAACAAUUCCUGAAAGGAAAUAUCCGGAGAAGAUGCCUCCCCCAUCCGGAUGUGACCAUAUCACAUCCCGGAUAUGAUGAAAUAGGAUGAAUUGAGACGGUAUUUUGUAAAUACGUAAUUAUCUUGAAUAGAUUAACCAUUUCUUUAUUUUCCGAUAUUUCCCUUGAGGAAUUGUUUUUUUUUUUUUUUUAAUUUGGGGAUUUUUUUUAAAAAAAAUAUAUUUUUUUUUCAUUGGAACUCGUGAGUUUAAGACCAAAAUAAUUUAUUUAUAAAAAAAUGAUAAGAAUAGUAUCCAUUUCAAAAUAUUUGUCAAAGUAGUCUUCUUUAUCCACGUAAGCAUCCACAUGGAUUUUAAGUGUAAAAAACCACCGUUGGUGACUGUGGUUUUAAAACGGACUUUUCUCAAUAAUACGGUAAUUUUAAAAAGUUAUGCUUAAAUUAUUGUAGUAGAAGAAAUUAUUACAAAUAUAUGGUAGUUUUUUCCACCUAGGAGAGAGGAGAUAGGAGAGAGGAGAGAGGGUUUAAAAAAAUUUCAAAAGGGAAAUCAUCUUCAAGAGACGAGUUCCCAUGAAAUUUUUUUUUUUUUUUACAAAAAUAAAAUAAAAAAAAUUCCUCAAGGGAACUCGUCUCUUGAAGAGACGAGUUCCCAUGGAAAAAAUAUAUAUUUUUUUUUAAAAAUCCCAAAUUUAUAAAAAAAAAAAAAAAAAAAAAAAAAAAAAAAAAAAAAAAACCAUUUCCUGAAGGGAAAUAUCCAGAGAAGAUUCCUCCCCCANNNNNNNNNNNNNNNNNNNNNNNNNNNNNNNNNNNNNNNNNNNNNNNNNNNNNNNNNNNNNNNNNNNNNNNNNNNNNNNNNNNNNNNNNNNNNNNNNNNNAAGGGAAAUUUCCAGAGGAAGAUGCCUUCCGCAUCCGGAUGUGAGAUAUUCACAUCCGGAUGGGGGAGGCAUCUUCUCCGGAUAUCUCACAUCCGGAUAGGGGAGGCAUCUUCUCCGGAUAUUUCCCUUGAGGAAUUGUUUUUUUUUUUUUUUUUUUUAAUUUGGGAAUUUUUUUUAGAAUAAAAAUACAUAUGGGAAUUUGAUUCUAUUUGUAAUAUUUUUUUAGAAUAAAAAUACAUAUGGGAAGAUUUUGGACAUGUUUUCUUGUUUUUCAAAUAUUUAUUAAAAAUUUAAAUAUUUAUUAAAAAUAUAUUUUAUCUAUCAAAAACUUGUGUUUGAAAACAAUUAAUAACUAUACACAAUUUGAUAUUUUUUAGUUUUCAUAAUAAUAAUAAUAAUAAUAAGUGAAAUAUAUAUAUUCCUUUGUGGUUUUUUAUUUAUUUAUUUUAAUUUUCUUCUAUUUUUUAUUUCUUUUUGUUCCCACUAGAUUUUAAAACAAGUGGAUUACGAUUAAUUUUUAAUUUUUUUAUUAAAAAAAGGAAAAUAAACAAGUGGAUUAUGAUUAAUUUUUUAUUUUUUAUUUAAAAAAGGAAAACAAACAAGUGGAUUUUUAAUUUUUUAUUAAAAAAAAAGGAAAAUAAACAAGUGGAUUUUUAAUUAAUUUUUUAUUUUUAUUUAAAAAAGGAAAAUAAACAAGUGGAUUUUUAAUUUUUUAUUAAAAAAAAGGAAAAUAAACAAGUGGAUUUUUAAUUUUUCAUUCAAAAAAGGAAAAUAAACUAGUGGAUUUUUAAUUUUUUUAUUAAAAAAGGAAAAUAAACAAGUUAGUAAGAAAGCUAAGGAAAAUGAGGGAAAAAAAAACUUACCUAGUAGAUGCUGAUGGUGGGAGCCGUAGAAAAGAGAAAAUAAUAGUUAGAGUUUUUGUUGAAUGAUUUCGGAUGAAAAAAUUGGGUCUUCAGAGUAGUGGAUUGCUUAUGUGGAUUCAAAAGACUACUUUGACAAAUAGUUUGAAAGUUGUAUUAGUUUGAUAUUUUUUUUUUCAACAAAGAUUACUUUGGCCGCAAACUCUGAGUUCUUUUAGCCUGAUAUCAAAUACUCGGACAACUCUCAUUUAAUAAUUUAAUAUGUAUUAUUAUUCUUUUUAGAUUUUUAAAAGAAAUUGGUUGUUUUUUUUUUUUUUUUGAAUUACACUUGGAUUAGUUAUUAACUUGAUUAACUUUUUUUUUUUUAAAAAAAAUUACUUAAAGUAAUGUUUGAUUAAUUAGAUAUAACAUGAAAUAGAAUAAAAAAAAAAUAGAUAUUAUAUCAUAUCCUAUGUUAUGAUUGGUAAUUAUAUUAGAUAAAUUAUCUUAUUACUUAUCAUGCAUAUGUUAUGUUCAAUCAAACAUGAGAUAAAAAUAAAUGGGGGAAUUACCCUUAAGGGUAGGCUGGGGAAAAAAAUGAUUGAAAAGGGUGGGUAAGUUUACUAAUUCCUUUGAAGGCCUUAUAUUUUUAUUAGACUAAUUUACCCUUGAUUUGACCAUUGAACCAGCCACUGUCAAACGAUUGCUCCAUUUGGAUCUGCCUCGAUUUUUCCCUUCAUUUCUUCCAUUCUUUCCCAAACUUACACCCCCCCUUCUUUCCAAAUCCUCAAUUCGAAACAAACCCUAAAUUCCUCGAAACAAGCAUAGAAACACAUAAAACCCAAAACACACAAAAUUUCACCUCGAAUCGACGGCCUCCGACUGCACAGUCUUCUCCACUAAAUUUCACCUUGAAUCGACAGCCUCCGACUGCACAGUCUUCUCCACUUCAUCCACAGCCGAAUCAGCCCCUGCCUGAUUCCUCCUCAACCACUGCUGCUGAUUCUGCUGCUGAAACUGCUGGUAACUCUGCCCUACAUUCCUUUGAACGUACUGUUGCUGGUUAGGGUUCCGAUACUGAAAAUUAGGAUUGGGGCCGCUAGGGUUUCCGGUCCCCAUUCCGUACUGUUGCUGGGAGGUUUUCUGUAAAUUUUUUGGUGUUUUAAUGUUCGUGUUUUUGCAAAUAUUAAAUAUUAAAAUAUUAAUUUUAAUAUUAAAAUAGCUUAGUUUUAGAUUUUAUUUUAAUUUUUCUAGCAUGACUUUGUAUAAUCUAUUAGUCUAUAAUUUUAAUUUCAUUUCAUUUUCUUAGUAUAUCUUUAUUCUUUAAUUUUUCAAAAUUGUUGAGGAAUGUGUUUUCUUAAACUUAGAAAAAAUCAAAUUAAAAUAGAAUAUGAAUAGUGAAAAGAAAAAAAGAUCCCUGAGAAGAACUUGUGGAAAAAAGAUUUAGGCAAGAAAAUGAGAAAAUUAGAGAAAGAAAUGAACUUUCCCUUCAAUUUUUUUUUACCUAUAUCAAAUAUCAAAUUUGAUAAUCAAUUCAUAUUAAAAAUCAUAUGGUAACGGUGAAAGGUUAUCGAAAUUUUUUUCAUACAAUUAAUUGAUAAGGUUAAUUUUAUUGAUCUUUUAUGAGAUUUUGAUGAAAUACAUCUAACUUUCAUUAAUUUGAAAUAUCAAUAAAUAUUUUUUUUUAAUUCAAAAUAAGAAAGAUAUUUCUUAAAUUUUCAAAUUAUUGAGAAUCAAUUGUAUUUAAUUAAAACAUUCGAAGAAGAAUGGCAACGAAAAUUAACCUUUUCAAGUAUCACAAUUUUACCUGAAUACCAUGAGGCAAAAGAAAUCGGGCACUGUUGCUUGUGAUCUUUGACACGUUCCGUGUGAUGAGGUGCGAGAGGCAAUCUCCAAAUAAAGCCUAUUUCUAUUUUCUACCCAUUUGCUAUUUCUACAAGGAAUUUGGUGAAAAAGGAAAGUUGUUGUCAGCACCCCCACCACAAUUAUUAAAGGUUUUUAUUAUUUUUUUGGGUAAGCAUUGAGCAACAAUCACGAAAUUAUAUUUAAUACAAAGAAAAUAUUAAAUAUUAAAAUAGCUUAGUUUUAGAUUUUAUUUUAAUUUUUCUAGCAUGACUUUGUAUAAUCUAUUAGUCUAUAAUUUUAAUUUCAUUUCAUUUUCUUAGUAUAUCUUUAUUCUUUAAUUUUUCAAAAUUGUUGAGGAAUGUGUUUUCUUAAACUUAGAAAAAAUCAAAUUAAAAUAGAAUACAAAUUUGAUGGGUUUGAUGUGUCAUUGUUUAACGUGAAAUCAUUAUGUAAUUAUUUUUGGUUUUUUUUAAUGGUUGGAAUUUUGGGGUUUGGCGUAGGUUUUCGAUUAUGCUGGGAUUUUGAGAUGGCAUUUUCAUGUUUGGGCUGAGAUUAAUUUUGGUUUUUGAAGUUAUCAAAUAGUGAGGUUUUGCUCAAUAUCCACUGGGGUGUUUUGAUUUGAACACUUUUGGGCAUGUGCAUAAUGGCUUAGAAAAUGUUGGAUUGAAACAUCAGUCACUGAGUUUAAUUUAUUUCCUUUGAUCUUUGGAGGAAUAUGUUUGUAUUCCAUAUAUCUGGGAAACUUGUAUUUUUGCAUUUAAUAUAUUAGAGAAUUUUGAGGUGGUGUUGGUGCUUUUCUUGAAAAUGGCAUUAUAACCAUCUACCCAAUCUGAAUAGAGUAGGACUAAUUUUUGGUUUCACUGCGGUUACUUUGAUUUUUUUCAUGGGCUGUUUGGGCAUGUGUUUCUUGGUUUCAAAAGCUUAGUUUGAACUGAAGAUGUGAUAGGUAUCAAACAUUGGGAAUUUGAUGUUGACAAUUUCAGUUGGUCCAAGGAAUAUGCUUUUGUUGAAUAGAUUGGUGGAAUUGAGAUGAUGUUGAUUCUCUUGUUGAAAAUGAUGUUGACAAUUUCAAUGGCUCUGUGUGUUUUUAGUAGCAUGUAUGUAACUGUAUUUGGGAUCACUAAUAGUAGUUAAACCAAAAUAAAUAAUGGUACAAUACAAAUGCCCUACAUUUACAAUACAAGUGCACUNNNNNNNNNNNNNNNNNNNNNNNNNNNNNNNNNNNNNNNNNNNNNNNNNNNNNNNNNNNNNNNNNNNNNNNUCCAGCAAAAAACUAGACAUCUACUUGAUGAGCUAGUGAUGAAAAGAAGAGUAUAAUCAACAUAUGGGCUUGGUGGAUUACUUCAGCUCUCUCCACAGAGAUAACGCAUAGCUUAUGUAGAUGGAUAAUAACUCAUUUCAAUAUAGCCCACUGUAGGUUAGACAUAGGACAAGAAAGGCAAUUUCCAAUAACUUGUUCUGAUGUAGGUGAAAUUCUAGGUAUUCCAUAUAUUGGUAGGAGGCUCCUACUUUCACCUACCAAUAGGAAUAAUAGGAUGGAAAACCUAUCAGAUCUUAGAGAGAGGCUGAUUUUAAUGGAAGACAUGGCCGAGUUCAAAAAAUUGUUUAUCUUCUUCUCAUGUGCUACAUUACUUGCUCCAACAUCAAAGUUGGAUGGUAGUCAUGAGUUGUGGUGUACUUUGAUGGCUGGAGACUUUGACAUCAAUGUUAAUUGGGGUCAAUUUGUACUUGACACACUGGUUGCUGGAAUUAGACAUUUUCGAUUGGGUAAAGGCUCAUGGUUUACAGGUUGCCUUAUUUUUUUACAGGUAAAUACCUUUUUUUAUUAAAUGCUGAAGGUUUCCAUAUCAUUUUCUAUGUUUUAACAAGUCUUUUCUAAAUAACGUAUUAAUGUGUGGAAUAUUUGUGUUUCAGCUUUUUUAUGUAAAUAAAUUUUACACUCCAACCAUGUUGGUGCCAUGUACCAUCCCAAUAUGUGCAGCGUGGACUGAUGACUUGAUGAAGAAAAGGGUGCAUGCCGAAUUGCAUGAUUAUGGUGAUUAUGGACUAGCUGAUGUAAGAGACAAUUUUCUUUCAACAUUUUCGUUUAUUUUCAUAUUUGAAAAUUAAAUUUAUAAAAAUUAUAUAUUCUUCUUUUUAUUAUUGUAGGUUCAAGAAGAUGAAAGGGAGGAAGAUGCACAUGAAGACCUUGGUAAUCCAGUAAAUGAAGUUGAAGAAGAGACUACUGAUGUGAGAACCUUCUACAUCUAUUCUUUUAUUUAAAGAGAAAACCAAACAUGUUAUGCAUAAUAAUAUAAAUCUUUGACACUUUGUACCAUUUUGUAGGAAAUUAUAGCAGAAUAUAAUGCAGCGGAGAGACAAAUUCACCAAUUGCUGCGAACAAUGAGAGGAGCAAUUGAUAAACUAGCAAAGUGGCAGAAUACAAAUAAAACCCCAUCAUCUUCUCAUCAAAGUAGAAGUCAUAAUCAACCUGAUAUCAAUGAUUCUUUCCCAUCACCACCACAUGGUAGUACGAUUUUUAUAGCACUCGUCAUUAUAAUUUUGUAUAACUUUUAAUUUAAUUGCAAAUGUUGUAUAAUUUUUUUUUUUUGGGAAAAUUAAUUUUGGUUAUUAUGCAUUCUGAAAUUAGCUUAUGGAUCGCCACUGAAUGAUCAUUUUGCUGAUGGUGAAGAUAAUGUAGGCCCAUCAACCUCACAGCCAGCAGCGCAGCAUAGCAGUAUACUUUCUGCUUCUUUAUGGUUUAAUAUCAAAAUAAUAGUGAGUAUAUAAUAAUGGAUAGUAUUUCCUGUGCGUGUUAUUUUCAUUAAUGAAUUUUAUUUUCCUUUAUUUUCUAUACAUAUAGUUGAGGAUGAAGUUCAGAUGAAUGCUAUUAUUCCUUACGAGACUGGACAUCCUCCAAUACGUUCAUAUCAGCUACGUCGACAUGCUACUGCCCUUCAAUCACCAUACGUGGUACAACCGUCAAUCAAAUUUUCAGCUUCUUCAUCUGUAGCAAAGCAAGUUUUGGCAUAUGCAUUGGACGAUACACAUGAUGAAAGGUAAGGUUGAACUUAAUUUAGUAUAAACAAAUACAAUUAAGAUAGGCAAUUGAAAUAAUUAGUUUUAAUUUCUAACAUCAUAAUUAUUUAUGUGUAGCCAAAUAUUAUGUUCCAUGCACAAUUUCUUCUUGACAAGGUUUGACUUGAAAUGCUUGGGACCCGACAAAUUGGUUGACAAUAAGGUAUUCAUAUUUAGUUAUGUAAAGUUAGGAUAAAAUUACUCUAAAAUUAUAUAUCUAAUUUUCAUUAAUUUACAUGAAGGUUGUAACUAUGCAUUGUCGAAUUUUGAAUGGUAUGGAUAAAGAAAAUAGGAAGCAUUUCUUAUCUCCAAACUUUGUGGUAAGAUAUGUUGUAAGAAUUAUAGAUUGGUUUUCUUGUUUUACGUAGAUUGUUUUAAUCUAAUGUAUGGUUUAUAAUUUUUUUAUUACAGUCUGAUGUGGAAAAGAAGAGGGGUUCCUUAUCUCCAAAAUACAUAUGUGACAAUUUAUGGAAAUAUUUCAAAAAUACUCGGUUGUGCACAUAUGAACAGGUUUUAUUUAGUUUAAUAAAAGUACUUUGUAGUUGGAUAUUUUUAAGUAUUGUGCAGAAAAUACAUGAACACAACUAAUUUGAUAAAAUCAUUGUUUUUUUUUUUUUUUUUUUUUUGUUCCUUGUAGUUGUUCAUACCAAUAUGCAGGAAAAAUCAUUGGUAUUUAAUAAUUUUGAAUAUUCAUGCGAAAAGAAUCGAGUUAUUGGAUUCAUUAAUUGACGGAAGGAAAAAACGGAUGGAUGCCUUCAUAGAGAAACUGGUAAAUAUAGUUAUAGUCCAAUUACUUAUGAGAAUCGUUGUCAUUAUUUUUUAAAGAUGUCCAUAUUUAUAAUUGUAUAUUGUGUUAAGGUGAACAUUUUGUCAACUGUCAUUGGGAUUCAAGAAAGAAGACCAUCAGUGGACAUGAUAGAAUUUGAAUUUGUUGUUCCAGAAGUUGUCCAACAAUUGAAUCCGUAAGUUGCAAGAUUUGUAUUCCUCUUUAACUAUGGAAAGCAAAUCAGGUUAUAAAUUUACUAAUUUGAUACCCAAUUGACUUAUAAUUUCCUUAAUUACUAUUUGCAGAACGGAUUGUGGCAUAUUUGUAAUGAAGUUUAUGCAAUUAUGGAGUAACGGUGGAAUUUCUCGUGCAAUUGCAAAUGUAUUAUAUUUAAAUUAUAUUCCAGUUUAGGCAUGUAAUCUGUGAAACCCUUUUUGGGUUGACUAAUGGAAACUAUGGAGUACGUUCUUGCAGGUUAUACAGGGCUAAGAAAUUCCCUGUUAUCCUGAUAACACUGCAUGGCAAGUGGAGAAGCCCCACUGCCAGUAAUUAUUGUAUGGUAUAUGUGCUGCUGCAGUUUUAAUCUGUAUAUAGAGUUACUAGAGGAUGAACAUAAGAUGUUUUGUUAUAUGAUCCAGCUUAAAUAGAUCCAUUGUGUACUGACUGCCCUCAUGAGAUGGACAAUAUUCUUGUCAAUAUUAUCUACAUGCAAAUGCAUAUUCUUAUGUAGCUGAUUUUUGCCUCAAUUAUUUCAAUUUGUGAACAAUAUACUUUAUUGUUUUAUGAACAACUGAUAAUGUCUCCAAAAAAUUUCUCUGAAUUGCUGUAGGCAUCAUUCAUCAACGCCAUCACUCACUUACUCACUUGUUUUGAUGGGUCUUUUAAUUAUCUUAGUAGAGGAAAAAUAAUUUAAGCUCAGUUUGGUUAAUAUUUUUUAAACUAAUUUUUAUUCUCUUGAAAAUAUAUAUAUCUGAAAUUAAGAUAAUAGGAAAAAAAUUAAAAGGAAAAAAUAAAGUAUUUUUAAAAUUUAUUUUUUAAUUAAUUUUUACUUACUCUUGUCAUAAUUGUUUUAAAAAAUAAUUAUACAAAUAUAAAAAAAAUCAAAAAUAAAACAUAACAUAUACAAAUUAUUUUUAAAAUACAUUCAAAAACAAAGAAACAAACAAAUAUUUGUUUUAUAAAAUAAUAGAUAAUAGUUUUCAAAAAAUUAUUAUAAAAAAUUGUUUUUAAAAAUUAUUUUCAAAAAUAAAUAUCAAAUAAGGUCUUAAACUUUGUUUGAUAACUAUUUUAAAAAAUAAUUUUAUGUUUUUUAAAAAUAUAUUUCAAAUAACUAAAAAAAGGUUUUUUUUUGUUCUUAAAAAGGAAAAAUAUAUAUUCUUGAAAAAUAAUGGUAUAAAUAUAAAGAAUAAUUAAAAGUAAAUCAUUAUAUAUAAAAGUUAUUUUUAAAAUCCAUUUAAAAAUAUAGAAAAUAAGUUUAAAAUAUUUUAAGUUUCAAAGUGAUUUUUAUUUUAUAAAACAUAAUGAUUUUUCAAAAAUUACUUUUAAAAACUGUUUUAUAAAAUCAAAACAAAAUCUUAUCCCUUUUUUCGGAGAUCUCUAUCUUUUCUUUCCCCAGCAGUCCCAAAAUUAUACCUAUGCACCUGCAUUUUUAUACUAUGCUUGUUCCUAAAAAUUAAGCCCAUAAAUUAGUUCUAGCUAUACCCAUCAAUGAACUGACAAAUCAACAAUAAAAAUGGCUCCACGAGAGCCGGACAAAGUGGAGUUCACAGCAAUACAUUGAUAACUGUAGGCAUUGCACUGUCAACUCAUCAUUUCCCAAACUAAUUUGAGGUUACAAAAAAAAAAAAAAAAAUUAUUGAACCAUUAUAUAUAAGAAAUUGGUAAUCGACCCAAGAAAUUGGACUUUAUUUAGUCAAAAGACUGCAUUGUUAGUUUAUGUUGUAAUUUAUCAUAUAGUUAGUGUUUUUUUAUCGUAAUGUUAGUGAAUUUAUGUUGUAAAUGUAAUUAAAAAUGUAGGCAAAACUGUGAACUAUUAUAAUUAAAAAUCUAAUACAAGUUCACAUAAUGGAGAUAAAUAACCUAUUACAAAUAACUCCAAAUACAAAUACAUCAAAGUACAAUACAAUUAAGCAUUACAUAUAUAAUCCAAAACUUAAUAGACAUGAAGUAAGUGUAUGAUUAAGCAAUUUUCAAACAUAGAACAAAAAAUAAAAGUAGUCCUACUACAAUUACUUUCUGCAUGAACUCAAUUCUUGUUAAAAUAUGUUUAAAAUCUUCAUCCACGCCAUACAUUCUUCUUUGAACAACCUCUUCUGGUUCUUGGUAGGUGUUGCCAUCACCAUUUCCUUCCGGGAAUGCCCAUUUAAAGAAAUGACAGUCAUCUCUAGUAUUUGCAUAUUGACAACAAUAAUAUAACCUAUUUGGGUUAUCCUUUGAUUCAGAGAUUCUAACAGCCGCCCUCUGUCUGGGUGAACAUUUACACAUACAGUUAUGAUAAAGUAGAUAUUCACCAUUUCUAGUAUUACCUCUUAUAUUUCUAAAUGAAGCACUUGAAGAUGCCAUGAUGUAACCUGUAUUUCAAUGGAAAACAAGUUAAACAAAUGUAAUGAACAUGUACAAAGUCAAUAAUGAUCUUCAAAAUAACAUUAAAAACAUGGUUACAAACCACCCUAAAUAAUGAUAAGAUCAUAAGUCUAAAAUAGUGGCAUAUGUAAUACAAACAUCUUUGUCAUGACAAUCAAGUAAAUAAGUAAGUUCCAAAACAAAUUCUUACAGAUUUUAAUUUCAUAAACCACACAUAUCAUCACAAUCAAAAUAAGAUAAAAAGUAGCAUGUCACCAAACAAGCAUAACAUUAGAAUCAUGGAGCGGGUAAUGGAUUUUUGCAUGAAGCUCGAUUAUGGCCUGCAACUUGACAUCGUGAACAGAAGAUAAGCCUUUUUGAACUAAAUUGAGACUCUAUUCGACGGUUUCGAGGCCUUCCAGGUGGUCGUUUUGAGCAUGGAGGUUUAAGUGAAGGAUAUAAGCGACCUUGAGCAUCACGAACACAUCCAUCAGCAUCAACUAUAGGCAUGUUGUGAUUUGGAAUUGAAUUGAAGUGUCCAAAAUAUAUCAACUGUUGCAUUGGAAGCUUGAAAUAUGAGUCAACAUAUUCAUAAACAUCUUGUUUCAUCUGGCGUAUUGCUGCACAUGCAUGCUCACAAGGUAUUCCGGCCAUUUGCCAAGCCUUACAAGUACAUGUACGCUCUCUCAAAUUCAUGUCUACAUAUACUUUCAUAUUGAAUACCUUAAACACACCACCAACAUAGGGAUAUACAGGCAAUGACCCACUCUUUAUAAUGUUUUCCAACAGCUUUUCCUCGGUCUUUGGGCCAAUUGCAGCUUUCCAAUUUUCUGUAGAACCCAUAUGAUCACAUGCUAGAUGAGCAAACUUAUCCAUAUGUGUCAUUACUAAGUUGAAAAUUGUGUAAUGACGUUCCUCCUUCAGCCAAGCAUUGAAUGAUUCAGCAAGAUUAGUUGUCAUCUUAUCCCAUCGUUUUUUGGCAAACUUUGACAUUGCCCAAUGUUGUGGACUGUUCUCUUCAACCCACUUCGCUAGGUCACUGUUAUAUGUCUUUAAUUUUUCCAUGGCUACAACAUAAUCAUCAUCCAACCUAGCAUACGCAACAUUAUCAAGUAACAACAAUGCAUCCAUUUUACAUUUUUUUCCCUUCAUACUAUGUUUCGUCACAUAGCUACUAAAAUUCUCUUUCACAUGACAAUAACAAUAUGCAUGAUUUUCUACUCCAAAAAGUUGAGAAACACUACGAAGGAUUGCUUGAUGCCUAUCUGAUAUUAUGACUACCUCUUUAUCUUGAAGUAUGCCCUUCAAUUUCUGCAAAAACCAUAGCCAAUCCUCAUAGUUUUCUGAACUUACCACACCAAAUGCAAUUGGGAACAUGCCAUCAUCAGCAUCAUAAGCUGUUGCAGAAAAUAAAGAGCCCCUAUACGGUCCACUCAAAUGAGUUGAGUCAAUUGCAAUAACAGGUCGACAACCCAUUAAAAACCCUUGAAUUGAAAAAGAAUGUGCAAUGAACAAUUGCCAAAAAUGCCCAUCUUGUCUGCUAUAUUCAGCAAUCGUCCCUGGAUUAAUGUCUACCAAUCUCUGACAUAACCAUGGCAACAACAUAUAUGAGUUUUCUGGAAGACCAUAUAUUCUCUCUUUUGCCAUUUCUUUGUAUGUACAAGCUUGCUUAUAACUCAAUGAAACACCAUACCGACUCCUGAAGUCUUUGCAAAUUUGACGGGGCAAAUACUCAGGGGUUGCCCUUAUUACUUGCUCUAUGAUACGAGCACCUCUCCUUCCCCGCAUUGAAGGUUGGCUUGAACACUCAACAUCUGUACAAUGAUUGUGUACAUCAAUGAAGAUGUUAACCUUCAAAAUUUUGGUAGAGCCUACUGAAUUAGCAGUUAUUCUCCAAGGGCACCCAUCCACUAAACAGCACACAGAUAUUCGCUUUGGAGAGUUCUUUUUGAAUUUGUAUUGAAAUCUACCAACUAAUGACAUCGUAUAUAAUGCAUUUCUAAAUUCAUCUGCAUUAGGAAAACUAUGCCCACUCCCAAUAAUAGGUUGAGGACAAAGACUUAAAUCAUGUGGCAUAACUUCAGUUUCUGCACAUCUGGACAUGAAGCCUUGAGAAAGUCCUAAAUUAGACUCAUUGUUUGCUUGACAUGAUGCAACUGAAUUGUGUGUUUUCUCCGUACUAUUGUGACUGCAUAUUAUAGCACACUCAGUUAAUUAAUAUUAAAACCACUUUGCAUCAUGGAAUUAAUGACAACUAAUACAAGAUAUAUCACUUACCAAUAAUCAUUUUGCACAUUGACUAUACCUCCUUCAACUUCUACUCUUCGAGUCCGUUUUAAUACAUAAAUACGAGCAUAAUCAUAACUAUGGGAUAACAUCAUAUGCAUGUCCUCAUCAUCAUCCAACUGUUGAAGUGCAGAUGGAUCAAACUCAAGGGUGUAAUGAAAUGUAUAUCCAUUUGAAUUAAUAUCCAACCGUUCACAUGCCUUUGAAACAAAUUCAACAUAUGACAUCCUUUGUCCAAUGUACAUGCCUUUUUGUUGUCCACCCUUUUAUUGUAUUUGUUUAUCCUCCUUAGGUACAAUCUCCCCUCCUUCAUGAAGGUAGCCAUAAAUGAAAUUUUCCAAGUCCAUUUACCAAUUCAGAAGUACGUCUUCUUUCACCGACAAUCAAAUCAAUCUAUUUCACAAUAUUACAAUCAAUGAAAAUUGAACAACGAAUACAAAAUAAACAAAUGAAAAUUAUAAUCAAUUGAGAGAAAAAUUUUAUAUAUAAAUAACAAUAUUUGUUGUAUAUUAUACAUGUUAGGGAUAUGCCAAAGAACCCAUAAUUGCCCAGUUUCAUAAGAAAUUUGACAUUUUCAAAAUUUUACUUUAUCGUAAUGUAUCGUAAUGUUAUUGUAUUUGUAUUGUAAUUGUACUGUAUUUUUAUUAUACCUCUAUAUUUUUAUAUAAAAAAAAUUAAUUUUAUAGAUUUUUUUUUUUAUCCAUCAUUGGAUUAUCAUCAACAACUAUUUCACAAUAUUACAAUCAAUGAAAAUUGAACAACGAAUACAAAAUAAACAAAUGAAAAUUAUAAUCAAUUGAGAGACAUAUUUUAUAUAAUAAAUAACAAUAUUUGUUGUAUAUUAUACAUGUUAGGGAUAUGCCAAAGAACCCAUAAUUGCCCAGUUUCAUAAGAAAUUUGACAUUUUCAAAAUUUUACCUUAUCAUAAUGUUAUUGUAUUUGUAUUGUAAUUGUACUGUAUUUUUAUUAUACCUCUAUAUUUUUAUAUAAAAAAAAUUAAUUUUAUAGAUUUUUUUUUUAUCCAUCAUUGGAUUAUCAUCAACAACUAUUUCACAAUAUUACAAUCAAUGAAAAUUGUACAACGAAUACAAAAUAAACAAAUGAAAAUUAUAAUCAAUUGAGAGACAUAUUUUAUAUAAUAAAUAACAAUAUUUGUUGUAUAUUAUACAUGUUAGGGAUAUGCCAAAGAACCCAUAAUUGCCCAGUUUCAUAAGAAAUUUGACAUUUUCAAAAUUUUACCUUAUCGUAAUGUUAUUGUAUUUGUAUUGUAAUUGUACUGUAUUUUUAUUAUACCUCUAUAUUUUUAUAUAAAAAAAAUUAAUUUUAUAGAUUUUUUUUAUCCAUCAUUGGAUUAUCAUCAACAACUUCAUGUAUUGAAAUUACAAUAGUGUAUUUUUGUUGUUGUUUUUUUUUAUAAUUUUGGCUUGCAAGAUGCUUUAUGAUAGAAUACAACAUGAUAGCCUAGAAAUGCCAAAUCAGUAAAAAAUANNNNNNNNNNNNNNNNNNNNNNNNNNNNNNNNNNNNUUGUAUUGUACUUAUACUUUAUAACUGAAAUAAUGGUUCUUUUACACAACCUUCAAACUACUAGGCAUUCGACUCAUCAUACCAAAAUAAUACUUAUACAAAAAGGUAACAAAUUUAUAACAAAAAUAUAGUGAUCUUAACUCUUUAACAAAUUCAUAAUAAAAGACAAAGUGGUCUCGUACAAAGGGGAUUUCAGUUUUCAAUGACAAUCCAAAUAUGUUUAUAAAUACACAAACAAAGUGGUCCCAAACAAGCAUGAAACAACUGAGAACAUUUUUUCUUCAAUCAUGUCAAAAAGUCUUAACAACAAAACUAAAGUGCAAACCUUUUCAAUGGAAAUCAAUAAUAAUCAUAUCAAACAACCCACCCAGCAAAUAAAUUAAAAAUAAAAACACAUCUUCAAUAUGACCUAAAUAAUAUAAAAAAAUUCAAAAUAAUAAAUUUAAAUAACAUUUAAAAAAAAUGUAAUUUCUUUCUGAAAACCUCAUUCAAUAUUUCAGAUCUAAUAUCUUACAGCUACAUUGUUAAAAUUAUUAACUUUUCCUUCAUUUAAUCCGAUUUUUAAAUUAUUUAUUUAUUUUUCCAUAAACUGACGUUUUUUUUUUUGUAUUAAAAAAAAAAACUGACCUUUAAUGGAUUUCUUGCUAGAUUCACAAAAAAAAAAAACAAGUUUUGUGUAUCGAUUGCAGAGAAUGACCUGAAAUGCGCACCUUUUUCCUUUCCCCUUUUUCUUCUACAACUCGGCUCCAGAUAGGUUAAACAAAGGGAGAAUAAACUCUUUUCCAGAUAGGUUAAAGAAAGGGAGAAUAAACUCUUUUUCACUUUCCAUUGCUUUUCACUUUCCUUGCUUUUCACUUAUUAAGGGUAGUAUUGGCAUUUAAAUAAAAUAAGUCAUUUGGAGGAAUUAUCAUCAUUUUACCUUACCCUUUACAAGACUUAUCAAAGUUACCUACCCUCAUUGGUCAUUUAUUCCCCCAGCCUACCCUUAAGGGUAAUUGCCCCAAAAUAAAUAGUGAGAUAUAUUAUUCAUUUUUUUUUAUAUUUUUUAUGAUAUAUUAAUCUUAUGGGAUAUAUAUCUCAUGUAUCAAAAAUUUACUUUUUAUCAUUUUUUUUAAUUUUUUAAUAUAUUCCUUUUAUAAAAUGAAUUUUUUAUUAUAAAUUAAAUUUAUGAUUAAAAAUAAAAACUAAAAAAAUUAUAAAAUAAUAUUAAUAUAUGAUACAUAAAAAUUAUUUAUAAAGUUUUAAUCUUGUUAAUAUAUAUGUAUAUAUAUAUCUCUAAUGUAUCAAUAGUAUCGUAUUUAAUUGGAAAUCAUAUCUUAAGAUAUAAUAUUGUAGAAUAUACAUAUCUUAUCAUAUCCCACUAACUAAACACAACCUAAAUAUAUAACUUAUGAUAAAGUAUUUAUUGCAUUACACUUAUAGGGGGGUGUUUGGUACGUGAGAAUGAGGAGUGAGAAUAAACAUUCCAUUCAUUCCCUCCCCCAUUCCUAUGUUUGGAUAAAUUUUAUAAAAGUAAGAAUAAAAUAAAAAACAAUUCUAAUAGAAAUCAAAUCUCACUUAUAAGUGAGAUUUCAAUUUUUCAUAAGUAAGUGAUAUUCUGAUUUAUUCAUCUCAUAAAAAAUAUAUAAAAUAAUAUAAAAUUAUUAUUUUAUCCUUAAAUUUCAUUCAUCGAGCCCUCGUUCAUUUUCAUCCCAUAAUAAAACUUUCUUUUUUUUGAAGGAAAGUUGUGCUUUGGACCAAUUAGGUACAUAAAACCUGCCCAUAUAAAGCCCAAGGAAGUAUAAAAAUUGAAAAGAAUGAUAUUGAACUUCAAUAUUUCCCGAAAUGCCUUUUAUUGAUGGUGAAAAAACCACAACACAAAAUCCAAGUUGAAAAUCAUAUCAAAAACUUUAAAAAAAAAAAAAUAAAACUCUUCAAAAUAAAAUUUGAAAAACGGUUUUUUUUUUUUAUAUAAUAAGAGUAGAAAAAAAUACCAUUUUUAUAAUAAAAUUGAAAAGCAAAAAAAAAAAAAUUAAUAAAAUUGAAUUUCCCUUUUUAAUAAAUUGAGUUUUUCUUUUAAUAAAUUAUUAUUUUUAAAUAAAUCUUUUUUUUUUUUAGAAUUUGAAAUCACAUUUUUUAAAAUAAAUUUGAACUUUUUUUCUCUUAUUUUUUUUAUAAUUAAUUUAAAAAAAAAAUUUAGUCUAAAACGGGGAUAACUUUUUUUUAAAAAUAAAUUGUAUUGCUUUUCUAAAUAAAUUUGAGAGUUUUUUUUUUUAAAACAUAAGUUAAUUUUUGUUAAUAAAUAUUUUCUAAUUCAAAUAGAAAUUGGCUUUUGUCAACAAAAAAAGAUUGAAAGAUAUUUUGUAAAUAACAUUUUCUUCUAUUUAAUCAAAUAAAAAAUUUGGGUCUUUUUCAAGUCAACUAGCUAGCUUUUUAAAAAAUCUGAAGUUUUAUCUUCAUGGGUAUUUUUGUCUCUUAUAAUUUCAUAUCUUUCCUGUCAAUUAUGUCACUUAUAUGUACUCAAGGUGAAUUUCAAGGCCCCACUAGGUCCAAAACAUAUAUAUAUAUAUUUGAAUCUUAUUCUUUAGUGACAAAAAAAUUUCUCAAAAUUUAUUUACUUUAAAUAAAAAUAAAAAAUUAUUUUACAUUAUAUGUAAAAUUAUUAUUAUUAAUUUAUUUUUUUUUCAUUUUCAUCCCUAUUAUUAUUAUCAAAUAUUAAAAUGAAAACAAAUAAUCAUUUCAAUUUUGAAUUCUUAAACUAAUCCAAAUGCCAUAAAUUGAAUCACUAAAUUAAUUUUCAUUUACCAAAAAAUAAGAAUAAAAACAAAAUAUUCAUUUUCAUUCUUUAUUCUCGUGUGCCAAACACCCCAAUGAAAAACAAUUAAAUCUUUUUAUUACAGGCGCCAAAUUUUGGAUUCAUGAACAUUUCGUGUUCCCAAAUUAAAUUUGUGUUAUACAAAACAUUCAUUGAUUUUAAAAACAUAAAAUUUUGUUUUCUUGUGAAUUGUAUGUCCAAUGCAAUCAUUUUCUGGCAAACUGAGUGCAACAAAGGAUUUUUUGUUCAAUGACCACUUCAGAAAUGUGAUUGGUGCAUGAACAUACUGAAACAUAACAUAGAUUGUUUUCCAUCCAUUCCAUUGACAGGGGUUUGAAGCUUUGUAUCAAAAUACAAAGACAACAGAAGCUCCGGAAGGAGUGAACACCAACAUACACUCUCAUCCAAUGUGGGUCCAUGGAUUUUGGAUAGAAUUUUGUUUUCAUGGACCACCCUCCAUUUCCCGUCCCCUUACUUCCCAAUACAAAAAGGAAUCUAAUCUGCCCCCACACUUCACUCUCCAACAGGAGACAUCCCCACUUCACAUCAAUCCCCAGUGCCAGUGUCCUCAACCUCACCAACACCCCCACACAUUUCUUUGCUUCUUGGUGUGAAAAUAAACCAUUCACUUGGGAAUGUAAAUGGUUUGUGUUUCAAUUCAUUUUGUAUUUGAUCAUAUGAUAUGAUUCUGUACUAAAGUCUCAGAUAUGAUUCUAUACUAAAAUAUAAUUAAUUGGUUAAAAUUGAUAAAUUAAUUUUCAUAAAAUAAUCUGUUUUUGAUAUAAAUGUCUUUAAUUAUUUCAACUAUUUGCAUGUAAGUUUUAAAAGAAAUAGUUAUUUUUACAAUAAAAUAAUAAGAGCAUUUUUAUCAAAAUGUGACCAAAACGAUAUUUUUAAUCAAAUAACCCAAUAAAAUAUAGAAAAAUUAGGAAAAAGUGUUUUUAAAUAAAUAAAAAAUCAUUAAAUAAAUACCAAGUUUAGAAAAUAUAAAUUUAAUUCAUUUAUCUCAAGAUAAUUGAAAUUUUGCACACUUUUAUGAUAAAGGUACCAUCUUUGACUACAUAAAUAGUACAAUGUGUAUGAAAUCAUACUUUUCAAAAAAAAAAAGAAAAAAUCAUUUAGAGAUUUACAUGCCUUAUGCUCUAAAAAAAUAAAAUAAAUUUUUUUUUCUAAUUUGUUUCAUUUUUUUUAAAGUAUAAUGUCAUAGGAUGCUUCAAAUGACACUCUCCAUGGCCUUAUAUAGAGCCUAGGAAGCUUCUGGACACUCUUGGAGCCAUCUGCACUUAGCCAUUAGUGGGAAGGGUGUGGAAGGUUCUAGAGAUGCUUAGAGAAGUCCACACAUGUCUACACUAUGGUGGAAGACAUGAGAAGAGUCCAAGGCUUUCUAGAGAAAACUAGAAAUCUCUUGUAUAUUCUUGUACAUAGAAUUGUGUAGGGUGUUCUAGAAUCUUCUUGAUUUGUAAAGAACCCUCCAAGGUUCCAGAGAGUUCCAUUGGUAAGGGCCUCAUUUGGCCAAGACACCACCCAAAAACCUAACCAAUCAAGCAAGUGAACUUCCAAGCAUUGUAAAGCUUCCUUUGAAAGCAAUAAAGCUUCCCAUUCUUUAAGAGUCGCCUACUACGCCUUCUAAAACUUCGGAGUCAUGAGUGUCUUAGCCUAGCAAGCUAAGCAUUGGGAGUAAGGUUGACUUAGCAAGAUUACGUGCCUUGACUCGUCUAAGUGUCGCACGAGCUUAAGAAAAGACUAAGUUCAUGACAAUAAGGCAUGUAAAUCUCUAAAUGAUUUUUUCUUUUAUAUAUAUUAGGGGUGAGGGUUUCUAAUUAGUCAUCUUUCACCUUUAGAAAGAGAGAACCAAAUCUUCAUCCCUUCCAAAGGCCACUCUUUGGAGUGCCAAGGUUGUGGUUAGUCAUCGGGUAGAAGACUUUAGGUGUAUGAGACUUCCGUAGACUACAAGUUUUUUCUUUAUUGGCUUGGAUUCAACCUGGGAACAUCUAGAUCAUAGGUAUGAGUUUCAAAUCUUUGGAUCUUAAUUCUAAAAUUUCUUUUGAAGCCAUUAAUUUUUAUUGCAUUAAAUCUAGAGAACCUUGGAGAUAAAUGCAUGCACCCUACAAGAUACAGGGCUUGAGAAUGGAGGAAUUUGGGGUUCCUAGCACCUACAACUGGUAUCAAAGCCAUAACUUGGACUAGAGCAUGAUAGAACCUUUCUAAAGUGUGUUAAUGGUUAUUUUCUAAGGUUUAUUGUUUAUCCCAUGGCCUUAGGGACAAAAAAUUUGUGCAUGAAUUAUUAUGAUCUCUUAAACACGAUGUUCAUUAUUAUCAUUGAUAUUUUUUGAGAUUAUGGUUUUGCUCUAGAUUGGUUGUAAGCCUCAUUAAGAGAGGCAUAAGAUUUUUCUUGUUUGUAAAAAUCUCAUUUUUCUUAUAAUUGUUGUGAAUUCCAAUUUGAUAGAGUAUAGGUUUUUGUUGUAAAAAUCAUUCUUUUACCAUUAUUUGUAAUCAUUGGAGCAUUUGGAAGGAAUUUGAAUGAUUACAUGGUGGUUGUGCACGUUGUCUUGUUGGAAAGAGGCAACUUUUAUGGAGCAAAUGACUAUUGGAGUUUGGAUUAGCAACAUUGGGCGCACAAGGAAAGGAUGUAACACUUGAGUGCUUAGAUUAGUGCUUGAGCAAUCAACUAAGUGCUCAAGUGGCUUGAGUGAUUGAGAAGUGUUUUUAGUAGUGGUAUACUACUUGUAACAGUCCUCAAAAUUCUUGGGUGAUCCAAUGCUAGUGAUAGCAAAUUGGUAGUAAGAAAGGGAUAACUACUAAAAAAAGGCAUAUUUUGGGAUCUUUGUAAUAGAUUAGGGUUUUCUUGUGACCCUUACUAUCCUAAUUUUUGUUAUAGGUUUAUUUUUGGUAAAUUUGGAUUAUAAUCCAAAUAAGUUACCAAUUUUAUGCAACACGAUCCCUAAGGCCAUGAGAGUUGUUGAUUUAUUUUAUUGUUUGUUCUAUGCUAUGUUUAUUGUUUAACAUGUAAUAAAUGAAUAAUAAAAUAUUGAAAAAGUACUUUUUUUUACUUAAGAAAACAAUUUUUUUAUGAGAAGUUAAAUUUCCAUUGUUGUUUUUCUUUAAAGUGAUUCUUGUUAAAAGAUUAUUGCUAUUCCUUUUUAGACUAUCCACUUUUUUAGAUAAGUAUUUCUCUUAGUUGGUCCCCCUAAAAGGAAACCAUCAAGUCCUUUAGACUCUCCACACUUGAGAGAAUGAGGACUUUCGUGGAUAUAGAUAGUUCAAGGAUAAAAGAAUUAGAAAGCAAUUCUUUUAGGGCAAGAGUCCCAAUUUAAGAAGUAAAUAGUGGAUUUAGAAAAUCUCAUGAUAGAGAAUUUAUUUUAAGAAAGGUACCAAAACUACUAAAAGUCUCUCUUUUCAAACUAUAAAGUGGGACAGGCAUUAGCAAAGCUCACGACCUCUAUUGUCAAGCCCAUCUUGAUUUGGGUUCAUUACCACUGCCACGAUGGAUUGGGCCCUAGGAAUCAAGUGACAUGGAUUCUCCUUAUGGAAGAGACUUGACAUGUUUGUAGUAGGAGAAACCACCCCCACGAUGGGAUUCCUUACUUAGUGACACUGAUAGUUCAAGAACAAUGGUUAUACACUUAACAUUGUAUAUGGAGUGGUCAAAUCGCCUUAUGCAGUCCCAUUUGCAUAGUUCUUGGGCCAAAGAAAAGGUAUGUUGAUCUUGCCUUUAGAUAUCAUUCAUGGUUAAGGCACGGAGAUCAAUCUAAGAUGGUUUUUAACUAGUAAUAAGAUCAUGACCUACCCCACGUAGGUUUUAUUCUUAUGAUACUAGGAUACCUUGAAAAAGGACAUUUAGUUUGAGAGCACUACAUUUUUGCUAAAUUAAUUACUAGUUUGUUAGGUAUGCUCAAUAAAUUAAUGCAUGGUUUUUAUUUCUAUUAUAGAUAUCAUGUCUUAUAAUAUGAUAAAUCUCAUUAUCACUACUAAUAAAUUGACGGGACUAAACUAUAUGGAUUGGAAAAGAAAUCUAGGCAUAGUACUCACUUGAGAGAAGCUUAAAUGAGUGACUUAAGAAUUAGCUCCAUCUCUCUCUAAUGAACAUUCCACUCAAGAAGUGAAUGAUGCAUAUCAUAGUUAGCAAAUGAUGGAUUAGAAGACAAAGUGUAUUAUACUUUGGCUUUUAGAUAAGGUGUUGCAACAUCAACACAUAUCUAUUCCAAUAGCUUAUGAUAUACUUACUAGUCUCCAUGAUGUGUUUGGUGGCCAGGGCAAGUCAACUUGAUAAGCUUCCCUUAAGACAAUUAUGAAUAAUCAAAUGUCAUAAGGAACUCCCACUAGAGAUCAUAUGAUUCAUAUGGUCAAACUCUUUAAUGAGAUGGAGAUCCUUGAAGUUGAAAUCGAUGAGGAAAUCUAAGUUAACAUAGUUCUAGAGACCUUGUCAAAUUCUUUGAAGCAGUUCAAGCUUAAUUAUUUUAUGAAUAAGAUGGUGAUGAUCUUGACUAAAUUGAUAAGAGAACUCCAUAUGGUUGAGGGGAUUCUUAAGGAUCAGAGAAGCAUUCAUAUGACAGUCAAGGGUUCUUUAGGUUCUUUUAGCUAGAAGAAGAACACUACUAAGACUACCAAGCAGAAGGGAAAGGGGAUGAAGAAGAAAAACAAAGGUUGGGGCAAAUGUUUCUUUUGUGGUAAGAAAGGCCAUUGGAAAAAUGAAUGCUUUAAAUUCCUAAAGAGAUAGUCAGGUAUGCAUCAUUCUUUUCUUGUUGAAUCAUGUUUAGUAUUAGAUUCCACAAAUUAUUGGUGGAUAGAUUUCGAAGCUACUGAUCAUGUCUGCAAUUCUUUUCAGGGGUUCAAUCUAAAGAGAAGGUUGAAUUAUAGGGACAUGUGUGUGAAAUUAACUUCUGAAGAGAGGAUUGUUGUGCAAGCAAUGAGAGAUGUUACCCUUAUGUUAGAUGAUAGUUGUCUUCUAGAGUUGAAAGAUUCUCUUUAUGUUCUAAAGUAUAAGAAAAAUUUGAUUUUGGUUUCUACUUCAUGUGAACAAAAUUAUUCAUUAUUUUUUUUUUAUAAUAAACAAGUUUUUAUUAAAUUAAAUACUUCAUUUAUAUACUCAGGAUCAUUGAUAGAUAGUCUUUAUCGUGUCUAUUUUGCCAAUAAUGAGAGUUAUCAUAUCUCACAAAAAAAGUAAGGAACCAAGCACUAAUCAAUCAUUGUUUUGGCACUUACGCCUAAGUCAUAUUAAUCUAAACAUGAUUCAAAGACUGGUUAAGUUUGAAAUUUUAUUUUUUCCUUUAUUCCAAAAGAUCUUCUAGUAUGUGAAUCAUAUAUAGAAGGUAAAAUAACCCAAAGGCCCUUUAUUGUUAGCCAAUGAGUAUUUGGAGUUAGUGCAUACUAACAUGUGUGGGCCUUUAAAUGUCCAUGCAUAGGGAGGAUAUGACUAUUUCAUCACGUUUAUGGAUGAUUACUCUAUGUUUAGAUAUGUUUACCUAAUGCAUAGAAAAUUCGAUGCCUUGGACAAAUUCAUUAAAUUUAAGGUGAAAUAAAAAACCAAUUGGGUAAACAUACCGAGGCACUUCGAUCUAAUCAAGGUGGCGAGUACAUGUCUACUUAGUUCAAUUCUUUCCUUAAGAAGCAUAGAUUAUAUCCUAGUUGAGUGCACUUGGUAUUGCACAAAAAAAUAAUGUGGCGCAAAGAAGAAAUCGAACAUUGAUGAACAUGGUGAUAUAUAUGAUGAGUUUAUCUUGACUUCUUGUAUUCUUUUGGGGAUAUGCCUUGGAUAGUGCAUCUUACCUUCUCAAUCUAGUGCUUUCCAAGUUGGUACCUUCAACUCCCAUAGAGAUGUGGAAAGUUCACAAACCUAGUUUGCAACACAUUCACAUUUGGGGGUGCUUAGCACAUGUGCUAAAAACCAAACAUAGACAAGUUAGAAACAAGGUUUAAGGUGUGUUAGUUUGUAGGCCAUCCAAAAGGAAUGAGAAGUCAUUACUUUUAUAAUUAGGUUGACCAGACGGUAUUAAUGGGUAGAAAUGCCAGAUUUCUAGAAAAGGACCAUAUGAUGAGUAAUAGGGCAAAAUGUGAUAUAUAUUGAAGGGCACUUGAAGACACUCUGCCAUUAACAUAGGGGACUAUGGGUCUAAAGGUUCUUGCACCUACCAUUCUAGUUAGUUUUAGCACACAAGUGCCUCAUCGUAGUGAGAGGGUUUUCAUACAACUAGAUAGGUUUAUGUAUUUGUGAGUCUUUCGAGGUAAUUAAAAAAGAACACAAGACUGAUCCCACAGAUUAUGAUGAAGCAAUGAGUAGUGAUGAUGUUAUUCUAUGGCAAGGAGCUAUGGAGGCAAAGUUAGAAUCUAUGUAUUCUAACAAAGUCUAGGAUCUUUUAGAAGCACUUAAAGGGAUCAAACCCAUAGGGUGUAAGUGGGCCUACAAGUAGCAAAAGGUUAUAGUUAGAAUCCUAGUUUCAACUAUGAGGAAACUUUUUCACCAAUAGCCAUGCACAAAUCAAUAAAAAUACUCUUAUCCAUCAUGAUGUGGCUUGAUUAUGAGAUAUGGCAAAUGGAUGUUAAGAUAAUGUUCUUGAAGAGCGCAUCUAUAUGAUGUAGCCAUAUGGAUUCAUAACAAAGGGCCAAGAACACCUUGUGUGCAAAUUACAUAUAUCCAUUUUUGGGUUAAAGCAAACAUCUCUCUCAUGGAAUAGGCAGUUUGAUCAGGCUAUCAGGACCCUUGAUUUUGAUCAAAAUGAGGAUGCGACUCAUGUGUACAAGAAAAUGCAAGGAAGCAUGGUGGUGUUUUGGGUUUUGUAUAUUGAUGACAUUCUACUUAUUGGGAAUGAUGUAGAGUUAUUGUAUUUAAUCAACAUUUGGUAAUCUACUCAAUUCUAGAUGAAAGAUAUGGGGGAUGUGCAAUAUAUUCUUAGGAUUAAGGUCUUUCAGUAAAUAUGAAAGUUGCAUUAUCACAAGCCACCUACAUUGAUAGUCUUUUAGUCAAAUAUGUGAUGUAAGACUCAAAUAAAGGUUUAGUACCCUUUAUGUAUGGAGUAUUUUUUUUUCUUAAGAUUAGUGUCCUAAGACUACUAAGAAGAAAGAUCACGUGAAGGUAGUACCCUAUGCCUCAGUAGUGGAUAACUUAUGUAUGUGAUGCUAUGUACUAGACAUAACAUUUGCUUUGUUAUAGGGAUGGUGAGUAGAUAUCAAUCUAAUCUAAGGAUGAAGCAUUGGACCACGGUCAAACAUAUACUCAAGUAUAUUCGGAGAACAAGGCAUUAUAUGUUGGUAUACUAUUGUAAUGAGUUGUUAGCCCUUGGGUAUAUGGAUUUAGAAUUUUAGUCUAAUAGAGACUCAUGCAAGUUUCUUUCUAGGUUUUUGUUCACUCUAGGUGGUGAGGCUAUUAGUAGGAAAAGUGUGAAAAAAUCUUAUAUUGCUGACUCCACUAUGGAAGUCGAGUAUGUUGUUGCUUUUGAAGUAGUAAAGGAAUUUGUUUAGCUUCGAAAGUUCCUGAUGGGACUUGGAGUAGUACCCUUAGUUGUAUUGCCCCUAAUACUAUUUUGUGACAAUAGUGGGUCGGUGGCAUAGUCUAAAGAAACAAGAAACCACUUAAAGGGUGAGCACAUUGAAAGGAAGUGCGCUUGAUACGUGAGAUAGCAUUGAGAGGGGAUGUGGUUGUGGAGAAGAUUGCUUUUGCAGAGAAACUAGCGGAUCCCUUCAUGAAGACUUUAUCUACUAGAGUCUUUGAUGGUCAUAGUGAUAGCUUAGGUGUCAUGCUUCAGGCCUAGUGGGAGUUUGUAGGGAUUGAGCCCUAGAAAGCAUGACAUGAUGCAACAGAUUGAGAUUCAUUUAUAAAUUUUUAUUUAUCUAUGUUUCUUAGUUUUCCAUUUAUUAUCCUAUAUGCAUUAAUUGGUUAUUUGAGCAUACACACCCACAUUACUUGUAUUUUACAUGACUUAGGUGUAUUAAGAGUUGUAUAGAAGAUCUAAUCCAUGGGUUCCUUAUAGAGUGAUGAGUAAUCAACAAUUAGUUCAUGGAUUUAGGCAAUCUAGCAGAGAUUGUAAUGCAUUACCUCUAAAUUGGAGGGAUGACUUGUCUUGGUGAGUACAUUAGUGUAUGUGACUCAUAUUGGAUAGGACCUAUGGUGAACUAUGAUGUAAGGCUAUCAGUUGUGAUGAUUCACUGAGUUACUAUACUAUAUGAACUCUUAACUUUGAGAGGAUAUUGAUCUUAUACCGAAGUCAAUAGUAGACUAUGACUUAUGGGUGAUACCCUAAAGUGGUCACAUAUCCUUAUGGAUUGGGUCAAUAUUGGAGGUUGGUGGCAAUUGAUAUUCUUAAUAAAGGCACCAUGAUAUCUCAUGGAUUGAGACAAUGUGUCCCUUUGGGUGAUCCAAAGGACAUGUGUUCUAGAAGACUAUGGCUAUAAAUUUUCCUUUAGUGGAAAUUUGACAUAAGGUUUUUAAAGCUAGAGUAUGCCAAUUGAUCACAUAAUAAGUGGGAUCUAUAACUCAAGGAUUGGAGAGGUAAUCUUGAUAGGUGAUAGGACUACCUUGUUAUAUUAAAGACACCAAUUCAUUGGGAGUCUGUAUGUAGUGGAUAGUAAGUUACGAACUUGAUCUUCGUGUCAUUGUUAUUUAGAUAGGGUAUUGAAGUGUAGUUGAUUCUCUUUAGUGGGAUGUUGAAUUGACUUUAGAAUUAAAUUUUGAGGAAGCCAGUAUUCUUAUGGGUUCCAAUAGUCCCCACUUUGAGCUCAUAUACCAUUGACACAAUUUAUGAGGUUUAGAUUAGCUCUAGGUUUACUUUUGUGCAUAAGGGCAUUCAAUUAAGAUAAUUACACAAGGUUGCAUAGAGGAUAAUGAACAAGGUCUCUAGAAUAGACUAAAUGAUUAAUUAGAUGACCUUGGGUGGUUAAUUAAUCAAUUAGAACUUGGUUUAGGUUAGAUUAAGUGACACAAACUCAUGUGGGAUCAAGUCACUUAAGCCUAGUAAGGGAACACUAUAAAUACCCCCUUAGGGGUUAGGGUUUCCUAAUGAUUCUCCAAAGAGUUGUUGAUUCAUGCCCAGUCGGUGUAUCAGCUGAUUUAUGUCCAGCUGGUGCUCCUUGGCUGAGGGAGUAAUCAACAAAAUUUAUAACCUAUUACACCAUGAACUAGGGUAGCAAAGACAAAGCUACUAUAGCAUAGUGGCUCUAGGAUCGUUCACUGGGAAGGGUUUUCAAUUCAUAAAUGAUACCAAUUCAAAGCUAAAUUGGUGCCUUUUCAUUUCAAGGUUAGCUUCAAAAGAAAACAUAAACUUUGAUUGAAAAAGGUUUGGUGUAAUCUAACGGCAAAGAAAGUAAUAGAAAUUACUUAUAAAGAAAAGCAUUCCUUGGAGGUUUAGGUUAACAAGGUAGGUUCCUCGUGCAAAAAAUAGAACUCAGGUCAUUUGGUUCAUUUCCUCCCUUUAGAGAAUUAACAUAUAGUCAAUUCUCUAACCGGUGCUGUACAGAUGCUUUCCCUUAAUGGGUUCAAACAUUAAAUCCCUCUCACUGAUGCACCUUGCAAUGGUUCGUGCCUCUCACCUAGCAUUUGCCAUUCAAGGUGAUCCUUAACCUUGGAUUACCCGUCAAAAGCUCGUAAGAGAUAACUAAUGGAUGUCUCCGUGGAGUCCAAAAGCUUACCAAGUGUUGGCUAUUCUAGAAAAUCCUACCUUCAAACCACCUCCCAAAGGCUCGCAAGAGAUAAACUAGUGCAUCUCAAUGGAAGGAGAUCACUUGCCUUAUCAAGUGUUGGCCCAGGUGAUUUAAAGGCGUUUUAAGUUAACUAAAAAGAUAGAAAUCAUUAACAAGUCACACUUUCUCUUCAUUAAUGGCUAAAACCACAAAGCUACUAAUUCUUGCAUUUGGAACCUUUCCCGGAAACCUUAACUCCAAGGAACUAAAAGUCUAGCCACUCAUUCUCUGAAGAAACUUCCUCAUAGCUUGUUUGGCUAGAAAUAAAAAGAACGAGAAAACAAAAAUAUAUUUGUAUGAAAAACAGAGCAAGUGCUCUGUGUAUAUAUUACUUAUUCAAAGGGUUGUCUCUAAGAACAAGCUCCUCGAGAGCCGCUUUAUCAAAAAGAUUACAAACUAUAUAUAUGGGUUUAUUUACCCUUUGUUCUUACUUAAAGACUAAGGAAUCCUAUGAUAGGUGGGUUACAAGGAGACUUUGGGAAUUUAGACAUCAAAUAUCUAAAGCAAAAUAUCCCAGAAGAUCUUAAAAUGUCGGUCGCAAAUAUCAGGAAGCUUCAGGAGAACAUUACAGCUGUGCAACAUUCUGCCUUCAGCUUGGAGUGAUCCGGGUAAACGCCAUGGAGGAUCCGGACAUGGCUGAUCGAGGAAGUUGAAACGCCUCCUUUCCCAUCUGGAUCCUGAAUUCUGGAUGUCAUCCGGGGGGUGGAUGCGGCGCCGGAUGUAAGUGGCAGUAGCCGGAUUCCGGAUGUGAUACAUCCGGAUGGAAAUGGCGGCAGCCGGAUGGAAUUUCUACCCGGAUGGAAAUGAGCUGGAUGUAGUUGUCUUGCGAAGGCCAUAUCUUCCUCAUUUCAGCUCCAAUUCGUACACCGUUUGAAGCAUUGGAUUCUUGACUUCCUAAGAUUUGAACGACUGCAACUGCUCCAAAAGUGCUCCAAAAGUGCGAAAGAAGACUGCAACUGCUGUCCUCUGUUUUCUUCACUCUGUUUUUCCUCUCUCCGUUGUUCUUUCCUUGCAUACUUUGAACGACUUUGGCAAAGGGCUAUGGAGCUCCAAAGCUUGGUUCUUCAUGAAUUUGAGCUUCCAAAAGCUUUGCCAUGAACUAUAUACAGCUCUCCCUCAUUCUUGGAUUGCUUUGGUGUAGCUAAAAGCUAUCAAAAACACCAAAACUUAACGCAAUUUGAUUAGAAACGAUUGCAAGGGUCCUUAACAUGUCAAUUGAGUUAAAAGGUAAUAAUUACUACUCAAGAGUGUUUAAAAGAGUUAAUUACAAGCUACAAAAUAGCACUUUUUGAGUAGUAAUCAGUUGUGUUUCCCUUUUAGAGAGAGAAAGAGAGGAGCCAAGGCAUCCUCUCUUUCAAAGCCUACCAUUUGAAGUGUCAUGGCCAUGGUGACAGUCAACAAGGGAAAGACUUUGGGUGUACGAGACAUCCAGAAUAUUCAUGCACCUUCUUUACUACAAGGAAUUGAUAUGAUAACAUCCAGAUUUAGGUAAAAACAUCUAUUGCACUAUUCUUCUAGUCCUUGAUUCCUAAAAAUCAUAUAUUGCUUCGGUGGUUGGGAUCUAAAGUCCCUAAGAUUAGUUUCAUGCACCCAACCUAAGCUUAGGAUAGGGAAUGGAGAAACUUGAGGUAUUCCUACACCAAGUGACCCAAUGAGUUCUUCAAGUAGAAGAUUGAUGAGAACCUUUGCUUAUUAAUUGUUGUCACCUUUGCUUCGUACUUCUUUUGAAAAGGCCUUAGGGUCUUCCUAACCUUUUCAGUCUAGAUCUUUCCCAAAGCUUAAAGUUCAUUCACAAUCUCCAUGAACCUAGUAAACAUCUCACUAUUGAUUUCAAAAUCUUUUAUUGAAAAUAAUUCAUCCUUAAACUCUUUCACUUGAUUGAUUCCCUCAUGUGUUAUUUCGAAGAGUCUUCAUAUGUCUUUAGCAGUUUCACAUUGGCAUAGCCUAUUAUAUUCAUUUAUGUCUAAUGCAUAAUGGAGAAAACAAAUAGCCUAAGCAUUUAGUUAUGUAUUUUUUCUUUUCUUGCUCAUUUGACACAUAGCUUGCCUUUGGAAUGAACACCUUAUUUUUAAUUUUUGUUAGUAUAUCAAAACCAUUUUUAAUGACUUCCCAUAAAUUAGAAUCAAUAGAUUUUUAAAACCAAGUCAUUUUCUUUUUCUAAUACCUAGCUAUAACCAUUUUGAGAAAAGAAUAAGAGUCUAGAAAUUGGAAAACCUUUCAUGACUAGUGAGCAAGGUCAAUUAUGUAUUCCUUUAAGGUAGUUAAACCCUAUUCUAGAGGCCAAACUUUGAUACUAAUUAAGAACUUAUGGAUUACUUUUUUGAUGCUUAACAAAAAUAUGUUAUCCUAACUUAAUUAGUGCACUCAUCAUCUCACAUAAAAUAUCCAAAUGAUAAACUUGAUAACCCUUUUCUUAAUUCUUUUGGAUUUCCUUGUUUGCUCUAUCUAUUUUCUUUUUACUAGGUUCAAGGAGAUGAUCUUCUUACCGAUCACACUUAAAUAUAACCAUUAGAUCCAAUCUUUGUUUCUUAUCAUCAAAAUAUGAAAUUAAUCAAACCUUGAUAACUAAAAGACUCAACUUUGACUAAGACUACAUUGGAGAAAAGAGAAAGUUUGAUCAAAUGGAAUUGAAAGUACUAAGGAAUGAGACUUAGGAAAGUAGUAAAAGGGAAAAGAAAAGUAUAUGAAAUAUUUUUGGAACACAAAUCAUACAAAAUGUGCGUGCCUAUCCUUGUACAAGAAUGUAGUUCUCCAAAACAAAGACAUUUCAUUUAUUCAAAACAAGGCCUAUCUAUAAGUAAGGGUUAAUGGAGCAAUAUAUAUAUUCUUUUGGCAAUAGUAAAUUUUUUUAAUUUGUUGUUAGAUUUUUUUAUUUUUUUUUAUUUUUUUUUUAUUUUAUGAAUUGCUUGAUUAUGUAUAAGCAUUUGUAUUAUGUCUACACUUAAAUGGAUAAUUUAUAUCCAAUGAUUGAAUGAUAUCAAAUACAUAUUUGAAUAUAUUAUGAAAGGCAAAUAUGAAUAAUUUAUUUUGUGUUAGAAAAUUGAAAAUAUUUGAUAUGAUGUAUGAUUGAAAUAGGAAAAUUGUUAAUCUAAGUCAAUUUAAUUUUGUAUCGUUAAUAUAUAUAAUAGAAAUGGAUUAUUAUAUGAUUAUAUUGUACUUAAUUAGAAUGUUUAUGUUCCUUGAGUACAAGGCACCCCACUAAGAAACAUGUGGAUUCUCACGCCCCUAGAAUUAUUUUGGAUGAAGAUAUAGUUUUUCUCCGACUACAAGAAUAUCAGAGAGGGAAUCUUCGAAAGUGUCAAUAAAUGAAGGAAUGACCUAAAUGACUAUCUUUUUAACUUAUAUUAAUUUUUUGGCAUGUAUUAAGUUGGAUUAUACGGAUGAUUGUAACUUCAACUAUAUUUUGUAUAAAACCUUUAGGAAUACUUUGGCAUAAAGACUAUUGUAGAUUUUGGCUAAUUACCUCAUGUGGAUAAAAUAUUAGCAAAUUAAUUGUACUUAUGAGCAAGUGGUGACUAAUUACGGGGCAUUAACUUAGCUAAACCUUUAUUUAUUAAUUUCUUUAAAAUUACAUUUUAAUUUGUUUCAUGAAAAUUAGGUUAUCUAGUUGACUAUCAACUUGGAUAGAGUAUGAUCCUCGAGGUUAAACCUUUGACAUUAGGUCACCGUGUUAGGUUCUAGUGUCACCUAGAAUUUGGAUUUUGAUAUAUAUAUAUAUGUCCAAAUAUUUAUUGAGGGUUAACCCAAUAGAGAAUGUACGAGGGUAGGUAAUUCUAGAUUUUUAAAACAUUAUAUAUAUAACAUGGGCAUUGCCUUAUGAAUUCUCUUGGAGCACAAGGAAGUUUUGUACUACACCUAUUUGAGCUACUUGAAUUAAAACAUCAACUGUUUCCACUAGAAUAAGUAUAUGUAACCAUAGGAAUAGUGAUGCAACAAUUAGUAAUUCUUGCUAAAAUACAGUCAAUAAUUAUUGUAGGAUAUUUGAUUUAAUAGAUGGUGAAAUUUAGUGGAAGAAUUCACAUUCCCAUAUGUACUUCCAAAAAAGAUAAGAAAGAAGAUUUUGCAAACCUUUCCUCUUAUAUGGUUGGACUGGAUUAAGUUAACAGAAAUUUUGGUCUUUGACUGCUGCAAUUUUUCCAAUAGGCUUACACAUAUCAUUCAACUGGAUUGAGUUAGCAGAAACAUUGGUCUUUGGCUGUGGUGAUCAUGACUGAUGUAUUUGUGAUUUCAGGUAGUUAUCUCCACCAAAUGAUUUGGGAAUGUUACUGCUUUCAGACUCGUGUUUGAUUGGUGACACAAGUACUUCAAACUACAACUUUGGGGUACAAGAUUUAUCUUUUUAUCAUCUUCCAUUGUCAGCAACUUUUCCCAUGAAGUGGUUCAUAUAGAACUUUUUCAUUGUCAUAAUGCUAGCUUCUUCUUCCACCUUUUAAAAGGCGCAAGCAUUGUUUCGGAAUGGCUAACUAAAACCUACUGUUGAGAAAAUUCCACUGGCUAUUCCUUUGAAUUCUUGAGGAUCUUGGGUGUGGUAUUUGCAUCUGCCCUUCUCACUGAGAACCAAAGUACUUGUUUCACCUAGACUGCUUGGACAGUUACGAUCAUAUGGUUUCGGCUAAGAGGAUGAACUUGGCAUCCCUUGACCACAUGUGGGUGCAAUAUUGAAAUCUGAGCCAAUUUCUGGUGUAUCACUCAGCUUUCUCUUUUUCUAGUCCCUGGGAAUUUCCAAAUUGAGCUGCAACACAUGGUGAGAUUUCGUAAAUGUAUUACAUUCCAAAUAAUGCAUCCAAAUAUAUUGCAUUUCAAACAGUGACAAAUGUAAGUAGACAACAAAAUCACUUAAAGAAUGCAAUAAAAGAGACCUAAAAAAUCAUUCAAGUCAAUUAUAUUCCAAUAUUAUUUUCUGUUCACUGGUGCUUAAAAGGUCCUUUGACUUCUACAUACACUAGUCUGUAGAGGUAAUGAUAAUUUUUAGAAUUCCAGUAACAAUAUCUUAGGUAUUUCUUCAGAUAAACUCUUUUCCUCCUUGGUAGUCUCAAUUUUUUGAACAUUUGAAUCUAAAAAUGGAAGCAGUUUAGCAUCUAGUUCCUCUUCAAAUAAACUCUUUUUAGGUGUCCACCUACGAGAAGCUCCCCUACUAUUUAACCUUUUUAAUUACGUUUAUAAUAUAAACAUAUCUUUUAAUAUUUUUAAACCCAUCUAUGGAGUUAAAUGUUGAUAUUUCUUUAUAGCAAUGUCUGGUCCUUCUAGGUACUUCUCUAUAACUUACAUUCUAUUAAUCGCUACAUCAUAUAUCUAGUCUUUCUAGGUACUUCUCCCUAACUUAUAUUUUAUUGAUGACUGCAUCAUAUUUUAUAGUUGUUGCUAACUUUUAGUAAUUUGAAGUCAACAGAAAAAAACGAUAACUUUGUUUGAAAUUAUUGCGUAUCAUCCAAAAAAAAAAUUGUUUUUUGCUAUUGAUAGGCUACUAAGCUUUAACUAUUUAAGUAUACCAAUGCAAAAGAAGUUACAUCCCAUGAUAAAUCUUAAUCUGGAUAUUUGUUCUCCUUGACAUAUAUGCUUUCUCAAAUUGUAGCUAACAAACUAAAAAACAAACAAAUAACUAAAAACAAUGGAAAAGAGAGCCUAGAGAUGGUGGUUUGGCUUUGAAUUGUUGUUUUGCAAUGUGUCAGAAAGCCUAUAUGAGGCCAUUUUUAGAUAUCUUAAUAGCCUAAAUUACUGCACAAUUUGCAUCUAAAUGAUCGUUUGUUUUAAUAUUAACACAUGAAGUCUUUCACCAGUGGUCCCUCUCAUCAAUGGUAACUUUGAUGCCUCAUCAAAGAACAAGAAAUCAACACUGUUCCACUAAAGUAUCAUGAUUAGUUCUUCCUUCAACACUUCAUUGAAAUUUAUCUUAGUAGAAAACCAAAACCAACAGCAAUUCUCAUCAGGUUGAGAAUUUGAAGAACACAACUUGAUAUUUAAGAAUUAAAUAUCUUUAAGUCAUCUUUAAUAGUCUUCUAGAAGAGUAGAUAUUAAGAACAUCAGUAGAAAGCAUUGUACGGUUUUCAAACUUCUAUUUCCUCACGAAAUACUUGUCUUUGGAACUAACAUGAAAUUCAACUCCUUUAUUCUUCUUCUCGUUCUCCCUAUAAUAACUUUUUACUUAGUUUUACAUAAUAUAUAACCAAUAAAUUUAGAUUUUGAAGACAAUAAUAGCUAAAAUCACUAGAUAGAUUGGGGAUACAAUUAGUAAAGUAAUUUAUAGAAAGUUUCAACUAAAAGAUGACUUUAAUAGGGACUAAUGUGGUGGGUUAUUUUUGGAAAUGGGCUAUCUACCCCAAUAGGAGAAAAAGUUACAAUUGAGACCCUUAGGUUAGAGUCCUUAAAGAAAGAAAGACAAACUGUCCUUAGGUUAAAGACCAACAACAUACCUUAAGAAGAACCUUGUUGGUAUUAAAUAAUUGGGGGCAUAAACAUAUGUUUGUAAGUGAAAGUUCCUAAAUUUUAGCAAAUUCAAUUGAAUACAAAUAAAAGUACAUCAAAGCUGGUAUUGCUUGUUGUGUUAUAUGGAUGAUCAUGUAGCUAAUGACAUAUUAGUGAGUUGUGUGCUUAUUACCAACUACGUAUUAUGAUCCCUUGUAUUUUUGUUUAAAUUUUACAAUAACAUCUUCUACUAUAAAAUUUUUAUAUAGUUUUAAUUAUAGCAAAGAGUCUUCUACUUCAUUAAGUAAUUCUAAGAUUAAUUCUUGUUCUCUAGAGAUAAAAUUUAUUAUUUUAGGUUGACAAUCAUAUUUACCUUUGAUGCACUUUUCUUGAUCACUAGAGAUUUGACUUACACUUUCAUUAGUAUCUUCAAGAUGGUUAAUAUGGUCUUCAUUAUUUGAUUUAGUCAUGGAUUCAGAUUUUGAGAUGUUUAGCAUUGAAUCACAUAACAUAUUUUUUACUUGAUCUAAAGCAUUCAAUCAUUAAUUCCUUUUUUUAAUUUUACAAUCUUUCUUAAAAUGUCUAACUUUCCCACAUUUAUAGCAUAUUGGAUUUGAGUGUGACGAAGUUUCUAUUUUCUUAUGAGGUUCUUCUAUGGAUUUUCUUAUGUUAUGCCUUAGUCUUUUAGUUUUUUUUUUUUCUAUAUUCCAUGUGUUCCUUUUUUGUUAUGGAAAGCUUUUUUCCUUGGUUUCCUAAUUAUUUGUCCCUCCUUACAUUACUUAGAUGGAGAUUUUUGCUAAAUCCAAACUAACAACAAAAUGUUCCAAAUUCAUUCCUAUAAAUAUUUCAUUCAGAUUUCAUUUGUUGGUUAAGCUUAAAAUCAUUACAUAAGUUAAUUCCUUCUAUAGUGCUAAUAUUUAUAAUUUCUCCAUAUAUUCAAUUACCAUAAGGGAUUUGACCAUUAAAUUAUUCUUUAAUCUUAAUCCUAACAUUUUUGAGAAAAGUCUUAAGUAAUUUUGAGAAAAAAAUUUCUUUCCAAAAGAUUGAUUAUUGUUUGAUCUUAACAUAACUUUCAUUAAAAAACAUGUCUUUCUACCAUCUAAAAUCUUGAAGUUUGGGACACUUAUGGUUGGUUAACAAAUUCACUAUUUUAUCUUUGAUCUUGGAUGGAUUUCUUAUGAAAUGUUUAGAGAUAGAGAAAAUUGGAGUAGUAGUUGCAUCCUCUAUAGCUUCUCCUUCUUCAUUCUUGACUACUCUAUUUUUUGAGUUAGUUUUGUAGGCACUUAUGAUAAAAAUCCUAUCUCUAUCUUCUAGUUAUGAGUUCGUUGAACUAUCCUUUUCAAUAGAUAAUAUAGUUAAUCCAUCUAAAAUUUCUUUUGACAUGGUAGAUCAUAAAUAAGAUUUUAUUUAUUUUAGUUUCAAAUAACUUAUUUAUGCAAAAGCAACCAUCACAUGUAUAUUUAAUAAUAUUCUAUACACAACACAUGCAUUUGACAAAUACAUGAAUUUGGAAGAGAAUUUAAUUUCUUUAUAUUAUUUAGUAUUGAAAUUGUAUUAUGCAUUCGUACUUGCAAAACCUUCUUUAAAACAUUUAACUCUGAAAAUAAAUUUAAACCAUCAAUAUGAGAUAGCUCAUCAUGUUACAUGAUCUAUUAAAUCUUGUUUAUUAUUACUGGAAUAUUCACUUAUUGUUGUUUUUCGUAAUUCAAUUAAUGUAUAUAUUUUCUCUUUUCUUUUUAGUUUUUCAUAUAUCAAUUUAUAUUUUCAAGCAAACAUAUUAUUAUUAUUUUUUUUAAAAAAAUACAAUAACAUAACACAACAAAACGUUACAAUGAAGCAUACAAUUUGGCACCACAAAUGAAAAUAAAUUAUAAACAAAAUUGAAAUAUUAAAUAAAUCAAAAUAUAAAAUUAGAACAAUAUAACUUAAUUUGGAGGAAUAUUUUAUUGUGCUUGAACUUUGCUUAAUAUGAACUUGAUAGAAAUUGAUUCCUUAUAUUUAGUACAAAGCAAGUAGAGACCUACUCCAAUAGUCUACUAGGAUAUAUUCAUGUAAAGGAGUCUCUUGUUAUCAUAAAGGAAACAUCUUAUAGUUUUCUUACGAAUUGAUAUGUUUGAUAAUUAUACAAUUAGUUUCCUAUAUGAAAUCUUUCUUUCUCUUUGUCUCUCUCUCUCUUUCUCUCUCUCUCUCUCUCUCUCUCUCUCUCUCUCUCUCUCUAUAUAUAUAUAUAUAUAUAUAUAUAUAGAUAGAUAGAUAUAUAUAAGUAAAGAGAAAGUAAGAGAGAGAUUUCAGUUGAGUGAUCUCUCUUUAGAUGUACUUGAGACUUAUGAUUUUAGAUUUCUAGGGUUGUAAUCUCCUUCAACAAUAGUAGAAGUUCUUCUUUGUUUUUGUUCGUGGAUGCAAGUUUUAGGCCUAACCAUGUAAAUUGGCGUGUGCUUUGUGUGUUUUUUAUUUUUGUUUUCUUAUUUUCUUCUCCCUAUUAUUAUUUUUCAUUAUUGUUUUUCAUAACAAACCGAUAUCAAAGCUUAGGUUAUUAGACCUAGUAUGGUAACAAAGUUUGAGGUUGAGAAGUGUGAUGAAAGAAAUGAUGUUUAAUUAUAACACAUUAAGAUAUAGGACAUGUUGGUUCAACAAGGGUUAUCCAAAGCAAUGAAAGGUAGAAAUGCUUUACCAACAAGGAUGUUUGAUGAAGAAAUGGAUGAACUUAUGGAGAAAGGGUGUAGUGCUACUUUAAUGUACUUGGUAAUGAGGUAUUUCGUGAGAGGCUACAAAAGAGGAUAUGAUUGCCAAGUUAUGAUUGAAGCUAAAAAGUCUAUAUAUGACAAAGUCUUUUACAAAUCAUUUCUAUUAGAAGAAACAAUUCUUCACGUUGUAGAUGAAAAUGGGUACAUCUUUUAAAGAUGGACCACCUUGAUGAGUUUCAUAAAACUAUUAUGAAGUUAAAGAUUAUUGAUUUUUGAAUUAAUGAUGAAGACCAGAUCUUAAUUUUGAUACAUUCUCCAAUGAAUUCCCAUGACCACUUUAUGGAUAUCAUGAUGUAUGGCAUAGAUAAUCUCUCUAUAGAGGAUGUUAGGGCAAUGGUGAGCUCAAAGGAGUUGGAAAAGAGAGCAUAUGAGAGUAGAGAAGAAAGCUAAAGUGAAGUUUUUAAUGUUAGAGGUAGAACAAAACAAAUAAUAACAAUGAUAAGAAAGGUUGAUCUAGAUCGAAAUCAAAGUCCAAGGGAAACAACAAGUAUUUCAAUUACCACAAAGAAGAACAUUAUAUGAGAAAUUGUGCAAAACAUAAAGAAAAAGAAAACGACAAAGCUUCUAAUUUUGGUGAUGCAAUAGUUGUAGAAGAAAAUCCAUAUACUAUAAAUAUCCUUUCAGUUAUUGUUGGUAACUUAGGUGAUGAGUGGAUCCUUGAUUCAAGGUGCUCCUAUCAUAUGUCUCCCAAUAAGGAUUAGUUUAGUACCUAUAAACUUAUAAAUGGAAAGAAGUUUUCAUAGGAAACCAUGUAGCUUGUAAGGUUGUUGGAAUUGGCAUAAUUCAAAUUUUGAUGCUUGAUGACAUUGUAAGGACAUUAACCGAUAGAAGCAUGUUCUAGAUUUGAAGAAAUUUUUUUGUUUCUUUAGGGACACUUAACUCCAAUGGAUGAACUAUAAUGAUGGAGGCGUAAUUGUGAGAAUUUACAAUUUCAAAUGGAGUUCUUGAUGUGAUGAAUAGAGAGAGAAAAAAAACCUAAUAUCUUUAUACAUUAUAAAUAGCAUUGUUACAAGUGUAACUAUAGUUUCAAUCUUAAAAUUAACUUGAGAGACUAUGAAAAUAUAGAAUAUAUGGUUUAGGCAUAUGAGUGAGAGGGUUGAAAAUUUUGAGUAAAUGAGGUUUGCUUGGUGGGCAUAAAAGGGGAGAACUUGAUUUUUGUGAGAAUUAUGUUUAUGGGAAGCAAUGCAAGUUUAAAUUUAGCGUAGCUAUUCAUGAGACUAAAGUUACUUUGAAUUACAUUCAUUUAGAUCUUAGGGCCCUUUUCAAUUUGUAUCACAUGGUGGUUGAAGAUAUAUGUUGGUCUUCAUUGAUGAUUACAACAUAAGAAUGACGUCUUCAAGAAGUUUAAGUAAUAAAAAGUUAUCAUUGAGAAAACAGACAACAAAAAAGAUCAAGCGCUUGAGAAUUGACAAUGAAAUGGUAAGGGAAAAAGUCCAAUGAGUUUGCAAGAAUGAAGGUAUUGUGAUACAUUACAAAAUCAAACAUACUCCAUAAUAAAAUGAUGUUGCAUAAUGGAUGAAUAGAACUCUUCUAGAGAGAGCAUGUUUUGAAUGACUUUCAAGUUAAAGUAGCUAAUUCAACUUAUUAUCUUCUUAAUACGUCUCCUUUAAUUUCUAUUAAUUAUAGAACUUUUGAAGAGAUAUGGUUUAGUUCUUCUACUAAUUUUGAAAAGUUCAAAAUUUUUUAUUGUCCUUCUUAUGAUCAUGUAAAUAAAGGUAAAUUAGAUCCAAGAACUCGGAAGUGUAUAUUUUUAGGAUAUGAAAUAGAGUAAACGGGUACAAGUUGUGGUGCUUUAAUUCAAAAUCUUCCAAAUUUUUUAUUACUAUGGAUGUGACCUUUGUAAGUCUAUAAUAUUGAAACUUAAGAAUGAGCAAUUUGAUAAACAAAAGAAUCUUAGUGGGAGAGAAAAGUUGAGUUUGAGUCUAGAGCUUUAGGAACUAUAGAAAACAUGUUUUAGUAAAUCAAGAUAAAGAAGAGCUACAACAUCUUGACAAUAAAGAAAAUGCAUCAUAAGAGAAACAACACACUUUGCCUAGUGAUUGAAAAAGGAGGCAAAUUAAACCACAUAAGAUGCAUGGUUAUACAAAUUGGGUGUCUCAUGCACUUACUAUGUCAGAAUGAGGAGUCUCAUGCUUAUCAUGAAGCCAUCAUUGGUAGAGAGUCUGCAAAGUGAAUCAUCACUAUGAAUGAGAAGAUUAGAUAUCUUUAAAAGAACCAUACUUGGCAACUAGUUGAGAAGCCUAAGGAGCAAAAGGUUGUUGGGUUGCAAGUGGGCCAUUAAGGAAAGGAAUUUCAAGGAUGGAGGAUGCUCGAUGACAAAGGGAUACACAUAAAAGGCCAAUGUGGACAUCAAUGAAGUGUUUUCUUUAGUUGGGAAACAUAACUUAAUCAAGGUGUUAAUUUCUAUUACUACUUUAUUUGAUUUAUAAACAAAGUACUUUUGUGUUAAGACUACUUUUCGACAUGAUGAUUUCGAAGAGCAUAUUUAUAUGCAUUAAUUUGAGGGAUUUAUUAUUGGGAAACGAAGGUCAUGCUUAUUUUUUGAAGAAAAACUCUUUAUCUCUUAAAGCAAUCUCCUAGGCAAUGGUAUAAAAGGUUUCGUACUUUUAUGAUUGGUAAUGACUAGUGUAGAAGUGGGUGGGAUAAAGGUUUUCAUCGAAUUGUCUAAUGGUUUAUUUAUUUAUUGUAAUAUGUUGAUGACAUGUUAAUUGUCGACAAGAAUAUGUCUGAGAUCAAAAGGCUAAAAACUUAAUUUGAUUGCAAAUAACAUUGAAAUCAAUAAUUCAAUAAAUUUAUCCUCCAAUGGGACAUUUACUCAUUGAGUUCAACAGAAUAAUUUUACUUUGGUUAUAUCUCUUUUGCUUUUGAAUGGUUACAUGGUCUACUUAAACUUAAUUGGAUUUUCUACUUAAUUGUAUGUGAAAAAGGUGCAUGAUUUGAUCUCAUUCUCAUUAAUUUUUACUUAAUUAUUUAUUAUUACAGUUCCAACAUGUUUGGAGACCUAUUUUCAUGUUAGUUCAUGUGUGUUUGGUUGUUUUAUUUCAUUGUAGGUUUCUUGGAUGAAUUUUUUCAUGGUUAUGCAUUACAAAAGAUGUUUUGGGUGCUCAAAGGAGUAUGGGAAGUUGAAUGAACAUUUUGGAUGCUUAAGCCCUCAAAGUUGCAUGAAGCCAUCCUUGAGGACUCAAGUGCUCUUAGUUCCAUCCAUCUCCCUUUCUCAGGCUUGAAGCAUUGAAGCGCCAAUCUAGAUAAUUAAGCAUUGCAUUGAGCUCUCCCACAUGUUCUUUUACCAUAAAUAGCUCUUUCUCAUGUCAUUUUCACCAUUUCAUACAUUUUAAAGGGUUCGAGUGGCCAAGUUCAUGUGUUAUCUUCAUUGUUGCUCAUCUCUAUGUUCCAAUUUCAAAGAAUUAUUAGUCUUGGGGGUUCCUAAGUACUUUGACUAGUUUACUUUUUCAUUGCCUAAGACUUGCUUGGUAUGUCCUAGUGUACCUACUAGUGUUGGGUCCCUCAUACCCAUCAUCUUCUAGUUUUGUAUCUAAGCUUAGUUCCCCAAUUGAGGGGACCAUUUAAGGUUGAUAACCCUUUUUUAAUUCUUUUUCCUUGAUUUUGAGCAUAAAGAGCUACAAUAUGUUUGUUUUCAUGAUUAUUGAGUCGUGGUUGCAUGAGAGCCCUCAUUAGUAUCCUUAAGAUAUAUUGUGGUCCCAUAGAUUUUUCAGGAUUAUCAUUCGAAUUCUCUAUAUUCACAUUCUAUGGUCACGUAUUCCCAUUAUGUUUGGAUAUUCUAUUUAAACAUUCAUUUUGUUUGCCCAUGCAUCUUUUUUCCUUCCAUGAUAGAUUAUUCUGAUCUUACCUUACUCCAUUAAUCAAGCUUUACAUGUGCAACCUUUCACAGAGGUCAUUCUUCAUUUGUUGGAUGAGGUUAAUUUAGAGUUAGAAUUAGUUAGCGCUAGCUUGCUAACCUAUUUAGGGGGGCACAAGAGCUUCCUAUGUUUUCCUUAAUUGAACUCAUUAGAUUCCCUAGUUUGUAGUUCAUUUUAUCCAUUCUAUUCUUAGUGGCCAACCUACUGAUAUAGCUACUAUGAUGAUAGAUAUUAGGGUUAGCUAUCGAAAGUCAACUCAACCUAGAAGUUUACAAUUUGCACUCAUCAUUUCCCAUAUAUUGGUGGAUAUUGUGUUUGACAUCUAUGUGACUUCUAGGUGCUUGACUAUUAUGCUCCAUUGAUGAGAGUUCCUAAUCCAAGCAUGUGAGUCAUACCCUUAACUGUGAUUAGUGCUUUGACUAUUGAUGAGGUAGAUGUGAUUGAUGAGUUGGAACUGAGUUAUAAGACCUCACACUCAUGGCUUGGGAGUCAAGGUCAUCAUGCAAGCAAUUCUAAAGCUAUAAUAGGGUUAUCCCAGCCUGUGGAUGGAUUCUCUAAUUUGGGUUUUAACAUCAUUGAUCAACUUCACCUUUAUGUUGAUUGUAUUAAUUGACUUUGUGGCCAUCUUAACUCAUAGAUUAAUGAGAUUUAUGAUUCAUCUCAGGAUGUGGACGACCAACUAGCAUCUACUUUAGCGUAGAUCAUGUUUUCUCUUGGCUCAAGCUUUAGUUUUCUACCACCACCUUCAAACAACUCUAGCAAGAUUUUUUAGAAUGAUUAACUCUAUGGUUAGGAUUUUUGGAUGUAUGAUAGACUUAUUUAUAGAAUUUCUUAUGAUGAUAUUUUGAGCUCAUUAUCUGUCUAUAUAUUUGCAUUCAUCUUUUGAUUAUCAUUGUGUUAUCAUUUAUCAAUAACUUUUGUGAUAGAAGUAUGCGUCACUAUUUUUAGUUCAAGAUAUUUGAUCAUUGGAUUAGUUUGUUAUAUUUGGUUGAUUCUAAUUGCAUUAUGAUAUUGUUUGUUUUUCUUUCCACACAUUACUUUUCAUAGAUAUUAAUGUUUUAGUGUGUGCAAAUCACAGGUUCCAUAGCUCAUGAAUUUUCCAAAUGGGUUGCAAAUAUUUCAUAUUAGUGAUUACAAUGUUUGUUUGAGGUAUAAGUGAUAUUGAGUGAUUUUUAUAAUCAACCUAGAUUAAACAUGUAAGUAUAGUUAAGUUCAUUGAGGAUAAUGACAUAAAAGUUAUAAAUUGGAUUCUUAUAGAAAUAAAAAAUAUAAUUGUUUUGCACACAAAUAUUAAAUUGGAUGUUAUGUUAUAUAAAAAAAAGAAAUUGAAAAAAAAAAAUAGUGAGAGUGCUUAAGCACCCUCAAAGGCUACUAAAGCACUCCUAGUACUGAAGCACCAUUCUAAGGUGUUCAAGUACUGCUUGAGAUCAAUUUUACUCGGUUUUGAGGAUUUGUUGAUGUUUUAAUUCUAAUUUUUGUAAAAAUUGAUUUCUAAAUAUUUACAAGUGCACUAGGGCUUACACAAUAUAUGUGUGUGUGCUUGUGUAUGUGUGUAUAUAUAUAUAUACCUAAUAUUGAUCAAUUUUUCUCUUUAGGUGUCUAUGAUUUAGGUUAGAAUUCCUUGCCUUUAACUUGAUACUGUCAAAUUGUUUCAACAUUGUUUGUUUUUUUAUAUUGUGGUAAAAAGAUCACAUUCCCUUAAAGUGUUAAAGAACCCACUAAGGAACACAAAAAUGUUAUGGACAUGAGAGUAGGUGUGUGUAUUAUAGUAAGUAUCAAGGAGUAACAACUACUAUGUGUACCUAUUUCUUAACAUAUAGUUAGUGGAUUUUAGCUUUGUAGUCUAUGACCCCAUGGUCUUUACAUUUACAAAGUUUCUAAGGGCCUUUGUGGGUUGUUUUCCACAUAAAUCUCAUUUCCUCUUGUGUGAUUGAUUGUCCUUUGCUUUCAUUGAUUAAUUAUAUCUUAAUAAAAUAAGUAAACAAAUAAUAAUUAAUAUUUUUUGUGCGAUUAUAUAAAGAAUUCCCUAUUCAUCCCUACCCUAUCUCCCCAUCUAAGAAAUUCUUGCAAUGCUAUUGCAAUUCAUUUUUGCUAAUUUUCCUUUUUGUCAUUAUCAUGAUUAGUUACUUUGAGCACUCAUGGUUCACCCACCACAUUAAUUUUCAUGGUUGUUAUUCAUCACCAUCACUAUUCAUUAAGUAUAAGACCUUAUAUCAAGUAUAGGAUAGAACCAUGUUAUAGUAGUACUAACAAAAAUUGCAUGAUGAGUAAGCAAAACUAGGUAGUAAGCAAAAGAUUUAAUUAGGUAUGAAUAAAAAACUCAUAUAUUAACUAUCAAAAAAUAAUAAAAAAUAAAAAUAAAACAUCUUAAUCAAAUCUUUAGAAUAGAGUAAAACCUCCUUUAUAAAUGGUCAAAACUACUAUAUAUCUAAUUUAUACUAUUGCAUUUCGUAUCAUAUUAAUUAGAACAAAGUGGAAGAUUUCUCUUGUCAUUGUUUGAAUCCGUAACACAAAGGAAAAUUUUCCUUUUAAAUUUUUUUGCUUCAAAAGCACUAAAUUCUUAAUUUGUUGUCAAUUUAUCUUCUAAUAUUCAAGUCUUAGAAUAUGCAAUACCAUUGUUCAUGUAUUAAUACCAUUGAAGAAUAGUUCUUGCAAAUAUAUUGUUUUCAUCACCUUAUCAUAAAAAUAAAAAUAAAAACAAAAAAAAAAAGUGAAAAAUACCAUGAGGAGAAAUAAUUUACACAAAGCAAAAAGAAAAAAAAAAUACAAGAACUUAUGGUCUUACAUAUAACCAUAACUAUAGUGACAACUUGCUCCCCAUGAAUACAAAGGCAAAUAAAAACCUCCCUAAACUAUUUUUUUUUUUAUCCUUUUGGCAAACUUUGAUUUAGAAAAGAUAAUUACAAUAUAAUUUAUUAUUAGUUAAGUCACUUUGUUGAUAUCCCUUUACUAAAAAAACUAAGUCAAAAAGAAAAAAAAAAUUACUCCUAUAGUAUUAAAAACCUAAACUCAAGUAAGAGACCUGCUUCAAAAUAUAAUAAAUUUAAUCAGUAAGUGAGUUUUAUGUGCAUCACUAUGUGAAAUUAGAUAGAAAUAGAAUUUAUCAAUUGUAAUUAAUAUAUUUUGGUAACAUACACUCUUUUUUAGUUAGAAGAAAGAUGAAAUCCAAUUAUAUUUAAUAAAGCAAUAAAACAAUAACUUCUAUAUCUAUAUAGUUUAACCAUCAUAAAAUGGUCAAUAUACUCAUAUGUUGUUUCCAUGAUAGUUUACCUAUUUUUAAUUUACACUCGUACAUUUGUAUGUUGAAGUUUAUUCACAAUAACAAAACAUAAAGAUAGUUUUACAAAGAUAAAAGAUAUUUAAACUUAAUGAACUUUUUUUUCAAUUGUUUUUGUUUUCUUUUUUCUUUUUAUUGCAUUUAUCUCUUAUUGUUGGUUAGAGUCUCAAACCUAAGGGAACCAAAGUUUGACUACGUCAUGACCAAGACUAGUUUAGUAUUAUAUAAGUCAAUAGAAAGUAUAAUUGGAACAACUUUUUGGGAGAUGAACAUUCAAACAUGGAGUGUUCCUAGUGUCCUCAAUAUUCAAACAUUCCCUAUAGGACAUUCAAAUGUAGGUUAAUUUUAUGUUAUUUUCAUUUUGCAUUUCAUAGUUUUUGGAGGUAAUAAUUGCUCUUCAAAUCUUAACACUAGGUUUUUAGUAUAAAUACUAAGUUUCUUAAUCGUUCAACAACAUUCUUUAAAUACCUUCUUGCAAAGUAGAAGUUUAAGAAUUUGAUUCACUAAAGAAUCAAUACUAUUUUUGAGGUAGUCUAUUAAUGAAUUAUGAGGGAGUGUUAUGUUGGUGAUCUAAAAGAAGAGAGUAGGUGUUAAUGAUAUAAAAUCCUACUGAGUAGCAACAUCUACUUAGGUAAACCUAUGUAUCUUCUUCCCAUAUUUAAUGAAUUAUUUAUGGUCGAUAGACCAUCCAUUGGUUUUUAGACCUAAGGAUUUUUAGGUAGUUUGUUAACAUAAAUCUUAUAUUCAUUAUCUAAUUGAUUUUUGUUGUGCAUGGGAUUAAUCUAUUUUUACUAUUGAGGUAUCUAUGAUGACAAAUAAAAAAUCAAGUUAUAGAUUAUAACUUUAGAGAUCUCUUACUUAAACCACCUAUUUACCUUCUCUAGAGAAUUCUAUAUGUUAAGACAAGUUCUUUCAACUAAUAACAAAUACUACAUAAGUUUUACCCACUAUUAGUUUUCUUCAUGCAUUUUGACAAAUUUAUUAGUGUGUAAAUCCAAUAUGAUGUAAAAUAAUAUGAAUCAACGAUGAAUUAAAUUAGAAAAUCUCCAAAUCAUUAAAUUACUUAUCUAUUAUAACUUUGAAUUAUACAUACACAAAUUAAAAUAAUUUUUUAGAAAAAAAAAUUGCAAGUUUUACAAACAAUUGACUGGUAUAAUUUCCAAUUUAAUUAUAAAUAACAUUGAAAUGAAUAAUUCAAUAAAUUUUUACUACAAUUAGACAUUAGUUUAUUAAGUUCAAUAGAAUAAUAUGUUUGUAUUAUUAGUUAAACUGUAAGUCAAAAUUAUUUUGAAUUACCAUUGAAAUUAAAUAUGUAAAAUUCAUACCUAUUUCCAACUUCGCUCAUACCAUGAAUUUUCUCCCCAUGUGAGGCUACAUUAAAAAAGAAUUCAAAUGUAAACUUGUUAACUUUGUAGGGUCAUUAAAAAAUUGAUAACCAAGAACGAAAUACAAAAUCACAAAGAAGAAAACAACUUUGUCAUUUAAGGAAAAAAGGAAAAGGAAAAAAGAAAGAGAAAAUGGCAAGUUAACAAUUGACGUCAAAAAAAUAAAAAAAUAAAAAUGGUAUGGAUGUCAUACAUUACCAAAUCAUGCUUUGAUAUGUUAGGAUCUUUGGUUCAUUUUAACUGCAAUCUUAAAUAAAUUCAUAUUUCUAUUACUACCCAUGAUAAAAAAUAAUUUUGUAGGUUCAUUUUUUAAAACAUAAAAGGGUCCAGGAACAAUUUAAAUUGCAUAACACAAGGGAAAAUAUUCUAAGUAAUGUAUAUAAUUUAAGAUAUUUGACUACAUCUUUUAGGAAAAGAAAAUUCUAAUGGCUUAGCAUCUAAGAAAAUUGCAAGUAGUAUUUUACAACUUUAUGAUAAAUAUAUAUAUAUAUAUAUAUAUAUAUAUAUAUAUAUAUAUAUAUAAUUCAAUUACUAAAUAUUUCAAUUUCAGUUAAAAAUGCAACGUUAAAAUUUAAAAUGUGUUCAAAUUCUUAAAGUUGAUUGUUACACUCAUCCUAUAACCUAAAUUCAUAAAGUUUUUUACAUUAUUUAGUAAUUUAACUAUUGUGCACCUUAUUUUAAAAUGGAAAAAAAAAAUCAUUUAGGUGCAAGAGUGUUCUUGAGAUUUAGUAAAAUAAUAAGUUACUCAUACAUAAUACAACCUAUGAAAGUAAAGUAAUUUUAGUUUCUUAAGAUACCUCAAAUUAAAUGACGGAUCCCUACUUGAAAUUGAGAGUUCGUUUAAUGAAAUGCUAAAAAUACAAACUUCCACAUGGAGUCAAUUUCUAGUGAAAAUCUCCUUGAAAAUUGUUCUAUUAGAUUGUUGGAUGAUAAUGUAUUGUUUCUCUAUAAAGCAAAAGGUCCUUCACGCAAUCUAUUAUUGAGAUUUCUUCUCACCAUCUACCUAUUGAUCAUGAGGAAUACCCUCUUUGUUAGGAAACCAACUUAUAAACCAUUAAUGAUAACUAAUAUAAGUUCUAAGCAAGUUUAUUAUAUGAAAACACAUAAAAAAAAGGGGUCCAUAAUGGUACUCAUUCUAUUUUGGAAAAGUAAAAUGGAUUGCAUAAAAUAGAAGGUAUAGAUGAAUAUCGAUGAUGAUGCAAAGGAAAUAACAAUAGCAUAGGUUGUGAACACAACAAAGAGUGAUUGAUGAGGAUAUGACAAUGAGUUUAUCAUCCAAACUUUAAAAGUAAAGAAAUAGACUUUAAUACUUCCAAUAAUAUUUGUUCAUUGACCUAGUGUAGCAAUGUUUAUCAUACUUGAAUAUAUAUACUAAGAAAAUAUUGGAUAUUGACACAUAUAGUUAUAAGAAGCUAAUAAUAAUAAAAACAAUGGUUCUCCAAUUAAAAAUUUAUGCAUUUAGUAUAGAGCUAAAACUUGUUAAAUUGUAUAGGAUACAAUGUUUAUAUAUGAAAUAUAUAAUUUGUAGUAAUACAACUAAUGUCAAAUUUAAGACUAAAUUGAAGACCACCAUAAAUUUGUCUAUUAGGUUUUUUUUUAUUAUGAAGAAUACACAAUAUUAGAAGCAUCUAUUAACAAACUUGAUAAAAAAAAUUCAUGGUGGACAAAAACUAUUGAUCUUAGAAAACAUAUAUUUCAAUUAUUUUUAGGAAAAAUUAUUAUUAUUAUUAUUAUUAUUAUUAUUAUUAUUAUUAUUAUAUCAAAAUUAAGAACUAAGGUGAUGUUUGGUGGAAUUGAAAUCCCAAAGUGAAACAUGUUUUGGUAUCAUAUGAAAUUUUAGAGCUAAAAUAUACUAUAAAUUUAAAAUUUAAUCAUCUUUAUUCUUUUAUCUUACAAUUAUGCUUUAGAACUCUUAUUAAAACCUUAUUGAUAUGAUAAUAGAUGUAUAGAUAUGUUCUAGCUAGGCAUAGAAGAUCGUAUAGAAAAAUCUAAUGAGAUAAUCCACUAUGUUUAAAUUUUUCUACAACCUACAAUUUUUUGAACUUCAAUUAUGAAAUACUACUAGUUAUGUCUCAUUAUAAUGAUUAUUUUAAUGUUUAUAACCUCUAGUCAAUUGCCCAACUUUUUAUGUGUUCCUUUUACCUCAUAUGCCCUUUGAUAUUGAUCAUGCAUGUGUUAUAACUCUCAUCCCUCUUGUCCUUGUGAAUUUCUCAUAAGCACCAUCCCUUUUGCACAAUGGAUUUAGAAGUUUUCCAAAGACAUAAUUAUUUCUUAGCUAUUUUUAUCUUCGUCCAAUAUCAAUGUUCAUUUCUCUUGAAAUAUGUUUUUUUCAAACCAUGUAUAGGUUAUAUCUAAUAGUGAAAUCUGAAAAAAUGUUUUGAUUAAAAUAAAAUCUAUCAAUUCUUGGGACUUAUUGUUCACAAAACCCUUAUUGAACUGAAUGUUCUAAAAAGAUUGUACUUUGGGAUGGAUGACAAUAAAGUUGAAUUGAGGUGUCGACCAAUUCUCCUUUGCAUCAUUUUAAGAACAAUUUCAAAACUCAAUUUAAAAAACUCUCUAUCAAAAUGUUUAAUAAAGCUCAAAUGUUGGAGCUUUAAAACACUUGGUGUAGAAUGUAGUAUAAAUUUAUAAUUUUGUUUGAGUGAAAUUUCUUUUUAAUAGGCACUUUUGAUUAAUUAAAACAAUUGUAAGAAAUAUCUAUGAGAUAAUCUUAUACUUUUCCAAAUCAUUUUUGGAAAAGAUAAUCUUAUACUUUUUACAAUGAUUUUUUAUCCUUAUCAAUUUUUUGAAGAAAUAUAAACCUAUGGUAUUUACAAUUUAGUAGCUUUAGGAAUUACAAACAUAUAUUUUUCACAUCUACUUGCACAUAAUAAAUGUAAAAAGCCACACACUUUGAACAAGUUUAGUAACCAAGAUAUUUCAGUUAAGGCAAAUUAGAGCCAAAGAUAACAAAAAAAAAAAAAUAUUAAACUCAACAAACUCUUUUUAGCAACAUUUAGCAAAUAUUUCUUACCCUGUUUCAAUAGCUAAGAUUUUCUCUUUCUAUCCCCCUUAAUUAAAAUUAUCAUUUUGUUUUAACAUCACAUUCUUUUUCCUUAGGAUGUACAACUAUUAGCAUCUAUUCUAUUUCUUUCUAAGCCAAUUAGAAAAAGGAUAACCCCAAUUAAUUGAGAAUGGAAAGGAGACAAAUAACAUAUAGUGGAUCAAUUUCAAAGUGAUAGCUUAUAGUUAUGUAAUAGAAGUGAGAAGAGGAGAAAAAAAUGAAAUUGUACUGUAAUUAUGCAUAAAUUUCUAACUUCAUUCAACAUAAUUUUCUAAAGAAAUGAUAUAUAUGGAAUCUCAUGUUAAGAUUAAAAAUCAACAACAAUAGAGGUUGGAAAUAGUAAAAGACAUACUCAUAAAUCUAGAAAUUUUUAUAUUUUACCUCAAACUGAAUUAUCAAAUAAAAACCCUUGAUGUAAAGUUGAAUCCUACCAUUUCUUGCUUGAAAAAAACCAAUGAUCUUUCAUCAUAGCACAAGUCCACACUAGUGUAGGGUUGUGUGGGCAAAAGAACAAGAGAGGAAGAGAACAUAUGGUGGCUAUUAGGUUUCAUGCCUCUAACCUAAGGCAUAGAGAUGCUUUUAUGCUAACCAAGUUUCACAAAAUUACAAUCUUGCCAUUAUUGAAUAAAUUACAAUUUUAUCACUAAUGAAAUAUUUAUAACCUAUACCCUCAUAGUUCACCCUUAUCUGUCUAUAACUUAAUUUAACAUAAUACAUAAAUAAUAGGGACAUUGGGGAUUGGUCAAAUAAAAUAAAUAAAAUAAAAUUUUCUAAACCUUCAUUAUUAAUCUUUAUUUCACUUUGGAAGAUUAACAACAAUGAAUUCUUUGACCAUUAAUUGAAACAAAUAAUCAACGUUUUUUUGAGGCCUAUUAUACCAUUUUAUUGUAUUCCUUGUGAAUUGACAUUCAUGAUUCUAAUAAGAUAUAGAUAUCAACCUUUCAAAUUACAUCUCUAUUCCUUAAGUCAAAUCUACAUUUUCUUAUGAUCAUUGAAUAUGUUCAUAUCCACAAAGAUAAAUAUCAAACUCCAACUAAAUGAAGCCACAACACUCAUGGAUUCAAUAUUACCAAUCAACUUAGCAUUACUCAAGGAAAUACAAUCUUUGUAACCAAGGCAUCAUAGUGUUUGAUUUUGAAGAUGUAUAUUAGAACUUGUUAACUAUUAAUCACUUAUCUCUUUAGAAUUUUACUCAUACAAAAACUCAAAUCAUUUUAUAAUUUAAUCCUCAUUACAACAUCUUCCCAAGAUGAAGAGUGUACAAAAAUAUAGUAGCUCAGAGAUAUGGUAAAUCUAAUUUAUAGCUUUUAAGCAAUCAGUCCGAUGAAGUCCUACUGAAAUGUAUAACACAUACAAUAAAACAACAACUUUGGAAUUUGAAAGUAAAAUUAUUAUGUAGUUUUACUUACUCUUGACAAAUGAUUUAUGAUAAAAUCUUUUGAAAACAAAAAUAAAAUUUCAUCCUACUCAGUUAUAGUCAAAAUCAAAUAGAUAGGAGAAGGUAUAUGCCUAGGUAGUCACACCCCAAGAUUUGAAAAUCAUGGCUCAAAGUUAAUAUUUAAAAACAGUCUAUGAUUAGCAAAAUUGAAAUGUGGACUAUGGAAGAUGUUACAGUGUUUAUACUAAUUAAAUUAGGGUAUAUGUCUCAUUACACUUUGACUUGCCAUUUAUUUAAGUGGUAAUGAUUCAAUUGUGGUGCUCAAAGAGCUAACAUGAAAAUUUAAAAUUUUAUAACUUUCAAAGCUUAGUACUAAAUACAAAUACAUCACGCCUCAUAAUAAAUGAUUAAAUUUCAAACCUAGUUAUGACUCAGUAUUCUCAUCUUAAUACUCUCAAAAUAUAGAUCUAUGAAUUUAAAAACCUCAAGUGGACCAUGAACAUAGACCCAAUACCUCAAAUUUAUUAAGGUUUUAAUAAGUAACUCACACUUAAAAAAACUUUUUACCAAACUAUAUUGUUUUAGCAUUAGUUUGAUGUAUAAAAUUUAAAGACAAGAAAGAAUUUAACUUGGCUUUGUAAUUUUAAAGGUCAUUUUUAUCAUUUGUCAAUGAUAACUACUUUCCUAAUGAAAAACUAAAAAUCCUAUUUUGAUUUACUUAGAAUUAAUUUUUGUAAAUAUUGUUAUUAAAUUUAAAUAGAUGAUAUUGUUGGGCCUGAGCCAUUAAAAGGAAGACAUAACGUAACAAAGUUAGACUUAACUAUCACCUUGAUAUCCUUUUGGUGUAUUGACAUUGAUUUUAACAUUUAGCAUGUCUCUUACAUUGUACAUGACUUGUGUGCAUUAGGAUUUGCACAAAAAAUACAAGUCACGAGUUCCUUGUAAGUAGAUAAGUUGUCCACAAUCAGUUCAUGGAUUUGGGUAAUCUAGUAGAGACUGUAGUGCACCACCUCUUAAUUGGAGAGAUGACUUAUCUUGGCUAUUGAGAUGGGUUUCCCAUGGUGAGUGCACUAGUGUAUAUAAUGGACACUAGAUAGAACCUAUGGUGAAUCAUGACACAAGGCUAUCUAUUGUCAUGAUUUACAAAGCUACUAUACUAUAUGGACUCUCAACCUUGAGAGGAUAUUGAGCUUGUACCAAAAUCAACAAGAGGCUUUGACUUAUUGGUGAGAUCCUAAAGUGGUCAUAUAUCCCUAUAGAUUGGGUCACUGUUGAUGGAGGCUGGUGACAAUAGGUAUUCUCAAUAAAAGUACCAUGAUAUCUCAAGGGAUUGAAAUAGUGUGUUUCUUUGGGUGAUCGAAAGGACAUGUGAUCAUGAAAUCUGUGGUCACAAUAAUUCCUUUAGUACAAUUUGACAUAUGCUCCUUAGAACUAGAGUAUGCCAGUUGAUCACAUAAUAAGUGGGAUAUAUAAUAGGAUUUGAGAGGUAAUCUUGAUAGGUGUUAGCACUACCUUGCUAGAUUAUGAUGAUACAUAUGCCUUUUUAAUAUUUCUCAAUGAAACCCUAAAGAAACAUAAGUGUCUUUGUAGAAUGGUUAACAUUUUUUGUUUUACCAUUGUUAAUCCUUCUAAAUAUAAUUGAUCAUCCUUUCUAAUGAAUAAUAAACAUCCUUUUACAAGUCUUUUUUUUUUUUUGUUCAAACCAAGUAAUAGUUGAACAUUGGUAGGUUCCUUCUUGUAACUAUUCCUUCAUUAUUCAAAUCCAAUCGAACUUAUUUUAUUGACUAAGCACACUCUAUUUAUUCAUUCUUUAUUCACUAAAUUAUUUUUGUUCCAAAUAUAAUUGCACAAUCCUCUUGACUAUCUAAUAUAAUAGUAGUGGAGAAAAACAUAAAUGUUUUCCAAAAAUCGAUUUCCAAUACAUAAAAUUAAAAUGAAAUUAGAAUCAAUCUUGUCUAAUUGAUCAUGUUAACUAAAUUUAUUCUACACAUAUCUAACAAAAUUAAUCAUACUUGAGAAAAAUUUGUCAUUCUCUCUUAUUGAUAUUUUCACUGUCAUUACAAAUUGAGCCACUAGAAAGUUGAAAUAAAGAGGGCAAGGUUGGGUGAGAACACUUAAAGAUGAAAUAGGAUAUGAGCACUGGUUCAACAACAACUGUGAACUAAUUUUGAGGGUCGGAGCAACAACCUUUAGAUGAGAACAACUAAAGGAAGAAUAAGGAAGUUCUCUAGAGAGAAACACCUAAAACUUACCCCUAAGAUAUCCUAGUUAAAUGUAAUAGGGGUUAAAAACAUUUGUCCUAGGGUUAGAGUCCUAAAAUUAUAUGCUCAAAUAGUCAUAGAAGUAAAAGCGAACAACAACAUGUAUAUGGUAAGAUUUGUGUAUGAACAAUGUUUAUCCAUAAUGCUUAUGAUGUUAAUGAUAUUGUGGUAAAGUGAAAUAAGCUAUUGGUUUUUCUUACUUAAUGAUUUUAUUACUUGUCACCUAAUAGCUUAAAUUUCACUAUUGAAACAUUCUCUACUAUGUCUUGUAGCUAAUCCCUUUGAAUAAUUUUGAAUAAUUUCUUAAAGUGAGAUGGUUGUGCCCAUAUGUUGACGAGCUUAAUUUGUGAUAUGAGUCUUGAAGAUCUUUUUUUGGGUUAAUGCUGUGUGAUGCAUUGAUCAUACACAUUUUAUUAAGGGUUAAUUUUGUUGUAUUUUUUGAAUAGAUGAGCAGAUAACACCAUAAGAAUAUGCUCAAACUUAAAUAAAUGACAACCUAUUAGAAAGGUCUCCGUAUGGUUUUCUAUAAAUGAAAUGAACUUAAUGCGUAAAAAAUCAUCUUUAUUUUGUAAGAAAAGUCUUCUAAAGUUGUAGAUUGUGCAAUGGCUACCUAGGAAUGAUUUUAUGGUGUUAAAAUGUGUAAGAAAACCAAUUACAAGAGUUGAUUGUUCGUUGUAGAGUUUGACAAUCAUUCCUUUUUUUCUUAAAUGACUACUUGUUUCCCUUUAAAGAUAAUGGUUGUCUCUUAAUCAUUCUCAACAUGCUUAAUCAUUUCCCUUUAAAUGUGUUAAUCAUCCUUGUUUUCCUUUAAAAAACGAUUAAUAAUUCUCCUAUUAAUUGCAAACUGAUCAAUAUUCUAGAAAGGUAAAAUUAUUACAUUUUAGUUAAAGAUGUUUGAUUUUUGUGUGAUGGUCCUUAAGUUUCCAUGAUUAAAGAAUUUUACUAGACCUUUGUAAAUGAUUGAUUGCUUUCUAGUAUAAUGCAUAAAAAUAGUUGAUUGUUACUAAUGAUGAUUGGUCAUCUUUUUUCAAAAUGAUUGAUUGCUAUAUAUUAAAUCAAGAUAAUCACAAGAUAUAAAUGAAAGAAAAUAGAUAGUCUACACACAAAAUGUUUAAUUGUUCCAUGUAUGUAUUAUAUAAUCCCUUUUUUCUUAAUUAGAUUCCUCUUAUAGUAGUUUCCAACUUCUUAACAUUCAAUUUAUAAUGUAAAUAAGGGAAUAUCUGUUAUUUGAAUUCAAUAAAAAUAUUUGCAAAAAUUAAUUCUAAGUAAAUCAAAAUAGGAUUUUUAGUUUUUCAUUAGAAACAUAGUUUUCAUUGAAAAAUGACAAAAAUGAACUUUUAAAUUACAAAGGCAAAUCAAAUUCUUUCUUCUCUUUAAAUUUUAUAUGUCGAACUAACACUAAAACACCAAAGUUUGGAAAAAAAAAAAAAAGGCGUCAGUUGCUUAUUAAAACCUUAAUCAAUUUGAGGUAUUGGGUCUAUGUACAUGGCCACUUGAGGUUCUUAAACUCAUAAAGCUCUAUUAUGAGAGUAUUAAGAUGAGAAUAUUGAGAAAUAAUUAGGUUUGAAAUUAAAUAAUUUAUUAUGAGGCAUGAUGUAUUUGUAUUUAGUACUAAGCUUUGAAUGCUAUAAAAAUUUAAAAUUAGAUUACAUGAUAGAUCUUUGGACACCGCAACUGAAUCAUUAUCAUAAGUAAAUGGCAAGUCAAAUUGCAAUGAGACAUGAAUCCUAAUUUAAUUUGUAUUAACACUAUAACAUCUUUCAUAGUUCACAUUUCAAUUUCACUAAUCAUGGAUUGUUUUUAAAUAUUAAGUUUAAGCCAUGAUUUUCAAAUCUUGGGGUGUGACAAGCCUACACAUAUACUCUCUCUUAUCGAUUUAAUUUUAACUAUAACAAAGUAGGAUGGAAUUUCAAUUUUGUUUUCAAAAGAUUUUAUCAUAAAUCAUUUGUUGAUAGUAAGUAAAACUACAUAAUAAUUUUACUUUUCAAUUCCAAAGUUGUUCUCGUGUAUGUGUUAUACAUUUGAGUAGGACUUCAUGAAAUUUAUUGCUUAAAAUCUAUAAAUUAGAUUUACCAUAUCUCUAAGCUAUCAUGCUUUUAUACACUCUUCAUCUUGAGAAGAUGUGGUGAGGAUUAAAUUAUAAAAUGUUUUAAGUUUAUGUAUGAGUAAAAUUCUAAAGAUAUAGGCAAUUAAUAAUUAACAAGUUAUAAUAUAUAUCUUGAAUAUCAAACUCCAUGAUACCCUAGUUACAAAGAGUGUAGUCUCUUAAGUAAUGUGAAGAUUGAUUACUACCAAAAAGUGCUAUUUUGUAGACAUAAUUAUAAUGGUUUUAAGCACCUUUGAGUAGUAAUCAUAUUCAUUUAACCUAAUUAAUUCAUUAAGGUCCUUAGUAAUUGGUUUUAACCAUUUUGUGGCAAGUUUACAUGUUUUUAUCAGCUUAUGAAUCAAUUCAAGCAUGCCAAAUGAUGGAGGAGCUACUUGGACAAGUUAUGGAAAAGCUUUUGGAAGCUCAAAUUCAUGAAGAACCAAGCUUUGGAGCUCCAUAGCCCUUUGCCAAAGUCGUUCAAAGUAUGCAAGGAGAGAAGCAAGGAGAGAGGAAAAACAGAGUGAAGAAAACAGGGGACAGCAGCUGCAGUCUUCUUGCACACUUUUGGAGCACUUCCCGAAGUCUAUUUUCUACAUUCUAUAUACCAUUUCAAAGCUCAGGAAGUCAAGAAUCCAACGCUUCAAACCGUGUAUGAUUUGGAGCUGAAAUGAGGAAUUUACAGCCUUUGGAAGAUGACUGCUCCAAGCUGAAGGAAGCAUUUUGCAAAGUGUUGCGGAAUCAGCCUUUUGUUGCGAGAAUUUCGCAGCCUUUUUGUACAGUGCUAUGGAAUUCCUCCUGAAGCUACCCGAGACAUGCCGCAAGCUGGAACGCUGAGAACCUCAAGGUGGAAGCCAAUUUCGCAGCCCUGCGAGUUUAACUUGUUGUUGCGAAAAUAUUUCGCAGCCCUCUUGAGUGUCUGCGAAAUCUCGCAGACACCAUUUUCUCCUGCGAAAUGGUUCCUGAAGCUUCCCGAUAUUUUUGCACCGACUCUUUUAGAUCUUUUCUUCAGAUAUUUUUGUAUAAUUUCCAUUUUCUCCUUAUAUUCAGCCACUCAUGUAAUUCCUUAGCUAGGAAGUAUCCAAGGAAGGGUAAAUUACCUUCCUAUAUAAACUCUCUUGUAAACACUCUCAGGAGACGCUCAGAGAAGUAUGUAAUAUAGAUAUAUCAUAUAUAGAAUCAGAGAACAGAGCACUUGCUCUGUUUUUCAUAUAUAUUCUUGUUUUCUCGUUAGUUUUCUUUCUAUCCAACCAAACUCUGAGGAUUUUUCCACAGAGGAUGAGAGGCUAAGCUUUUUGUCUCUUGGAGUGAGGAAAGCCGGGUAAGUUUCCACAUGCAUAAAUUGGAAGUUUUGUUGUUUUAGUUUUUAAUGAAGAGAAAGUGUGACCCGUUAAUGGUUUCUAUGUUUUUAGUUAACUUAAAACACCUUAGAGUCACCUGGGCCAACACUUGGUAAGGCAAGUGAUUUCCAACCAUGGAAAUGCACUAGUUUACCCCUUGCGAGCCUUUGGGAGGUGGUUUGAAGGUAGGAUUUUCUAGAAUAGCCAACACUUGGUAAGCUUUUGGACUCCAAGGAGACAUCCAUUAGUUAUCUCUUGCGAGCUUUUGAAGGGAAGUCCAAGGUUAAAGAUCAUCUUGAAUGGUAAGUGCUCGUGAGAGGCAUGAACCAUUGCAAAGUGCAUCAGUGAGAGGGAUUUAAUAUUUGAACCCAUUAAUGGGAAGCAUCUGUACAACACCGAUUGGAGAAGGAACUAUAUGUUAAUUCUCUAAUGCGAGGAAAAGAAACAAGUGACCGAAACUCUCCUUUUUGUAUGAGGAAUCUGAGCCUAGUGAUCUGAACUCCAAGAAACACUUUUCUUUGUAAGUAAAAUCAGUUACUAUUUUUGAUUAGUUUAAAACCAAACAUCUUUAUGUUUUCUUUUAAAGCUAACCUUGAAAUGAAAAGACACCAAUUCAGCUUUGAAUUAAUAUCAUUUGCAAAGUGAAAACCCAUCCCAGUGAACGAUCCUAGAGCCACUAUGCUAUAGUAGCUUUGUCUUUGCUACCCUAGUAUAUGGUGUAAUAGGUUAUAAAUUUUGUUGAUUAAUCCCUCAAUCAAGGAGCACCAGCUGGACACGAAUCAACUGAGACACCAAGUGGGCACGAAUCAAAUGGCGCCGUUGCCGGGGAUCAAACCUCGAAUCAGAUGGUGCCAUUGCCACUUCCGCUGCUAGGGACGAAUCAAAGAUGAACCAUAAUAUUGAAUCCAUGAGUUAGCUUCAUUCAGUUGGAGUUUGAUAUUUAUCUUUAUAGAUAUGAACGUAUUCAAUGUUCAUAAAAAAAAUGUGGAUUUGUAGUUAAGGAAUAAAGAUGCAAUUUGAAAGGUUGAAAUCUAAAUCCAAUUAGGAUUAUGAUUGUCAAUUCACAAGGAAUAACAUAAAAUGGUAUAAUAGGCAUAGAAAAAGACAUUAAUUAUUUCUCACCCUCAUAUAGCCUUCCAACCCGAUAGUCAUGAAUAGAGUGAUUUGCUCCAAGAAGACUGCAUGUGGCUCGAGCUAUAGUUGAAGUAGGCCAUGUGGAGAAUUUGAGACAAACAUUUACCCAACACCUUUAUGAUAGUAGACCUGCCUACUCUGUAGGAAGUGAGCCUAAAGCAGAAGAAGCACUGAAGUUGAUCCUCCAUCAAAUUCUCAAAUCUUCAUCUACACAUAAACUCCAUGCGCAUAUGAUCCUCGUGAUGAACACGUGGCCAAUUCCUUUCCAAUUUUCUAGCUUGCCGCUAAGCUCUCUCUACAUUCAAGUCACCGUCCAGUUCUUAUUUUCCAACCACCUUCAACUUAUUCCCUUCUUCACAUUCACCGUUUUCCCAUCCUACACAACUCAUAUCCCCAUCUAUCAUACCUGUUGAUACUAAGCUAACUAAAGUCAGGUCUGUCUAACUUCACUGAAGUAAGGCGAACUUCUUCCCUACUUCGUGCCUCUUGAGGAGUCCGUCUAACUGCUUUGGAGCUAGGUUGGUUUUUUUCUGCAUAAAAGGAUGUUCGAAAGGGUUGUCCUGGCAUGCCCCUCCAAAGCUUGAGUCAGACAAGAGUGUCUAUAUGGUGUGUUGAAAUGUUACAUUGAGAUUGGAACGCAUAUUGGUGUGGAGAUUCAUGGUUCUGUGCUGUGGAAAUGGUCUAUGGUGUGGUUGCAUGGCAAGAAGGAUAUGGAAUAAUCACAUAUGAUAUUCAGAAAAUUGGUUGGUGGGAAGUGUCUAUAUGGUGCUACAGGCAUUAUCUUUGGAUAUAAUGUUUAUGUGGGACCGUGGGUCCUUAGGUGAAAGUCCCUAAAGCCCUUGAGGAAGACACUCUGAUGUGGGUGUAUGGGGUUGGUCAUGCCCCUGGGUUUUAGUCCCUAAAGACACGGGGUUGGUCCUGCCCUUGGGUAUGAGUCCCAAAAGACACGGGGUAUGACUGGCCCUUGGGUGAUGUCCCAAAAUAGUCAUUAUUAUAUUGAUCGAUUAUCUUGUGGAGCAUUGAUAUUUGAUGUGUGGAUUGUUGGGGGCUAGCAGUUUAUCAGUUGUGAAAGGAUAAAUGGGGAAGAACAAAGAUGAAACCAACAAACACAUGCAUACAUGUUUGACAUGAUUACACAUUAGUUAAUGGUUAUAAAAUGUUUAUCAUGCAUGCUUUUAAACGUUUAAUUCAAGGUUUUUAAGGGUAUGCUUAGGAUUGUUAUAAACUUUCCUACUGAGUUGUGAACUCACCCUAUCCCUUCCACUUUUAGAUGCAGGUCAGAAGACCUAUGCAGGAAAUAAUGCUUGAGCAAUGCUUUACUGUGAUUGGAUGUUGUUUGCUUGCAUAGAAAGUGUUUUAAGGCUUUGCCUUUGUAUUAAAGACAUAAUCUUUUUGUAUGAAUGAUGUAAUAUGUAUAUUUGUUAUAUAGACUUGUAGUAUGGGCUACCCGUAGUGAACAAUGGGAUUUUGGUAUAUGUAAAUUAAUGUAGUACAAGUUUCUUUUAAGAAACGAACCAUAUUUUGUUAACUACAAGUUACAAAGUUUAAUAUAAGAUGUACUCUUUAUAACAGGUUUUGCAUAUCCUUUUUUUGCACAAAAUGAAGCAGGAACUCGACAUUUAAAUUUUUGAGAGCACUCAUUGUAUUUGAGUAUCAAUUGUUAAGUUUGAAAAAAAUAAAAAAUAAAAACCGGGGUGAGACAGAGCCUAUCCAGAGCUUGCCUACCUGGAACCUGCCUCGGCUCCUGUACGAGGAAUAUUACAUUAUUUUGGUAUAAAUUUUGGUAUAAAUUUGUAGUGCAUUAAUUUUAUUUAAAAUUAUGGUAUAAGUUAUUUACAUGCAUGCUUUUAAACGUUUAAUUCAAGGUUUUUAAGGGUAUGCUUAGGAUUGUUAUAAACUUUCCUACUGAGUUGUGAACUCACCCUAUCCCUUCCACCUUUAUAUGCAGGUCAGAAGACCUAUGCGAGAAAUAAUGCUUGAGCAAUGCUUUAUUGUGAUUGGAUGUUGUUUGCUCGCAUAGAGAGUGUUUUGAGGCUUUGCCUUUGUAUUAAAGACAGAAUCUUUUUGUAUGAAUGAUGUAAUAUGUAUAUUUGUUAUAUACACUUGUAGUAUGGGCUACUCGUAGUGAACGAUGGGAUUUUGGUAUAUGUAAAUUAAUGUAGUAUAAGUUUCUUUUAAGAAAUGAACCAUAUUUUGUUAACUACAAGUUACAAAGUUUAAUAUAGGAUGUACUCUUUAUAGUAGGUUUUGCAUAUCCUUGUUUUUGCACAAAAUCAAGCAGGAACUCGACAUUUAAAUUUUUGAGAGCACUCAUAUUGUAUUUGAGUAUCAAUUGUUAAGUUUGAAAAAAAUAAAAAAUAAAAACCGGGAUGAGACAGAGCCUGUCCAGAGCCUGCCUGCCUGGAACCUGUCUCGGCUCCUAUACGAGGAAUAUUACAUAUUUUGGUAAAAAUUUGUAGUGCAUUAAUUUUAUUUCAAAUUAUGGUAUAAAUUAUUUAUUAAAGAAUGAUAGUAUUAAAUUAACUUUAUUAAUACAAGUCAUAAUUUCUAAAAGAUUGUAAAUUAUUUUGUAACAUCGCGCUAGACCAAAGGUACCUUGUAAAAACUUACAUCUACUUGAAAUAACAAUGUAAUAUUCAAAGGAAAGACUACUGAUAUUUAGUGAAAUUACAAUAAUAUAUUUAUAUUUAUUUUACUGCACUUACCCUAUGAAUGUUUUAAUAAAAUAAUGCACUACAUCCUUAAUGGAAUUAGUAUCAGGUAUAACUAUCUUUAAAAGGUGGUGAUAUUGGGCAAAAUAAAAAUAUAGAAUAUCUUAUGUUUUUCGAUAACUAAUAGAACAAAAUACUUGAUCAUUGUUUCAAAAGAAAAUUAAUGGGUAAUUUAAAAAAUUCAUGAUCCAAGCAAGGAAUAAAUUUUUAAUAUACAUUCUAUUUGAUGUUUGACGUUACACUUGAUGUCUAACUAUUCUUUCACUAAUUUUUUUUAUAUAUAUUAAAACAUUUGAUGGCAAGGUGGUAGCUAGCAUGAAGGUGGUUGAGUUUAAUUAGAAUCUUCCAUAACUGUUAAGAGUAAGUAAUCAUCAUUAUUCCUCUUUCACAUUCAUAAUUCUUUCUUUCCAAUCAAUAACAAACUCUCACUUUCCAUAGAAAAUUCAACUUACUAGCUUUCACAAAUCUGAGACAAUCUUUGGAAGUUGAUGAUUUCACAUUCAACAAUUUCUUGGUCUUUUUGGUCAUUACUCAGAUAAAAUUCUCUCAACUCUCUCUCACUUUCAGUCUCACUUUCUCCAGAAAAUUAAAUUCAAAUUUGCUAGCUUUCAAGAAUCUGAUAACUUGGGUUUUGUUGAUUUCACAUUCGGCAAUUUCUUCUGAGUUUGUUUAUCAUCAAUCGGGUACAAAUCCUUUAAUUCAUUGUCAAGUACAGUUUCUCUCUCAGUUUCUUGGUCAAGAAUCUGAAACUCAAUUCCACUUGGAAGUUGUUAUUUCUUUUUUCUAAUGAGAUUGCCUUUUCACGUGGAAGUUGUUGCUUUCAAAUUAAUAUCACUGAAUCUUCUUCAUCUCAGUUUUCAUCCUUUUUACAAUAUUUGCAUUCUUUAUCUUAAACUUAGUUCUAAAUGCACGGGUUAAGGAGAGUGAUAGUUCCAGCAACACCGAAACCAACCAUGGCAACUCCAACAUGGAUCUUUAAUUAUUGUUAUAUUAUAAGUGGACUCUUGCUAGUAGGUUUCUCAAUGUGCUUGGCUGAAAAUAAAAAUAGAAAGAUCGAUUCUUAUUAAUAUGAAUUGUUGCAGAUAUAAUAUGUUUAUUUUUGUGUAUUUUAAUUAUAGUAUAAGCCUACAUUUGUUUUCUUUUUCAUGGAUGCAAUCCUCUCACAUUCCAUCCUUUUCCUGAUGAGGAAGUAAUUUCUGAAGGGAUUAGAGCUGCAAAUCAGGAGACUAAUUUGGGUGAUUAAGUGUACGUUUUCAUUAAUUACUGUCUGUCAUUAUUAUUACUAUUAAUAUAAGUAGACACAUGCUAGUCGGUUUCUCAAUGUGCUUGGUUGAAAAUUAUAAAGAAAAGAUCGAUUCUCAUUAAUUUGAAUUGUUACAGAUAGAAUAUGUUUAUUUAUGUGUAUUUUAAUCAUAAUAUAUAUAAGCCUACAUUUGUUUCUUGUUCAUGGAUUCAGUCCUACCGUGUUUGAUUCUUCCUUAGGAAUGACAACUUCUGAAGGGAUUAGAUCUCCAAGUCAGGCGACUAAUUUGGCCUUGACCCGUAUGUGUUUUUGAUGCAUACAACCUGCUGCCUGGAAAGUAGUAAGAAAUUAAUACCAUUCACUUGUUGCUCUGAUUUUUCUGUUUUAUGUGUUGGCAAGCUCUAAUCUCAAGCUCAAUAUCUCACAUGCAGCUUGAGCGGAGCCAAAGCCACCCUACAAUCCAUGCUGGCCAAAUUUUGCUGCCAGUUCCUCCUGCUCUUCCUCCUCCUCGUGAGACAUAAUGGCCCAAUGACUUGGCUCAUGCCUGAUGGCUCUCUAUUACUAAGAAUCUCAGUGCAGUUGUCCAAUUUAAUAAACUCAAGAUCUAAUAUCAAUUGAAUAAAAUUUGAAACUCGAAGUAGGAUUACAAGUAAAAUAUCAUUAAUCAGUCUUGUUACACGUAUAGAACAUAAUCAAGCAAGGCAUGUCACCAUACUCAAGAUUUCAACAUGGUAGGUAUAGUUUUGGAAUAUUUUUCCAUGGGAUUAAUCCUUACACUUGAAAUUUGUUUAGGUGGGUUAGGGCUUUUGGAAGUUUGUUUGCAAUUUUCUCAUACUUGAAAACAAAGGAAUGGUCAAAGAAAGGAACUUCACAAAGAGAAGAUUGAAACGGACUAGGUAGACCCUCACGUGUUGGAUUUAAGGGUAUGGAAACAAAAGACUAGCCCAAAAGACACAUACAAAGAACAAAAUAAAUAACAAGAAAACCUUAUCGGUUGAGGCGUGACAAACACUGUCCAUGAAAUAGAUCCACCCUCCUCGAAGACUCGGUGCAUACCAGUGGUCUACUUCCAGGAUUCAACAACCAGAUCUCGCCUUAGGUGCACUCUGUAAGAGAGAUGUGUACAACUCGGGUUUUAAAAAAAUUCCUCCAAAUAGAUGUAUGAAAAUACUCCCUAAAAAACUCUCUGAAAAUUUCUUUGAAAAAUUGGUAUUCAUAUAUAAAGAGGGGUGAUCAGUUUUUAUAGGCCACUAAUACAAUCCCAAAAGGAAUCUACUUGUAAUUAGGAGAUGACACAAAGUGGAAGGGGAAUCUACUUAUAAAAGGAAUGAGACUCCACUAGCACAAUCCCAAUAGGACUCUUUCCAAAAAUAUAACACUGAUAGAAUAAAAUAAAAUAUAAUAAAAUAAAAAAAUAAUUCUCAAUAGGAUGCUUCCCAAAAAUAUAAGACUAAUAGAAUAACAUAAAAUAAAUUAAAAAUAAUUCCCAAAAAUAAAAAUAGAAAUUAUUUACACUCUUUCUACAUCACUUGCACCGAAGGUUCGUAUGAUCUUCAUGGAUGGCAGGUCGCAUGGCCUUCUCAAGCCUCCAUGCCUCACUUUUCCACUUAUAAAGAACAACCAAAAAGGACUUGACUAAUCUAAAAAAUCAAUGGCCGGCGAGCUCGAUAGAUAUAAACAACAGCCCAUGCAGUUUGGGAGAUCACAAAGUGAACUAUUGGAGUUUGGCCUUUCGUUUCUUCGUGUCAAUCUCGCUUCUGUCUCUGGCUAGAAGAGAAAAAAAUUGUAUAGACAUGUGUGGGAAGAUCUCCUGGCUUUUUCAAUACUUUAGAAAUAGAAACAGGCUCAGUAGUACUGUACUACUAAGAAUCCUCCUUGUAUAUUUGUGUUGUUAUAAUAACAGUAGUAUUAUCUUCGAAAUAAAAUUUAUGCAUGUGGGGAUGUGUUUUCUAUCUUUUGUUUCAAAUAGUAUCAUCUUCAUUUGGAAGUAACAUAAGUUGAUUUUCUUAGAGGACAAAUGCCACUUAUGUGAGUUUUUUUUUCUUUUUUUUUUCCUUUUCUCUAAAAAAAAAUUAUACAAAAGUUGCAAAUACCACUAUUUGAGGAUGCCUUGACAAAAUGAUUUUUGAAUUAUUUUAAUUUUUAUAAAGCUUGUAGCCUAGUCCCUUUAUAUAAAAGCUUAGUUAUUUAUUUUUUUUACUUAACAAAAUUAUCAAAAUUCUUGUUGCCAUUUGAGAAUUUUGAAAGAGAAGAGAUUAACUAAUAAAUUUAUUUUUGGAUAUGUUUGGUUCUCGUAAAAUUUGAGGGAAAAUGUAAAGGAAAGAAAAUACAAGGAAAAGUAUAAGGAAAUAAAAAGUGAAAGAAAAUAAAAAUUAAAUUAGAAGUCUAUAAAUUAUUUUUAUUUGCUAUUUCAAACUCAUUUUACUUAUUUUAACUCAUCGAUAUAAAGACUAAAUAAUUUAAAAACAUAUAAGAUUAAGUAUUUUUAAUUAUAUUUGAUUUUCUUUGAUAUUUUUUAUGGGAUAACCAAACAUAAAAAAAAAUCAUUUUCCUUUACUUUUUUUUUUCUUUCCUUAGUAUUUUCGGGGAACCAAACACAAUGUUCAUGUACGUAUAUGUUUCUUUUCCAAGGGAAACCUUAGCCUUUUUCACACAUUUUAAGCUUUUCUUUUAACUCAUUAAUAUCAAUUUGAAGAGAGAUGCUUUUCUAUUUAAGAUAAACCUAAAGGUUAUUUGACCUAGUUUAGAUAAUAUCUUAAGGAGGUGAAUAGGUGUUUAAACCUUUUGGCUCAAAGAAAUUAAUUAUUUUUUAAUCAUAUGACCAACAUUUUUUUUUCAAAUUAGGAAAGCCUCGAGAUAAACAUUGGAUUUUUACAUGGAACACCACCCACACCACAAGCAGAUGUAAAAACCAUGGGGUUAGAGACUUUUAAUCACUAAAAACAAAUUGAAAGCAUUGUACAUGGUUUUACUUGAUGAAAGCUAUCGCUAAGUCUUACUCCCUAGAACCUACACUACACUUCACGUUUGUGACGUAGCAUCACAUGAAUGUGUUAAUCUGAAGUACAUUGUAGCUAUAAUUUUUUUAAGGAUUAAAGAAAAAAACCAUUUAAUAUUUCGCUAGGUAUAAAAAAUCUUAUUUAUAGGAAAUUAUUUUGUAGAUGAUGAAUCAUUGAUGAAGAUAGGUUAAGGAAUUUUUUCAGCCUAUAUAAAUUUCGAAGUGUUUUUUCUCAAAAUUGGGUUCUAGGCUAUGCUAACAUGAAGCAACCUCUAGAGAUGAGCUAAUAUAGUGGAUGACUUGAUUCCAAUAUAAAUUAAAUUAAUUUUAUUUUUGCAAGUCUAAACCUUAUAUGAUCAAUUAUACAAUGAAAAGUAAAAUCAUCUGAUGAAUUUGUUUUGGUUCUUUACAUUAAAAUGAAUAGGGCUAAAAUAAAAAAUAAGGGUUUAGUCUUGUUUGUGUGGCACAUCUUCCACUUAGAUCUUGUAAUGUCUUGAUUUAUUGGCUUGAUUUAAAAAAUUUAAGUAAUAGUGAACCCUUCAGUAUUGUUCUUUGUCCUCUAAUAGGUGACUUAAAACAUUGUGUGGGAAAAAACACGACUCAUAAAUUCUAUCAAAUCAAGGUAAGAGUAAAUGGAUGUGAGUCAUGCAUUUAAUGGAUAUCUAAUCAAUAGUAUCAAUGAAUUGCAAGAUUAUAUGGUUGAUGAUGAUAGUGACCUAAAAAGAGAAGAAAUGAUGAUGAUUGUUGGCUUACAACUAUUGGAUGAAAAAAUUCAUGAAAUUGAGAAAAAUAAUAUACAAUGCAAUUGAGGAAAUAUAGUAGAGUUGGAUAUGAUGUUGUAAAACUAAUUGGAUUCACUCUUUCUCUCUAUUGCUCCUUCCACUUUUCAAUAAUUGUGAUAAUGAACCUAUAUUUACAAUAUAUUUGUAGUGCUAUAAAACUCUCAUUUGGUGACAAAAACCAAUAUUUUAAAAUGACAAGUAUAAAAAACUCUAGUUAAAUAUAAAUUUCUAAUGCUUCUCAAAUUCCUCAUAAUCCUAUAAUUCCUCUAACUCCAAUUCUCAUAGGAUUAAUAUUUUAAUCCUUUUCACUUCCAAUCCUUCUAUCUCAUACUCAUUAUUUAGCAUACCAUACGAAUGAUAAAUGACCUAAUAAUUCCUAAUUUCUAUUUCAUUAUUUUGUUCAAAGUUUUAGUGACAACUCCUAAUGCACAAAUAAUUCAAAAAACCAAUAAUACACUUCAAGCUUUUGUUGAUGCCAGAAAAUCUCCUAUGAGAUUUUGUUGCCCAUCUAAAAACUCAAGUGGAUAUUGCCCAUCUCUACUACAUUUCAUUCCAAACUUUUGGUUGGUGGAGAAUAGCAAAGAUUUAUUAUAUAUAUUGCUUUAUAACUCACAAAUGAAUUAAUUUGUGAAUUAAUUAAGCAUUAAGUCUUGCAAGUGAAACUUAAUUAAAACCAAAUCAUGUAUAUGAAUCACAUAUAUUUAAAAAAAAAACACUACUUGAAUAAAAUUGUAGUCAAAAGCAAGGUGAAAGCGCCCAACAACUUAGUUCCUGAUAAAAACAAUGAUUAUCACCUUAAUUUUUCCCAAGAAAGGGAGAGAAACCACAAAAUGAGAGAAAGUGAGGGAGAGAAAGUUAUUUUGUUUUGGACAAAACAAACUGUGAGGAGUGAUUGAUGAUAACUUAUAUGAUAAAAUACACCAAAUUUCCAGGUGAUAAUGUUGGAUUAUAAUUACAAACUUUGGAUUCAAUUUUCUUUCCUUUUUUUUAAUGCAUGUUUUAGAAAUAAUAUGAAAAAGAAACUAUAACUUUAGAAGAAUUUUUAAAACUAUAACUUUGAAAUAUUAAGUCAAAAAAGGUUAAGCUUUAUUUUUAAAUAAUGGUUUCACGCUUCUCUUUUUUCUCCUUUUAAUCAUUUUGAAGAAAAUACAUUUAGUACAAAUGUUAUUAAAAGUUGUUUCCAAGAACAGGUUUUAGAACUAUUUUAAAAAACACUUCCCAAACAGUAUUUCCCCUCACCUAAUAAGUUCGCUUUUAGGUAAUAUUAACAAAUGCCUUUGGAUAGAAUAAUAUUUGUUUAAGUAAAACACAUUCCUUAUCACAUUGACUUAAUUAGUUAAGAUUAUAUCAUCAAAUUUUGAUGAAUUGUAAUCAUCAAGGGGAUUAAUAUAAAGGAGGCAACAAUAUACAUACACUAUAUAUUUCAGCAAGUAGUGGUAACAGCUGUAAUUAUAUUCACAAUCAUUGACAUCACAACAUUUUGUUUUAUUUUAUUUUUUUUACUGAAUAGAAAUGUAUAAAAAAAAUUUACAUAGGAAAUACAACCUCUAUCCCUAUACCACCACCACAUGCUUUAAAUGAAGGAAGUUGUUAACGAUUAAUGGUUUUUAUUUCAAGGUUUAGCUUUAAAUCCCUUAGAAUCACCUUGAAUGGCUAAUACUUGGUAAGCUUUUCGGAUUCUAUGGAUGCUUAUUGCUAGAUCUAUGGAUGUCUAUUAGUUAUCAAGUACGAGCCAUUGGAAGGUGGUUCAAGGUGAGGGUCUUUAGUGUUUGAACCCAUUAAUGGAAUGCAACUACCAUUUUUCAUGAACCCUUUGGAUCAAAUCUUAAUUGCUAAAUACAAAACCGGUUCGAGAGAUAACCAUCUUUUAUGUUAUUGUCCCCAAUGCAAGGAGAAGAUUCGGAAUCUCCCCAUUUGCCCAAGGAACCCAAUCCUAGUGACCUAAAGCUCCAAGAGACCUUUUCUUUGUAAUUAACUUCAAUUACUAUUUUUGCUUAACUUAAAAUCAACAUUUUCAACUAAAAUUCCAUUUUCUUUAAAAGCUAAUUUUCAUAAGGAAAAGCACCAUUUCAUUACCUUCACUAAAGUCACUUGUGCGAAGAAAACCCAUCCCUAUGGACGAUCCUAGAGCCAUUAUGCUAUGUUAGCCAUGCUACCCUAGUGUAUGGUGAUUUAGGUUUUAUAAAUUUUGUUGAUAACACCCAUCCGGGAACCAGAAUCAAAUGGCACCGUCUGGGGACGAAUCAUUUCUCAAAGGCAGAUCUCUCCAAUCCCUAUUUCACUCACCAUUCAGAUCACCCAGGUUUGGUUUUGAUUUCCAAAUCUUUGAAUGGAGACAAUUAUUUGGCUUGGAAAAGGGCUAUGAUUCUAGCUUUAAAUUCCAAGAACAAAUUGGGUUUUGUCAAUGGCUCGAUCAAGGCUCCUUUAGAAGAAACUGAUCCUGAAGGUUAUGCGACUUGGUCAUGGUGUAACGAGGUUCACUCCUGGAUUGUCAAUACUCUCAAUCCAGAAAUCGUGAACAGUGUAAUAUAUUAUUCUACUACUCAUGAAGUUUGGGAAGAUCUCCAUGAGUGAUUCUCUCAAAGCAAUGCACCUCAUAUCUUUGAAAUUCAGUGAGAUAUUGCUUAUCUUCGACAAUAGCAACUCUCUGUCUCCGCCUAUUACACAAAAUUGAAAGGCCUAUGGGAUGAACUAGCUUCCUACAAUGCUGCAGCACAUGGGGCAUAACAAGAUCAACAAAAAUUGAUGCAAUUUCUGAUGGGAUUGAAUGAAUCUUACACUGCUAUUCACAGGCAAAUCCUCCUUAUGAAUCCUCUCUCUUUUGUUCGCCAAGCAUACUCCUCUGUCUCUCAAGAAGAAAAGCAGCGUCUCCUCACUUCGAUGAAUGCAACAGCGGAAUCUACCUCAAGUGCUGCUAUGGCCAUCCAUAGCAACGACAAGUCUUCAGUGACUUGGAAGGACGGAAUAGAUCGAUCGAACACAGGAAGGAUGGAACCGAUUGAUCGCCCCUCUGGUUCUCAAAAUUUCCGGGUGAAUCGAUCUUCUUAGGGUCAAGAUGGUAGACCAUUUUUUGAUCAAGAUCAGCGCCGCAUGGGUUCUAGAAGAGGACGCCCCUAGUGCUCGUAUUGUGGAGAUAUGGGCCAUUGGGUCCAAAAGUGUUUUCAACUACAUGGAUAUCCACCAGGCCAUCCUAAAUAAAGAAUGAACUCAAACUCAAAUUCAAAUUGGAAUAAAGGUUUUCCUGCGGCUAACCAACUUUCUGAGGCAGAUAAAGGAAGACCUACAGUUGCAUUAUUAGAAGCCCAACUCAAGCAGCUUUUGUCAUUUCUUAAUAACCAAGAUGAAGACUCUAGUUCCAAAGCGAAUGUGGUAACAAAGCCAGGUUUGUCCAAAGUCACUUCCCGCAAUUGGAUUGUUGAUAGCGGGCCGAUAGAUCGUACUACUUCAUCCUCUAAGUUAUUACAUAAAGAUAAAACUUGCUUGUUACCGCCCGUAUUAUUGCUUAGUGGUAAAAAAAUGAAUAUUGUUACGAAAGGGUCUUUGACUCUGAAUUCCAUCUAUUAUUUGCAUGAUAUGUUAUCUAUGCCUACAUUCAAGGUUGAUUUAAUAUUAGUUAGUCAUUUGACAAGAGGUCUGAAUUGUUCAGUGACGUUUUUCCCUUAUUGGUGUAUUUUGCAGGAUCUGGCUACAAGGAGGACAAUUGGUUUGGGUAAACAAUGUGAUGGACUAUACUAUUUGGUGGCACUAGCGACAGAGAAAUCUUUGACGAACCGUUCCUCACCAACUAACCUGCAAUCUCGCCAUCUUUUCGACCAAUCUCUGGCAUAGUCGCUUAGGCCAUGUAUCACCUUCUCAUUUGAGUUUUAUUUCCAAGAAUUUUUUGAAUUUUCUAUUCAGUCCAAUAAUGCUUGCCUUAUAUGUCCUUUGGCUAAGCAAAGUCUUUUACCUGUCGAUACUAGUGCUAUUUCUUCUACAAAACCUUAUGAGAUUAUUCAUUGUGACAUUUGGGGUCAUUAUCAACACUCUUCUCUUUUUGGCACUCAUUACUUUCUCACUAUUGUCGAUGAUUAUACACGUUUCACAUGGAUAUUUUUAAUGCGACAUAAAGAUGAAACACAAUCAUUUUUAAAAUGUUUCUUAAGCUAUGUUUUCACACAAUUUGAAUUUUGCAUUAAAACAUUUCGAAGUGACAAUAGUGGAGAAUUUACCUCACUUUGUUCUUUUUUUUUUCAAGAUAAUGGUGUUAUCUUUCAACAUUCUUGUGUUUACACGCCUCAACAAAAUGGGAUUGUGGAUUACAAACAUCGUUAUAUUUUACAAGUAGCCCAAGCUUUGAAAUUUCAUGCUCAAGUUCCCACUCAAUUUUGGGGGGAGUGUGCUCUCACUGCUGUACACAUCAUCAAUCGGUUACCUUCACUAGUAUUGUCUUUCAAAAUUCCAUUUGAAUUGUUUUACUCAAAACCACCUUCUUACUAUCAUCUCCGUGUUUUUGGAUGUUUAACCUAUGCCACCAAUGUUCACACCUCUCACAAAUUUGACUACUGUGUCGUACAUGCCAUCCAUUUUCAUUGGUUAUCCUGCCGGUCAGAAAGAAUACAAUUUAUUUGAUUUAUCAACCAAAAAGGUCUUUACUAGUCAAGAUGUUAAAUUUUCAUGAAGAUAUUUUUCCUUAUGUCUCUCUCAAGCCCAACUCUACUCUCCCUUCAUUAACCCAUAAUUCUGGUCCAAUCCCCUUGGUGGCCCACAACGUCUUUUCCUCCCUUGACUUUACUUCUCACACACCUUCCUCUCUUCUUUUCGACCACACAAGCAUACCGUCUCCUACCAUAAAAAAUGAUGACUUUUCCUCUCCUUCUCGACCUUCCGAACUUGGUCCCUCUUCUCCAGUGCUGGCACCAACUCCACCUUCCAUUCUUCGUACCUAUACCCUAUGCCCAAAACCUUCCUCCUUACCAAACAAUCCUACCCCGAUUGAACCUUCUUCUCAGAUCGAUCCAAACCCUCCACCAUCGCCUUCUCCGGUGCCAUCGUCUGUAUCCAUCCCGUUCACUUCUCUUGCUGAGAUGCCCCUCUUUUCACCAGAAACACACUCACCCGAACCAGUCGCUUCACUCUGUCACUUCAGCUGCCAUGUCGCCCCGUCGGUCAAGCUUCACGAUUAUGUCUGCUCCCACGUUUCCUCUUAUCAAUUGUCUUCCUUGAUUCCAGGUCCGACCAAAGGUACGCGAUAUCCACUAGCCAAUUAUGUUUCUUAUCAUAGAUAGAAGCCUACAUAUAGAUCUUUUGUUAAUCAACAUAGUGUUGUCAUAGAACCCAAGUCUUAUUCAGAAGCCAUCGCUCAUCCUGAGUGGCAGAAGGCAAUGCAUUCCAAAUUGCAGGCUUUCCAAGCUAAUGACACUUGGUCUCUCACUCCACUUCCGGUCGGCAAGACAUUGAUUGGCUGCUGAUGGGUGUAUAAAAUUAAACAUCGUUCAAAUGGGUUCAUUGAGCGUUACAAAGCAUGAUUGGUAGUGAAAGGCUUCACUCAAUUAAAAGGUGUCGAUUAUCAGGAUACCUUUUCCCCCAUUACCAAGAUCAUAUAAGUUUGCUGCUUCCUUGCAUUGGUCAUAGCCCAUGGCUGGUCUCUUCAUCAAAUGGAUGUCAACAAUGCCUUUCUUCACGGUGACUUACAUGAGGAAAUAUAUAUGUCUCCGCCACCAAGGCUUUGACAAUAGGGGAAGGAAAACUUGGUAUGUCGCCUUCAUAAAUCGCUCUACAGUUUGAAACAAGCUUCUCGCCAGUGGUUCGCCAAGUUCUCAGAAGCUAUUCGAUCCGUCGGUUAUGCACAAUCUUGAGCAGAUUAUUCUUUGUUCAUCGGAAAACAAGGCAAGUCCUUUACUGCCCUCUUAAUAUAUGUUGAUGAUAUUCUUAUUACUGGAAAUGAUACUGUGAGCAUUGCUGCAACAAAAAUAAAAUAAAAUUGCAUAGUCAUUUUCAUCUCAAAGAUUUGGGUGAUUUAAAAAUACUUUCUUGGCAUUGAGGUUUCUGCUUCUAAAAAUGGGAUUUUUAUUUCCUAACAUAAGUAUGCAUUAGAGAUUAUUGAGGAUGCAAGACUGUUGAGCGCUACCCCUAUUGAUACACCUAUGGAACGAGGAUUGAAAUUGUUUGAUAAGAGCAAUUGGCUCAAGGAUCAAGGUCGUUAUAGGAGAUUGGUUGGAAGUUUAAUAUAUCUAACUGUGUCAAGGCCAGAUAUCACUUAUGCAGUUCAUGUGUUAAGCCGAUUUAUGCAUCAACCGAGAAAGGCUCAUAUGGAAGCAGCACUCAGAGUUGUGCGUUAUCUCAAGAAUGCACCUGGUCAGGAUAUGUUCUUCUCUUCAAAUAAUGAUUUUAGAUUGAGAGUCUACUGUGAUUCGGAUUGGGCAGGUUGUCCACUUACUAGAAGGUCCACUACAGGCUACUGUGUAUUCCUUAGACCUUCACUGAUUUCUUGGAGAUCAAAGCAAUAGAAAACAGUGUCACUCUCUUCAACCGAAGCAGAGUAUCAUGCAAUGAUAGGAGCUUGUUGUGAGUUAAUGUGGCUUCGGUACCUUCUGAAAUAUUUGGGUGUUUUACAUCAGGAACCUGCCUUGUUGCAUUGUGACAACAAGGCAGUGUUGCACAUUGUAGCCAACCCUAUUUUCCAUGAGCGUACUAGACACAUUGAGAUGGAUUGUCACUAUAUUAGGGACAAUAUCCAAGAUGGUUCCAUUAUUACAAGACAUGUGAGCUCAACGCAUCAACUUGCAGACAUUCUGACCAAACCAUUGGGAAAGGAGAUUUUUGCUCCAAUGAUUCGCAAGUUGGGAGUAUAGGAUAUCCACUCUCCAACUUGAGGAAAAGUGUUGGAAAGUCAAUCUUCCUAAAUCUUCCAUAUUAAGAAUAGAUGAUCUGUAUAUGUUAGUCUUCCUAUUGUAAUUCUUGACUUAUAGUUGGACAACCUAGAAUAUAGUAGCUAAUUCCUGACUUGCAGGAAAAGAUCACAAACCUCCCUGUAUAAAUACAUACUUCAGCAUCAAUAAUAUUCAUUCAGCUAAUUCCCUAUGUCAUUCAUCUUUUCACAAGGGAAUGGUAUUUCUUACGACUCUCUAGCCAGAAGGUUCCCAACAUGUUCAAUAGUAGGCAAGGGUCAUGGUCAAAAUAGUCGCCUCAUUUGCAUCUUUAAUCCCUAGAAAAACUAUUACUCCAAUGUCAAGAGGGAGAAGGAACAUGGUAGGACUGCAUCCAUGAACGAAAAACAAAUGUGGGCUUAUAUUAUGAUUAAGAUGCAUAAAAACAAACAUAUUCUAUCUGUAAUAGUUCAAAUUGAUAUGAAUCGACUCUUUUCUUUAUUUUGAACAAAGCACAUUGAGAAACCUACUAGCAAGUAUCCACUUAUAAUAAUAGUAAUGAUAAUAACAAUAAUUAAUGAAAAACAUACACGUGAUCAGCCACAUAGUAUCUGGCAUAGGGAUUCCCGGCUAGAACAACAACACCCUACACAAGGAGAACAUUGAUCAAAGAAAUAUAAAAGAAAAAUGUGAAACAUAAAGCAAGUGCCUUUAUUGAAAGUCAUUAAUAUCUGAUAUAUGGGAAAAGACAUACUCGAACAUUUUUGUUGCGAAUAAAUUGUUGAGAGCACUUGUUAUAACUGAUCCAUGUUAGAGCUGAGUGGGGAUCUUGUGUUGGAGUUGGGCCUUCGGGAUUUUGUGUUGCCAUGGUUGGUUUCAGUGUUGCCAGAACUAUCACUCUCCUGAACCCCAUGCAUUCAGAAUUAAGUUUAUGAUAAAGAAUAAAAAUAUCGUAGAAAAUAUGAGAACUGAGAUGAAAAAGAUUCAAUGAGAUUAAUUAGAAAGCAACAACUUCCACCUGAAAAGGGAAUCUGAUUAGAAAAAAAGAAAUUAACAACUUCCAAGUGAAAUUGAGUUUUUUGACCAAGAAACUGAGAGCAAAACCGUGAUCGAUGCAUUAAGAUAUUUUGAAAAAGAAAGAAAGGAUUAGAUAAUAUAUUUGUACUUGAUUGAUGAUGAACAAGACUAAAAACAAAUUAUUGAAUGUGAAAUCACCAACACCCAAGUUAUCAGAUUCUUGAAAAAGUUUGAAUUUAAUUUUCUGGAGAAAGUGAAAGAGAAAUAGUUAUUAAUAUUAUAUAGGAAACAAAGCAAAUGAACUUGUAAUGGAUCUCUAUAGAAAGAAAGAAAGAAAGAAAGAAAGAAAAAGGUUAGGAGAAUUUUACUGGAUUGAUGACCAAAGAGACCAAGAAAUUGUUGAAUGUGAAAUCAAUGACACCCAAGUUAUCAGAUUUUUUGAAAAGUAGCAAACUUGAAUUUAGUUUUUUUGGAGAAAGUAAGCGAAAGUGAUAGAGAAACAAUUAUGAAUGUUAUAUAGGAAACAAAGAAAAUGAACUUGGAAUGGAUCUCUACAUAAAGAAAGAAAGAAAAGGGUUUGGAGAAUUUUACCAGAUUGAUGACAAAAAAGACCAAGAAAUUGUUGAAUGUGAAAUCAACAAUUUUCAAAUUACAAUAUUGUCUCAGAUUGGUGAAAUCUAGCAAAUUGAAUUUUCCAGGGAAAGUGAGAGAUUGGUGAAAACUUGCAACUUGAAUUUUCUAUAGAAAGUGGGAGGAAGCAAGAGUUUGUUAUUGGUUUGAAAGAUAGUUAUGAAUGUGAAAGAGGAAUAGUGAUGAUUAUAUAUACUCUAAGCAGUCAUGCAAGAUCAUGACUAAACUCAACCACCUUCAUAUUACCACUUUUCGUUAAAUGCUUUUAUAUAUAAAAAAUAAAUUAGUAAAAGAAUAUUGAGACCUCAUGUGUAAAGUCCUACAUCAAAUAGAAUGCAUAUUAAAAAUUUAUCCCUUGCUUGGAUCAUGAUUUUUUAAAAUUGCCUUUUAUUUUUCUUUUGAAACAAUGAUUGAAUAUUUUGCUCUAUUAUUUUUGGAAAAUGACAAUAUUUUGUAUAAUUACUUUCUAAAACACAAAACAUACUCUACCAUUUUUAUUUUGUUCUAUCUUAAGGACGCGGUACAUUAUUUUAUUAAAAUAUUCAUUGGGUAAGUACAAUGAAAUAAAUAUCAUGGCCUUCCACCAAUUAUACCUCAUUACUUAUCCCACUCAAUAUUAUAUGGUCAUUUCAAAGAGAUAUAUGUAAUUUUUGACAAGGUACCUUUGAUCUAACCCCCAUGUUACAAAAUACUUAAUUUACUAUCUUCUAUAAAUCAUGGCUUGUUUUCAUAAAGCCAAUUUAAUACUUUCAAUCUUUAAUAAAUAGUUUGCUUUAAGAAAUUUCCUAAAUUCAAUUUGAUUAGGAUUUGAUUUUUAAAUACCAUCCAGUCCACUAGGGUUCAACCUAUACAUGUAUGCUUAUAUUGAGCAAUUUCAUUCUUUAUAUGCCUAAUUUUUAUGUCAUUACUUUGUGCUUAACCUAACAUUCUUAAAACAUUUCACCAUUAUUCUUUGACUCUAUGUUAGAGGAUCACAUUCUCUUAAGAUAUUGAGGAAUCCAUUACAGUUUAUUUCUUCAUAGUUAGAGAAUUUAACUUUGUAUUCUUUGACCUCAUGGAUUUUACAUUCACAAAUUCUUUUGGAGGCUUUAUGUGUGGCAUUCCAAGUAAAAUGUCUAUGUAAUUGUGUGAUUGAAUUAUUAGAUUAAUUAAUAACUAUCAAUUUAAUUGGAAAAUCUAUAAAUAAAUAAAUAAAAUUAUAAUAUUUUGGCUAAAUAAAAAGUGACAACCUGUUUACCUCCCCCCUAAUUCCAUGAUACAUGAUCUUAAACUUUAAAUUGGAAUUAAAGUGUGAAAAGUGAAAAAAAUAAAUUUUUUUUAUCCCACUAAGAUCUUGAAUCAUGGAAACAUAGAAUGGGAUUAUGCAUAAACAAUCAACACUCCUUUCAUGGGAACCAACUAUCUCCAUUAGAAGCAUCUAUUAAGUUCUUUUUAAAAAUGCAAUGGGAACAAGUAUGAAAUUUAGUUGAAUUCAAUUGAGAGCUCUCAUUGAAAUUGAAUGGAUUGGUAUAUAUACUAGUGAACUCAAGCUCAAAUAAGAAUGGAAUAAAAUGGGCAAUGACAAUAGUGAGGAAAAUGCUCAAACUCUCUAUAGCAUCUUCAAUAGGGUGAGUAAUGACAAGUUUGGUAGGAUAAUGAUAUGAAAAGAAAGCUAAAGAGCCAUGGGACAUUGUUUUAGUCAUGCAUGAGGGCACGUCAGUUGUGAAGUUGUCUAAGAUAUGAAUGCUCACUAUUAGAUUUAAGAGCAUAUAAAUGCAAGAGGAUGAAUUUUGAAAACCUAUUCAGAGUGAAGUGAUAUAAGAGAAAAAAAUUGUGUUCUAAAAGUUGUUAGAAAAUACCAAUGUCUCUUCCUUAGAGAUUUAGACUCAAUGUUACUGUUAUAGAAGAAAGAUAAGACAUCAACUCUAUAAGGAUCCACAACCUCAUACAUGGGACCAUCAUACCACAGGAAGAAUCCAUAACCUUCGUACUUCUAUACCAAAUCUAAGCAUAUGUCUACAAAAACACCAAGGAUAAAUCUUAAAAAAUUUGAUAGACAAACACAAUAUUACCUUAUAAUUUUGGCAUCUUAAAAACCUUCUACUAGGAUUUAAAUUUGUCCACGAUGUCAUCAGAUGAGCUUCAUUACCACAAUAACAAUGAACUGGAGGAUCCAUUAAUCUUUCAAUUGUCAUUUGCCUUCAAAAAUCUUCAGCCUCAAUGGAUAAAUCUUCAGCUUCGACCGCCACUUCAGGGAGCAAUGUGGGAUUCUAGGGUUGGAGAAAUUAUUUGUGGAUUUUGCAAAUUUCUACCCUACGGACAAGGAGGAACAAUGAACUUUGGGAAAUUAUGUGGGCUUUUAGCUUUGUGGGAUUGGGAUUUUAGGGCUUUGAAGGGAAGGAAGAACGGAGUAAAAGAAAAACUAUAUCUUCAUCCAAAAUAAUUCUAGGGGAGUGAGAAUCAACAUGUUUCUCGGUAGGGUUCCUUGUACCCAAGGAACAUAAACAUUCUAAUUAAGUACAAUAUAAUCAUAUAACAAUCCAUUUCUAUUGUCUACAUCAGCUAAAACUUCAAUCAUACAAAAUUAAAUCGACUUACAUUGACAAUUUUCCCAUUAUAUCACAUAAAAUACUUUCAAUUUUCUAACACAAAAUAAAUUAUUCAUUACAUGGCAAAAUAGAUAAUGGAGAAACACAAUAAAGACUAUCUAUCAAUGAUCUUGAGUAUGUAAAUGAAGCAUUUAAUUUAAUAAAAACCUAUUUAUUAUAAAUAAAAAUAAAAUACCUAAUGAAUAAUUUUCUCUACAUGAACUAGAAACCAAAAUUAAAUUCUUCCUAUACUUAAGAACAUAAAGAGAAAUUUUUAACUUUAGAAGACAACUAUCAUCUUAGAUAAGGGUAACAUCUCCCAUUGCACAACAAUCCUUGCUUCAAAAGCUAGUGUCAGGUACAUGUCCCAUAAUUCAGUCUUCUCCUUAGAUUGAACCUCCUAUGAAGAAUUGCAAACAUGAUUAGUAAAGCUAGAAUCUAUCCACCAAUAAUUAGUGGAAUCCAACACUAAACGUGAUUCAACUAGAAGAGAAUGAGGCGUACUUGACUACCUCUUUAGGAAUUUAGGGAAUUUAGGGCAUUCCUCCUUCCAGUGGCCUUUCUAACAACAAAAGAAACACUUUCCUUGACCUUUGCUCUUCUUCUUCAUCCCUUUUCCCUUGAACGUCCCAUUCUACUUGGUGGUCUUGUUGUUGUUUUUAUUCUAGCUAUAAAAGAAACAUUGACUAGCAUAUGGAUGCUUCUUUGAUCCUUAAGAAUCCCCUCAACUGUCUAGAGUUCUCUCAUCAAUUUAGUUAAGCUUAUCACCAUCUUAUUCAUAAAAUAAUUGAGCUUGAAUUGCUUAAAAUAAUUUGACAAGGUCUUUAUAAUUAUGUUAACCUAGGUUUCCUCAUCGAUCUCAACUUCAAGGAUCUCUAUCUCGUUAAAGAGUUUGAUCAUAUCAAUUAUAUGAUCUCUAAUGGGAGUUUUUUCUGACAUUUAAGUAUUCAUAAUUGUCUUAAGGGAAGCUUAUCAAGUCGACCUACCCUAGCAACUAGUAAGUAUAUCAUAAGCUAUUGGCAUAGAUAUGUGUUGAUGUUGCAACACGUUAUCCAAAGACCCAAGUAUAAUACACUUAGUCUUUUGAUCCUCCAUCUGCCAACUAUGAUAUGCAUCAAUCACCUCUUGAGUGGAAUGUUCAUUAGGGGAAGAUAGAACUAAUUCUUCAGUUACUCAUUUUUAGCUUCUCUUGAGUGAGUGUUAUGCCUAGAUUUCUUUUGCAAUCCACAUAGUUUGGUACCAUCAAUUUAUUAGUAGUGAGAAUGAGAUUUAUCAUAUUAUAAGACAUGAUAUUUGUAACUAUGAUUAAUUUACUAAGCAUACACAAAAAACUAAUAAUUAAAUUAGUAAAAAUGUAGUGCUCUCAAACUAAAUGUCUUUUCUCAAGGUAUCCUAGUAUCAUAAGAAUCAAGCCUACAUGAGGUAGGUCAUGAUCUUAUUACUAGUUACAGACAAUCUCAGAUUAAUCUCCAUGCCUUAACCAUGAAUGAUAUCUAAAUGCAAGAUCAACAUACCUUUUCUUUGGCCUAUAGACUUUGCAAAUGGGACCAUGUAAGGCGAUUUGACCGCUCAUAUCCAAUGUUGUGUAUAUAACCAUUGUUCUUGAACUAUCAAUGUCACCAAGUAAGGAACCCCUUGUGGGGGUGGUUGCUCCUACUACAAACAUGUCAAGUCUAGUCCAUAAGGAUAAUCCAUGUCAGUUGAUUCAUAGGGUCUAACUCAUCAUGGGAAUGGUAAUGAACCCAAAUCAAGAUGUGCUUGACAAUAGAGGUCAUGAGUUUUGAUGAUGCCCUCUCCCACUUAAUCUUCUGAAAAGAGAGACUUUUAGUAAUUUUGGUACCUUUCUUAAAAUAAAUUCUCUAUCUUGAGAUUUUCCAAAUUCAUUAUUUACUUCUUAAAUUGGGACUCCAAUGUUAAAAGGAUUGCUUUCUUAUUCUUUUAUCCUUGAACUAUCUAUAUCCACAAAAGUCCUCUUUCUCUCAAGUGUGGAUAGUCUAAAGGACUUGAUGGUUUCCUCUUUAUCUUGGGGUGAAGAGCUUGGAGGACCAUUAUAUGUCAUUUUACUUCUUUUAAGGGGGACAACUAAGAGAAAUACCUAUCUAAAAAAUAUAUAAUCCAAAAAGGAAUUGCAAUAAUCUUUUAACAAUGAUCACUUCAAAGAAAAAUAACAAUGGAAAUUUAACUUCUCAUGAAAAUUUAUUUUCUCAAGUAAAAAAAAAAAAAAGUACUUUUCCAAUAUGUUAUUAUUCAUUUACUACAUGCUAACAAUAAACUUAUCAUAGAAUAAAUAAUAAAAUAAAUUAACAACUAUCAUGGCCUUAGGGAACUUAUUGUAUAAAAUUGGUAACUUAUUUAGAUUAUAAUCCAAAAUUACCAAAAAUAAACCUAUAACAAAAAUUAGGGUAGUAAGGGACACAAGUAAACCUAGUUUAUUACAAAGAUUCUAAAAUAUGCCUUUUUUUUAGCAAUUAUGCCUUUCUUACUACCAAUUUGCUAGCACUAGCAUUAGAUCGCCCAAAAAUUUUGAGUUCCGUUAGAAGUAGCGUAUCAUUACUAAAAGCACUUCUCAAUCACUCAAGCCACUCGAGUACUUAGUUAAUUGCUCGAGCACUAAUCUAAGCGCUUUAGUGUUAAAUUCUUCCCUUGCACACCCAAUAUUGCUAAUCCAAACUCCAAUAAUCGUUUUCUUCAUAAAAGUUGCAUUUUUCCGGCAAGACAACGUCCACAACCACCAUGUGAUAAUUCAAAUUGCUUCCAAAUGCUCUAACAGUUACAAAGAAUGGUAAAAGAAUGAUUUUUAUAACAAAAACCCAUACUCCAUCAAAUCCAAGUUUACAAUAAUUCUAAGAAAAAUGGGAUUUUUACAAAAAAGAAAAAUCCUAUGCCUCUUUUAAUGAGGCUUAUAACCGAUUUAGAACAAAACAACAAUCUCAAUCAUAAUAAUGAACAUCAUGUUUAAGAGAUCACAAUAAUUCAUGCACAAAGUUUUUAUCUCUAAGGCCAUGGGACAAACAAUAAGCCUUAGAAAAUAGCCAUUAACACCCCUUGGAAAGGUUUUAUCAUGCUCCUGUCUAAGCUAUGGCUUUGUUAUUAGUUUUAGGUGAUGGAAACCCCAUAUUACUCCAUUUUUAGGUCUUGGGUCUUAUAGGGUGCAUGCAUCUAUCCUCAAGGUUCUCUAGAUCUAACCCAAUAAAAAUUAAUGGCUUCAAAAACUAUUAUAGAAUUAAGUUUCAGAGAUUUGAAGUUCAUACCUACGAUCUAGAUAUUCCCAUAUUGAAUAUAAGCCAAUGAAAAAGAAGCUUGUAGUCUGCGAAGGUCUCAUACACCCAAAGUCCUCCACCCAACGACUGACCACAACCUUGGCAUUGCAAAGGGUGGGCUUUGGAAGUGAGGAAGCUUUGGUUCUCUCUCUCUAGAGGUGGAAGAUUACUAACUAAAAACCUCAACCUCUAAGAAGGUAUUUAUAGGGUUUCCUAUUGUCUUAAGUGACUUGGGCCCAUAUAGGCUUGAGUCACUUAAUCUAAGCCCCAAUCGAGUACUAAUUGAUUAAUUAACCUAACAAAGCUAUCUAAUUUAUUAAUUACCCCAAUCUAGAGACUUUGUUCACUAUCCCUUAUGCAACCUUGUGUAAUUACUAAAACAUCCUUAUGCACAAGAGUGGACCUAGGCCCAAUCCAACUCUCAUAAACCAUGUCAUCAUCACAUAUGAGCUCAAAGUAGGGACUACUAGGACCCAUAAGAGAACUAAAUCUCCCAUAAUCCAAUUUUGAAGUUGAUUCAACAUCCUACUAUAAAGAAUUAAUUGUACUCUAAUAUCAUAUUUAAAUAACAACAAGACAAAGCUUGAGUUUGUGACCUACUAUCCACUACAUGCAGACUUUCUAUAAAUUGGUGUUCGUAAUCACAAGGUAAUACCAUCACCCAUUAAGAUUAGCUCUCUAAUUCUUGAGCUACAAACCCCACUUAUUAUAUGAUCAAAUGACAUACUCUAGCUCUAAGGGCAUACGUCAAAUUUCUUUAAAGGAAUUACUAGGGCCAUAGAUUUUAUGUUCAUAUGUCCUUUAGAUCACCCAAGGGGAAAGUUUGUCUCAAACUCAUGAGAUAUAAUGAUGCCUUUAUUGAGAAUAAUUAUUGUCACCAACCUCUAUCAACAAUGACCUAAUCCUGAAAGAUAGAUAGCCACUUUAAGGUCUCACCCAUAAGUCAAAGUUUCCUUUUGUUUUUAACACAAACUUAAUAUCCUCUCAAGGUUGAAAGUCCAUGCAAUAUAGUAGCUCAGCGAAUCAUGAUAAUUGAUAACCUUACGUCAUGAUUCACCAUUAGUUCUAUUGAGUAAGCAUGACAUACAUUAGUGCACUCAUCAUGGGAAACUUAUCCCGGUGGCCAAGACAAGUCAUCCCUCCAAGUAUGAGGUAGUGCACUAGAGUUUCUGCUAGAUUGCCCAAAUCCAUGAAUUGACUGUGAAAAACUUAUCUAAUUACAAGAAACCCAUGACUUGUAAUCUCUAAGCAACUCUUAAUGCAACCAAGUCAUGUACAAUGUAAGAGAUAUAGAUUAAAUGUGCAAAGCAAUGUUAAUGCACAAAAAAUAACAAUCAAGUUUGACUUUUUUACAUCGUAUCUUACUUUUAGGGGCUCAAUGCCAUCAAACUCCCACUAGCCCCAAAAGCAAACUAGACACCAUAGAAAGAAUUUGCUCUAAAAUCACAUGACAUCUCUUAAUUAUCUCACAAAGCAAGUAGUACUUAAUCUCUAUACAUUUUCUUUUCUAUUGGUACUUUGGUUCUUUAAACUUUGCUAUCAUCCCAUUAUUACCAAAAAUAGAGUCUUCGACUAUACAGCCAAAGGAGCUACGCUUAAGCCAAAUGUCUUCCUUUGUUGUUUUAGAAGCAACAAAAACUAGUUAGAGUAUACACAUACCUAGAGGUAGACUUGUGAGAGUCCUCAUCAAAAUGAAAGUCUAAUUCUAGAUACCUUAUGAGUACCAAUCAUCACAAAAACUCAUAAGCAAAUAAUCCCUUAUUCUCCAAAGAUAAGUUCAUGGAUUUAGGUAAUCCAAUAGAGGUUGUAGUGUACCACUAUCUAAUUAGAGGGUUGACUUGUCAUAGUUAUCAGGAUGGGUUUCCCAUAGCAAGUGCACUAGUGUAUAUGAUGGACAUCGGACAAGACCUAAGGUGAAUUAUGAUGUAAGGCUAUCAAUUGUCAUGAUUCACUAAACUACUAUAUUGCAUGGACUCACAAUCUUGAAAUAAUAUUGAGUAUGUGCUAGAAUCAAUAAAAGGCUUUGACCUAUAGGUGAGACCCUAAAGUGGUCAUAUAUCCCCAUGGAUUGAGUCAGUAUUGAUAGAGGCUAAUGGAAAUAAGUAUUCUCAAUAGAGUCAUGAUGGUAUCUCAUGGGUUUGAGACAAUAUGUCUCCUUUGGUGAUCCAAAGGACAUGUGAUCAUGAAAUUUAUGGUUUUAGUAAUUCCUUGAGUGGAAUUUGAACAUGCUCUUUAGAGCUAUAGUAUGUUAGUUGAUCACUUAAUAAGUGGGAUUUGCAUGUAGCGGAUGGUAAGUCAUGGACCUGAGCUUUCUCUCAUUGUUAUUUACAUAAGGUACUAGAGUGUAAUUGAUUCUCGAUAAUGAGAUGUUGAAUCAACUUCAAAAUUAGAUUUUAAGGGAGCCAGUACUCCUAUGGGUACUAGUGGUGCACCCCUUUGAGCUCAUAUACCAUGUUGGCAUAGUUUAUAAGGGUUGAAUUAACUUUUUGUUCACUCUUGUGCAUAAGAGCAUUAUGGUAAUUAUGGAAGGUUGCAUAGAGGAUAGCGAAUAAAGUUUUUAGAUUGGGUUAAUUCAUUAAUUAGAUGACCCUGUGUGAUUAAUUAAUCAAUUAGUACUCAUUUUAGGCUAGAUAAAGUGACCCACGCCCAUAUAGACUUAAGUCACUUAGGUCCAAUAAGGAAGCCCUAUAAAUAUCCAUUUAUGGGGUUAGGGUUUCCUAAUGGCCUUUUGACUAUUGUCUUCUAAAUCCAUAGGAAGAUUGAGACUCUAGGAAUUUACUUUUCCAAAGUCCACUCUUUAGAUUGCCAUGGACAUGGUUUGAGUCAUCAAAUGAAAAACUUUGGGUGUACGAGAGCUUUAGAGCAUUCAGGCACAUUCCUCAUCAGAUGGAUUUCGAUUUGGAAGUAUCUAAAUCAUAGAUGUGAGUUUUAAUCCCUAGAUCUGUAGUAUCUGUAGUUUUUUAAGCCUUUUAUUUUUGUUGUGUUAGAUUUAAAUAUCCCGAUGGAUAGAUGCAUGUACCGCAACCUACGAGAACCAAGACAUCAGAAAGGAGUAAUUUGAGUUCCCAACAACUAGUAUCAAAGCCCUAGGGUAGCCUUUUGUAUGCUAGAUCUAUUCUAGUGUGUGCUCACUUCUAUUUUGUUGGGUAUGUUUAUUCAUUUGAUAACCUAAAGGGAUGAAUAAAUGUAAUAUGAUGGUUAUUUUGUGAUUUAUUAUUAUUUGUUCAAUUAAAUGAAUGAAUAUGAAGAGAUGUGAUCUCUACCUUUUAUUCUCUAGAUUAGGUUGUACACCUUGUAAGGGUUAUAGGAUUUUUAUUUUAUUUUAAAAAUAUUUUAUUUUCAAUAGAUGGGUUGUAAGCUUCAUUAUAAGAGCAUAGAAAUUCUUUUUAUUAUUAUAAAAUAGUUAUUUUUUUUUAUCCAAUUAUGGUGACCAAAGAGAAAAGAAAGAAUUCUUGAAGUUUCUUGUUUGAUAUCCUAUGGUAAUCCAAUAUAUAUAUAUAUAUAUGUAUAUAUAUGAUACUAUGGACCUGCAUUUUUCAUGUGUGUCUUCAUUUGAUUGUGACACUUUUUUUUUAGUGAAAAUUUGAUUUUUAAAAAGGUUGGAAUCACUAGUUAUUUUUGUUUAUUUUUUAAAGGAGAUAACAACCAUGCACAAAAGGGUCAAAUUAUCAAAAACAUAUAUAGUAUUAUCAACAGAGCAAAACAAAUGUAUUCAUAAAAUAAAGCCUAAAUAAAUACCUAGAAGUAUUAUUUCAUCAAAAUAAGAAAAGGAGAGCACCUUCAAAUGUGCCUAGAUUAUAACCCAAAAGGCCAAAUUAUUUAAUUACAUGUCAUUCAAUCUCGGAUUUAAUAAAACCCUAAUUGGUCAAUAAUAGGGUUGAUUUCUAAAUUAUACAAAGAUUAAUUUAUUUGACUAACUUAGGAGAAUGAUAAAAUAAAACCAAAAUUUUUAAAACCUAUAUAAGAUACACAUAACAUAUUAAAGUCAAGAAAAUAAACCCUAACUAUUAAACCAAGCUAGUGUAGUAGGUGUAGAAAGAAAAACUUAUUUCUCCCACUUGGAGAAUUAUUUUGAGUGUCACAAGGUCCUAAGGUAUAAUUUAUGAAUUCUAGGUUAAGGGAAAAAUAUCAAAAUUAAUUAAAGAAAUCGCUAACUAAUUUAAUUUUGCAAAACUAUUUUGGGUGUCUAGAAUAGUGCUGAAAUUGGACCUAUUAGAAAACUAAUUUAAAUCUCUUACUUGGAGAAAUGUAUUGAAUACAACUAAAAUUUUCUUGAUACAUUGAAGAAUUUAAUAAGAAUGUCCAAGGAUAAAAAUAAUUUUAGGUUUCCAAGUGAUUGGAUUCCAAUUUACAACUUUGAAGGUUCAAUGAACUAACAAAAGCGGUAGUAAGGUAUUGAUUUUUGAAAACUUUAAAUGUAGGGAUUCACCAAAUCCCUAAUUAAUUUCCAUGAAUUCAUGUAUGCUUCUUUCUAUAAUCUCAUGUGAUCAUGAAUAAGCUCACCAAGGCAAGGAAUGACUUUAGUAUUUGGAGUUAUGAAUUUAAUUCAUGCAUGAGAAAAUCAAUGGAAACCUUUACAAUAAUGCAUACCAAAUGAAGCAUUAUAGCAUGAUUUUUUAAAAUAGACUUCUCUUCACUUAAUUGAUCUAAGAUAGAUUUUAAAUAUGGACUUUGAGGAUGAAUUUUCAUAAGAAAACAAUGGAAAGCAUUUUCAAAAUCAUAAAAUACAUAAAUCACAAAAAAUACAAACAAAGAAUUCUCUAAGAUAGAAGCAUGUGUGUGAAAGCAAGUGAUCAAAUAAGCUGAAUUGAACUUCAAGGUGAGCUGAACAUAGACUAAUUUGUGAUCUAAAUGAGCAUCUAAAAAUGUCCUAAAAAGGUGAGUUGAAUGGUAAAUUAAAUAGAGUUGAAUGAUGAACUAAACUUAAACUGAAUUAUAUCCUAAGUGUGAUUCAAAGUGAGUUGAAAGUGUGAGUUGAAUGUGAGCUGAAUUGAACCUCAAAUUGAACUUAAAAAUGGUUGAAAGUGUGCCUGAAUUGUAAGCUGAAAAUGACCUUAAUUCUGAGUUGAAUUAUGAUUAGAAUGAUGUCCUAAAAUGUGAGGAGAUUGUGAGCUAAAAAUGCCUUUGAUUGUGAGUCUAAGAGUGAACCUAAACAUGAGCUGAAUCAUGAAUUAAACUAGAGCUGAAUUGUGAUCUCAAUUGUGGCUUAAAUGAAAUUUAAAUUUUGGUCUACAAUACAUAUGAACUAAAAGUGAAACUAAGGUGGUGUUUGUUGGUGUUGAGCCAAUUGGAUUCAGGUUCAUCCAGUUUCACUGGAGUCGGAUGAACUUCUUCCCUUGUUCGUGCUUGUUGAGGAGUCCGUCCACUUUCACUAGAGUAAGACAAACUUCUUCUCUACAUAGAAGGAUGUCCAAACGGGCAGUCCGGGAAUGCCCCUCCAAAGCUUAAGUCAGAUGAUGAUAACUCAAACUAUUUUUGUGGGAGAGAAUGAGCAUGUAUACGUUAUUCGUGCUUCUUAAGGGGUUUAUAUAGAGCUGAUGGCACUAUCCUCACCUUGUAAUGAUGAUUGCGUGGUGAUUACUACUCAAAAAGUGCUAUUUUAUAGCUUUUAAAUAACUCUUUUAGACACUUUUGAGUAGUAGUUAUUACUUUUUAACUCAAUUGGCAUGUUAAGGACCCUUGCAAGUGUUUCUAAUCAAAUUAUGUUAAGUUUUGGUGUUUUUGAUAGCUUUUUUAUCACCAAAUCAAUCCAAGAUUGAGGAAAGUUUUAUAUAAUCCUUGGCAAAGCAAAUGGAAGCUCAUUUACAUGAAGAAUCCAAGCUUUGGAGCUUUAUAGUCCUUUGCCAAAAUCAAAUCAAGAAUGCAAUGAGGGAAAACAAAGAAAGAAAUCUAACAUGAAGAAAUUCAAUAGGACAGCAACCGUUGGACACAUUUUGAGCACUUCUUGGAAUUCAUUUUAUGCAUACUAUGUGUUGUUUUGAAGCACGGGAAGUCAGGAGUCCAAUGCUUUAAACAGUACACAAAUCAGAGCUAAAAUGAAGAAGUUAUGGCCAUUGGAAGCUAAUCGCACCAAGCUGAAAGGCAAUUUCGCAAGCUGUAAAAUCACAAAGUGCUAGCUACGAAAUCAACCUUUUCGUGUGAAAUGGAGACUUUCAGCUUGCAAAAUUUCACAGCCCAUGUUGAAUGUUGCGUAAUCCACCUGAGUGCUUCCAAAUAUUUGCGACCGACUCUUUUAGAUUUUUUCUUCAGAUAUUUGUUGUUUAAAUCCCCAUUUUCUCCUUGUAAUCCACCAAUCAUAGGAUUCCUUAGUUAGUAAAUAAUAACAAAGGGUGAAUAACCUCUUUUAUAUAGUUUGUAAUUUUCUUUACACAGACAUCUCGGGAGCUUGUUCUCAGAGACCAACUUUUUGUGUAGUUUUGAAGGAAGUAAUACACAAGGCUUUGCUCUACCUUACGUACUCAUUUUGAUUAUAUUUUUCUCACUAGCCAAACAAGCUCUAAGGAUGUUUCCUUAGAGAAUGAGUGGCUAGUCUUUUUGUCUUUUGGAGUUAAGGAAGCUAGGUAAGGUGCCGAAUGCAAAAAUUGGAAGUUUUGUUGUUUCAGCUUUUAAUGAAGAGAAAGUGUGACCCGUUAAUGGUUUCUAUGUUUUUAGUUAACUUAAAACACCUUUAAAUCACCUGGGCCAACACUUGGUAAUGCAAGUGAUCUUCGUCCAUUGAGAUACACUAGUUUAUCUCUUGCGAGCCUUUGGAAGGUGGUUUAAAGGUAGGAUUUUCUAGAAUAGCCAACACUUGGUAAGCUUUUGGACUCUAAGGAGACAUCCAUUAGUUAUCUCUUGAGAGCUUUUGAAGGGUAAUCCAAGGUUAAGGAUCACCUUGAAUGGCAAAUGCUAAGUGAGAGGCAUGUGCCAUUGCAAGAUGAAUCAGUGAGAGAGAUUUAGUGCUUGAAUCCAUAAAAGGGAAACAUUUGCACCACACCGGUUCGAGAAAUAACAAUAUGUUAGUUCUCUAAUGCGAGGAAAAUAUUCAAGUGACCGGAACUCUAUUUUUGUAUUAGGAACCUGACCCCAGUGAUCGAAAAACUCCAAGAAACACUUUUCUUUAUAAGUAAUUUCAGUUACUAUUUUUUUGUUAGCUUAAAACCAAUCUUUUUUAAACCAAAGUUUAUGUUUUCUUUUAAAGCUAACCUUGAAAUGAAAAGGCACCAAUUUGACUUUGAAUUAAUAUCAAUUGUAAAUUGAAAACCCUUCUCAGUGAACGAUCCUAGAGCCACUAUGCUAUGCUAGCUGAGGCUAUCCUAGUACAUGGUGAUAUAGGUUAUAAAUUUUGUUGAUUACUCCCGUCUGAAGACCGAAAUCAAGGUACACCAGUUGAUUGAGCACCAAUCAACAGGACAUACACUAGCUAGGCACGAAAUCACGUGGACUGUCAACGGCAUCACUACUGUGUGGACUGGGCAAUCACACCAAGUAAGGGCUGUUGACUGGUGCCAUUUAUUGACUGUUGUGCCAAAAUCUUGGGUCGUGUAGGUGACUAUCCAUUUAGCUUGCCAAUGUUUGGGAUUGUAUGUAACAAUUAAUUGACAUUCUCUUCUGGGUGUAAAUGACAUCUAAUUUGGCGCUUAGACUUCAGGUGGUUAGGUCGGUGCUCAGACAUCAGGCGGCUAGGAUGGUACUCUGACAUCAGGUAUGGUUAACCAUGUAUGUCAGAAAUCUUGAGGACUUGACUGGAUUGAUUUGCCCAUCUAAAAGUUUUAGCCGGCUUGGUCUGUCGAUUCUAUCUAGCAUUGUGAGCCUUCUAAAGAGGUUAGCUAGUUUGGUCUGUCCAUUCCGUCUAGCAUUGUGGAAGGAAAAAUUUUCACUUCUGGUGCCAGACGAAGCUUAACAUAAUCUAAAUGGAGUGAUCCUAGACGGGUUAUACGUUUGCCCUGGUCGGCCAAAGGGUCUUGAGAAUGGGAAGGACAUGUGGAGGGAAGCCCCCCACAAUGCCCCAUAAUCUGUCUGCCUUUAUCCGCUAGGGUAGCCAUUAGGUUGAGAUAGGAUGGAUUAUCCGUUUUCAAGUUUUUUAGGUGCCAAGGGGCAGCUUUUGAGAUAGCAGAAGUGGUAGUUCGUCUUCCAUUUUUUUGCUUGUUUUGCCUUAGUCUCUUGUUUUAUAAUGAUUUCUCUGUUGCCCCCCAGUUGGUAGUCAGAGUUUAAAACCUUAUGUUGCAGCGUACUCACCUUUUCCAUCAAUUGGAAGUAGCCGAGACCAUGAGGGCACAUGUUGCUUAUUACAUGGAUGGGAAUGAGGAUCUUCUUACCAACUUAGAAAUGAUGAAAAGUGAGGUUGAUGCUACCUAAGAGUUGGCUAAAUAAGGUGUCGAUCUGUUGAGGAAGGUCGAAGAGGAUGAGGCAUCUCAGGUUGAAGCUCACUAACUAGUUAAGGAAAAGGCGGCUAUGGCGGCCGAGGAAGAGAAGGCUAAAGAAGGAGUUGUCUAACUGAGGUAGGAACUGCAAGAUCUCCAGGUAGAGUUUGAUUUUACUCUGAUCGACUGAAGCCUAGUCUUUCAUACUUUUUCUAGAGUCUGGAGAUGGUAUGCCCAUGAGUCUUAUGCCUUAGUUACAACAUAUGGCCCUUUCCAAUUAGAUUGCAGCUCUCUAGUUCUUCAAUUGUAUUCUGGAAGACUCUUCUAAGGACUAAAGAUCUUGGCCAGAAAAAUAGUGGUUGUGCCCUUUUUUUGGUAUUGAACAAUUACCCUCUAAUUGUAUGAAGCUAUUCGGAUAGUCGCGUCUCCUCACAAUUUGUCUACCCAAUUUACUUGUUUUAUGAGUUCUUCAUCCCUGUCCCUUUAGUUUUGCAUGACUAUUUUGGCAGUAGAUAUACCAAUCUUAGUUGGAAUAAUGGCCUCCAUCCCAUAAGCAAGGGUGAAAAGAGUGCCCCUCAUUGGCCAUCUGGAUGUUGCCCAGUAAGCCCAUAAGACUUUGGGUAGCUCGCCCACCCACUUUCCUUUUGCUUCUUCCAACAUUUUCUUCAAUGCACUCAAUAGGGUUUUGUUUGUCACCUCUGCUUGUCCGUUGCUUUGUGGAUAGCGAGGUGUUGAGUAUAGGUUCUUAAUGUUUAACUCUAAGUAGAAUGUUUAUAAGACAAUACUAUCAAACAGUGGCCCGUUAUCCAUCACAAUCACUCGUGGAACUCCGAAUCGGUAUACGAUGUUUUUUUAGACGAACUUGGAGACAUAUUUAUCUUUGAUGUUGCCAUAGACUUUUGUCUCCACCCACUUGCUGAAAUAGUCGGUUGCAACAAGUAAAACCUUCUUUUGUGUUGUUGUAAUGGGUAAGGGUCCGACUAUGUCCAUCCCCCAUUGUACAAAUGACUAAUGAAUUGUGACUUGGUCGAGAGCUUCAAAAGAUACACGAGGAAUGAGAGUGUGCCUUUGACACCAAUCACACCUUUUAACAUAACUUUUAGCAUCCUACUUCAUGGUGGGCCAGUAGUAUCCUUGUGCGUAAGCGCGAUGUGCCAAAGUUUGUCUGCCUGAGCGAUUGCCACAUACGCCUUCAUGGAGUUCGAUCAGAGAAUAUUUGGCAUUUGGAUCAUUCAAACACUUUAGUUAUGAACCUUCAAAUGAUCGUCUAUAUAGUUGGUCAUUAAUUAGAGUGAAGCAUGCUGCUUGUGUGUAAAGUUUGUGCGUUUGCUUCUUAUCUCCGGGUACCUUCCCCGUUUGAAGGUAUUUCAUGAUGCUAAGCAUCCAACUUGAGUCUGUUUGACUAGUGUUACACAUUGGCUUAGGUGUGAUUGAGGGGGAAACUUUAAGGUAAAAGGGUAGCAUCACAACCUCUUUCACCAUGGGUAGUUAUUCUGUCUAGUGCGUCUACCUUCUCAUUCUUCUCACGUGGCACUUGUCUAAUGACCCACUCAUCCAGCUUUUCCAGGCGACUUUCCACCAUGGCGAGGUAGUGAGCCAUGCAUUCAUCCUUUGCUUCAUACUCUAGUAGAAUCUGUCUAACUUGGUUGCUGCUAAUAGUAGGGUAAGAUCUAGUCUAGCUAGGACAACUUCAUAUUCUGCUUUGUUAUUGGAGGCAGAAAAGUUGAGACAGAUAGCUUGCUCCAUUAGUUCCCUAGUUGUUGAUUGUAGGAUCAGACCUACUCCAGAUCUGGGCACUCUGGACGCUCCGUCUACAUGAAGUGUCAGCCAUUACUAUUCAGGGCGAUCAGUCGAAUGCCCAUGUUUUUUAGGGAGUUCAACUAUAACAUCAGCCAUAACUUAUCCCUUCAAUGAUAACCUUGGCUAAUACUUGAUUUAAUAGAUCCCUACAUACAAAGUUUUCAAAAAAUUAGUUUUCUAUUGCCAUUGCUGAGUGCCCACUACACCUUUGAACUUGUGAAUUGGAAUUCAAUAACCUAGAGACCCUAAAUAUAUGAAACUAUUUUAUUUUAUUUUAUUUAUUUAUUUUUAACCUAAAACACUUCUCUAAUCAAUAAAUUUAAUUUAUUUUUCCAACAUAUAUAGUUUAAGCACUAUUUUGGAUACUCAAAAUGUCUUUACAAAAUUAAAUUAUUAAAUUAUCUCUUUAAUUUCUUUCGAUAUUUUUAUUUGAUUCUCAAAUUAAUUUUUGACACAUAAAAUAUUGGAAAAUAUUUUCCCAAUUGGAAGAUAUAAUUUCCUCUUUUUUCACCCACUACACUAUCCCAAUUUUGAACCAAGGUAAAGUCUGGUUGUUUAUAAAAUUUAUGCAUAUGUUUUAUUGCAUUACCAAUAUUGUUCUUGUAAAAUAUACACUCUUAAAUUGUUCUAUGAUUUUUUAUAUGAUUUUAUCACAUUUAUGAAGUGGUUAAAAAAUUGAUUUAUGCAUGUUAUAGAAUUUAAUCAUGUUUUGGACCUUUUAGAAUAUUUUGGUGAAUUGGAAUUAAUUUGAUCUUUAUUAAUUUUUUUGGUUACUUGGAUAAUAAACUAAACAUCUAUGAAAUAUUCCCUAAAAUUUUUUUUAAUUAAAUUCACACUCUAGUUAUUUUUUUAAGAUUUAUUUUAUGAACCUUUCUAUUCCAACUGCAUGUUGAAAUUCUCAUACAAUGCUUGCUUUGUUCUUUAAUCCGGUGUUGUUUAGCAUACCCAAAAAAUUUCAUGAUGAAAUAUUUAUUUUAGGUAUUUAUUUAUGUUUUUCCUAAAGAAAUUGACUAUUCAGUCACUUUAUUGCAUAUUUUGACUUAGUCACUAAUUUUGGUGUUUUUAAGCUCUCUUGGGAAUUAGUUCAUCUUUGAUAAUAAAUUGUAUGUAUAUCUUAUAUGACAGUUGAUAUUUUUAAGAUUCUUUUUGUUUCAUUUAAGCCAUACAUAUGCCAUGUAAAUUAGGGCUUACUAUCAUAGUUAUUUAUUGUCAUGAUUUAUUCUAAUCGCUCUAGCUAUAUGUAGGCAUAUUGAAAGCUAUAAAUGCGAUCAAGGUAUGUUCUUUGUUUCCUUUAUUUCUCUAACUCUAUAAAUAGACAUGCUAUGUUUGUAAACAUCUUUAUGCUUGAUUGUACUUUCUUAUGCUUUAAUCAAUGCUUAGUUUUCUUGGAUGAUUUGAAUUGCAUGUUGUAUUAUUUAUAAAACUAACUUUAAUGUUUUAAUGAAAGUGCUUUGGAUUUCAGCUCAAGUACGCUCAUAUUCUUUUCUUUCACAUGUGAUUGAUUUCUUUUGAUAUGUUUGGUUUGGUGUGAAUAGAAUCCUAUAAAGCUUUAGGCAUAAUCAUUUUUAUUAUGUUUGGUAUCCACUAAUUUACAAAUCAAUUAUCAUAGUUAUCUUCACUUAUUUAGUAAAGACCGGUUUUAAGGCUUGGACUAAGUUUUCAAAGACAUGUUUUUCCAAAAUAAAGAGUCAUUUUUUAGGCUUUUAUUUCUUAUUUUCUUUUCACUUAAAAAUAUAUAUAUAAAAUAAGUGGCAACUCUAAUUUUUUAUAAAAAUUAGUUUCGCAUUAAAAAGCGAGUCUCACCAUCAAGUGAGAACACAUGUGAAAAAAGCAAGUCCACGUAGAUAUUUUGAGAUAGAAUUUUUAGAAGAAAUCAAGUCAUGCCUUUGGUCAAAUUAAGAACACAUCUAAUCGAUUUGUUCUAAGAUUGUCGGAUUAAUACAACAUUGUUGAUCUACAUAUACAUAUAUACUAAAAGAGAUCAUGAGAGAGGAAAAGACUUCUAAAUGGAACAUAACUCUAGGACAAAAGAUAAACCAAUAAAAGAGGGUCUUAGGCUAUGCAGCAAUGACCUAAGUAGAGGUAGAGACCCUAAAGAUUUCCUAAGAUCUAGAUUCCUAAGAGAAUAUAAAGGAACAUCUUCAGACAUAAUUAAGCCCUUAUUCUUGACAUGAAUAAGGAGUGUUUUUCUGAUUCUAAGGCUUAAUAUUUGUUCUCCUUCAUUUUCCACUAUUUAGAAUAUUGUUUUUUAGAGAAUUAAAAUCAUUCACAAGUCUAUUCAAUUGAGACUCAUACCUCUUAAGAAAUCUAGUGUGGCAUCUAUGUUGAGUAAGUCCAGACUUCUUACAAUGUGUGCAAAGUGAAAGAGUGUUGAUAGGUGCUACUUAGCUAGGGGUUUCAUCUUUGCCUUUAACAAAAAAAAUUUGUCCACUAUUAAGAGUUUCAACUUUUUUCACAUACCUUAAACCUCUCUUAUCACCAUGGGUUUUACAUUUAUCAAAGAUUUCAUUGUUUCAAUCUUUAGAAUGAGAACAUUAUUUCUCUCAAGAAAGGAAUUAUGUUUAGACUUGAGAAAUCAUUUUUUUUCAAGGCAACUAGUCCUUUCCUCAUCAAGCAAGUCAAUCUUAGCUUUGUGGGCAUGAAAAAUAUCAUGAUUUUUCAAAUGGUUUUUAAUAAGAUUCUCAUGCUCAACAACUACAUUGUACCGAUAAGCACCAUUUUGUUAAUCAAUGUAAUCAUAAUAAGUGUCACUGUCACAAUCAUUCUCAUGCAUAGAAUCAAGAGAUGUAAUAAAAGUUAAAUAAUCAUCAUGAUUCAAAAGUGGUCUUCAGAAUUUGUAUCACUCCAUGUAACUUUCAUGGACUUUUUGAUGUCUUUAGGACUAGGACAUCAAAUGUUAAUUUAUAUUAUUGAGUUUUUUUUUUCUCUUUCUCUUGUAUAUUUGGGGAAAAGAAAGAGAACUUAUUCAUGUAAGUAAUACUACCUUUCAAUAUUUUCAUUUACAUUAAAAAAAUAUUGUUGCAAGGAUUUUAGACAAGUUGGAAAAACUUUUUCUACACUAAAAAAUGAAAAAUAAAAAAUAGGAUUAAAUAUCAAAAUUUUGGUGGAUCCAAAUCAUAUCAAGAUACAUUCUUCAUGUCACAUAUGUCAACUUGACACAUCAAGAGUAGGUUUGUGAUUGAAGCCUACAAAUUUAAAUUUCUAAACUUAAAAAAGAAUUUCAAAUGUCAAAUGAGUAAGCCUCUCUAUAUUUUCCCAUAAACAAAGGCACUUUCUUUUACUCCAAAAGGGGUGGAGAAAGGGAAUAGGGAAAUCAAGACAAAUCUCAUUAUCUAUAAGAAGGUUUCCUCAUAGUCACACCCUCUCUUUGAGUAUAACUUUUAACCAUGACUCCUAAUAGUCUUGAUCCCAAGUGGAAGUUCAACAAAUUCUCAGAUAAAGUACUUUCUCAUAGACUUUAUCAUUGCAACUUUGCAUAUUUCACAAGUAAAGGAUGAGAGGCUACCCAAUAUGUAAACAUGUAAACUUCCCCCUUAUUAAUAGGGAACAACUCCACCUUUGGUCCUACCCAAUACUCAUCAUCCAAUGUAAUUUUUUCAAUCCAUAAAAUUAGCAACGAUCAUUGAAAUCACAUUCCUUGGUCACUAAAUUAUUAAAAUCACAACCGAAACUUCAAAAGAAAAAAGAUAAUAGUAAAAUAUUUGUUUAAGACAUGUUCCUUAUUAUAUUCAUUUAAUUAGUAAGAACUAAAUUAUCAAAUUUUGAUGAAUUGUAGCUAUAACUCACACUUUCUAGGGCACCAAUGUUAAGGAGGCAACUGUACGCGUACUAUCUAUUUCAGCAAGUAGUAGUAACAAUUGCGAUUAUAUUCACAAUCAUUGACAUCACAACAUUUGAUGAUUUUUUUUAAUUGAAUAGAAAUCUAUGGGAAAAUUUACAUAGGAUAUACAACCUCUAUGCCUGAACCAUCACCACAUACCAUGACUACAAAUUGGCCUUCAUGGAUUAUAGGGCGGUAAUCGUGUUGCCAAAUCAACAAUAUGUAUGCCAUGAUUAUCACUCUUAAUAUCAAUUAACAUAUAGAUAAAUCAAAGAGAAAAUGAAUUAGUUGGUGAAAUACAUAAAGCCAGUUUCCACAAGAAGUACAGUAGACAGAAAACGCAUCAACAUGACUCCCUGUUGGAUGUUCACCAACAUAUAAACCACCAUGAAGACAACCUUGCAUCACACCAAUAUUGCACACUUGGAAUAUCAUAAAUCUCAUAAUUAAAACAAUCAACAACAUUUAAUUCUCAUAGCAUGGGAACCUUACACUCCACCAUCAAAGAGGAGCUGAGUCAUGGAAAAUGGAAAAAGAUCCUGCUAGAAUAGCAAAUUAAUUAAUUAAUUAAUUAAUUAAUUAAGAAUCAAAUCUUAAUUAAAAUCACAAAUCAUGUAUAUAACAAAAAAGAAACACUACCUGAAUAAAAUUGUUGUCAAAAGCAAUGUAAUUAUAACAACGGAUGCAGCAGAAGUAGCAAGAAAGUGGUGGGCCAUCUAAAAAGGCUUCAAAAGCACUAUGUUAGCUUUUUUUCCUAUAAUGUGUGGCCAUAUAUAAUUAUAUUUAUAUGAAUAUUAUUUAAGGGUAUCAAUUGAUAGGUAGGUGAAUCAAUUGAUUGGGCAUCCAAGAGUCUUAUGUAUAGAAGACUCAAAUUACAAAUGGGGAGUUACAAAAUUUAACUCAUAUGAAUGUGGAGUUACAACUUUUGUAACCCCAUCAUUAUGAAAUUUAUUUGUACAUUAUGUUUAUGAGUAAUGGAGGAAAAUGGAAAGAUAUAACCUAUGCAAUUAUAUAGAUGCAUUCAAGUUCAUAACCCACCAUUACCCAUUAAUUUGUACAUAAUGGGUGUAAAUAAUGAGUAUAACUCCCAUAUAGUCUUUGAUGGGAAGACUAAGAGAUGUACAACUUAUUAUAAAUUGAGGUCCCAAGCCACACUCACAUUCUUAUGUCUUUUUCUUUAUUGUUGUUUAUUUUUAACAACAUACACCACACAAGUGAUCCAUCCACUAUAUGAGAGUAGUGAGUUGAAGACCUUGACAAUAUAAUUCACAAGGUGACUCAAUCUCACUUCAUGGAUCAAGGUCAAAAUAUGAUCAUCAUUUUAACACUUAUAAAUUAUUUUGUUUUAUGUAUCCAAAAAUAAUUAUUUCCGCAUAAAGUUUAUGAAAGUUUGGUUAACAAUUGGUAUCAGAGCCAACCAAUUUUGGAUCAUAAAACAUAUUUUUCCGUUUUUUUUAUUAUUGUUUGAUCUUAUGGACAACAAAAAUAUAUAUGAUGUGAUGCAUAUGAAUGAUGUAGUAACACACAUUUUCAAUGUUUCAUGAUUUCAAUCAUAUUUGCAUGAUUUUAUGAAAGUUGCAAAAAUAUGAUUAGUAAUUUAAAUGUGUGAUUAUGGAAAUCUCAAGAAAUAGUUUUUCUAGUAUGCAUGUUUAUUUACUUGUUUGUUUGAAGAUGAUUGUAUAUAUAUAUAUAUAUAUGUGUGUGUGUGUGUGUUGUUCAACUUAUGAAACAAGUGUUGAUCAACCCAACGGAGGAUCAUCACCAUGUUUGAUUAUAUGACAAGAGUUUAAUAAUAAAAGGUUGAUGAAGUUUUUACCCAACGGUAUUAAACUUCUUUACGUUUCAAUACUUUUAUUUUAAUAAUUAUGUCAUAUCUAUAUGAUUUAUAAAUUGUUAUAAUCCAACCCAACGGAGGGAUUAUAAUAAUAUACUUUUGGAUUAUGUGAUUGUAGUUCGGUCUAACGAAAGAACUAUGAUAUGAUCUCUUAUGUUUAUGAUUAAUGUGAUAUCUAACUUAAUUUUUGUUGUAGUUAGAUUAUUGUAAAGUGUGGUGUUAAAUAUUGUCUUGAUAUAAAAUAAUUUUCCUUUUGAAUUAAAUUUUAUUUUGCAGCAAUGAAUCCUACUGCUAUUACAAGCUAUUUGUCUGGUAUUGAAGAAUUAAGUGGGGCAAAUUUUAAAAAAUGGAAGGAACAAAUUGGAAUUCUUCUUGGUUGCAUGGAUUUAGACUAUGCCUUAAGAGAGCCUACACCCACAAUGCCUACUUCCGAAAGUACUAAUGUACAAAAGGCUUUAUAUGAAAAGUGGGAGCGCUCUAAUCGCAUGAGUCUGAUGAUUAUGAAAGGUUCAAUCACUCCUGCAAUUCAUGGAGCAAUCCCGGAUUCAGAUAAUGCAAUGAGCUAUAUUAAAUCAGUUGAAGAAUAAUUCUUAGGAACUUCCAAGUCCUUAGCAAGUACUCUUAUGAUCAAAAUGAUAACAAUGAAAUAUGAUGGUCAUAGUGGUGUACGUGAGCACAUCAUGAAGAUGAGUGACAUGGCUUCUCAAUUAAAAAGAAUGGACAUGGCAAUUUCUGAAGAUUUUCUUGUUCACUUCAUAAUGACUUCCCUUCCUUCACAAUUUGAUCCUUUCAAAAUUAAUUAUAAUACUCAGAAGGAUAAGUGGAAAAUGAGUGAACUAAUUGUCAUGUGUGUUCAAGAAGAAGAGAGGCUUAAAGUGGAAAAGCCCGAUAUGGCUCACCUCACUAUUGGUCCAAAUAAAAAAUCCUUCAAGAAAGGUAAAGGUAAUAAAAAGAAGCAAGGUAAUGAUGUAUCUCACAAUGGGCAAAAGGAUGAAAAUAAGAUACAAUGUCAUUUUUGCCAUAAGAAAGGUCACAAAAGAAGAGAUUGUUCUGGCUUUAAGGCUUGGUUGGAAAAGAAAGGUAAAACUCAAUGCUUAGUGUCUUAUGAAUCUUAUUUAGUUGAUAUACCACCAAACUCUUGGUGGAUUGACACUGGUGCAAGCAUUCACAUAACGAAUUCAUUGCAGGGAUACCUUACAAGCAAGAGACUAAGUAAAGGAGAGUGAACCAUUACUUUGGGAAAUGGAAUAGAAGUGGAAAUUGAGGCUAUUGGCACUUUUCAUUUAAUUUUGGAUACUGGUUUCAUUAUGGAUUUAGUAGAUACAGUUUAUGUUCCUGUUUUUACUAGAAACCUAAUUUCAGUUCCAAAACUUGAUUCUUAUGGUUAUGAAUUAAAGUUUGGAAAUAAAAUAGUUUCCUUGUUUAUUUAAUUCUUGUUUGGUUGGCUCUGGAACUUUACGUGGUAAUCUUUAUUCAUUGAAUUUAGAUUGCAAAUAUUCACAGUCUCUUUUAUCUUAUCAUGUGUAUGAAUUCUCUAAAAAACGAAAUCGAGUGAAUGAAAAUUCAUCCAUAUUGUGGCAUAUGCGAUUGGGUCACAUUUCAAAAGAAAGGAUGGAAUGUGUUGUUAAAGAUGAAAUUUUGACUUCACUUGAUUUUUCUGAUUUUACUAGUUGUGUUGAAUGCAUAAAGGGAAAAUACACUAAGGUUAAGAAAAAGGGUGCCUCAAGGACUACUGAAUUGUUAGAAUGUAUUCAUUCUGACAUUUGGGGACCUUAUUCAAUUCCAACUAUCAAUGGACAUAAGUACUUUAUUAGUUUUAUUGAUGACUUUUCAAGGUAUUCUUAUGUGUAUCUUAUUCAUGAGAAAUCUAAAGCAUUAGAUGUUUUUGAGAUUUAUAAAGCUAAGGUUGAAAAUUAACUCAAUUGGCGAAUUAAAAGUGUAAGAUUUGAUAGAGGUGGUGAAUAUUAUGGUAGGUUCACCGAAUCAAGUCAACAUCUUAGUGCUUUUGCCUUAUUUUUAAGAGAGCAUGGUAUCAUUGCAAACUACAUAAUGCCUGGAACACCAGAGCAAAAUGGUGUAGCAGAGCAACGAAAUCGUACUCUAAUUGACAUGGUGAGAAGUAUGAUGAGUAACUCAACCUUGCCUAAAUUUUUAUGGGGUGAAGCAUUGAAAACUGCUAUUCACAUUCUCAAUUGUGUUUCUAGUAAGGCUGUACCCAAAACUCCUUAUGAGUUAUGGGUGGGUAGGAAAUCGGCUUUGAAUUAUUUACAUGUAUGGGGAUGUCCAGGUGAAGCUAAAAUUUUAACCCACAAAUAAAGAAAUUGGAUUCUAAAACCAUAAGUUGUAAUUUCAUUGGCUAUCCUAAAAGAUCAAAAGGUUUUAGAUUUUAUUGUCACGGUCAGGGCCCUAAAACUGUUGAAACUAGACAUGCUGUGUUUUUGGAAAAUGAAUAUUUUAGUGGGAGAACUGAGCUUGAAAAGUUAACCUCUAAUGAAGUAUCAACAAUAAUGAUGGAAUAUGGUGUGACUUAAGAGGUUUCUUGUAAUGAAAAUGAGAAUGUCCCAACUACAGAAGUAUCUUUACGUAGAUCACAAAGAGAGAAAAGACCCGCUAUAUCAAAUGACUAUGAAGUUUAUCUUAAUGAGUGUGAUUAUGAUGUUGGCUUGGAAAGUGAUCCUACUUCUUAUGAUCAAGCCAUCAAUAGUGAAAAUCCAACUCUAUGGCUUUAUUGUAUGGAACAAGAGUUGAAAUCAAUGAAAGAUAAUGAAGUUUGAGAUCUUGUAGAAUUGCCUAAAGGAAUUAAAACUAUUGGUUGCAAAUGGAUUUUUAAAACCAAAAACAUGAUUCUAGGGGCAAUGUCGAAAAAUACAAGGCCAGGUUAGUUGCAAAAGGAUACACUCAAAAAGAAGGAAUCGACUAUAAGGAAAUAUUUUCUCCUGUUUCCAAGAAAGAUUCCUUAAGAAUAGUCAUGGCUUUAGUAGCUCAUUUUGACUUAGAGUUACAUCAAAUGGAUGUUAAAACUACCUUUUUGAAUGGUGACUUGCAUGAAGACGUUUAUAUUGAUCAACUUGAGGGUUUUCAGGAUAAAGGCAAGGCACAUAUGGUAUGUAAACUUAAAAAGUUCAUAUAUGGUCUAAAGCAGGCUUCUAGACAAUGGUAUCUUAAGUUCCAUGAAAUUCUCAUCACUUUUGGUUUCAAAGAGAAUCUAGUGGAUCAAUGUAUAUACCUUAAGAUCAGUGGGAGCAAAAUUUGUGUUAUUGUAUUGUAUGUUGAUGAUAUGUUGCUUGCUAGCAAAAAUAUGGGAAUGAUUUUGGAGACCAAACAAUUUUUAUCCAAGAAUUUUGAUAUGAAAGAUCUUGGUGAAGCAUCCUAUGUGAUAGGAAUUGAAAUUCAUUGAGAUAGGUCAUGUGGAUUAUUAGGAUUAUCCCAAAAGAACUAUAUUGAAAAAAUUCUUAAAAGAUUCAACAUGCAAAAUUGUUCUAGCAAUGUUGCUCCUGUUGUGAAAUGGGACAUAUUUUGCAAACUUCAAUGUCCCAAAAAUGAUAUUGAAAAGAAACAAAUGGACAAAAUUCCUUAUGCUUCUGCAGUAGGGAGUAUAAUGUAUGCUCAAGUCUGCACUCGACUAGACAUAGCUUAUGUGGUAGGCAUGCUUGGGCGAUACCAAAGUAAUCCAAGUAUUGAUCAUUGGAAAGCAGUUAAGAAAGUAUUGUGUUAUUUACAAGGGGCUAAGGACUAUAUGCUUACAUACAGAAAAAUAGAUAAUCUAGAGAUUAUUGGUUAUUCCGAUUCCGAUUAUGCUGGCUGUAAGGAUACCAGAAAGUCUACAUCUAGGUAUAUUUUUAUGUUAUCAAAUGGACCUAUUUCAUGGAAGAGUCAUAAGCAAUUUCUUCUAUAAUGGAGGCAGAAUAUGUAGCAUGUUAUGAAGCCACAUGUCAUGCAAUAUGGUUGAGAAACUUUGUCUUAGGGCUUCAUGUUAUUGAUUCGAUAAUGAGACCAUUGAGAAUAUAUUGUGAUAAUAGUGCUGCUAUGCGAUUCUCUAAAAAUAAUAAGACUACAGGAGGAUCAAAGCACAUUGAUAUUAAGUACUUGGUUGUAAGGGAGAAAUUUCAAAAUGGAGUUGUCUCUAUUGAACAUAUUAAAAAUACACUCAUGUUGGUAGAUCCAUUGACAAAAGGUCUUCAACCUAAGCUUUUUAUGGAUUAUGUUGCGCGCAUGGGCUUGGUGGCAAGUUUGUCAAUUUUAGAUUGAUUGAGAGUGUAAUGUAUGCAAUCACAUUAUAAUGAGAAUAAAGUUCUUGAUUAUGAUAUAUUGAUGAUUAUUAUGUUACUUUUAUACAUCAUUUUUGUGCACAAUCUAGAUGUUUAAAAGUUGAUGGGACCAUUAUGUGAAUGAAUUAGCAUUCUCACCUUAAUGUUGCUAAUGUCAUAAAAGUCAUUGAUUCAUGUUAAUGGAGGUGCUAGUACUAUAAUCCUUGAAGAAUAUUGGAUCAUUGUGUGAUCCAAUCAUUUCAAUGAUUUAGUGUUAGUGGUUCCAUGAAACAUAAUCUUAAAGUAAAGGAUGCCUAUUUUGAGAAAUUGUUAUGGCCAUAUUAUGUUUUGAUCUAUUACAAAUAUAAUUAUGUAGGCCAAGUGGGAGAUUGUUAGCUUUUUUCCUAUAAUGUGUGGCCAUAUAUAAUUAUAUUUAUAUGAAUAUUAUUUAAGGGUAUCAAUUGAUAGGUAGGUGAAUCAAUUGAUUGGGCAUCCAAGAGUCUUAUGUAUGGAAGAUUAAAAUUACAAAUGGGGAGUUACAAAAUUUAACUCAUAUGAAUGUGGUGUUACAAAUUUUGUAACCCCAUCAUUAUGAAAUUUAUUUGUACAUUAUGUUUAUGAGUAAUGGAGGAAAAUGGAAAGAUAUAACCUAUGCAAUUAUAUAGAUGCAUUCAAGUUCAUAACCCACCAUUACCCAUUAAUUUGUACAUAAUGGGUGUAAAUAAUGAGUAUAACUCCCAUAUAGUCUUUGAUGGGAAGACUAAGAGAUGUACAACUUAUUAUAAAUUGAGGUCCCAAGCCACACUCUCAUUCUUAUGUCUUUUUCUUUCUUGUUGUCACUACUACAAAAAUAGUUUAUGGUAUCACUAUUUAUGGUGUCACUUUUAAAAUAAUGACACCAUAGGGUUUAUAAUUAAUAAAGGUGACACAUCAUAUAAAAAAUCUUCAAUUGAGGUAGUUAGAUGAUAUUAGUUUUAUAUUUAUAGUGUCAUUUUUUGGGAAGUGACAUCAUAUAAAAUAAUUUUUUUUAAAGUAUUAUAACUUAAUGAGCCCACUUUUAGAAGUAAUAAUGAUGGAUAAUAUAUAAAAAUCCAAUUGUUUCCAUAUUUCACCCACAAUUAGAAGUAAUAAUGAUGGAUAAUAUAUAAAAAUCCCAUUGUUUCCAUAUUUCACCCACAAUCUAAAAAAUAUCAAUAUAUAAACCCUAUACAUAAAAUCAUGAUCUUCUUCAACCAUUUCUCUCACCCAUAGUCAACACGUUUACAAUCGACAUUCUUUACUUUGUGGACUCCAAGGUAACCCAAAAUCUCUUAGAUGUAUAAUUUUUUUUUCUUUUAUUAAUGUCAUUAUAUUAAUUGUUUCAACAUCUUUGUAUUAUGGUUUUUGUGAAUUGUGUUUUCUUGAGUGUAGGGAAGAAAAACUUAGGUUUAAUCUUCUAGCAUAGAAGAAAAAACUGUAGAUUAAUUGAUUUUGUAAUCUAAACCAAACACAUGAUCAAGUCAUUAAAAAAAAGUGAAAAACAGGAAAAAAGGAAUGAUUUUUAAUAAGUAAUUGUGAGAAUCAUAGGUACAGAAUGCCCCAUACGGUGAACACGUCCCAUUGUCUGAAAUCCCCAAGAAGAGGGUUUGUUUUGCAACCUCUUCUACUGGCUCUUGAUUCAACCUUCGUGAAGGUUAUGGAGCCAGCAUUGGAGUGGUUGUUCAAGUUAUAUUCGUUGGGGCUGAUCUGCGGCAUGAUUGAUGGGAAGGAGAUGAUAGAGGAGGUAUGGAAAUCAGCCAAUAGUGGCGAGGACGUGGUCGACCUCGCCGUGCUUAAGGUUAUUUUCUCCGCAAUUCGAUUUCCAGUGGUGGAAGUUCCGAAUGGGUCUAAAUGUGAUGAGAAAAUUGGAAUGGAUUAGUGGGUAUAAAAUUGAAUGGAUCUUGAUUUCUUGAUUUUGUGAUUUCGUGAUUUUGGGAAAACUUCUCUGGAAUCUGCUCUAUCUUGAUUUCGUGAUUUUGUAAUUUUGUGAUUUCGUGAAUUUGUAAUUUUGUAAUUUCGUGAUUUUGGGAAAACUUCUCUAGAAUCUGCUCUAGUAAGAGAUUUUUCUCUUCAGCUUAAAAUGUUCAUUAGUGGAACUCAACAGUCUUCAUUAGGUAUGGUACAGGGCCAGCUUCGAACCAGUCCAGUAGGCAGUGUGCCUUGGCUUAGCAGAUGUGAUAGGAACUUACGUUUCAUAAUAUGUACUUAUAGUUUUCAUUGUUUGAAAUUUUGAGUACAGUAAGUUUAAUCCAAAGUUGAUGGUCAAAUACUGUACUGUAUCUUCUACCCUGCCUAUGCUGUUGUAAGAUCAAACCCCAUCUUCAAUUAAUUUCUUUUCAACCCUUCUGAUGAAAUUCUUGGCCAAAUAAUUAACAAUCAAAUUUUAUUUGGCUGUUGAAUUAUGAGUGUGUUGGUGUAGAUGGUUAAUAAACUAAUUUGUUGGAUGAUACUGCUAAAAUUACAUUAUAAUGCUGACUGUUUAUGCUUUAAUUUUCAGGAUAGUGUAUCAGAAGCAGUGAAGAUCCUAAAGAAAGAGAUUACUUGUAAAAAUCCUAUAAACUCUUACCACUUUUGGCCUUUUGAUCUUCAUUUCAUAUUAAGCUAUUGACUAGUUUUGAACCCCAUGAAUAUUCAUAAAACUUUCUGUUAUAAAUUAUAAAUAAGAAUUGUAUGAAAUCUUAUAAAACUUAGGUGAAAGAAAAAUCAGUAAGAAAUUGAUGUAACUUCAGAGAAAAUAGCUUGUCAUCUAUGUUUCUUGUGCCUACAAUUGUUUUUAUGUGUUUUUGGCACUAUAGUGAGGUGUUUUAUUAGUUCAUAUGUUUAAUAUGGAAGAGACCAAGUGGAGUAUAUUCCAUUAAUAUUUAAGUUAUGGCAUUAGUCUGCUUUCAUUUUUUUGGGCAUGCAUAUAUGGGCGUCCCACCCAUAUCAUAUUGGCUUUGCAGUAUGUAAUCUAUUGUUAUGCUAACACAAAUGAAAUCCCAAAAAUACCCUUGAACCAUACCACGGGGGGCGUUGCCCCCCUCACCCCCUAACCUAUCAUUCGCCCACAACCAUAGAAAUAAAAGCCUGUUUGUCAGUUAAACAUUGGUUUUAUUUAAGAAUGAGAGUGAAAAACUUAUAUUCAAUACAUUUUCUGAACAAGCUUCUAUUUCUAUGGUUGUGGGCGAAUGAUAGGUUGAUAGGAAAGGGUGACCCAUUAAAAUAACAUGGCAAGUAGAGGUCUUAGAUGACCAUGUUCAUCAACCUUUUACUUUAUCCUAACAUGAUUAUGAUGUCAACCAAUUACAUACUUAUUAAUGAAAGGACAAGCUAGAAAUAUUUAUUUCAAAGUGAGGUCGUUCCUCUCACCAUGAGGUGCAUAACCCAACUACCCAAAUCCCAUGCAUGGUGGUUUUCACAGUAAAAAAAUGACUCAAAAGCUGUCAAUUCAAUAUAUAGUUUGAUAUAAUAUUUUUAUAAAUAUUUUGGACUAAACUAUGAAUUUAUGGUCCCAUGCGGCUUCAACUACGGAUAGGUCUAUUAAUGCAAACAAAAAGACUAGUACUUUUGAUAAAUUUUAAUAUUUAUCAAAUUUAUGGUCGUAACUAGCUAACAUUUAGUAUUUAUAAAUUAAAAUUUUAGUACUUAAAUUUAAUAUUUGUGAAUUAUAUGAAUGACUUUCAGCAUGUACUACCAGAUGAUGUGCACAUCCAACAAUAAAUUAAUUUAACAAUACCAGAUGAAGCAUAAUACUGAUGUAUAUUAUUUCACAAACUUUUGACAACUAUUUUGUGUACUAAUGCAUAUUAAGUUUUGUUCUUGCCUGUUUAAGUUACAUUUAGUUAUUUAAAUAUAUCCAAUAUUAUGUUGAAAAAAGAUGUACUUCAAUUUUUUUGUUCUUAAUAUUGACAAGUUUCGCAGUUCUCUUGUAUACGAUAUAUAUUCCAUUAUUUUAAUUAAAAUGGAAAAUCGAGAUUGGAUGUCAAAAGAUAGAAGGUCAGUUGAGUAUGAUGAAGAAGUUGAAAACUUUAUCAAUUUCGCAUUAGCACAUUCAACCAACCAUACCUCUAUAAAAUGCCCAUGCUUACGUUGUGGAAAUCUGUUAUGUCAAACUCCUCAAGUCAUUGGAGAGCAUUUGUUCUUUAAUGGAAUAGAUCUCAGUUAUCGAGUAUGGUAUUGGCAUGGAGAAAAGGGUCCCAGUGGAGGAUUUUCAAAUGUCUCACAACAACGUUAUGACAAAUGUGAGUAUAAUGAUGUUGCUGAUACAAUAGAUAUGGUUAAUGCUGCACAAGUUAAUUGUAUGAAUGAUCCCCAAGUGUUUGGAAGGUUACUUGAAGAUGUAGAAAAACCUUUAUAUCUUGGAUGCAUGAAAUACACAAAGUUGUCAGCAUUGGUAAAACUUUACAACUUAAAAGCACGUUAUGGUUGGUCUGACAAAGGAUUCUCAGAAUUGCUUCAGUUGCUUGGAGAUAUGUUGCCAUUGAAUAAUGAGAUUUUGUUGUCCAUGUAUGAAGCUAAAAAGACUUUCAGUGCUCUUGGUAUGGAAUAUAAAAAAAUUCAUGCAUGUCCUAAUGAUUGUAUUUUGUAUAGAAACCAGUAUAAGGAUGCUAUUGCAUGCCCAACUUGUGGAAAGUCAAGGUGGAAGAUAAACAAUGAGGGGAGGAAGAUUAAGAAAGGGGUUCCUGCAAAGGUUUUGUGGUAUUUCCCACCAAUCCCUAGAUUCAAAAUGAUGUUCCAAUCCUCAUAAACCGCUAAACAUCUUAUGUGGCAUGCCAAGGAUAAAGAAUGUGAUGGUAAACUAUGCCACCCAUCAGACUCCUCAGCGUGGAAACUAGUUGACCAUAUGUGGCCUCAUUUUGCUUCUGAACCGCGAAACCUUAGACUAGCACUCUCAACAGAUGGUAUAAAUCCUCAUAAGUCUAUGAGCAGUAGACAUAGUUGUUGGCCUGUUAUAUUGGUCAUAUACAACCUUCCUCCUUGGUUGUGCAUGAAAAGGAAGUUUAUGAUGCUAUCAUUAUUGAUCUCAGGACCACGACAACCUGGUAAAAAUAUAGAUGUUUACUUGAGUCCAUUGGUGGAUGACCUUAAAACUUUGUGGGAAAAAGGAGUUGAGACUUAUGAUGCACACUUGCGUGAGGUUUUUACUUUAAAGGCCAUCCUUUUAUGGACAAUCAAUGAUUUUCCUGCAUAUGGAAAUGAUAACUACUCAAAAAGGGCUAUUUCAUAGCUUGUAAUUAACUCUUUUAAACACUUUUGAGUAGUAGUUAUUACCUUUUAACCCAAUUAACAUAUUAAGGACCCUUGCAAUCAAUUCUAAUCAAAUUGUGUUAAGUUUUGGUGUUUUGAUAGCUUUUUGAUCACCAAAGCAAUCCGAGAUUGAGGAGAGUUCUUUGGAAUCCAUAAGCAAAUCCAGAAUACAAGGAGUAUGGGAUCCUGCUCAUUCCACCCGGACGGGAAUCAUAGCUCAUUCCACCCAGGUAGGAAUUCCAUCCGGCUGCCGUCAUUUUCCACCCCAGAUGUAUCACAUCCGGAAUUCUGCUGCCGCCGCCAUUCCACCCGGAUGUUUCACAUCUGGAAUUUUGACGCCAGAUGGGAGAGGAGAGCGUUUCAACUUCCCCGGACACACAUAUCCGAAUCAUCUGAUAGCGCUUACCGAGAGAGUUUCGCAGAUAUUUUGCACAGUGUUGCGGUGUUCUCCUGAAGGUUCCAGAUAUUUGCAACCGACAUUUAGAGAUAUUUUGCUUUAGAUAUUUGAUGUCGAAAUCCCCAAACUCUCCUUGUAACCCACCAAUUAUAGGAUUCCUUAGUUAUUAAGUUUGGAAAAAUGGUGAAUAACCCCUUAUAUAUAGCUUUGUAAUUUCCUUUACAGAGGGAGAUCGAUCAUAGAUGUAAUCUGGGAGCUUGUUCUCAGAGACGCAUCCUUUGUAUAGUUUUGUAAGGAAGUAAAAUACAGAGCACUUGCUCUACUUUUCAUAUUUUUGUUUUCUUGUUAUUUUACUUUCUAGCCAAUCAAACUUUGAGGAUUUUUCCUCAGAGGAUGAGAGGCUAGGCUCUUCGUCUCUUGGAGUGAAGAAAGCUGGGUAAAUUUCCACAUGCAUAAAUUAGAAGUUUUGUUGUUUUAGUUUUUAAUGAAGAGAAAGUGUGACCCGUUAAUGGUUUUUAUCUUUUUAGUUAACUUAAAACACCUUUAAUUCACCUGGGCCAACACUUGAUAAGGCAAGUGGUCUCCAUCCAUUGAGAUACACUAGUUUAUCUCUUGCGAGCCUUUGGGAGGUGGUUUGAAGGUAGGAUUUUCUAGAAUAGCCAACACUUGGUAAGCUUUUGGACUCUAAGCAGACAUCCAUUAGUUAUCUCUUGCGAGCUUUUGACGGAUAAUCCAAGGUUAAAGAUCACCUUGAAUGGCAAGUGCUAGGUGAGAGGUAUGAGCCAUUGCAAGAUGCAUCAGUGAGAGGGAUUUAGUGUUUGAACCCAUUAAAGGGAAGCAUCUUUACCACACCGGUUCGGGAAAUAACUAUAUGUUAAAUCCCCAAUGCGAGGAAAAUAAACAAGUGACCGGAACUCUCCUUUUUGUACAAGGAAUCUGAGUCCAGUGAUCUAAACUCCAAGAAACACUUUUCUUUGUAAGUAAAAUCAGUUACUAUUUUUGGUUAGUUUAAAACCAAACCUUUUCCACCAAAGAUUAUGUUUUCUUUUAAAGCUAACCUUGAAAUGAAAAGACACCAAUUCAGCUUUGAAUUAAUAUCAAUUGUGAAGUGAAAACCGAUCCUAGUGAACGAUCCUAGAGCCACUAUGCUAUAGUAGCUUUGUCUUUGCUACCCUAGUUCAUGGUGUAAUAGGUUAUAAAUUUUGUUGAUUACUCCCGCAAUCAAGGAGCACCAACUGGACAUGAAUCAGCUGAGACACCAAGUGGGCACGAAUUAAAUGGCGUUGUUGCCGGGAACGAAUCAAAUGGCGCCGUUGCCGAGCCUUGUGAUCAAAAUUGGGAACGAAUCAGGAAACUUAGCUAGUUGCACUGUGAAAGGAUAUUAUCCAUGUCCAAUAUGUGGAGAAGGGACAUAUUCUAAAAGAUUAAAGCAUGGUAGGAAAAACUCGUAUAUGGGUCACCGACGAUUUAUUCCACGUAACCAUCCCUAUCGGAGACAAAAGAAGGCAUUCAAUGGUGAAUAAGAUUUUAGGAUUCCUCCUAAAAUUUUAAGUGGGGAAGAAAUACUUGAAAAAGUGGAUCUCAUUCCUAUUUCUUAGGGAAAAAUGAAGAUAAAAUCUCUUGAAUCUGAUGUGAACACAAAUUGUUGGAAAAAAAAGUCCAUAUUUUUUUAGUUAGAAUAUUAGAAAUAUCUUCAUGUCCCUCACAACUUAGAUGUUAUGCACAUCGAAAAGAAUGUCUGUGAGAGUAUUAUUGGUACUUUGUUUAACAUCCCAGGGAAAACAAAGGAUGGACUUAAUGCUCAACUUGACCUAGUUGAAAUGGGUUUAAGGUCUGAACUUUUCCCAAGAGUUGACUUGAAAAAGACCUACCUUCCCUCUACAUGUUUUUCACUAUCCAGAAAUGAGAAAAAAUUAGUUUGUAAAACGUUGUCUAAUUUGAAGGUUCCUGAGGGGUAUUGCUCAAAUUUUAGAAAUCUUGUCUCCUUAGAGGAAUUGAAGUUGUUUGGUCUAAAAUCUCAUGACUGCCAUGCACUUAUGCAACAACUGUUGCCAGUGGCAUUACGUUCUAUUUUGCUAAAGCAUGUGAGAUAUUCUAUAUCAAGAUUGUGUAUCUUCUUCAAUAAAUUAUGUACAAAAGUGGUUGAUGUGCCAAAAUUGAAUGAAGUACAUAAUGAGUUAGUGGUCACGUUGUGCUUACUUGAAAAGUAUUUUCCACCUUCAUUUUUUGAUAUUAUGCUUCAUUUAACAGUGCAUUUGAUAAGGGAGGAGUGACUAUGUGGUCCAGUUUACUUUAGGUGGAUGUACCCAUUUGAGAGGUAUAUGAAAGUUCUUAAAGGAUAUGUUCGCAAUCAUAAUCGGCCUGAAGGAUGCAUUGCUGAGUGCUAUUUAGCAGAGGAAGCUGUCGAAUUUUGUAUUGAAUAUUUAUCAGGGACUCAUGCAAUUGGAAUUCCAAAAAGUAACAAUUAUGACAACAAAUUUGGUAGACCUAUAACUGGUGGUCGUUCUACCAACAUUGAUCACAAAUUGUGGUUACAAGCACAUCAUUAUUUGUUAGAGAAUACAACUAUCGUCCAACCAUACAUUGAGUAAGAAAAAUAUACCUUUAUUUUUUUAUAAUUUCAUAACAUAAUGAUGAAAUCCUAAGUUUGCAUUCCUUGUCUAUAACGUUAUAGGGAACACAUGAAUUGGUUGAAGUCUCAAUACCCUCGACAAUCUAAGAGACAAAUUUGAUUGCAAGAAGAACAUAUGCAUUGUUUUACAUAUUGGCUUAAAGGAAAGGUAAUCUCUUAGUUUUCAAAAAUUAUUUUAAUAUGUUGAAAACACCACAAGUUUCCAAUUAUGUUUUGAUUACACACAGGUUGAAGAGGCUAUCCAUAACGGGCAAGAUAUUCCCAACACGCUUAGGUGGUUAACACAUGGCCCUACUCACCAGGUGGUCAAAUAUCCUGGAUACAUCAUUAAUGGGUGUCGUUACCAUACUAAGGAACGCGAUAUGACAUGCGUCACCCAAAAUAGUGGUGUUAGCAUUUUAGCAGGGACUGCAAAUUGCCAGUUCUAAGGAUAAGAACCCAGUUUUUGGUGAACUUUGCUUUUAUGGGGUCGUUAAUGAGAUAUGGGAUCUUGAUUACAACAUUUUCAGAAUUCCAAUUUUCAAGUGUGAUUGGGUUGACAACAAGAAUGGUAUAAAAGUGGAUGAACUCGGGUUCACAUUAGUUGACUUCUCCAAAAUUGGUCACAAAUCGGAUCCAUUUAUUUUAGCAUCACAAGCCAAGCAAGUCUUCUAUGUUGAAGACCAACUUGAUCCCAAAUGGUCAAUAGUUCUCUCAAUUCCUCCAAAAGAUUUCAACAACAUGGAAGGACUGGAUGACUUCACUGCUAAUUGCAUGGAACAUCACCCCUUUAUAAGUUCAAUGCCAGAAGUUGAAUCAUUUGAUGUUAUGGAUGAAUCAGAGGCAAUAUACAUGAGAGAAGAUUGUGAGGGCAUAUGGAUUGAAAAUAAUUCAAUAAUAUAUUGUACCCUUGACAUGAGAUAUAAUAAGGCAUUUCACUUAUUAUUUUUCUUAAGUUGCACAUUAGCUUAGCUUCUAUAUAUUGCUCAAUAUAUAUAUAUAUAUUGAUCAUCCUAAAUUUCUUUCAUGCAUCAUAAACAUAUGUUAUUCAAAGGUACCACUUCAAUCUUCAUUUAACUAUCUUUUUUGUUGUCCAUGGAACUAGAUUUAUAUUAUUUUUUAUUAUCAUGUUUUGAUUUUAUGUUCACAUAACUUGAAACUCUCAUUCCUAAAUUUCUUUUUCAUUAAAACUAUAAAUAAUAAUUGAAACUAUAUAUGCACUAAUUUAUUUUAUUAUUAUCCUCACAAAUAAAUUCUUCAUUAUUGAUAAGAAAUCAAAAAACAAGACAAACUUUGAAAGAAAAUUUCAAAAACUAUAUUUGUGAAUGACCAAUUUAAUUAUAGGAAAUAUAUGCAAGGAUAUACUAAUCUUGCUUUUGAGUCAUUUUAUAGGUUUGUUGGUGGAGUACUAGUUUGCACAUUUACUUGAUAUCUUCCACACAAAUAUGGAUCAAGAAGAAGAGGAAAUGCCAAAAGUAAAGCAUAGAGGUAGUACAUUGAAACUAGAGAUUGCAAAAAAUCGAAGUAAAGGGAUAAAGCUCAAGAUUGAAUACAAUAGCCUUGGUAGUCACAUUGGGGAAAAUUCAGUUGAACUAAGUAGUUAUCUUGGUACAAUAACUAGAACCCAUGUGCCAAUAAUUGUUGAGAGUUGGAGGAAAGUCCGUAAAGAGACUAAGGAGAAGUUAUGGGAUUUGAUCACGGUAAGUCUAUCUAUAGCUUUCAUAUAUAAUUAUUGUAUACAUUCAUUAACAUGAGCUAACAUGGGUUGCUAUUUUGUAGACAAGCUUUAAUGUGAAUCAAAAUUCCAAGAGGAAUUGUUUCCUACUAAUGGGCAUCAGGUUUCGAACCUUUAAGUACAAGUUGACAAAGAAAUAUAUAUUGCCUUUCAAGAAUGACCCAGAAAAGCUGAAAAAGCCACCUCCUAUCUACCCAUUCAUACAAGAGGAUCAUUGGAGACAGUUUGUUAAAGAUAGACUUUCUGAACAUUUUAAUGUUAAGCAUUAUUUUUAAUACAUCUUCAAUUUUUACAUUUACAUAGUUUCACCAUAUACUAAUUUUGUGUCUAUAUUUUUUAGGAAUAUCGUAAGGUUCAGAAAUCGAGAAGAGAUAAACACAUUUACAAUCAUUAUCUUGGAAGAAAAGGAUAUGCACAUUUUGAGCAGGAUAUAGUAAGUUAUCAAUAUCGGUAAAAAAAAUGGAGUAUAUAUUUUGUUUACAGGAAAAAGAUUCCAAUUUUUAAAUGUCAUUUAUUAACUUGAUCAUAUUGAACUAAUGAGUUUUAUUGUUAAAAUUUUUAUAGCUACAAGCAGAAGGGGCUAUUGGUAGGGUUGAUAGAAGUGUUUUAUGGAAGAAAGCAUGUGAGAAGAAAGGAAAGUUUAAUAAGAUUACAGAGCCAGUGAUUAACAUGAUAGUAAGUUAGCAUAUUUAUGCCUUUUAGAGCCUAUAGUGUUAGUAUGUCUAUGUGACUAUGGUUUGUGAUGAUAUCAUUAGGUGUUAAUAAGCAAGAGGCUUAAUGCUAUCAUUUUUAUGAGUAGUUAUGUUAUACACCAAUUUGUCUAUUAUCCUUUGUAUUAAAACAAUUCUUUUUCUAGCUACCUUGAAUUGGUUGUCUUUAAUUGAUAUGUAAAUCAUCUUCAUCAAAUUAUUACUAAUAUAUGUUUUGUUGUAGGAUGAAUUAUUAGAAAAUGCUAAGGAGAUUGGACUACCUCCACCUGGUCCAAAUGACAUAUUAGGUCAGGCAUUGGGUAAGCCUGAUCAUCUAGGACGUGUGGUAGGUCAAGACCGUUUGGUUAGGCCUAGCUCAUACUUUCAUCAACCAUCUGAUGACAUGAAAAAAAUCAAAGAAGAAAUAUGGGAAAUGGUACGAAAAGAGAUGGAAGAUGCUGCAACAAGACAAGUUAUGUCACCCCCCACACCCCAUUCUGAUAUGGGCAGUAAUAACAUGAGACAACAACUUGUUUUACAACCAGUUCUAGCAGAAAAACCAAUGUUUAAAAUGAUAGAAGAGCCCCAACGACCAGAACCACCACUGAAACACAAGGUAUGCAUUUACUUACUAAUAAUACAAGAUUAAUAUAAGUGAUAUAAAGCCUAUGUAAAUGAUAUUAUUUGUUGUAUUGAAGGUAAUUAAAUGUAAAUUAGUAGUGGAAAGAAAAGGAAAUGUUGUUGCAACUGGUACACUAAUAGAAGAAAAAGGAUCAAAUAGGUUGGUUGUGAUAAAUGUUGUACACAAGCCAGAUGCUAGAAUCCCAUUUCCAAAUCCAUAUGGGAUUAUCAAUGUUGGGGAUGCUAUUGGCUUUGAGCUUGACUGGCCAACAAGCCUUGUCAUACUUGAAACUAAACAUCCUCAGGUAUGUCAUUUUAUGCCUAUAGUAAAUUUGAUUGUAACUUGGUAUUUUAUUGUUUAGGAGUAUAUAUAUCUAACAUUCCUUCAUUUUUCAUAGGUGUUGGAUAAAGGAAAGAAGAAGAUAGUGAAGACACCAAUUAUUCGAAAAUCUAAGCCUCAAAAUCAUUCGGUCAUUAAAAAUUUUCAUAAAUUUGUGGAUGGUUGUCUUGGUAAUGACAAGACAUACCCAAUACAACUCCCCAUUUCACUAUUUGGUGUCGAAUUUCAAACAUAUAUAUCUAGAGAGGAUUGUGAAUACAUUAUUUCAUCUUUAGAGGUGUCAUCAAACUGCAUCUCCUUCUAUUUAUGGUGUGCACCUUUUAUCUUCAUUUGUUUUUAUUUUUUUAAUAUGAGUUGCCCAUGUUGAACGAAAUUGGAUAUGACUAAUGAUAAUUUUCUUUUGGUGUUUUGAUACAAUAAUAGGCACAUGCAUGAUCAACUACAUAUUGCCAAAAAGGAGUCACAAUUUAUAUUUGUUAAUCCUUUUACAAUAUCACGAGCAGGCCUUAGUACUCCUCAAACAGAGAAAAGAGCACAAUUGUUGUCAAAACGCUUAAUGGAGUGCCAAGAUGCUAAAUAUGUUUUCAUACCUUACAACCCUGAGUAAGUGACAAAUAUUAUACUUUAAUUUGAGGUUUUAUGAUUGAUUUAUAUUUCUAAUUAGAUGCUACUUUUGUUUUUAAUGUUUUAGCUUUCAUUGGGUCUUGGUAGUGAUUGAGCCAAGGAAAAUGAUAGUCCACUAUCUUGACCCUAUGCAUCACAAACCAUGUGAGGACUUAAAGGAUAUAGUAAACAUGUAAGUUCUUCCUACUAUUUUUCAUAGUAUUAUUUUUCUUUUUUAAAAAAAAUACAUUCAUCUCAAACACAUUUUUUUUAUAUAUAUAUGUUAAAACAUAUAACAUUUACCUAAUUUAAAAAUGUACCUAUUGAACUUAUUUACAUAGGGCUCUUCGAAUAUCUGCAAAGAAAACAUCUAAGAGGGAGCCAUCUUGGCAACUAGUGCAGGUGACAUCCAAAAAAUUUUCUUUACAUAUUAGCUUAUGCAUUUGCACCAUUUAUAUAUAUGAGUACUAAUGUUAUUUUAUAAUUGAUCGAUUAGUGUCCAAGACAAGAAGGAGGGUUCGAAUGUGGCUACUUUGUUAUGAGAUUCAUAAAAGAGAUAAUUUUUUAUCCUACAAUUAUUGCUUCAAAGGUAUUACAAAUUUAAUGAAUUGUACAUAGUUUUACGCUUCCAAAUGUUAUGCAUUUUAAUGUUAUUUUCUUAUUUGAUUUCAAUUUGGUGAUAAAAAAAAACAUAUUCUCAAGUAGAAUUCGAUGAAAUUAGAGGAGAAUGGGCUACUUUUGUGCUACAACUAAUCAUGAAUCAUGUUGAUGCAUCAUGAUCACCAUGCAUGGUGAGUCCUUUAGCUACUACAUGAAUUUUUCCAUAGGUUCUUUGAAUAAUGUUUCUAUUUGAAAAAAAAAAAGAAAAAAAAUAGUUCUUAGAUUUGUUCAUUUAUGAUAACAUCGAUCCAUGUUUAUUUUCUUCAAUAAAAAUCUAUAAAACUCAUUAAACUAUGAAAUGCAGGUAUACACUUUUGGGAUGGUGGAAUGGAGAAUAAAAAGAAAGAAGAAGGCAACAAGAUUUUGGGUUUUUAAAUGCAACUCUUAUGUCAUACGUUGUAGGACAUAAAUGUUACUUUAAUUAGUACUGAGAAAUUUAGAUUUUUAGAUGGGACUUUUAUGUCAUUUUAUAGUUAGCCUGUUUUAUGCUUAUGGAAUGGAGGUAUACAUGAAUCUUGGGAUCUUUAACAUUUCUAAAUCAUGUUUUGGUAUGUAUUCACUCUUUUUUCUUUUUUAGUUUUGAUGGGUUUGAUAUGUUGGAUGUACUAUCUUUUUGUGAACAUUUGAUAUACAAAUAUUAUUAGAUGAUCAAUGUAUUAUGAGUUAUUUCAGAAACAUUACAGAAAAAUGAGUUAAAUAUAAUAUGAUUGUUAUAUUUAUGGACAAAAUAUAAAUAGGUUGAUCUUACUUAUUAAUUCAUAAGCAUUACAAAAAUCUAUAACUAAAAGUAAUCAUAUCUUCCACAAUAAUUUACAAUGAUGUGACACCAUUACUCAAAGGUGAUGCAUUUAAUAUGACAUCAUAACUCAAAGAUGAUGCAUUUAAUGCGACACCCUAUCAUCACUAGAAAUAUAUGGUGUCACUUCCGAAUGGGUCACCAUUUAUCUACUUUGGUGUCACUUCCAAAUACGUCACCAAUUGGUACCCUCUAUGGUGUCAGUGGAGAAGGUGACGCUAUGUUAUAGUGACACCCUAUGUUUAUGGUGACUCAUUAUAAAUGUCACCAUAUAUUUUUUUCCUUGUAGUGUGAUUAUUUUUAACAACAUACACCACACAAGUGACUCAUCCACUAUAUGAGAGUAGUGAGUUGAAGACCUUGACAAUAUAAUUCACAAGGUGACUCAAUCUCACUUCAUGGAUUAAGGUAAGAAUAUGAUCAUUAUUUUAGCACUUAUAAAUUAUUUUGUUUUAUGUAUCCAAAAUUGUUUUCAAAAAUAAUUAUUCCCGCAUAAAGUUUAUGAAAGUUUGGCUAACACACUAAGCAUACGUGUAGUUUCUGGUGGAAGCACCAUUGGAACUUGGAAUAUCAAAGAUUACCAGCUACUCUUCUUGAAGGAUACUGCAGUAUCAUUCAGACAAAUUAAGAAAAAAAGAAUAAUCCUAAGGUUUCCAGAUUGCAACUUUGAUACAAGAGAUUCCGGGUGAGAAAAUACCAGAUAUUUAUGAAGAAGGCUUCAAAGUGAAAGCUCCCAACAACUUAGUUCCUGGCUAUUUUGUUUUAGAAAAACAGUUAAAUGAGUGUGAUGAUUAUUUAUAUGGUAAAAUACACCAAUUGCCACAUCAUCUUGUUAGAUUAUGAUUAUAAUUGUAAAGCAACAACUUCCACGUAAAAAGGCAAUCUGAUUAGAAAAAAGAAAUUAACAACUCCUUGUUCUAUAAAAAAAAAAAAUUAUUUAACUUUGUUUUAAAAAAUUGUUUCUAGGAAACAAUGGUCAAAUAGUAUUAGAAAUUUUUAAAAACAAUUUUUUCGUUUUUAAAAACAGAAAACCGUUUUUAAAUCACACAACCAAAUGGACUCUAAUAUUUUUAAAAUUAUAGAAGUAAUAUGGGAAAAGAGUUGAGGUAAGAUUAAACCAUCCAAAUUAUUUAUCAUAUCUUCCUUUACCUAAUGGGAUUUGUUUUUUUCAAAUUUAUUUUGUUCCUAAGAUUUCAAAAUAUUACCUUUUAAUUUUAAAAGUAAAAAAAUAUAUAUAUAAAUAGGUUGCUUAUAUUUUAAAAUAGUAUUGUUGCAUCUUUAACAUCAAAAGAAAAAAAAAUGAAAAAACAAACAAAUUGUGCAAGUAAAUUUCAAAACAAUGUAACUAUUCUCAGUCUUCAUCAUCUAUCAGGUACAAAUUCUUUAAUCCUGUGUUUUGUUUUAUUGAUUUUCUUGAUAUCCUUGACAAGUUAAUUAGCUGUGAUUGACAAGUAAGAUCAACAACGGUUUCUUUCUCAAUUUCUUUCUCAAUCCAAAUGGAAGCAGUUGCUUUCAAAUUAAUCCAACAUGUAUGCUAAUUUCGGGUACAUUCCCAUAUUGAAUUCUUUUCAUCAAAGUUGUCAUCUUUUUUAUAAUAUUUUUAUUCUUUCUCUUAAACUCAAUCAAAAUGCAUGGAUCAAGUUGCUAGCUUUCACGAAUCUGACACAAUUUUAUAAUUUGGAAGUUGUUGAUUUCUCAUUAUACAAUUUCAUGGUCUUUUUAUUCAUCAAUCGGUAAAAUUCUCUUAACUCUUUCUCCUCUCUCUCUUUCUUUCUUUCUCUCGAGAUCCAUUUCAAAUUCAUUUGUUUGUUUCAUAUCUAAGAUUCUUAACUUUCGGUAUCACUUUCUCUCACUUUCGCUCUCACUUUCUCCAGAAAAUUAAAUUCAAGUUUGCUAGUUUUCAAGAAUCUGAUAGCUUGGGUGUCAGAUGAUUUCACAUUCAGCAAUUUCUUCUCAGCAUUGUUCAUAAUCAAUCAAGUACAAAUUCUUUAAUACUGUGUUUCUUUUUCUUGAUAUCCUUGAAUUCUUUAAUCCCAUAUUGAAUUCUUUUCAUAACAGUUCUCAUCAUGCCCAUCAUCAGCACCACCAGUACACCAUCUGUAACCAAAAGCAACAUCAGGCUCAUCCACCACACACCAGAACAUAUCUCACCUGUGCAUCGAGCCACACCAUCGUCUUCUCACCUCACUGCUCCAUCAUUAGCAUCACACGAGCAGCACACCAUCAGUGGAGCACCACAUGAGGAGUGCACCAUCGGUGGAGCAGCACCACUGCACAUCUCCAGUUGCUCACCACUCACCAGUUCAUCACCAAAUUUGCAGAGACUCCAAGUCAGUUUUGUUUUCAAUUUUGAUUUUUAAUCUCUUUUUCUUUUCUUUCUCACAUAAUUAUAGAAAUAUUAGGACCUGUUUGGGUGUGGAUAAAUUAGGCCACACAUGAGUGUUGUUAGAUGUAUUGUAUAGGUGGUUAUGUGACUAACUCUUGUUGUUUGAUGAUUUAGAAUUGAAUUUGGGCUAAUUCAUCUCUAGUUAUUUUUACCUAAACAAGUCAUAUGAUAAUUGGCUUUGAAUGAGUAUUUUGAUCUUGAUUCAUGUCUUUUGAUUUUUUGUUUUUAGUUAAUUAAUGUUUGUAAGUUUACAUCUCAUAAUUCACAUACACACUUUAUGUAAAUAGGCGAUCAUAUGCUUAGAUUUAAUUAGGCACUUGUUUAGGAUUCUUUUAGUACUAAAUUUUUGACACUUAAAACGGGUUUUUAAUCAAUCACUUAUAUGGUUGCACAUUUGACUUACACAUUAGCUCACAUUUAACUUUUUUUCAGGACAUUUUUUAUUCUCAAUUUGAUGCAUAAUUGGUUCUAACUUUUGAUGCAUUGGUGCAUUCUAUGAUCUACUUGUUUAGGCACUUCCUCAGGUCACUUAGAGACAUAUAAUUAGCUUAUUUAGGUUUGGUUUUAGGUCACAAAUUGAUCUUAUGCACAGCUGCACCCUAGGUUCUUAUUUAGGACACUUGAAGUUCAUAUUAACAUGCUAGAAUUCUUAUGUAUACACAUGCACUUUUUCUUGAUUGUUUUUGUUAUUUUAUGUGUUUUGAUGUUUUUGAAAUUGCUUUUAAUCUUUUCUAAAGCAAAUCAAUCCUCCAACUUCUCUUUAAAGUUCAUCAUAUGUGAUUAAGCAUGAAAAUCUAUUCUCAAAAAGCUAUGCUACCUAUUUCAUUCGGUAUGCACUUUUUCUAUUGGUUUUUAAAUGAAUUUCAACUCUGAACCACAUGAAAAUAAAUUCAUGCAUGGCUCCACAUCAAUUGAGUAAUUCCUUACCUUGGUGAGCUUAUCCAUAAUAACUUGAGGUUAAAGAAGUAUGAAUAAUUUUCAUGGGCAUUAACUUGGGGAUAACCUACGAGAUGUUAAGGAUAAUCAAUCAUAGACAAUUCAAGUAGAAUAUCAAGUAUUAAAAGAUAAAGAAAUAUAGACAAUGAGGCACAUAAAUGUUUUACAUGGAAAAUCCCCACACUAAUUGUAGAGAUAAAAAAAAACCAUAAGGUCUAAGACUGUUAAUCUAAAUCCACUAUUCAAAAUCAAAUUACACAAAUUUACCUAACCGCUUUAUCUUGAAGACUUACCCUCUAGUACCUAUAACUUGAUUCACAUCCAUGAUGCAAUAACCAAAAAUUGAUCCCUAGUAGAUCCUUCAGCCACUCUAAAAGGAUGAUGGUCUUCAGCCAAAAAUUCAAAGAUCAAAUCCUUGAAUGAGAGAUUGAGAAUGGUGUGACACUUCAGGCUUUCUCUCUAGGAAACCUUCUCUACAGAAAACAUGGUUUCUCAAUAAUAUUUAUGCGAUCUCUAACCCUCUAGGGGUUAAUAGGGGGGAAUUUAUAAGCAAAGGCCCAAAGAGUCUUUAUUUUAAAAGGUUUUUCAAUUGAAAUUGCAUGAAAAUCUCAGUAGAAAUUGCAUGACUGCUUGAGCCAACUCAUUGAUUACUUGACCAGCUUGGGAGCUUGAGUGAUCCUAAGCACUUGAGCACUCCAAGCAGUUUGAGUGGUCCUACUCAAUUUAAAAAUCCACUUUUAAGUCAUUUUAAGUUAAAAAAAAAAAACAAAAAAACAAAAAAAAAACCUGAUCCUCUUAAUACCUCAACAAAUCCUAAUGCGUCACAAGCCAAACAUUUUUAGACAUACCUGUGACUUCCCGGUUGGACGAACAACAACCCUUGAUCUUCUAUGGAGAGUAGGUCACUUGACUUAUGUGGCCAAACAUACAGUGAAAGGCCUGAAAGCUUAAUGGACAUAAUAAAAGUCUUAAGCUUAGUGAACCAUGCCCAUGGUGCUUACUUCAAACCAUAGAUGGAUUUGUGCAAUUUAUCCUUGUAAAUUUAUGAAGCAUAAUAAAAGUCUAUCUCAUGGUUGAAUCCCUGCAAAAUUUAGCCACUAAAAUUUCAUUUGAUUAGGGCACGUCAAAUGACAAGAAAGAUUUACGAAGCUUUAAGGAAUACAGUGUAUGUAUAGAGGAAAUGAUUAAUUUUAAUGUCUCAACUACAUACGUCACUCUAAUGAAUACUUUGCAAUCUAAUAAUUAUCGUUAAUUUUCAAUCCACAAAAUAAUUCAAUUUAUGAACAUGUUGUGAUAAAAGUCUUAAUAUCAAAGGAAUAUUUCUUCAUCAGAAUUAUUUAUACAUACAUGUAUAUUCAUAUGGCACACAAACGCCUAAGAAAGAGGGCACUGACCAUUCAUUCAUCAUCAUUACUACACUGAAUAUUCAACAUACAAGCAACAUGAUGAGGCUGAAACUUAUUAAUAAAGUCAAGGGCUGAGACAUGAAGAUCUCUUCAUGCACAUGUCCAUGAAGGAAUGCAUUGUUGACAUCAAGUUGAUGCAUUGGCUAUUCCCGAGAGAGAGUAAUGGAAAGAACAAUCCAAAUGAUGGUAGGCUUGAUCACAAGGUUGAAUGUCUUAUGAUAGUCAAGGCUAAGGUGUUGGUGAAAGCCCUUUUCUACAAGGUGAGCCUUGUAUCAAGCAAUGCUACCAUUAGGAUUUCAUUUGAUCCGAAACACACACUUACAACUAAUGAUGUUUCGUUAAGGCUCGUAAGAGACCAACUAUCAUGUAUCAUUAUAGGAGAGAGCUUGGAGUUUUUUACUCAUGACAUCUCAACUUUCUUUGUGCUUUAAGGCUUAGGUGAUAAUGGUGGGUUCAAGGCUUGGAGGUAUGGGGUGCUUAGUGGCAUGGUGGGCAAAGAAUUCUCUGGGUUUAAAAAUGUGUUUUUGACCGAGUUUGCAUGGGAUGGUGAGGAAUUUGGAUAGGAAUAGAGGAUAUGUGUAGAACCUCCAUUUUAUUCUCUUGGCACAUGUUUUCUAGUGUUUAUCUUUUUUUAUCUUAUGCUCCCUCAUUGUACACUUAAUUAUGAUUCAUUUUUUAGCUUUUAUUGAGUCUCCAUUGGUGGUCCACUAUAAUUUACUUGACCGUUGUUUCUAAAAUUCCUUUAUAGACAUCUUGGAGGGGAUUUUAUGAAACCUUAUUGUGAUUAUUAGUGUCCUCUGAUUUUAGUUUAGGAUUUUGUUAGUUUUGUUGAUUUUAGUGCAUUUAGGUUUGAUUUUUUUUUUCUAUUGCAAGAUUUUAGGAUUAGAUGAGUAUUCGAUUGUUAUUUGAUUUUUGAUUGCAUGAGAGAUUGAUAUUUCAAUAUUUAAUUCAAUAUGAUUGACAUUUUCAUUUUGAUACACGUGAUUGAUAUUCUUUAUUUUUAGGUAUGCUCAUGGUUGACAUUUUAAUUUUUAAUUUCAUGAAUUUGAUAUUUGAUUUUUUUUAGGUGCAUGAGAUUGUUUUUUGUUUUUUCUUAAUUGUAUGGUUUUGAUUUUUGGAUUUUUAGUUGCAUGAGAGUGAUUUCUAAUUUUGUAAUUACAUGUGAAUUAACCUUGAUUUUAUUUUUGUUUGUGAUUAUAACUUUAAAAUUUCUAGUGUGUGAUUUGUAUUUUGAUCAUUCAUACAUGAUUUUUUUUUUUUUUUUUUUAUGCAAGCAAGAGUAUGUGGGGGGUAUGAGAUUCACUUAAAAGAAAAUUCUAGGAGUGUUCUCUUGCAUGUGGAAAUUUUCUAGAAGGGGCCAUUUUUAGAAGAGGGAAAUUUUCAUAUUUUUGGUGUGAGGGGAAGAAUUCUCUAGUAGUAUUUUUGAAAUUCUAGAAUAAAAAUUCAAUGGGAAGAAAUAGAAAUUUCUUGAGAAGACUAUAGAAGGGGAAUUAAAAAUUUUAGAGGGGUAACUUGGAACUUUUGGGGGACUUGGAGAGAUUUCUAGAAUUUUGGAGAAACUUGAGAAUAGAGAGAGGUUUGGGAAAACUUGUUUGGAUGAUGAGAAAAUCUUGGAGAGAAAAUUGAGAGAAUUUUGUGAGAGAGAUUUGAGAGAAAAUAGAAAGUGAACUUUGAGAAUUUUUUAGAGAACUUUGGAAGAAUUCUCUAGACUUUUUUGGAGCCAUUGAAGACACUUUUGGCGUGAGAGAUUAUUAGCUUGAGUGGAUGAAGAAUUAGAGCUUAGAUUUUGAAGAAAUUUGAGGUAAGUUGAUGCUUUUAAUUUUUUAUUUCAAGUCCUUCAUAAUCAUCUUCAUUUUAUGAUUUUGAAUAUAUUAGGUUAGGUUGGGUGUGGAAAUAGGCCACAAAUAAGUGUUGUUUAUUUGGAUGUUGAUAGAUUGAAUGUUUCUUGAAUGUGAAAUAUUGCUUGUUGAUAAUUUAGAAUUAAGAUUAGGUUGUUUUUUCUUCUAAAUUUGUUACAUCAAAAUAAUCCAUUGAAAAAUCAUGAAAAUAGGCUUUGAGUACUUAUGUUUUAGUAUUGAUUCAUGUCUCUUAAUUUUUAUUUUUAGGUUAGUUGAUUUUUGUUGUUCUCCAUCACAAACCACACAUACAUAAGCCACUAGUUGAGUUUACAAUGUGCCUCAAUUUUUGUAUCACUUGUUUAUUCCACUUUUAGGUCAAUUUCGUAUGCUAGUUUAGAUCACUUUAGAGGCUUAAUUUUGGCUCACUUUAGGGUAUAUUUUCUGGUCACUUUUAAGAUGCACAAAUAGGUCACAAUUCAUUUCACUUUGAACACUCAAUUUUUUAUGUACACAUUUGUCUUUAGGUGCCUUUUUUUUUUAGUGAUUUAUGAUUUUGUGUUUUAAUGGUUUUGAAAGUCUUUUUAAUUGUUUCUAAAAUAAAAUGAAUUUUCAAAGUUCAUAUUUCCAAUUCAUCUUAGGUCAAUUAGGUGAAGAGAAGUCUAUUUUAAAAAAUAAUGUUGCCUUGUUCAUUUAAUACACAUAUUUCAAAAUAUUUUAAUUGAUUUUCCAUUUUUCUCAUUACAUGAAUUAAGUUCAUAGUUCCAAACAUUGGAGUGAUUCCUAGCCUUAGUGAGAUUAUUCAUGAUCACAUGAGGUUAAUGAUGCAUGGAUGAAUUCAUGGAAAUUAAAAAGAGACUCGGUGAGUCCCUACAAAGUCUUCCAAAAAUUGGUUCUCUAUUGCCUCUUCUGAUAGUCCACUGCACCUUCAUAGUUGUAAAUUAGAAUCUGACUUCUAAAAUUAUUUCAAUUCUUUAAUAUUGUUCUAGACUUUUUAAAUGUGUGAAAUGAAUUUUGUUUGGGCCUAAAAUACUUUUGAAAUUAAGAGAUCUAAAUUAAUCUUCCAAUAGGUUCAAUUUCAAUACUAUUCUGGAAACCUGAAAUGAUUUUGUAAAACUAAAUUAGUUAUCACUUUUAUAAUUAUUUUUGAUAUUUUUCUCUUAAUUUAGACUUUCUAACUUGCGAUUAGACACCUGUAGCACUCAAAAUUGAUCUUCCAAGUAGGAAAAAUAGUUUUUCCUUUUUCACUUAUUGCACAGGUCCUUUUCUAGAGUUAAGGGGUUGUUUAUUUAAUUUUAAAUAUGAUGAGUGUAUGAUCAUGCUUUGUGAUUAUUUUUCAUGUAAACUAGGCAUAUUAAAUAAGUUAUUUUAGCACAUCUCUAAGUAAGUCGAAUAAAUUAGUCUUUGUAUGCCAUGGAAAAAUACUUUGUUUUGGACUAAUUGAGACUUUAUAAAAACUUAUUAAAUGGGACAUAAUUAAUUAAUUUGGUCUUUUAGUUUGUAAUCAAGACAAAUAGGAGAUAUUGCAUAAUUUUUUCAUGAUGAAAUUCCACUUCUAGAUAUUUCCUUAUCAUUUAUUUUGUAAACUCUUUUGUUCAAGUCAUAUGCAAAUUAUUCUAUGUUGUAUCCCAAUUGUGAUUUAAUUUAAUAUUAAUUAGCACCUAAUUAAUUAAUUUGGGUUUGUGGAUUGUGAUCUAGACAUAUGGAAUAUGUACUCUAGAUAUUUUUUUAUCUUGAUGAAAUAAUACAUCUAGAUAUUUAUUCACGAAUUAUUUUGUGAAUAUCUCUAAUCUACCCUAUUGUAUAUUUUUUAUAAUUCAAUCACCUUUAUGCAUGCUUGUGAGCUCUUUUGAAUGUUGAUUCACAUUGUAGAUAUAUUAUACACAUUAGUUACCCUAAACCCUAAACCCUAAACCUUAAAUCCUAAACCCUAAACCAUAAACCCCAAACCCCAAACCCCAAACCCUAAACCUUAAACCCCAAACCUCAAACCCCAAACCCCAAACCCUAAACCCCAAACCCCAAACCCUAAACUCCUAAUCCCAAACCCCAAACCCUAAACCCCAAACCCUAAACCCUAAACCCUAAACCCUAGAUAAGAUAUUUAUUAAAUUGGAACUAUAUAAAGAAUGAGAAUUUUAUGAAAAUAGAUUUUAAAUUUUGAGAUUAUUUUUAUUAUCAAAAUUUUUUUUUUUCAUAAAACACUCUUACAAAGAUGUUAAAUUUCAAGAUUGCAUUCUCCUAUUACACUUGUAACACCCAAGCAUUUUCUUUUAAGGGUAAUUUAGGAAAUUGUUAUUAAUAAUUAAAUUAGUUAAUUAAUUAAUUUAAUAAAAAAAAGAAGAGGGGUAAAAGUAAUUUUACGAUUAAUACCCUAGGUAUAAAUAGAAAAUUCUCUUCUUCCUGUUCUUUUUUGAAUCGUAUUCCUGUUUGCAGAGAGUUUCCAGAGAACGUGAAGUUGAGGUCAGAUUUUAAGGUUUGAAGAACAAACCUCUAUAGGUAAGUUUCUAACCCCUAGAUUAUUAUUUUAGAUUCAUUAGUUAAUUUCAAGCAUAUUAGAUAUAUUUUUUUUGGAAAACCCCAAAUCUAGAUUAGGGUUAGAUUAUUUUUUUUAAUUCGUUUUAAUAUCAAAUAGUGAAAAUUUAAGAUUUUGAUUUAUUAUUGGAAUUGGGGAGAUCUUAAGUUUUUUAUUAGAAAAAAAAAAAUCCUGUGAAGAUUUCGAUUUAGAUUAGGGUUAGAUUAUUUUUUUAAAUUCGUUUUAAUAUCAAAUAGUGAAAAUUUAAGAUUUUGAUUUAUUAUUGGAAUUGGGGAGAUCUUAAGUUUUUUAUUAGAAAAAAAAAAAUUCCUGUGAAGAUUUCGAUUUAGAUUAGGGUUAGAUUAUUUUUUAAAAUUUUUUUUAAUAUCAAAUAGUGAAAAUUUAAGAUUUUGAUUUAUUAUUGGAAUUGGGGAGAUCUUAAGUUUUUUAUUAGAAAAAAAAAAAUUCCUGUGAAGAUUUCGAUUUAGAUUAGGGUUAGUUUAUUAUUAUUAUUAUUAUUAUUAUUAUUAUUAUUAUUAUUAUUUCGUUUUAAUAUCAAAAUAGUGAAAAUUUAAGAUUUUGAUUUAUUGUUGGAAAUUGGAAAUUCUUAAGCUUUUAGAAAAAAUAAAAAAUAAAAAUAAAAAUUAGAGGAUGCGUGUGCACACUUGGAGAAUGGAAAAAUAUAUAUAUAUGGGGUGUGUGGGUGUGUGUACGGAUGGAGGGAUGAAUGGUGUUUGGUAGUUAAUGUAUAUAUAUGUAUAUAUAUUAUUAUAUUGACAAUAAUGGAUAAAGUUUAUGAAAAAAAAAAAACAAAUUUAUGAAUAGAUUAAAUUGUCUUUCAUAAUUAAAAAUAUUAAUUUGAAUACCUAAAAUUUUAGGAUUGAAAAAUCUGUAAUUUUAGAUAAAUAGUAAUGGUUAUUUCUCUUAUAUUUGUUAGGUGAAGAGUAGAUUUUCAGGAUUAUUUUUCUCCAAAGUUUUUGAAGACUUCUUUUGAGGUAAGGGAAGUUAAUGCAAUAUUUAUAAAUUUAAAUUAUUUUAUAUGUUAUUUUGAAUUGUGGAAAAGAAAAUGAUAUUUUGUUACCAUGCAUGGAUCAAACUAUUUUGCACUAAAAAUUUAUGUUGGAAUAUUUUGUUUUAUUUAUGACACAAAAUAUGGAGAUAUUAUGUUGUGUAAAUUUGAAUACUUGAACAAAAACAUCACUCUGGUUUAUUUGGCCCUUGUCAACGGGAGAUAAUAGUUGACUAUUCGGCCCUAUCAACGGGAUAUAAUAGUUGACCUUUACAUUUCAUGGUGGGAAUGUAAUUGAUUUGGACCCCAGCCUCUAGGGGUUUCGGUUAGAGGUUACUAGUACUAGUAGUGUUUGGUUCCGUCCACCAAGAACAAUUUGAGGCUAGCCACCCAUUUGAAAAGUCCCACCUAACUAGGCAUUUGAUAUUUGAUAACCAGAGUAAUGAAAAAUUGAAUGGAUUUGAUUGAGUCUUAUGUGAAAGUGUUUGAAUUUGAUAUGAAAUUGGUUGGUUGAAUUUUGAAUAUAUUGGUAUUUUGAAACUCUGAUAUUUGAUGAAAAAAAAAUGAUAUCUCCUAUUUGAAAUGAAAAUAUUUGAUCCAUGAACUGCAUUAAUAUUCCUUAUUGGGCUGUGAGCUCAUUCCCAAUUGUUGAAAAUUUUUCAGGUACUCUUAGUUCGGGUGAGGAGUGAUGGCUAGGCUGAGGAAUGGUCAUCAUUAGGAUUUGACUUAGGAUUUUAUGUUGGAUUUUGUUUAACUAUUAGUUAUAUUCAUUUGCAUCAUUUGGUAUUUGGAAGUUAUUUGGAAAUUGAAUUUUGAGGAUUUUAGAUUUUGUUCCGCUACUCUGAACAGGUAUUUGGUAAUUGGUAACAUCCAGUUACAAUAUGAUUGUUUGGGUCAGAUUAUACUUUAAGCCUUCGGGUUUGAGGUGUGAAAUGACCGUCACGCCCUUGGAGUGGGUCUUGGGGCGUGACAACACUAGGCUUCAAUUAGGAUAUAAAUAUUUUCUAAAUUUCUCAUAAAAGAUGACUCAUUCAUCAAUGUAAUUACUAAAUUUUUAAACCUGUUAAUUAAAUCAAAAGAUUAAGAGUGUGUUUGGUAGUGAUUAUAGGAAGUGUUUCUAAUAUCUUUAAAACUUGAAAGAUAAAAAAUUUCAAGUGUUAGAAACACUAGAAACCCCUCCUAAAAUCACUAUCAAACGCACUUUAAAUGAAAGAGGGUUAUAAGUAGGCCUACAAGCUCCAAGAUCAAGCCCAUCUUGAUUAGGUCAUUACCACCCCAAUGGUAGAUAGGUCCAAGCAUCAAGGGAUGUGGAACUUAAGACUCAUCUUAAUUUUGGGUCAUCAUUACCCCUAUAGUAGGUUGAGUCAAGGUAUCAAAGAAUGUGGAUUUUCUUAAGAACAAGACUAGAUAUAUUAGUAGUGGGAGAAACCACCCCAAUAGUGGGAUUCUCUAUAGUAUAAAAUUGACAUCAAAGAUCUUGGUUAUACACUUAACUUAAAAUAAGAAACCGGUCUACCCAACGUAGGGACUUUCACUUUCAUGGACUAAAGGCUAAACUAAAAGGUAUGUUCAUCUUGCUUUAAGAACUUUCCAAAUUUAAGGUAGAAAGAUCAAUUUGAGAGAGUUUCUACCUUUACCCAAUCUAGGUUUGAUACUUAUGAUACUAGGAUAUCUAACGAAGGAUAUGUAGUCAUAAGAGUUCUAUAAUUGUUAAACUAUUAUUUGCUUGGAAUGCUUAACAUUUAUUGCAUGCUUUUAAUUUUUUGUUAUAGAUAUCAUCUCGUAUAAUUUUGUCACCUUUGUUCUCAAAAUUAGUUAAUAGACCAAACCUAACUAUAUGGAUUGGAAAGUGAACUGGAUAUAGUAAUAACAACAUUGAAGUUAAAAAUAGGUAUUUCUUAUAGCCAACUAUUCCUUAUGAAUAAUUCCAGUAGGAAGAAAAAAAGUUACAUUAAAGGUGGCAUAAGGUGGAUCAAAAAACUAGUUGUCCUAUACUUGGAUAUUUGGAUAAUGUGUUGUAAUAAUGACACAUUUUAUUACCAUGGUCUAUGAUAUUCUCUUUAGUCUACAAGGAAUUUUUGGUGACAAAGGCAAGUUAGCUAAAUAGGCUACCCUUAAGGUCAUUAUGAACACCAAGCUAGGCUUAUAUGUUCUUAGAAACCUUAUCAAAUUCCUUUAGGAUGACUAAUGGGAGUUCUCAAAGACCAAAAGAGUGUUCAUAUGAGAGUCAAAGGAUAGGUUCUUUUUUAUAAAAAAAAAAAAAGAAAAAACAAAAAACAAAAACAAAAACAACAACAACAACAACAACAACAACAACAACAAAUAAGGAAAGUUUAAGAAAAUGAACGAAAAAAAAACUUUUAGAUAGUAAUUCCUUUAUGGCUUAUGGGACAUUGGAAAAUGAUUACCUACAAAAAAAGAAAGUACACAUCAUACUCUCAUUAUUGAAUAUAGUGGAUGGAUUCAAAGCUCACUAUCUAUAAUUCUUUAUAGGGUUUUCAAUGAGAGUGAAGAUUACAUGAUAGGGAUGUGCUUACCUUAACUUCAUUUGCAACCUUAACUUCAUUACCACUUUUCCAAGUGUUGAGAAUAAUCAAAUCUCACUAAUUUUGAAGGAUCUUCUAAUGUCAAAACAAAUUAAUCUAAAUAAGGUCGAAAUAUUGGUUAAGUUAGGGUCAUUAUACAUAAUAAUUUUGAAGGAUCUUCCAAUUUGUGUAUUCUUUAUAGAUGACAAAAUGACCAAGAGGUCAUUUACUAUUAAAGGAUGUAGAGACAAGGAAUGUUUGGAUUUAGUUCACAUUGACUUGUGUAAACCUUUUUGUGUUCAUAUUCAAAGAGGGUAUGAGUAUUGGGUAUAUUUACAUAAUGCAUAUGAAAUUCAAUGCCUUGGAUAAAUUUGUAAAAUUUAAGGUAGAAUAAAAAAAUCAAUUAGGUGAACAUAUCAAGGCAUUUUAAUUUGAGUUAGGCAGUGUCUAUAUGUCUAGUAAGUUUGAUUCUCUUUUUAAGGAUCAUGGGACUAUGUCCAAUUGAGUGUACUCGAGGAUUCGUUGCAAAUGAAGUAGUAGAAAGAAGAAAUUGAACUUUGAUGGACAUAGUGAGAUCGAUGAUAAGUUUUUCGUCACUUCCCAUAUCCUUUUUGGGAUAUGUUUUAGAUAUAGUGUCAUAUCUCUUUUACUUAAGACCUUCAAGUCAUUACUUUUAACUCCUAGAGAAAUGUGGACAAGUCUUAAACUUAGUUUGCAAUAUUUUCGCAUGUUGGGUUGUCCAGCACAUGUGUUGAAAUCGAAGAUAAACAAAUUGAAAGUAAGGUAAGAGCUAUAUUAGUCCAUAGGUUAUCUAAGAAGAACUUGUAGGCUACUACUUUUAUAGUCAAGAUGAUAAUAAGGUAUUUAUUGGUACAAAUGUCCACUUCUAGAAGAAAACUAUAUCAUAAAUAAUAACAGAAAGAAUAUAUAAACUAGAGAAAACUAGAAGAUAAUCUCACAUUUGCACUAAAUUUAUGAUUAGCCAACCCAUUCAUUCCAUUCUUCCAAAGAGAAAGCAAUAGCCUCUAUUUCUUUGCCUCACAAGUGUGUAAGCACUCUACACAUAUGUUUUAUUUUUCCCAUAUUUAGUUAGAUACAUGAGCACUUUCUAAAUUUAUUUUAUAUAUACAUUUAUAUAAAGAGAGAGAGAUUUAUUAAAAACAUAGUCAUUCCUAUAGUUAAGAAUUAGAACUUUGAGAUUUACAAUUUAAUAAUACUUCGAGAUUCACACCAAAAAAGAAGACAAAAAAACACAGAACAAAACAAAAAGAUCAAAAUGAUUUACAUUACAAUGAAUGAAAAGUAUGAUAAUGAUGGGAAAGUACUUCUAUUUUAUUAUAAACAAGAAAUCCACAUUGGAUCAUGACCUUAAAAAGAAUAGCGGUAACACCCCAAAAUUUAAUCUAGGGGCAAACUAGUAAUUUAUAAAGUAAUUAAGUAAUUAAUUAAAUUCAUUAAAGGUGAAAGAGUCCUUUAACAAUUAAAAGUCCUAGGUAUAAAUUGGACUUUUCCUCUUAUCUUCUUCAUUCAGAAAACCCUAUCACCCAAAAGUAGAGAAUUGGAGAUCGUAUGGCUCAAAGGUUAGAGAUUCAAAGUUGAAGUUCAAGUUUUUCUAGGUAAGAUUCUAACCCUAAAUUAAUAUAUUAUAUUCGUUAAUUAGUUCUGAACAUGCUAGUUUUUCUUUGAAAAAAAAAUAAUUGAGAUUAGGGUUAGUUAUUUUUUUAGUUAAUUUUUUUAAUUUGUUUUGAUAUGAAAAUAUUGGAAAUUUAGGAUUAUUGGUGGUUCUAUUGUUAGAAAUUGGGAAAUCUUAAGUUUUUGAAAGAAAUAAAUAAAAAUGAUUCUUUGGAAGAUUGCGAUUUAGGCUAGGGUUAACCUAUUUAAAACUUUUAGGUCAAAAUAUUGAAAUUAGGAAUAUAGAUUGUUCUAUUGAUUAAAAUAGGUAAAUUCAAAAUUCUUAGAUGAAUAGAUCUAAGUAAUGAAUUUUUUUUUAAAAAAAUAAAAAUAAAUGAGUAAAUAAAUAUAUUGUUAUAUGUGGCUUAAGAGAUUAGAAAAUAUUAGGAAAAAAAAAGAGAAAGAAAGAGAAUGCAUGUGCAGAGGAGGAAGUUUUUUUAAAAAAAAAAAAAAAUUAGAAGAAUGCGUGCUUGUGGAAGAUGAAGAAUGGUGAAAAGAAAAAAAAUAGUAAUAUUAAUAAUAAAGGAAGAUGUGUAUGGAUGGUGUUUGGUGAUUAUAUAUAUUAUUAUGUUAGCAAUAAUGGAAAAUUAUUGGGGAUACAGUUUAUGUUUAGUGAAAAAAAAAAACUAAAAGUGAGAUAAUAGAAGUUAUCAAUAUAAUUAUACUAAUGAUGAGUGCAAGUUAAAAAGUAGCAGAAAAUUUAAUUAGUAGAACAAAUUAUAGUUUAAUUAAAUUAUGUUGUGUCCUAAGAAAUAAAUUGAAAAUAAAAUUUAAGUUUUAAAUGAAUUAGAAAUUUAUUAAUUUUUCUAAAAUAGGAAUAGAUUAAAUUAUCUUUCAUAAUUAAAAAAAUUUUAGGAUUGUCAAACCUAUAAUUUUAGAUAAAUAGUAAUGGUUAUUUCUCUUAUACUUUGUUAGGUGAAGAGUAGAUUUUCCAGAAUUAUUUUUCUCCCAAGUUUUUGAGGACUUCUUUUGAAGUAAGGGAAAUUAAUGCAUUUUUUUUUAGAAACAAAUUUUUAUAUAUAUCAUUUGGAAACGUUUUGAGUUAUUAUUCAUUUUAUGCAUGGAUCAAACAUGUUUUGCAUGAAAAGUAUGUCAGAACCUUACAUUUUGUUUACAAUAGAGAAAUGUGGAGAUAUUAUGUUUUGCAAAUUUGAAUAAUUGAAAUAAGUGUUUGACUUUGGUUUGUUUGGCCCUUGUCAACGAAAUAUAAUAGUUGACUUUUGACUUUUUUGCCCUUGUCAACGGGAUAUAAUAGUUGACAUUUACAUUUCUUGGUAGGGAAUCUAAUUGAUUUGGACCCCAACCUGUAGGGGUUUGGUUAGAGGUUACUAGUACUAGUAGUGUUUGGUUUUGUCCACCUGAAAGGAACAAUUUGAGGCUAGCCACCUAUUUGAGAAGUCCCACCUAACUGGGCACCAUUUGAUGUUUGAUAACUAGAGUAAAUAAAUGAUUUGAAUGUUUUGACUAAAUUUGACAUGAAAUUGUUUGAAUCAGAAAUGAAAGUGUACAGUUAAAAGUUUUGAAUGUAUUGGCACAACUGACUCAAAGGUUUAUGAAAAUAAUUAGUUAUAAUAUCUCCUAUUUUACAAGUGAACAUGAAAUAUUUGAUCCAUGAAAUUGUAUUAAUGUUCCUUAUUGAGCUUUGAGCUCAUUCCUAUUUGUUGAUUACUUUUCAGGUACCCUUAGUUCGGGUGAGAAGUGAUGGCUAGGUCAGGGAAUGGUCAUCAUUAGGAUUUUGCUUAGGAUGUUAUUUUUGGACAUUGUUAGCUUAUAAGUUUAUGUUCAUUUGGAUUAUUUGGUUUUUGGAAGCUAUUAAGAUAUUGAACUUUUAAAUUUUUUUAUGAUAGUUUGAAGUUGAGUUUUGGAGAUUAUGAAAAUUUUUGUUAGCACUUGAAUUGUUUGAGUUUGCAAUAUAUUUGGAUAAUGGACUUGGUUGUUGCAUGCUUAGUUUUAAAGUUAAGUUUUGAAGAUUUUAGAAUUUUGUUCCACUACUCUGAAUAGGUAUUUGGUAAUUGGUAACUUCCAAUUACAAGAUAAUUGUUUGGGUCAGGUUACACUUUAAGCCUUUGGGUUUGAGGUGUGAAAUGACUGUCACACCCUUGGAGUGGGUCUUGGGGCGUGAUAGAGUUGUAUCAAAGCACUAGGUUGUGAUCUUGAUGGGAACUUGCUUAGUUUACCUUUGGGAAUAGAUGAGUGACGCAUUAGUUUAAGUUUCAACUUCAUCUAGUCGGAUUCUUUUUAUUCCUUACAAUUCUGAUUUGCUUAUUUGGCUUCUUAACGACUAAUUUAGUUAUAUCUUUUGCUUGUUUGUUGGGUAUGCCGAUUGAUAACAUGGACUUUGAUUUAUUUGUUGCUACUCCUUUGGGAGAUUUUUUUUGUGGUUAAUAAAAUACUUAGAGAUUGUUAUGUGAUGAUUGGGUAUAGAAAGAUGACAGUUGACUUAGUACUUCUUGACCUCCAGGAUUUUGAUGUGAUUUUAUGGAUAGAUUGGUUAGCUUCAUACCAUGCAUCUGUUGAUUGUUUUAGGAAAAGAGUGACAUUUAGCAUUCCUGGUCAACUUGAUUUUAGUUGUGGGAGAAAGCAUGUGGAUAAACCAUUGCAUAUGAUCUUAGCCUUGCGAGCUAGUUCUUUGCUUAGGAAAGGUUGUCAAGGCUUUUUGGCUUAUGUUGUGAAUGAGGAAAAUGAUUUAAAGUUGGAAAACAUACCCAUUAUAUGGAACUAUCCUGAUGUCUUUCCAGAUGACCUACCUGGCUUGCCACUAGAGAGGUAGGUGGAGUUCACCAUUGAUUUGGCACUAGGGUCGACUCCUACCUCUAAGGCCCCUUAUAGGAUGGCACCUAUGGAACUUAAGGAGUUGAAGAUUCAACUUCAGGAGUUGUUAUAUAAGGGCUUCAUUAAGCCUAGCGUUUCACCUUGGGGAGCACCUAUUUUAUUUGUAAAGAAUAAGGAUGGAUCUAUGAGACUCUGCAUUAAUUAUAGAGAGUUGAAUAAAGUGAUGGUGAGAAACAAGUAUGCCCUCCUCGGAUUGAUGAUUUGUUUGAUCAACUUCAGGGUGCAUGUGUGUUCUCUAAGGUUGAUCUUUGGUCUGGUUAUCAUCAGUUAAGGGUUAGAAGUAAAGAUGUACCUAAGAUUGCUUUUCGAACUAGAUAUGGGCAUUAUGAGUUUUUGGUUAUGUUUUUUUGUUUGACUGAUGCACCUGCUGCUUUUAUGGACUUAAUGAAUAGGGUAUUCAAGCCCUAUCUAUAUCAGUUUGUGGUGGUUUUUAUAGAUGAUAUUUUGGUGUACUCAAAGAGUAGGGAGGAGCAUGAGAGCCAUUUGAGUAUUGUAUUACAGACUCUCAAAGAUAAGAAAUUGUAUGCUAAACUAAAGAAGUGUGAGUUCUAGUUAGACAAAGUCUCUUUCCUUAGGCAUAUGGUGACCAAGGAUGGCAUCUCUGUUGACCUUAGAAAGGUAGAUGUUGUGUCAAAUUGGAGGAGACCUAAUACUGUGACCGAGAUUCGAAGUUUCUUAGAACUGACUGGUUAUUAUAGGCGGUUUAUUGAGAGGUUCUCUAAGAUCGCCCUACCUCUGACCAGGUUGACUCAGAAAGGGGUUAAGUUUGAGUGGUCUAAUGAUUGUGAACAUAGUUUCCAAGAGUUAAAGAACAUAUUAGUGACAACUCCUAUUUUGACUAUUCCUUCAGGCUCAAGAGGGUUUGUGGUGUAUAGUGAUGUUUCUCGUCAAGGUUUGGGUUGUGUUCUUAUGCAAAAUGGGAAAGUUGUAGCUUAUGCUUCCAAAUAGUUGAAGCCUUAUCAACGAAAUUAUUCUACUCAUGAUUUGGAGCUAGCUGUAGUGGUUUUUGCUCUUAAGAUCUGGAGACGUUUUCUUUUUGGUGAAACUUGUGAGAGAUUCACAGAUCAUAAGAAUUUGAAGUAUUUAUUUUCCCAAAAUGAAUUGAACAUGAGACAUAAGAGGUGGAUUGAACUACUUAAAGACUAUGAUUGCAUUAUUCAGUAUCACCCAGGAAAGGCAAAUGCUGCAGUUGGUGCCUUGAGCAGGAAAUCUGUUGGUUCCUUAGCAGCUAUUAGAGGUUUUUAGAAGCAGUUAUUGGGAUAAUUGAGGAGUUUACAAGUCCAUAUAAGAUUUUUGGACUCGGGAGCUCUUGCAGUGAACUUUAGAGUGCAACCAAACUUGGUUGGGAGAAUUAAGACCCUAGAAAAGAAUGAUAUGCAAUUAGUGCAGCUUAUGGAGGAAGUUAAAAAGGGUAGUAAGCCUGACUUUGUCUUAUUAGAUGAUGGGGUGGGAUUUUGAGAUAUGGGACUAGACUUUGUGUCUCAAAUGAUGGAGAUUUAAGGAGAGAGCUAUUAGAGGAAGCUCAUUGUUCUAAGUUUGGAAUCCACCUAGGAGGGACGAAGAUGUAUAGAGAUUUAAAGCAAAAUUAUUGGUGGCCAGGUAUGAAGAGGGAUAUUGCAAGAUUUGUGGCUCAAUAUUUGGUGCGCCAACAGGUGAAAGCUGAGCAUCAACGACCAUUAGGAUCAUUACAACCACUUUUUAUUCCUGAAUGGAAAUAGGAACAUAUUACCAUGGACUUUGUGACAGGGUUGCCAAGAACCUUAAGGGGUAAUAAUCUUAUUUGGGUAAUUGUGGAUCGACUAACAAAGUCUGCUCAUUUUCUGCCUAUGAAAGUCAAUUUUUCUACGGAUCGCUUAGCUUCUCUUUAUAUUAAGGAGAUUGUGAGAAUGCAUAGUGUACCUGUUUCUAUAGCAUCUGACAGAGAUCCUCAUUUCAAUUCUAGAUUUUGGCAUAGUUUACAGAAAGCAUUAGAUACUAAGUUGAGUUUUAGUACUGCUUUUCAUCCGCAAAUUGAUGGUCUAUCAAAGAGGGUAAUUGAUUUGGACCCCAGCCUCUAGGGGUUUAGUUAGAGGUUACUAGUACUAGUAGUGUUUAGAUCUGUCCACCUUAAAAGAACAAUUUGAGGCUAGCUACCUAUUUGAAAAGUCCCACCUAAUAGGGCACCAUUUGAUGUUUGAUAACUAGAGUAAAUAAAUGAUUUGAAUGUUUUGACUGAAUUUGAUAUGAAAUUGUUUGAAUUAGAAAUGAAAGUGUACAGUUAAAAGUUUUGAAUGUAUUGGCAAAACUGCCUCAAAGGUUUAUGAAAAUAAUUAGUUAUAAUAUCUCCUAUUUUGCAAGUAAACAUGAAAUAUUUGAUCCAUGAAAUUGUAUUAAUGUUCCUUAUUGGGCUUUGAGCUCAUUCCUAUUUGUUGAUUACUUUUCAGGUACCCUUAGUUCGGGUGAGGAGUGAUGGCUAGGUCGGGGAAUGGUCAUCAUUAGGAUUUUGCUUAGGAUGUUAUUUUUGGACAUUGUUAGCUUAUAAGUUUAUGUUCAUUUGGAUUAUUUGGUUUUUGGAAGCUAUUAAGAUAUUGAACUUAAAUUUUUUUAUGAUAAUUUGAAGUUGAGUUUUGGAGAUUAUGAAAAUUUUUGUUAGCACUUGAAUUGUUUGAGUUUGCAAUCUAUUUGGAUAAUGGAUUUUGGUUAUUGGAUGCUUAGUUUUAAAGUUAAGUUUUGAAGAUUUUAGAAUUUUGUUCCACUACUCUGAACAAGUAUUUGGUAAUUGGUAACUUCCAGUUACAAGAUAAUUGUUUAGGUCAUGUUUACACUUUAAUCCUUUGGGUUUGAGGUGUGAAAUGACCAUCACGCCCUUGGAGUGGGUCUUGGGGCAUGACAAUACCUUUAUGAAGAGAACUUUGAAUUGUGUUGACCUUUCCAUGCUAAGAUGUUUGUAAAAGAUCAAUAUCAAAUAAAUAAUACAAAAGGACAUAUCUACAAUUAAUUGCAAUAUAUAUGAUGACUAAUUACAAUAUAUCUAAUGAUCUUACACAAAUUGGAAUUUAUCGAGGAUAUAAAUCAGUAAUUGAAACUUCAUUCACCGUAAAGUGGGUUGAGAUUCUCAUUUGAGAACUAUGCCCCGCUAUCUGUGUGCUACUUUGCAUUAAAAAUCCAGGUCGUGAGGGACUGGGAAGAGGGAGAUAAUAGCUGUUGAGCAUGGAAACAAUCAAUGCCAUUGUUGGCCUAUUAGCUACACUUUCUUGUACACAUAGUAACCCAAUGUGAAGGCAUCUUAUUAUUUCAUUUCUUAAAUUAGUCCCCAAAAUUGGAUCGACAAUAUCUACAACCCUCCCUUCAUUCCAAUGUCUCCAAGCCUGCAAGAAUUUAUAAAUUAGAAUAUUGGUUAGUACUCUGGAUUGUAAUUUCCUUUUUCAGGCGAUGAAGAAAUGUAUUUUGUCCAUGUGCAUACUUACAUAGGUUACAAGGUGCUCUAACUCCUCUCCAUUAUCAAAACAAAUCUUUUGGCCACUUACAAUUUCUAGAAUUAAUACGCCAAAACUAUAUACAUCCGACUUAGUAGAGAAGUGGCCUUGAUGUGCAUAUUCUGGAGCCAUAUAUCCACUGCAUAACAUGAUGAAUUAGACCUUAAUUCAAAUCCAUUGCCAAAAGAGGUCUUGAAGGUAAAGUUAUUUUCGAAGUACUCAAUAUAUGUUCUUUUACAUAGAAAAAAUGUCUCUCUAUUAUGCAUGCAAGAACUGUCCUAUUUCUUAAGACAAAUCAUUUUCUUUAACAUCAAUAACAAGAACAUCAUAAUAUUUAAUAUUCAAUAGCUUUGGAAUGAUUUACUUACUAGGUUCCUGCAAUUCGACUCGCAUUAGCAUGAGUUUCAUCCAUUGAAAACAACCUUGCCAUACCAAAAUCUGAAAUUUUAGGAUUCAUAUCUUCAUCUAGAAGGAUGUUGCUAGCUUUGAGAUCACAAUGGACUAUUCGAAGACGAGAAUCUUCAUGUAAGUAUAGAAGUCCACGUGCAAUGCCUUUUAUGAUUCUAUGACGCCUCUCCCAGUCCAAACAUACCCUAUUAGCAGGAUCUUGAUGUCCAUAUGUACAUACAAUAACGUAGAGCUCAAAUGAGUAGUGUUUACUCUACUAUUUAUAAGUCAACAGAAGCUUCGAAUUAGAAAUAGUUUCAAUAAAAGAAAAAAAAAAUGGAUUCUUACCAAAGAUGAAGUGAUCAAGGCUUGAAUUGGGCAGGAACUCAUAAAUGAGAAGUCUCUCCUCUCCGUCUAGGCAAAAACCUAGGAGUCUAAUCAAAUUCCUAUGUUGAAGUUUGGCCAAUAGUAGAACUUCAUUUUUAAACUCUGGUUCACCUUGAUCAGUUUUCUUUGAUAGCCUCUUCACCGCUAUUUCUUGUCCAUUUGAAAGUACUCCCUAAAUAUACAUAAGAUUAAGUCAAGAUUGAAAGUGAUAAGCUAAUGUAUGAGUUUGCAAAUAUAUUUUACCUUGUAAACAUCACCGAAUCCACCCCUUCCAAGCGUAUUACCAUUUGAAAAAUUGUUUGUUGCAACUUUAAUAGUAUUAAAGUUGAAUUGUAAGGAUUCCACACUUAUAAUUUCAUCAUCUUCGGUGAGAAGCUUUAUGAACUUACUUUCAACUUUCUCUUUGCGAUUCCACCUCACAAUGAACCGCCGUAGUCAGGACAAUUUUGGAUAUCUUACUCCUCUUUCCUGCACGAAUUUCACAAUUGUUUUGUUGAUUAAAAUUUAAUUCCGCCGUAGUCACGACGAUGCAUUAAUAGCAGUCCCUCCUUGCUGCUUUUAUCCUAAAUUCCUGAUCAAAUAGUGGAUGGAGUUCAAGAUAUUGUAUAGUGCAGGCAGCAAAAACUUGGGCACAUAUGUAUUCAUUGCCUUGAUAAAUUUAGAACACUGACCUUUUAACAGCACUCCUAAAGGAAACUUUAAAACAAGAGUGUUGAUAUCAUAAAAUUCAUGUCUUGUUUAUGCCAUAUGACUAUUGUAAGCAAGUAAAAUCAUCAACCAACUUAAUUUUUUAAAAGAAUUUUUAUUAAUUUUUUGAAUUUUAAAAGAGUAUACAACAUUAAGCUUGUUAAUAUAUAGCAUUGGCUUUGAGAAUGAAAUGUAGAGGAGUCAAAUUUCUUUACUAUAUAUAUAGCUUGUUAAUAUAUAGCUUGUUAAUAAAGCUUAUUCCACCUCAUCCUUGAUAGAGCAUAUUUGAAAGAAACUUUUCUUUACUAUAGUCACUCACAAGGAGUCAAAUCUGGCAUGAUAAACUUUUCUUUUACGUUUGUUUUUCUAUUAAUUAUUUAUUGCAACAACUUUAAAGAACAUUGAUUAUAUUGCAUUAAAUAAUUAAUUAUUUAGAUUUCAAAUAAAAAAAUAAAUCUCAUACUUUAUUAAAUUAUAUCAAUAUAUUAAAAAAUGGGAAAAAUAUUAAAAUAUUAAAAGAUUUUCUAAGAUUUUUUUAUUUUAAAAAAUACAUUUUUAAUUUAAUAAUGUAUUUUUUUUUCUUCUACAUUUCUAUAUAACGAUAAAAAAAGAUAAUAAGAGAGAAGAAAAAGUAAUUACCAGGAGCGAUGGUUGGGUUGGUUGGUGGCUGCGAAGAUGAAGUCGCAGGAGGAGACGAUGGCACUGUCGUUCCAUUGGUUUCGAAAAAGGGGCCUGAUUCAUAUCUUAUAGUGCAACUCGGUGCAAGAACUCUUCCACCCUCCCUCCAGCCACAGCACGUUGGAAUAUCACCUAAUGCAUUUCUCAAGCAAACAUUACAGAAAUGUUGAGAUAUAUCUGGAGUGCACUGCACCAAUCCAUACAAGUUCCUGAAAUCUGUUACUUUCACUUCUUCAAUAGCAAACAUGUCCUGAGGAGAUCCUGAGACGGCUCUUGUCACCAGCCUGUCCAUCAAAUCUCCCAAAAUCCUAUUAAACUCACCCGAGUCUGAGCGGAUAGCAGUUGGACUCUGUGCAGACCCUCUAGGCCUUUGUUCCAUGUAGGAGAAUAUGGCACGGUUGGCGUACCGCACCAUGCACACAUCAAACCAUAUGAUUGCCUCUUUCUGGUUUGGGCACCGAUUUACUAGGUCCUCACUGGCAGCCUUGACACAAUCUUGGCAUAGCUGGGGUUUGGUGUCCCCUCUGCAUAGGAAGAUGCCAUAAACCUUGUCAUCAGGGCUCAGGCCGGCAGUGGUGUUGUAAAACCGGUCGGGGCGGCUAGCAUUAGCAGACAGAGAAGAGAGGACGAUGUUAAGGCUAGUGGAGUAUGUGCUGUUGGCGCUGUAAUUACCCGAAGCUACACACGCAUGUUUUUUGAAAGUGAAUCGCACUUGAGCAGUACCGAUUGAAAGGUGAAUGGUGACGGCACAAAGGAAGAAGAGGAUAUUACAAAACCGGCCCAUUUAUGCCAUGGCAUGAUUUCAAAGGCAAUUUAUAGUUUGUUUCUGAUGAGAAUGGCCCCAGUUUUCCAUGUAAACCCUGGUUUGGUAGGUGAAGGUUUUAGUACGGUUGAAUCUGUUUCCGAAGACACACGGUGUCGUGAAAGUUUCAAAGAAAGCUAGGGUUGUGUUUUCAGUCAAAAGGCUCUCACAUAUUUUAGGUCAGGAAUAUUCUAUGCCUCCGCGUCUUUGAAAGGCUGUCAAGUCUGACUCUAAAUUUGGUGCGUUGAAUUGGUGUAAAAUCUGCAAAUUGGGAUUGAAAGCUCAAGGAAGCUGCCCUUCUUUCUUUACUUAAUAAAAUAUACCUAUGUUAUAGUUGUUGUAAUUAAAGCAAGGUAUAUUUCCUUGGUUUAUUUUUAAUAGAAUUGUUUGAUUAGAUUAGCACAGCCUAUUAAGUGAAAUUUAAUUUCAGUAUUAUAGCUGUAUCAAAAUUGAAGAAUGAUGCAAGGCAUGAAUUAACAUGCUUCCCCCCACAAUUUUGAGUUAUUACUUACAUCUACGUGCAUGGAUACGUCGGAAUCAACAGUAUUUAUCAAUAUUUACGCAAUUGUAUGCCCACGAUCAGUUAUAUUAUGACAUGUGAUGUAUUUCUCACACCAUUUAGAGAUAGAAUUGGGCUGAAAUCUCCAAGAAUGGAUGUAAUUAAUUAACAUCUCCACGAAGAUUUAUGAUCUUUGUCCAAAUAAAGUAUAGCUCUAUCAAGAGAAUAGUGAAAUACAACUAACAAUUCAUUACCUCAUAUAGAUCAUAAAAGAACAUGCCUACGAUUAGUCAUUCAUAUGAAAUGCAUUCUACAAAUGUUAUCUAGGAUCAAUCUCACUAAUUGAAUCUCCAUUUGUUGAGAAUUGGACUGAAUUUCUCUCCGAAUGAUCAACCUCAUUUAUAUGAGAAUUAUGCUCCAUCUUCUGUGUGGUACUAUGUGUCGUAGAGGAGCAGGAAGAGGGAAAGAGUAGCUAUUGAAUAUGGAAGCAAUUGAACUCAAAAGGGAAAACAAAACUUGACAUUGAACUCAAGAAACUUGGGGACAAAAUCCUUGUGGUCAAGUUUUUUGAUGGAUGUUAGAAAUACUGAACAAUUGUAUUGUAUUUCUUAGGAGAAAGAAUAUACAUCAGUGCCUUUAUAUAGGAGGCAUAUGUGUGCGGUACAAGUAACCUAACUGGGCCUAAAGCCCAUAACAUAAUAUACCCAUAUAAUAUACCCAUAAUAUACAUUAACAGCCCCCCUCAAACUCAAGGUGGAUGUGAGACCAACUUGAGGUUGUCAAUUAAAUCACGAGUGCGUCUUGUAGGAAGUGACUUGGUGAAGAUAUCUGCAAGCUGAUCUUUGGAGGAGACGAAGAAAAGCUUAAGAGCACCAUGGACAAGAUGAUAACGGAUAAAAUGACAAUCAAUCUCGAUGUGUUUAGUCCGUUCAUGAAAGACAUCAUUGUGAGCAAUAUGAAUGGCACUCUGGUUGUCACAAUAAAGGGGAGUAGCAGAGGAGGUGGACACACCCAAAUCCUUAAGAAGCCAUCUUAGCCAAAGGAGCUCAGAUGUGGUAUCAGCAAGGGCACGAUAUUCUGCUUUAGUACUGGAGCGGGCCACAAAAGUUUGUUUCUUACUUCUCCAAGAAAUCAAAGAAGAACCAAGAAGGAAGCAAUAACCUGUAGUGGACCUGCGAUCAAUAGGAUCUCCUGCCCAAUCAGCAUCAGAGAAUGCACGGAGUACAAGAGGAGAUUGAGCUGAGUAGAAAAGGCCAUGAAAAAUGGUACCCUUCAGGUAUCGAAGAAUGCGCAGAACAGCAACAUAGUGAGUUGAUCGUGGAGCAGACAAAUACUGGCUCACCUGAUGAACAGCAUAGGAGAUGUCUGGACGAGUAACUGUGAGACAAACUAAGCUGCCAACCAAUCGUCUGUAAAGAGAAGGAUUGGACAAUGGUUUCCCCCCGGAGGGUGUCAGAUGCGCAUUAAGUUCGACUGGAGUGUCAACAUUCUUACUGUCAGUGAGUCCGGCUUGAGACAGCAGAUCAGAAGCAUACUUGGCUUGAGUAAUAUAAAGACCAUCUGUGGAAUGAGUAAUUUCAAGACCCAGGAAAUAGCUGAGAUGUCCAAGAUCUUUCAUCUCAAACUGCUGACUGAGAAAAUCCUUGAGUUCUUGAAUGCCACUAAGGUCAUUACCAGUUAUGAUCAUAUCAUCCACAUAUAGAAGAAGCAAAAUAGUGCCUUUAUCAGUACGAUGAAGAAAUAAGGCAGAAUCAUACGGACUGGCAGUGUAACCCAAGCGAAAAAUAGUGGAGCUGAACUUGGCAAACCAAGCUCGUGGGGCUUGUUUAAGACCAUAAAGUGCACGUAGAAGAUGACAAACCUUGUUUGAUUCAACAGAGAGACCAGGAGGAGGUUGCAUAUAGACUACUUCACUCAGAUUCCCAUUAAGGAAGGCAUUUUUAACAUCCAUCUGAAAAAGGUCCCAUUGACGAGCAGCAGCAACAGCUAAGAGAGCACGAACAGAUGAGAUACGAGCAACUGGAGCAAAAGUCUCUUCAUAAUCAAUCCCAUAUUCCUGUGUAAAGCCUUUGGCAACAAGACGAGCCUUGUAGCGCUCAACGGAUCCAUCAGAGCGAGUCUUGAUCUUAUAGAUCCACUUACAACCAACCACAGACUAUCCAGGAGGGAGAGGAACCAGGUCCCAAGUAUGGUUUUUGGUUAAUGCAUCAAGUUCCUCUUUCAUAGCAAUCUGCCAUAAAGGGUCAGUAGAGGCCUCACGAUAGGUUUGAGGCUCGUGAAGUGUAGCAAGGCCAGUGUAGCAAUGAUAGUCAAGUAGGUGUGGAGGAAUGGAUCUUACCCGGGUUGAGUGGCGAGGUGGAAUGUCUUGUGGAGGAUCUUCAGGCAGAGUAGGAGCAGGGGACCCAGUCUCAAAGUGGGGUAGCUCGUCAUCAAUCUGUUCAUAUGCAACCUGUCUAGGAGAAGCAUCAAAAAUAUCUGGAGAGAAGUCCAAAGGAGGAUCAAAAGUAUUUGUAGAAGGAACAAGAGACUCAUCUGAAAAGAUUUCUAAAACAGAGGAGUUAGUCAAGGAAGAACGAAAGUGAGAGAGUUCAACAAACAAUCGAUGUUCCCAAAAGACAACAUUACGAGAAACACGAAGACGAUGAGAGACAGGAUCAUAACACCUAUACCCCUUUUGAGUUUCACCAUAACCAAGGAAACAACAGAGUCUAGAGCGAGGCUCGAGUUUGUUGUGCUCAUGAGACUGAAGAAGAAAAAAACAAGCAGAUCCAAAUGAGCGAAGGUGAUGAUAGACAGGGGGUGACCCAAAGAGAUGCUCAUACGGAGUCUGAUUAUGGAUGACAGCACUUGGAAUACGGUUAAUUGCAUGAACAGCAUGAAGAGCCGCUUCACCCCAAAAUGGGGCAGGAAUUUUGGCAGAAAGAAGCAAAGCACGAACAGUGUCAAGAAUAUGACGAAGUUUUCUUUCGACUCGACCAUUUUGCUGAGAGGUACCUGGACAAGUUAGAUGAUGUACAGUGCCAUAGGAAUGUAACAGAGCUUGAAACGCAUGUUGAGUAUAUUCAAGAGCAUUAUCAGAUCGAAAAGUUUUGAUACGUUUGGAGAAUUGUGUUUCAAUCAUUUUUGCAAAAUUGCUAUAUAUUGAUAAAAUUUCGGAACGAGAUUUCAUAGGGAAAAUCCAACUAUAACGAGAAUAAUCAUCAAUAAAAACAACAAAGUAUCGAGAUCCACCAAUACUAGCAACAGGAGAAGGUCCCCAAACAUCAGAAUGAAUUAACUCAAAAAUACUAUGAGAAAUGGAUUCACUGUUAUUAAAAGGCAAAGCUGGCUGUUUUCCUAUCUGACAAGAAGUACAAUAAAAAAUGUCUUUAGACACAGAACCCAACAGACCCCUAGACACUAACUGUUGUACCCGAGAAGAUGAUGCAUGACCAAGACGAGAAUGCCAAAGUGCAAAAGAAGGUAAGGAAGAAACUGCAGCAGCUGCAGUAGCAAUAGAAACAGGAGCAACAGGUGGAAGAUGAAGAUUGAUCACGGGAAACAUACGCCCAACUCUAGGACCGGUCCUAAGCUCCUGCCCCGUCCUCGGAUCCUGCACAAUACACCCAGAAUAGUAAAAAAUAAGGUGAUAACCUAGUUCAGCUAAUUGUCCCACAGAGAACAAAUUAUAGGAUAGGUCAGGAACAUGGAAGACUCCAGGAACAGAAAGAUUAGAGGUUGAAACAAAACCUAGACAAUUCCCAUGCAUGGUGGAACCAUCAGCUAUAUGAAUAUUUAGAGGAUGUGGUGCAGGGUCAAGUUUGGAGAAUAGGGAUGAGUGAGGUGUCAUGUGAUUGCAGCAGGCAGAAUCAAAAAACCAAGUUUGAGACUUACCAGGUAGAAUAGAUAAGGCAGUGGAAAGAGAUGCAUUACCAGCCAUACGAAUAGCCUGAGCUAUGAUCUCCUGUAGUUCAGUGGAGGAGAGGUUGAUAGUAGAUCCAGAAGACUUGGACUCAACUGAGGUGGAAGCCAUUGGCGGAGUAGGCUCAAUAUUAGCAAUAGCAGCAGUAGAUUUGUUACGACGGUAACAAGUCUCAAUGGUGUGGCCAGGACGCUUGCAAUAGUUGCAGAACUUUUUGUUGGUCUGCUUGCGACGAUUGCUAGAGCCAUAAGAAUCACCUGAUUGCUGGGGUUGCUCUAUGAGUGGAGUAGAUGGAGUAAUAGCCAAAACAUUGAACUUCUUCUGGGCUUGAAGGGUUGCAAGACGAGCUUCUUCUCUAACCAACUCAUUUACAGCAGUAUCAAGAGAGGGAGCAGGACUACGAUUGAGUAGCUGACCAUGAAUGGGCUCAAAGUCCUUGUGAAGUGACAUCAAGAAUUCAUAGAGGCGAAAUUCAUCUCUAAUGGAAGCAUAUUGCUGAGCAUCUUUUGAGCAUGUCCAAGUUGGAUCAGAAAGGUCAAUUUGGUCCCAAAUAAAGCGAAGCUGAUCAUAAUAGUCAUUGAUGGAUUGCCCUGGUUCUUGCCUGAGUUGAUGUAAUUCAACCACUAACUGAUAUUUCAGGGAUCCAUGAGUAGUGGAGUACCUUUUGGCCAACAUAUCCCAUGCAGAUUUUGCAUCAUCAAAGCUGCCCAUCAGAUUGGAAAUAGAGGGAAUGGAAGUGUUCCGAAUCCAUGUGAGGAUCAUGUGGUUAUGACUAUCCCAUUCAAUCAUGCGAUUAAGAAAAACAGCAUCUCCUUCACUUGCUCCCUUGACAGGAAUAGUCAUUACACCAGUACAAUAAUGCCAGAGCAUGCGACCCUUAAGAAAACUACGCAUAGCUUGAGACCAAGAUAAGUAAUUUUUAUUUCCCUCCAAUACAGUAUUGAUGGGGCGAGAAAGAAAAAUAUCCUUUUUAUCCAUUUAGAGACACAAUAUGCAAAAACAGACUGCAAAAGUGAAAUCUACGCGAAAAACUGGGUAAGGAAAACCUGGUCAACCCUGGAAAAGUCAACGCUGGUCAAAGUCAACGGUCAACGCCGGUCCACAUGUGAUCACGGUCAAAGGCAACGGUCAACGAUGGCAAAGUCAACGGAUGACGUGGAGAUGAUGUCAGCUAGGGCUAACGUGGCACUGACGCGUCAGUAGUGGUGACGUAGCUAGGGCUGACGUGGCAGAGAGAAUGACGUACGGGCUCCGAUGGCGACAAGGUUUCCACGAAUGUGUAGAUCGUCGCUGGACGAUCUCAGUGGUACCGUCAAAAUUGAAAUCGGAGCAAUAUUUGCAAUGGUGAUGCGAAAAACAGUGAUCUUGUGCGGUGUGAAACUCCUUAAGGACUGCAGGUCCGGAACCCAAGGACGACGCCUGGAUGACGUCGGAGGUUCAACAGCAAAAGGCUGCGAUGGCAGUUGUGAUUGGCGGAAGCGUUAAAAAGAAAGGAAGUCACACUAAUGAAGACAGACUGCUAAGAAAGGGUCAGAGCAGUGGCUCUAAUACCAUGUUAGAAAUACUGAACACUUGUAUUGUAUUUCUUAGGAGAAAGAAUAUACAUCAGUGCCUUUAUAUAGGAGGCAUAUGUGUGCGGUACAAGUAACCUAACUGGGCCUAAAGCCCAUAACAUAAUAUACCCAUAAUAUACAUUAACAAUGGAGAUGGGGGAUUGUAUUUUUGAGAGUUCAUAUUCUUAUUAAUUAAACAAGGAAAACUGUGAAGAGAAUCUCCAUAAACAUCCAAAGUUAUAAGAUAAAAAGCGAAGACUUAUGAUUUGAGGUGUAAAUAUAAGGAAUGAGAAAAAUUAAAUAUGUUAAAAGUUGUAUCUAUUUUUCUUUUUAAUUUUCUUUAUGGUAUAAUAAAAUAAUUUUCUUUCCUUUAUUGAAUAGUUAUGACCCACCUAACAUAUUAAAACCCAUAUGUUUCCUUGUGUAAAUGAUUUAUUUUCAUCUCUACAUUAUUAUACUAACAAAUGAAAUUGAAGCUUUUCCCCAACAUAACAUCAAGUUGUGACAUUCAUGAUCACAACCAAAAGGGGCCUCUCAAAGAGCUAGCUUAGACCUAUACAAAAUCUUUACUCAAGAAAAAGGUUUCCAACCGCUCCAUACAAGUAUGACCUCCUAGAAGAUUUGGUGACUUACCUCCCAAUAUACCAGUAUACAAACUUCUUCCACAAUUAGAGGCAGAAAAUCACCCUGGUAGAUGGCUAAGGUAAUAUAUAUAUAUAUACAUGAUGACUAAGAGUGUGUGUUUUUUAAAUUUUCUAUUGAAAGUAAUUUACUUUCAAAUUUUAAAUUGUUUGUUUUCAACUUUUUCAUUACUUAUUAUAAAUUUUCGAUUGAAUAAAAAAAAAAUCAAAAUAUUUGGUCUUUUUUAUAAAUGAAAAAAGUAAUAUAUUGAUUUUUCUUUACCUUUUAAUGUUUAAUUGAAAUAAAAUAUUAUAAAAACAAACAACCUAAUACUUAACAAUAUUAAGCAUUAUUUAAUUUUAAGUUCUAAUUAGAAUUAAGACAAAAAAAAAAACACCACCUAAGACAAAAAAUAUCAUAAUAAAUAGCUAAGGCAAAAACAUUGCCUUAAAAAUUGACAAAGGAAGAAAAUUGCUUUAGAUUAUUAAAAAAGAACUUAGGAAAAAUUCUUCAUUGAGAAAAAGUAAGGAGAAGAUGAAAAUUAAAAAAUUAAAAAAAUUAAAAAUAAAAAAGAAAUAAAAAAAGGGAUAAAAUAUAUACUAGCUAUGUAUAAAAGAAGAAGAAACCGGCAUUAUUACAGCUAUCAAAUAUAUACUGAAACUGUAUUUUUAAAAGAUGAUUUCUAAAAUUGGUAUUCAGACUGCAUUUUCAAGAUAGGAUUUCAUACUAAUUUACGAAAUAAUCUAGUAAUAAUAACAAAUAGGUCUAGUUUGGACAAUGGUUUCAAAAUUGACCCAAAAUCCACAUGACUCAUUGGUUAGUUAUUUUGUUUUUCUAAACUAUAAUAAAUUUCCAAUCAUUUUAAUUGAUAUGAUAUCCUAUUUUAUUUCUAAAAUUUAACGUCAUAAAAAAAAAAAAAGAGAAAAAAAAGAAAAGAAAGGAGUAUCAAAUAUGAAAUUUCAAAAGGCCAAAAAAAUUCCAAAUAGAAAUCCCUGAAUGGUCUUCUCAGGAGAUUCAUGCCACUCUUAAUCUAAAAGCAAGUAAUAUCGUUGAGAUGCAUACUAUUUCCAGUUGUGGCAUUGGUUGACGGAGGAAAACUAGGAGGAAAAUUAGUGGGAGAUGGUGAUGGAGCAUCAGGAAGUGGCUCAUAGAAGGGGUAGAUCUCAAACCGAAAGUUACAACUAGGGGCCACAACUUUCCCUCCUCUCUUCCCAUUCAUAUGCACAGGAAUAACCUUAAAAAUCUCAUCCAGACAGUCAAUGCAUUACUGCUCUGGUACAUCAGGACUGCACUGGACAACUGCAUAUAUAGUUUCAAAGUCGACUUGUUCUCCUGCUGCAUACUUUCGAAGAUUCCCACCUGAAGCUGAUUUGUUUUGUAGAUGGCGCAACAACUUUGUGAGCACCUGGUUGGACCCGUUCACGUCCCAGAAAUUUUCACUGUUGGGCUGUUGAAGAUGGGGAUGUAAUUCCCAAGUGCCAAAUAUGGAGCGGUUAGAGUAACGUAAUGUGCAAAUAUCGUAAUAUAUAAUUGCCUCCUUGCUGUUGGGACAUAGCCGUCUGAGUUCAUGGCUAGAGGUGUUCAUACAACUACGGCACUUAUCCGGUCGGAUGUCGCCUCUACAGAAUCCAAUUCCUUUGACUUCGCCAGCAGAAGAGUGGUAAAACCCGUAGUCAACCGUGGUAUUAGAGAAGGAGGUGAGUAGGGAACUGGUAGCUACUGCCGUUUGUGUAGUUGCCUCUCUCUGGAAGGCAGAAUGGGGUUAUGAGCUGGUGGGCAACAGUGGAAGGAACAAGGUUUAUGAGAAUGUAUGAAAUGAAGAAAAGCCGUCCCAGAGAAGCCAUUGCCAUUGUUGGACUUUGAUAAACUUCAAGAAGAGAGGUUAAGACUCUAUUCAAUCUUUAAAUAAUACAUAUGGGCAGGAGAAGAAAUGGAGCAAUGGGGCCCGGGUCAAAUGUUGCCUACUUUUCAAAGCAGGCGAAGGCAGCCGUCUUUAAGAAGCUGUGAAAAAGACGAUGUUAUUGAUGAGGUCCUAGUAGAAUAAAUUUUGGGCUGGAAAAAUUCAGCGUUGAACUAUUCUCAAUGCAGAGAACAAUUGGUGUAUGCAUUUAAUUUAUCACUAGUCCUAUCGCGAGCCAUAAAUUAUGAAAAUGGUUGUGAAGGUUCGUAGCCCAAUGAGAAGAGGGUAACCAAGGACAAAAUGAAAAUUCUAAAUGCAGGUCAACAUUAACAUUUGGAUCAAAAAGAAAGUUACCGGUAAUUUUCUUCUUAUUAUUAUUUUUUUUUUUAGUUUUCUUGGUUUUAUAUAGAUAUUUUCAUGAUUUAAAGGAGAUUAAUUAAAUUUCACUUAUGGAGAAAGGACCUAGAAUCUUUCAUGUAAGAAGAGACUAAAGUUCACUUAUGGGCAAAGUACUUAUUAUCUUCUGUAUUAAAAUAAAGGAGACUGUGAACAAAAAUGAAGUUGUAAAUAUUUUAAAAAAAUAAUCUCAAAAAAUUAAAAGUUGAAAAGAAGGAAUAUCAUGAAGUAACACAAAAUAACAAAACCUCAAAUUUUGGUUUUUUAAGCAAAUAUUGUCGUGAAUAUGUAAAUUCUUUCUCUCAUCCAUCACUUGUUAUUUGAUCAUCCCAAUGAUAAGUUAUACUCAAAUAAAUAAUUGUUUUAAAGAAUUUUGAACAAAGUCUUUGCAGAAGUCCUAAUUAAAUAAAGUCAAUUUUCUUAUUUGAAUUGUGAUAGAAUUAUUUUAGUAAUUACUAUGUAUUAAUAGUUUUAUCAGGUUGACAAUUUUAUUUAAUCAUGCAUUAUUCUGAUAUAACUUAUUUCUUUAUAUCUUAACCGUUUUGAUGAAGUUUAAGCUACUCAAAAGUAUGGAAAGUUCAAAUGAGGUAAGCAUGUGUUUGAACGUAGAAGACAAAGCAAUAUUAUUAAUUGAAAUUUAAAAAAAUUCAAAAGAUCAAAGAAAAAUGUCAAGAAUGGAAAGGGAGGUAGAGUGACCCUUAAACACCCUCCAUGUGAUGUUCAAACAUCAUCUUCUCAUUGUUUCAACCUUCCUCCCGUUGUUUCAAUCUUCUUAAGGUGAUGUUUGAAGACCUUGAUCUAGUUUGAAAGACCAACUUUGAGCAAUGCGGUUAGAACAUAUUGAGUUUUUGUAUGAAAAUUAUGGUUUUAAAAAUUUUAAAUUAUUUUUUUUGUAAUAUAUCUCUUCUCAAGUUUACUCAAAUUAAGAGUUUGUUUGAAUUGCUUUUUCAAAGUACUUUUAUUAUGAUAAGAAUUUUUAAAGAAAAAUUUGAGGUUUGACAAAAUUUAGAAAGUACUUUCAAAAAAAUUUAAAAAUCAUUUAUAAUACUUUUUAUAAAAACACUUGAUAGGAUUUUUCCCGCAACACUUUUUCGAGAACACUUUUACUAAACACACUUGAAAUAGUAACAUUAGUAAAUGCAUUCUAAAAGUUUGUUUGGUAGUAAUUUUAAAAAACACUUGUAACUUUUCUAAUACUUGAAAAAAUUUAUUAUUCAAGUAUUAAAAAAGACUAAAAACGUUCUCUAAAAUCAGUACUGGAGCAAACACACUCUAAGAGUCUACUUGACAAUGAUUUUAGGAAACGUUUUUCCCCUUUCUAAUACUUAAAAGAUAAAAAAUAUUAAGUAUUAGGAAUAUUAUAAACGUUUUUUAAAAUCACUUGUACGCACAAAUUUCGUAAAAUUUUAGUCCUGCAAAAUUAGCAAAACAAAUAGAAAAAUAAUGCAAACAAAAUAUUUAUUAAAAUUGAAAAUAUUGUGGAUACAAUCUCAAAAAAUAAUAUUUUUUUCCAAAAAUAAUAUUUUCCCUCUUAUUCUUUUGCCUUGAUCACACUUUGGAAGACGACAAUGACGUUUUCUGGAUUUCGAAGAUCAAUCGAGGGUCACAAGUGGCUUAUUCCCAAAUGACCUUGUUGAAUGGCGAAGAACGCAUGUAGCAGUUCUUUUACCGCUUACCAAACUUGUAGGAGAUUUGAUGAAGCAUUUUUUUUUUCUUUUGUUGUGAAGCCCAUUUUCCCAUACAAAGUUACCUUUGGAUUUUCUCUUAAGGAUUUUUCUUUCUGGAUUUUUUUUCCCUUCUUGAUAGAAAACACCUCUAUUUAUAAGUGUAGAUAGAGAAUUUAAAUUUCAAAUUCCCGAAUUUUAGUUUUUUCUUCUAGAGGUUUUACCAAGAUAAUAAUAAUAAUAAUAAUAAUAAUAAUAAUAAUAAUAAUAAUUUUCUUAUUAUUAUUAUUAUUAUCCUUUUUAUAGUUGGAGAUUAGGGAAACUUAUCCAUAAGAGGAUUUUUUUUUUAAAUUUAUUCAUUUUGAAUACCAAAUUAGUGGUAAUUUAAUCCACUAAAUUUUUUAUGUCUACAAAGGCCCCCACUUCAAGAUGCAUCACGUACAUGCAUUAUCAUGUGGAUGGGGUGAGCCUUGAAGUAAUUUGGUUUUUUUUUUCAAAUUUUUUUUUUCUUUCCCACUUUUUUUCCAAACUCGACUUCGUUAGAGCUAUUUUGAUCUUUGGGUGUUCUUCAACCCAACUUGAGAAACCCAACUUGAAUUCACUACGAGAAAUCUUCACCUCUUUAAAUUUGUAAGUUUUUUUUUGUUAUAUAUAUAUACACAUCAUGCCAUACCAAGACCAUGUAGUGGAUGGCAUAUCAAAUUCAAUGGAAACGUGCCACAAUGGUGUUGCCUUGAAACGUGAUCACCUGCAUAUAUAUAUAUAUAUAUAUAUAUAUAUAUAUAUAUAUAUAUAUAUAUAUAUAUAUAUAUUUGAGCUUCAAUUGGUGUAUGGAUGAAGAUUUAGUAUAUAUCCAUUUAUGUGAUCUCCUAAAAAGUGAAUGGAGAUUUUCUUUUAAUAUAUAUAACAUGCAUGGAAAAAGUCAACCUUCCAUAAGUGAUUUCCAUACAUAUUUAUAUAUAUGUUGACACGUGUUGUCCUUAAAUUAUUAUUUUUUCUAACAUUUUUUUUUAAAGGAAGAAAAAGACUUACCUUAUUCGAACACACAUCAGCCUUCAUCAUUUAUAGAGACGAAUUUGAUUUCAGGUAAUUUUAAUUAAUUAAUUAAUUAAAUUUUUUAAUUACUUUAAUAUUUGAGGGGAAUUUUUUUUUAAUAAAAUUAAAUAUCCAUAAACAAAUGAAUAUUUAAAAUUUGACCCUUGUGUAAUCAAGUCGUAGCCCUGACGCGGGGUGGUGUUGUAUUUUUGGCACGUAUGUGCUAAAGUCUUCACCCAUGCAAAUUGACUUGACUUGAAUGCAUAGUGGUGUUCAAGUUUUAGUAUUUAAUUAAAACCAGAAUAAUACUUGCUAUUUGUGCAAACAAGUUAUGGCCCUGAUGCUACGCAGUGUUGUAUUUUCGGCACUUAUGUGCUAAAGUCUUCGCUUAUGCAAAUUGGCUUGACUUAAAUGCAUAGUGAUAUUCAAGUUUAAUAUUUAAUUAAAAUUGGAAUAAUACUUGGUAUUUAUACAAACAAGUCAUAGCCUUGAUGCUAUGCGGUGUUGUAUUUUCGGAACUUAUGUGCUAAAGUCUUCACUCAUGCAAAUUGGCUUGACUUGAAUACAUAGUGAUAUUCAAGUUUUAAUAUUUAAUUAAAACCGGAAUAAUACUUGGUAUCUAUGCAAACAAGCUAUGGCCCUGAUGCUACACAGUGUUGUCUUUCCAACACUUAAUACGACUUGAAUGCUAAGGUCUUCACUCAUGUGAAUUGGCCUGACUUAAAUGCAUAGUGGCAUCUAAAAACUUAGUCCCAUAUUUUAUUCAUCUCUCUUUCUACCUCCCCCCCCCCCCCCCCCUUUUUUUUAUGUAGGAUGACGUUCUUCAAAUGUUUCAAAGAGAAGACCGUAACCAUUGUUGAGGAUGAUAGUGAAGAUUUUAAGGAAGGGACUACCUUGUUAGUGCAUAAGUCACUUAUUGACCUUCUAUCUUUGUCAAUGUCAGUGACAAAGGACCCAUUACACAUUUAUUCCUAGUCCCGAGUUGCAUCUUGCAAGCUUACAAAUAUCAGCAAUUCAAAACUUAAUAAGGUGAAACCUAUUUAUGAUGUUCUACUGCUGAAUUAUUCUCACCCAAAUACUACUGAAGUUCAUGAGGAAUUUGGAUUGUUAGGUUCUCGUGUUCGUGAUGGAGAAGCCAAAUGGGGAAGCUCAUUCAAAGUACUUGGGGAAUCUUUCUUUAUAGAAGGAUAUUGGGAAUGGGUUGAGGAGGUAUUGGGCCAGCAUGGACCAUUUCUUAAAGGAUGUAAGCUUUAUGAAGCUAUUUUUGCAUCCUUAUUCAAUUAUGAUCAUCAUGCCUCUGUGAUUAGGGCCUUUUGCGAACGUUGGUGUCCUACCACUAACACCUUGCACACCUCCAUUGGAGAGGUUUCCAUCUCUCUUUAUGACUUGUAUCGUAUUGUUGGACUACCCAUCAGUGGAUCUUUUUAUGAUGAGAUGGUACCGAGUGCGGAAGAGUUAUCUAAUGAUGCAACAAAAUCCUCACUCCCACCAAGUUGUCGAAACUUAUUCCUUGCAUAUCAUUGAAUUUGCUCUGAGACGAAAGGGAAGUCUUCAGUUAAGUUAGCCUCUUAGGUGUCAUUUUAGUACAAAAGUUCUAUGAAGUAUGCAAAACCUCAAAAAAAAAAAGUACAAGGAAUAAGGUAUAGAGGCCUAAGGAGACUCAUAACCACUCCGGGGAAAUUGAUCCUAUUAAAUCUCGUACUCAGUCAAAGAUGGAAGUUUUUGACAACCUUGGCGUAGCUAAGACAAAUGUUAACGAGACUUACUUGCCCACUUUCUUAGCAUGUUGGUUAUGUAAGUUUGUUCUUCCUUGGGGGGUGUCAAUUUGAUUCAUCUUGGAGUCUUUAAAGUAGCUAGUAGAAUGGCUCAAAGUAAGACAUUUAGCCUUGUUGUUCUAGUGUUGGCAAGAAUUUACAACGGCUUAAAUGAAAUCGCUUGUUCUUCAAAACCUGGGACUAAUGCAUCUAUUUUCCCUAUUCAUUACUUAUACGGAUGGUUAGGUGAAUAUUUUGACACCCAUUUCAUUUCUCCCUCCUAGAACCAUCCCCCAUGGAUGACUUAUUAUGCUUGCGAGUUUUCUACUAAGUAUUUUGAUGAUUUGCAAGCUUCAAGCUUUGAUAAUGUCUUGCAAAGGCGUAAAGUUAGACCACUUGGCAUCACGCCACAAGGAGCAUGUGCACUAGACUGAUAAUGAAUCUAUUAGUGUUACCAAAGCUUCUUAUCUCAUAAGUCUUCGCUCUAGCUAUUUAUUUUUGCUACAAGGUAACCAUCGAGUGAUCCAACCGUAUUAUCCUCAUCAGUUUUCUAGGCAAAUUGGGUAUCCUCAAGACCUUCCAGGGAGUUUGCAAGAGAUUUUUCGCAUUGGAACUUUAGAGGCAGUGUAUCAACAUUGGGAGUCAUGCACUAGGCUUGGUACCUACUCCAAAGUUACUAUACCAGAUUAUUAUAGUCUUGAAGAGUUUUUCAGUCACCAAAGCUUAUGCGGAUUGGUGGAUCAGAGUGCAUAAUCCUGGUAAGGAAAUUCUUACUACUGCUUGUAUAGAGCCCCCCCCCCCCUGAUUUUUCUUGGAAAAUACCCUCAAAAUCUUUAGAGAGUAGAACGUGCAAGGAUGACUCAAGUGUUUCUACUAAGGAAAAUGUUCAAGACAAUGUUGAGAGUGAUUUUGAUGAUUUACCUGAUGAUUCAAGAGCUUCUUUUAAUCAUUCAAUGGGUGGACAUCGAACUAAUACCUCUAUUCACUCAAAGCAUGAGGAAACUAUUUUCAAUGGUGGUAGUACUCACUGUCACAAGACUUUUAAGCAACAUAACAAUGCGCAGGGUCUUUAUGUAUCAGAUGACGACUCUGAAAAUACAAGUGAAUAUCACUCCAAACGCUAAAAGAUUAGACCUAACCCUGUGUACUAUGAUGAGACCAACUCUCAUCCUCUUGAUGCAGAUGUCUUCUUUGUUGGCGUCCCAACUUCUACUCAACUGAUAGAACUUGAAAGUGAAGAGGUAAUUUUUUUUUUUAGCAUUGAUACUAGCAAAAAUAAAUAUUUGCCUUAGGUGGCGGGUGACAACCAAUUUGUCGAUGAAGGAGAUGAGACCUCACCUAAGGAUUGGUUCGAAAAUGUUGUUGCUACUAAGGAGUCAACGCCCUUUACAUUGACUAUGCAACGAGAUAAUCACUCUACCAUCUCAUUACCUUUGCCUUAUUCUCGUUUAGGUGAUGAAGGUAUUACUAACAUCUUAAGUGAUGUUCUGAUUGAAUCUCAAGGUCAAAAGACCAUAAUUUGAGAUACAACAUAUGAUGAAUUGACACUUUUAGCAGUUGCAGGUUUAAUUGCUCAACAACAAAUGACACUCAAGGCCAAGGACACCACCACCUUGCCAUGGUGGUGGUUAGGGACAAAGACAUCUCUGGGCAAGGAGCAGAGGAGUGGUGGGUGAGCAAAAAAGUGGGUGAAAGCUAGAUUGAAAAAGAGGCUAGGAUUGUAAGGCUGGACGGGCGCAUGUGAGAGUAGGGUUCUGAGGACGUUUUAGGGAGAUUAAAGGAGCACUUUCAGGUACCUUUUCCAUGCAAAUUUCUUAUUCACUUUCUUCAUUACUCUGUUCUUCAUUCUCUUUAGUUGAUUUCAGCAUGACCUGGAUUUCCAUUUAAUGGGCCGUUUCGAUUAUCUUUCUUGAUCUUAGUUGUACUCUGUUCUAAGUUGUUCAUUAAUCUGCAUUUGGUAUUUUUUUACCUUCAUCUUUAUGUAUUAUCAAUCCAUGUGCAUGCUUUGGGUCACUCUGUUUUUGCCUUGUGGGUAUUUUCUCCUGUGUUUUGGGCAUAAGCGAGGUACAAAGUUGCGGGUUUGUUGUGCUGAAAGCCAAACACCCUCAAAUGAAAGGUUCUUGUUUUUAACUGGAACUAAUUACAGUAAAGGGGACUUGAUCGCCAUGAGAGAAGUGAAGAAGAAGAUUCGCUCAUUAUAUCACUCACCCUGGCCCGCACAAAAUCAAGCUAUUCAGCGACCAUAGUUCAAAGUCGCAGUAUCGAUCAUUGACUCGGGAGGUCCUGAGGCACAUUAGUCUCGGUAUCUCGGAUCGAUAUCGGGUGAUACACAAAAAAGUUAUAAUUUAAGAGCUCAAAAUAAUUUUAAAAAAUUAUGAAAAUUAUUAUAAAAAAUUAAAUACAAAUAAGUAGAGUAAAAAAUUAACAAAAUAAACUUCUAUUAUAUUAAAAUUAUUCAAAUUAUAAUAAAAGCAUACUUUUGGGAUGAUUUAUAAUAAUAUUAAAAAUAUCUAAAAAUAUUUUAAUUUAAUCACUUGAUAAUAAAUAUUUCUUAUUAAAAAUGAAAAUAAUAAAAAGUACAUUUUUUAAUUAAAAAAUUGUUUAAAUUAAAUAUUUUGAUUUAAAAAAAAAUAUUUUCAAUUAUUAAAAAGAUUAAACCAUGAUUCAUCUUUAAAAAAAUAAAUAGAAUUUUUCUUAUAAAAUACAUUCAUUAAUUUUAAUUUUUAUAUAAAUAUUCAUUUUCUAUUUAUUUGAUAUAAGUCUACUAUUUAUUAUUCAUUUUUUUAUCAUUAUAAUUUUCAUAAAAUUAUUUAAAACCCAAAUCCCCACCAAAUACUCAUUAUCUACUUAGAAAACAAAUACAUAUUAUUUAAAACCCAAAUCCUCAUCUCUGUUAGAUACCCAUAACCCCCAUCUACCGGUUAAACACCUAUCUCUCUCAAGAUACCCAUUUCUCCUCUAAACCCAAAUAGCUUGAAAAAUCAACAUCAAACAUAGCAGGAGAGCCUGUCAUAGAGUAAUGACCAAUGGAUCGCUUUGAACUGAUAGUUUUAUUAAUAAAAGUUUGGUAAUAUUGUAUUUAACUCUAGGAAAUGAAGCACGUGUGAAUUUAAGACAAAAAUUAAAUUCUCAUAUAUACCUUGUGCUUAGAAAUAGCAAUAGCUACCUCCCAAUUUCUGAAAACAAAGAAGUUUGAAAUUUUACAGUGACAAUAGAGAGAAAAGGUUGGGUGUAAGAGCUAGGUCUUUUGCACUUCUCUCUACAAUUCAAAUUCAUUUCUAAAUAUCUACCCGGUAGGAAUCCUCUAAUGGCUUCCCCAUUAUCUUCAUCGGUUCCGAUCAUUCUAAGUUUCACACUCUCUACAUGCUGUUUCUUAUUCUUUGUGUGAAUCGAUGCCUAGGGCUUCAAUUCGGCUUUCUCUAUUUUGCUUCUCUCUCAAGAUAUCCAUUACUCCUCUAAACCCAAAGGAUGAAGAUGCAAAUAGGGAUGUAGAUGCAGGGUUUUAACUCUCUAUAUUUUUCAUUUUCGUGGGUUUUGAUCCUCUCAUCUUCUCCACCAUUUCUACUCCAAUAUUACCUUUUUUUCCAUUACCAAUUACCCAAAUGGCUUAAUCUCAACAUGAUGUUGGAGUUGUCUCAAAGUUUCCAUGGGAUUCACUCCGAGACUGUUCAUUUAUCUUCAAUUCAACCGAGUUUGUUCACAAGUUGAUAAAAUAUCCAACUAGGGUAUCGAUCAGGUACCAGCCAUGGUUGAGGUGGAUACGACUCGACCAAGUCGUAUUAGUCUUGACUGAGAUUUUGAACCCUAGCAACGACCGCCAUCUAGGCUAAACCGGCUUGGUCCCAUUGCACCUUCAUCACAGCCAAUUCCCAUGCCUUCUGCCACCUUGCAAACCCACCAUUUCUUCAACCUUACCCCACUCAUUUCAUACCCAUCACACCCAUGUUGUCGCACCCACACCGCUAUAUACCUCUUUCUCAUCACCACCGUCCAUCGUCCACCAUCACCACCUCUACCAAAUCAUUUUCAUUAUUCAUAAGAGCACUUUCCAUGGCCAUGGAAGCCCAAUGUGGCUAGACCACACCAGAUUGCCACAGUGAGGUGUAUGACGAACCAGGAAGGAGAGAAAAUGAUGGUCGGACAGGUAAGGAGAGAGAGCUUGUUGAUAUGUUUCUCACCGAUAAGGUUUGCAGUUCGCUGUUCUUCCGGAGGCGGCUCUCGGCGCCAAACACCAUCUCAUCAUGCAUCCCGCCACAUGCUACCCCUGCUCUGGUGGCUGUUGUCGCACCAAAAGCGACUACUUCUCCAGCUCCUCCUCCCAUUCCGGUAUCAACCGGUUCAUGGCACUGUUUUUCGCCCCUCUGCUUUCAUUCUACUUCAUCUCCCCCAUUCCCAUGCCUUCAUUUGCCUGCCUAUGCCACAAUUAAAAAAUUGUUGUUUUCAUUCCACUUCUCCAUUCCCUCACUGCCAUCAUCAACGUGCAUUGGGUUUUGAUCUCCACAGUUGAUAUUUUGAGCUUUGGGUUUUUUUUGGUGGACUCUCAAGGCAUUGAGUUGCGAUUUAAUUUUGGGCCUAAAUUGGUUCAUGUGGGCUUUAAGCUCCAUUUAUUGAGUUUAGGCUUCAUUUGGGUUUUAUAUGAUUGGGCUUUAUAGAAGGUUACUUAGCAUGCAUAUUGAUUUUUAUUGCUCUGAGCCUUUGUUUGUUUGGUGUAGACCCCAACGGGCCAAGUGUUUGGCCCUCUUAAUUCUUCAUCUUUUAAUGUUAAAAAUUAAUUUUUUUUUUAAUAAAAAUUCUAUUCUAAAAUAACCUUCCAAAAUUCACAUUUUUGAAUUCCAAUUUUCAAAACUUUCAUUUUCAAAUACUUUUCCAAAAUUCCAAUCUUUAAAUAAUUUUUCAAAAUUCCAAUUUCUUUCAAAUUUAAUUUCCAAAACUCCAAUUCUAAAAUUUAAUUUUCAAAAUUCUAAUUUCUUACAAAUUUAAUUUUCCCAACUUUAAUUUUCAAAACUCUCAUUUUCAAAUAAUUUUUCGAAAUUUCAAUUUUCAAAUUUAAUUCUUAGGACUCCCAUUUCCAAAUAUUUUUCUUGAAAUUCCAACUUUUAAAUUUAAUUUUCGAGACUUCAAUUUUCAAAACUCCAAUUUUCACAUUUGAUCUUCAAAACUUCAGAUUUCAAAUAAUUUUAAUUCCACUUCGUUUUUUUAAAAGUAAUUUUAAGUCUUCAAUUUUCGUCUUUCAUUAGGGUUUUAAGUUACUAAAAAUCCCAUUUUUUUUAAAUAAACUUGCUACCUUUCCUUUAAGGUAAGCACUUUCACAAAUUUUCUUUGAUUUUAAAAUAAUUUUUCAUUUUCCUUGAUUUUUAAUAAGCAUGAAGACAAUUUUCAUGAUUCCAAAAUAAUGGAAUUUAUAGGAUUAAUUCAUGCAAAAUAAAUUGGGCUUUGGUGGGGGCCUUACAUAUGAGUUCUGUCUUCUUAUUGUCAACUGUUAUGCUUAAUGAAUAUUGUUUGACUGUCUUUUCCAAAUAAGGAGUCAUACUUAGGGUUUUCUUUCUUAUUUUAUUUUCCCUUAAAAAUAAAACAAAAAUAAAAAGCGAGUUGCUCCAUCGAGUGGGAACGCAUCGAGCAAAAUGCGGGGUCCACACCAACCUAUAUAUAUAUACUUUUAAAAUUAAAAAGGUAUUAUUUUAAAUCUUAGAAACAAAAUAAAUUUGAAGAUAAAGAUUCAAUUAAUUAAGGGAAGAUACGAUAAAUAAUUCUAAUGGUUUAAUCUUACGUCAACUAAGGAAACUUUUCUCCUAAAUCACUUCUAUAUUUCAAAAAAUAUUAACUUCUCAUCAAUUUCAUGCUUUGGAUGGUUAUGGCAUCCUUAGUAAAGUUACAUCAGUAGCACUAGUAGUAAUAGUAAUGGUAAUAAUAUCUUUGAUGUAAUUACAAUAGUAUAAUAAUAAUAAUAAUAAUAAUAAUAACUAUAAUGAUAAUGAUAAUAAUAAUAACAAUAAUAGUAAUAACUAAUGAUAAUAAUAAAAUGGUAAUGAUAAUUAUAAUGUCUUGUUAUUCUUAAUAAACAUAUUAUAUUUAUUUUUGCUAAUAAAUAUUUACCCUUCUUUUUUUCAAAAAAAAAAAAAUAGUAAUUGUUUCUUCUAUAAAAUUUCACACUUUUUUGUCUUGUGAUGCUUAAAUACAUCCCUUAGAAAGCAUGGGAAUGCUUAAAUACACUUUUGAAAAAUCUUAAAAUUUAAUGAAACAAAAAAUUCCCACUUUUUAAAAUUUUAAAAAGGCUUUUACAAACACUUUUGGUAUAAUAGUUACUAUAUUUUGUAUAUUAAUUAAUAUUUUUAAAAGUAAAAAAAUAAAAAUAACAAGUGUAUUAAAAUGAAGCAAGUAGACAUCCAGGCCAGAUAACCGCAUGCAUGCGAUUAGUUUCUAUCUAAGACUUAACCCGUAUAACAAAAUAUUUUCAAGUUUAAGAAUAGAUUUGUAAAGUUGAAAAUGUUUUUAAGAAAAUUUAAGGUUUUUCUUGAAAGACUUAAGGUUCAAAGAGGUCUCCUUGAUUGGGUAGCUUAAGUCAUCCUUAUGUGGAGAACAAGUACUUGAAAUACAUGCAAAAUCAAUCAAAUAAAACCUAACUAGGAUCUUUGUGAAAAAUCCAAGAUCUUCUUUCACCUUUCCCUUGAAUCUUGCAAUUUGCUUCCUAAAUGGAUUCUUGUAGCAUAUAAAAUGAUAUAACUCUUUUGAAACUAUGUUUAACCUUUGCUUUAUUAUUAACAAAAUUAGGUUUACACAACCCAUGGGCCUAACAGUAUCCCUUUUUUGAUGAUGGUAAAACUUAGGUUACAAAUAAACUCUCCUUCAAACUAUGCUUAUAGUUAAUUUUAGAUAGAAUACGUUUUAAGCAAUAGGAGAAUACUAAGGAGGCUCUUAAGAUAUGGAAUAAAAUUAAAGUACCCAGCAAGAUGAUAAAACUACAUCCAUACGUUUCAUUAUCAUGCAUUUUUAACCAAAUUAGCCUAGCUUCAUAUAAAGAUAUAUCAUUGCUUCCAUAUGCAUACAUAGAAAAACAUGCAAAUGAUAGCAACCCAAUCCCAGAACACGGAAGGCCCCUUUUGUAUAUAUAUUCAAACUAUUGCACCUUUAACAUUAAAAGAAUAAAGGGGAAAAAAAAAAAAAACUAAUUGUUCAGAUUAUAGUAAUAUAAAUUUAAAAAAUAUAUAUAUAACUAUUCACUGUACUCUUUAUUAAUGGUCAUGAAAAAGAAUUAAAAGAUGUUAACAACCAACAUUAUUUUUUCUUUAUAUUAUUAUUAUUAUUAUUAUUUUUUCAUAUUUCCACCAUGAUAUAAAGAAAUAUAAAACCUCAAUUAACCAUUGCCAGCCAAAUAAGGACUAUGCUGUUGGUUAUAAAAAAGAGCUGAAGAGAGAUAAAUAGUUAGCCCAAAAGGAGUUGAAAAACUUCAUUCACAUUACAAUGACAUUAAGAAAUGGAUUCUAGAUAUGAAAAGUUACGAUGGUUUUAAUAUUAUUAAUAAGUUCUCAAUCAGAAAGUUUAUUAAAACUUGAUUAUGGUUGAGUAUAAAACCAAAGUUCAAAAUAGCCAAAACGUUACAAAGAUAGCCACGACAGCAACAAAACUCAUCAUCUAAUGCUACGUAUUCCCCAAAGUUUUUACAUCACAAGCACAUUACAUUGGAUAACUGCAUUGAGAUUCUUAGUAACAGAGACCAUACCAGAUAUAAGGAGCCAUGUCAUUGGGCUAUUAUGGCUGAGGAGGAGGAGGAGGUGGUGGUGGUGGUGGUGGUGGUGGUGGUGGUGGUGGUGUUGGUUGUGAUGAUGGAGGAGGAGGAGGAAGAGGAACUGACAGAAAAACUUGGCGUACAUUGACAGUAGGGUGGCUUUCAUUCCACUGAACCUGCAUGGGAGAUAUUGAGCUCGAGAUUAGGACUUGCCAACUUAUAAAAAACAGAAAAUUCAGAGCAACAAGAGAAUGGUAUUUUUCUUACAACAUAAACAGCAUUGUGGGAGGGCCUACCAGUUUCCUUGACCCAUGCAUUCAGAUUGAGUUCAAGGAAAAGAACAAAAAUAUCAUAUAAAGGAUGGGAACUGUGAUGAAAAGAAUUCAAUAUGGGAAUGUACCUGUAAUUAGCAUACACGUUGGAUAAAUUUGAAAGCAACAACUUCCAAGUGAAAUUCAGUUUCAGAUUCUUGACCAAGAAACCGAGAGAGAAACAGUUAUGGAUCGUAGUUGUCAUCACAGCUAAUUGAUGAUGAACAAGACUGAGAAGAAAUUGUUGAAUGUGAAAUCAACAACACCCAAGUUAUCAGAUUCUUGAAAGUUAGCAAACUUGAAUUUAAUUUUCUGGAGAAUGUGAGGCCGAAAGUGAGAGAAAGUGAUAGAGAGACAGUUACGAUUCCUAAAUAUGAAACAAACAAAUGAACUUGAAAUGGAUAUCUAGAGAGAGAAAGAAAGAAAGAGGGAAGAAAGAGUUCAGAGAAUUUUAGCGAUUCAUGAAUAAAAAGACCAAGAAAUUGUUGAAUGUGAAAUCAAUAACUUCCAAAUUAUAAGAUUGUGUCAGAUUCGUGAAAGCCAGCAAGUUGAAUUUUCUAGCGAAAGUGAGAGAAAGCGAGAGUUUGUUAUUGGUUUGAAAGAGAGACAGUUAUGAAUGUGAAAGAGUAGUAGAAAUCAGAUUACUUCCGGGGCCACAAUUAAGGCCACAGCAUGCCGGAAUAAACUACUCGAUUAAGGUCUAGGUGAGAGUUCCUAACCAGAUUACCCUUUUUAAAAAAAAUAAUAAUAAUAAUAAGAAGUAAUUUUUUAAUAAAAUUUCACACUUUUUACCAAAAAAAAAAAAAAAAGAAUAUUUGUUAAAAGCUUUAUUAAAUAAAUUAAAGAAAAUAUAACAAAAAGAAUUCCUAGAAUUAGCUAGGACAACUAGUGGUACUUAGUACAUUGAAAAGAGAAAAUACAUACUUGGGCACUUGAAAACACUUCUGAAAAUUCUUAAAAUUUAAUGAAGUUGUUAUAACUAGGAACAAACCAGAAAUCUUAUAUGAAAAAGAGUCAAGAGAACUAAACAAAGAAUUUCUUUUCGUAUAUAACUAUUGGAAUAAUAAAUGUAAUAAAUGGGGCAAAUGGAAGAGAGGAAAGGGGAAAAGGUGGUGGUCACCACCACAUGUUGAAUUUAUUUAUUAAUGCAUUUAUAACACGUUCCCUUGAAUUUCUACCACGCUAUGAUGAAUAUGUGUUAUUAAAACCUAAUAUUUGGUAUCAAUGACAAGCCGCACAAUGCUUUUGUGUAUCCUUAAAAUAUUAUUGUUCAAGACAAUCGAUAUUGAAAAUUUUGGCUAUCAUUUUUAGGACAAAUGUCUAUUAUAAGAUUUCUCAAGGGAAAAGGCAAGCACAGUAGGAAUAUUCUUUUUCAAUAACCAUUGUUUAAGGAUUCAACUUGGGAAAUAUUUGAAAAGGUACGGAUUGCCGCAACAAAAAUUUCUAAGAACAACCUUUUGCUAGGAGUCUUAAGCAUUCCACUCUUGAGACACUUUGCUCAAUGCUAAGUAGUUCACAAUAUUUGCAAGCCAUGGGAUAACUGUUGUAACUAGCAAUUUCUCAUUCAAGAAGUUGACUUAAUUGAGAACCAAUUCCUCUUUAUCGUCAAAAUUCAAUCGAUGUGGACGGCCAACUACUACAUUUUCUACCUCCUUCUUGUCCUUAUUUUGAAGCUCAAAAAUUAUAGUAGUAGUACCCAAUGAAUCAAUCUUGUUUUAGCAUCUCUCUCAACUAGCAAGUAUUUUAAGGCACAAUGACCCAUGUACACCACUGUUGGGAACCUUAUGAGGUAAACUCUAAUUUGUUAAGGGCAAACACAAUGGCUAGGAUCUCUUUUCCAAUAGUGAUGUCAUUCAUAUGUGUACUAUAAAGAGUAGUGUUGGUGCAUGACAUAUGGCUUUUUGUCUUUCUAUUGCUCUAAGACAACCUAAUGGAAAAAUCACUUGCAUUGCACAUCAACUAAAAUAGUAAACUCCAAUUGAGGGGUUGUAUAAUAGGUAUUGAAAUAUGUUUUUCAUUCAUCUAUUCAUUUGUCUCUUAACACUUUUUAGUCCAUUCAAAUGCUUGCCUAACAAACAUCUUGGGUGAACCUCCUAUAAAAUCCUACAUGUCCUUGAAAUGAUUUAAAGAACACUACCACAAAAAAGACAUAUAAUGGCACUUUCUUUCUUGACCCUUUUAAAAAACGUCAAUAAUUAGCAUGACUGAUAACAUAUCUUGGCACUCGUUAAAUAACCGGUUAGUAAUGGCACUUUGUAGGGGAGAAAUGAUGCUUCUAUUCUAUGGCACUUGUUACAAGCAUCAUUGAUUGACAAAUUCUUAAAGACCUUGGCGCUGUAUUUAAGUGUAAUGAAAUAAGCCAUUAAACAAUAUCAAAAAAGCGCCAUACUCUAAAAUAAUAUAUAAACCCAUAUUUCUGCCAAAUAGAUGGUUCCCUCUAAAAUUUCAUUCUAACAAUUGCCACACUGCCUGAAAAUCUGCAAAUGCUAAACAUUGCCCUAAGCCUCUUCUUUGUCUAUACUCCUCAGAAACAUUUUCUAACCUUAAAACAGAGAAGUUGAAAUCCACUACCAAUCAACGUGUUAGCAACAACAUCAAACAUUUUUUAAGCUUAAAAUAACGAAGCCAAAGGUAACUCUCUCUUUAGCUCUGUUUUAAAGGUCUAUUUUAGGUUAGGGUUUGUAUCAUAAUUGCUUUGCUUGCUUGUAUUUUGUUUUUGUUUUUUGUUUUUUGUUUUACUCUUUUGAUUUGUUGUUUAUGAAAUCAAUCUCUUCUUUGUCUACACUCUUCAACAACAUUUUCUAACCCUAAAUAGAAGCUAAAAUCCACCACCAGCCAUCGUGUUAGAAACAACAUCAAACAUUUUCUAAGCUCAAAGUAGCAAAGCUAGAGGUAACUCUCUCCUUAGCUCUAUUUUAAAGGUUCAUAUUAAGUUAGGGUGUGUAUCACGAUUGCUUUCCAUGUCUGUAUUUUGUUUUUUUUUUGUUUUUGUUUUUGUUUUUCUUGUUUUGUUUUUCUUUUUUUUUUUUUUUUUGUUUUUAUUUUGAAGAUAGUUUGAGAAAUACAUUGGAGAACAGAGCAUCUAGGAGCUAGGUCAGAUUUAAUGAUAAUGCAGUUCUAGGACCUAUAUGAAAAUUCACAUGAAAAAAUGGAACAGCUUUCCCUACACCGCAUUUAUCCUUUCUACAUAUUCUUUUAUUUUUCUUUUACAUAUAUAAUAUAUUUUCAAUAAAAAAAUGCUCAGAAUUUCUUUGGGCAAAUUACAUAAAAAAAGUGGCAGAACAAUUGUGAGAAUUGAAAACAGCUAUUGAGAAAAAAAAAAAAAACACUAUAUGAUGUAUGUAUUUCAUAGAGCAAUCAUCAAUAUACAAUACAAUUUGCAACAAUUCCACCCUCAUGUAUAUGUCUUCAUACAAAAAUUCCAUGUAAUGAAUCUCCCCUCCACUGUCUUCAUCACUAAGAGGAUGAUCAAAACCUUCAUAAAUAUCUUCUUCCUCAGUUGGUCCCCAACAGCUCAAGUACAUGACAGUCCUCAGAGACUCUUAACUGCUUGGCCUUCUCCUCUCUCACUCUGCCAAAAGCCAUGGUGGAAGAGGAAGACGAGAGCUUCUUGGUAUGAGAAAAGGAUCUAAGGUUGUUCUUGGCAUGCUGGUGAAUAGAUCUCAUUGUGUAGUUCCAUCUGCUGAAGCCCUAGUCCUUGAGUGCCUCCACUGCUCCCACGCUUGCUGCCACUAUCCAAGCUUUGCCCAUAUGACUCAUCUUCUUGAUUUUCUUUCUCCAAAACUCAAACAACAAUCAACAAUAAAAAGACCUGAUUUUGAGUAGUGAAUGGGAUAUCGAAGAUCUCUCUAUAAAUCAAGUGUUUUGUGUUGUGAUGAAGAAGAUGAAGUGAAGGUGGGUUGGUUAUAUAGCAAGAGAUGGGUCUGGGUUUGGUGCCCAAAGUUUUGGGAAAACCAGAGGUUGUGGCCAGCAGUUUUCAUAGCUUUGUUUGGAUUGAAAUGGAAUGACUACUUUGUCCUUAGAUUUGUAAGAUUGACCACUGAUUCAUGUGGGUAUAAUUGGGUAUUCACCUACAUAGCUGGUCCUUAGUGUAAGUGUAGGGGCAGCCCAUUGUUUGGUUUGUGAAUCCACUUAACACCCAGGGUAAGGAGGAUGAAACCACUGUUUUCCAAUGGGGCAAUGUAUAGGGCCGGAUUUCAAGCACAUGUCUAUUUCUUUGUCUUGUGCAAACCCUACCACACAGUCUACACGAACAUAUUUCAUUGGGAAAUUUCUUUUUCAAAUAGUAUAAAUUAAAAAAUAAAAAUCAUAAAUUAAAAAAAAAUCUUUUAUGAUUAUUUAUUCAAUUAAAUUAAUUGAGAGUUAUUUAGAUACAUAGUAUUAUUGACAAUAUUCUAUCUCAUUAUAACAUAAAAUAAUUUUCUAACUUUCUAAAUUUAAAAACAUGUUUAAAAAUUUUUUAAAUGGAUUUGAAAUGUUUGUAAGUAUUUUUAUAAAUUGUUUUAAAAAAUAAAAAUAUAUAAAAACUACCUAAAAACCUAUUUAUUAGUAUUAUUAGUAUUAUUAUUAUUAUUACUAUUAUUAUUAUUACUUUUGUUUUAUGAAGUGGCGGGGGUUCUUAUGCCUCCAUCUUUAAUAUUAGAUAUUGUAUAUAGACAUGAUAGAAUGUGGGAUUAUCAUUAUCAUUAUUAUUAUUAUUAUUAUUAUACUUUUAUUUUAUGAAGUGGAGGGAUAGGCAUCCUAUGUUAGGAAUUCCCAUCAUUUUCUAUUUAGCUAGGAAAGGAAUGAGAGGAAUCCCCUCUUUACCAAAUUAUUUUGAUUAUAGGUGAGGAAAUCUAAUAUUUCAUACACCUCAAAAGAUUAAAGAACAUUUGUUCUUUUAUGGAAUUGAUCAAAGUUACCAUACUUGCUAUUGGCAUGAGGAGGCAACUCCUAGUUGUGAACCAUCAACUGUAAGGGCAACAUGUUUUGAUAGAAUUGAGAUUGGUAAUGUCGAUUAUACAGUAGAAAUGGUUGAAGCUGCACAAGAUGAUUAUAAGGUGAAUCCAGAAUUAUUUGAAAGGUUGCUUGAGGAUGCUGAAAAACCUCUAUAUCCCAAUUGCAAAAACUUCACAAAGUUAUCUGUAUUAGUGAAAUUAUACAAUCUAAAAGCAAAAUAUGGGUGGUGUGACAAAAGCUUCUUUGAGCUAUUAAGAUUGCUUGGUGAUAUGUUACCUCUCAACAAUGAGUUCCCAUUGUCUAUGUAUGAAGCAAAAAAACCAUUAAAUGCAUUGGGAAUGGAAUAUGAAAAAAUACAUGCAUGUCCUAAUGAUUGCAUACUUUAUAGGAAUGUGUUAAAAGAUGCAUCUUCAUGUCCUAUAUGUGGAGCUUCAAGGUGGAAGGUGAAUAAAAGAGGAACUAAGAAAAGUAAGGGAGUUCCUACUAAAGUAAUGUGGUAUUUUCCACCAAUCCCAGGAUUUAAAAGAAUGUUCCAAUCCUCAAAAAUUGCAAAAGAUCUCAUAUGGCAUGCACAAGGUGAAGAAUUUGAUGGCAAAAUGUGUCAUCCAUCAGACUCCCCCUCAUGGAAGGUAGUUGACCAUAGAUGACCCGAUUUUGCUGCAGAUUCUAGAAACCUUAGACUUACCAUUUCAAUAAAUGGUAUAAAUCCCCAUAGUUCCUUGAGUAGUAGGCAUAGUUGUUGGCCAAUUGUCAUGAUCAUUUAUAACUUUCCACUAUGGUUAUCCAUGAAGAGGAAAUUUAUGAUGUUAUCUUUGUUAAUAUCGAGUCCACAAUAACCUGGCAAUGACAUAGAUAUCUAUUUAGCACCAUUGAUCGAAGACCUUAAAACUUUGUAGGAGGUAAGGGUAGAAGCUUAUAAUGCAUAUCAAAAAGAGGUCUUUACGUCAAGGGUUGUUCUUUUAUGGACAAUCAAUGAUUCUCUUGUGUAUGAAAACUUUUCUAGUUGCACAAUCAAGGGAUAUUUUACUUGUUCAAUUUAUAGGGAGGAGACCUAUUCACAUAGGUUGAAGAAUGGGAGAAAGAACUCAUUUACAGGCCAUUGAUGUUUUCUUCCAUGCAAUCAUCCUUUUAGGAAACAAAAAAAGGCAUUCAAUGGUGAGUAGGAGUUUCAGUCACCUCCACAACCAUUGAGUGGAGAGAAAAUACUACUAAAAAUGAAUGAUAUUUGUAAUUCAUAGGGAAAAAAAAUGGUUGGACAAUAUAAAUCCAAUUUGACUUCUACUAAUUGUUGGAAGAAAAAGUCCAUAUUCUUUGAACUUAAGUAUUGGAGAUAUCUACAUGUUCGUCAUAAUUUGGAUGUAAUACACAUUGAGAAAAAUGUUUGUGAAAGCAUCACUGGUACAUUACUUAACAUCAUGGGGAAAGCUAAAUAUGGACUUGAUUCUCAUAUAGACCUUAAGACAUGGGCUUAAGGUGUGAAUUGGCACCAAGGUUUGAACCAAAUCGAACUUACCUCCUGCCUACAUGUUAUAAAUUAUUUAGAAUUGAGAAGAAGGUAUUUUACCAAAGUUUAGCUAAUUUAAAGGUUCCUGAAGGGUAUUGCUCAAACUUUAGAAAUCUUGUGUCAAUGGAAGAGUUGAAGCUUUAUGGCUUGAAAUCCCAUGAUUAUCAUACAUUAAUGCAACAAUUGUUACCAGUGUCAUUACAAUCACUUUUCCCAAAGCAUUUAUGACAUGCCAUUGUUGGAUUGAUUUGGUUUUUCAAUGCUCUAUGUCAGAAGGUGGUUGAUGUGUCUACAUUGGAUAAGUUAUAAAGUGAGCUAGUUGUGACAUUAUGCUUGCUUGAAAAAGUACUUUCCACCUUAUUUCUUUGACAUCAUGCUUCAUUUAAUGGUCCAUCUUGUUAGAAAGGUGAGACUUUGUGGACCAGUUUAUUCUAUAUGGAUGUACUCAUUUGAAAGGUUCAUGAAAGUAUUAAAGGGGUAUGUGCAAAACCCUAACCACCCUGAAGGUUGCAUUGUUGAAUGCUACAUUAUAGAGGAAGCUAUUGAAUUUUGUAUAGAGUACUUAUCAAAUGUAGAAGCAAUUGGGAUUCAUGGUGCUUUGAAUAUUGACCAUAAAGUUGGGGCACCUUUACCUGGAGGUCAUAUUGCCAAAGUUGAUUCUAAUUUGUUGAUGUAAGCACAUCAUUAUGUGUUGGAAAAUACGUACAAUUAUCAUCCAGCCUUAUAUCGAGUAAGAAUCAAUUAUUUUGAUUUUGUUUAUAGCUUACUUAAACUAAAUUUGGAUACUUAUUGUUACUUUCUUAUACAUAUCUUAAUAGAGAGCAUAUGAAAUAGUUGAAAUUGAAGAAUCCUUGUCAAUCUAAGAAGCAAAAGUGGCUACAUGAAGAGCACAUGCGAACUUUCCUUCAUUGGUUGCGAAGAAGGGUAUUGGAUUGAUUGUAAACAUUGCACCAUUCUUAGCACUAGUCAUAAAAAAUUGUAAUAACCAUGGCUUGUUAAAACAGGUAAAAGUUGCCAUUAAUGACAAAGAAACUAUAUUUGAAACCUUGAGGUGGAUAGCGCAUGGUCUUACCCACUAUGUGUCUAAGUAUCAUGGCUAUGUUAUUAAUGGGUGUCAUUACAAUAUGAAAGAUCGUGAUCAAUUACAAGUUACUCAAAAUAGUGGAGUUAGCAUUGUAGCAACAACAAUGCAAAUUGCAAGUGCUAAGGAUAAGAAUCCCUUGUUUGGUUAGUUAUGUUUCUAUGGGAUUAUUACUAUGAUUUGGGAGCUUGAGUGUACCUUGUUCAGGAUUCCAAUUUUCAAGUGUAAUUGGGUUGAUAAUAAGAGCGACAUUAAAGUUGAUGAGUUUGGGUUUGCAUUAGUUGACUUCACCAAGAUGGCUCAUAAAUUAUAUCCUUUCAUUUUAGCAUCCCAAGCCAAACAAGUAUUAUAUGUACAAGACCAACUUGAUCCAAGAUGGUCAAUUGUUUUGUCAACUCCUCUAAAAGAUUUCUUCAAUAGAAAGGAUCUUGAUGGCUUCAUGGAUAAUUCUAUUGAACACCAUCCUUUCAUUACUAUCUUGCCACAAGUUGAAUCAUUUGAUGCAAUGGAUGACUUUGAUGUCAUAUGCAUUUGAGGAGACUAUGAGGGAUUUUGGAUUGAUAACAAAUAUUCUAUGUAACUACAAAUAGUUGUUACCUUUUAAUAUUGAAAUUCUGAAUUUUCCUAAUUAGUUGUUUACUUCUUUUCUAAGGUUGUUAAAUUCAUCAUUUCCAUUAAUUUAUCGACGCCCUCUUUCAUGAUUAUUAUUCACAUAUUUUUCAGGAAAUAAGACUUUGAAAAUAUCUUCCUACCAAACCAUGAGUGGCAUUAAAAAGAAAAAAAGAAUUAUCAAUAGAAUGAGUAUCAUUCUUUUCUUUUUCUUUUUUUUCUUUUUUUUUUUUUUUUUUUUUUUUUUUUGAGAUUGGUUUUGAUAUUAUCAUAAGAAUUAUCAGGUCAUGUGGUUAAAAUUUAUGGCUAUAUAAACUUGUGAAUGAAUGGGUUUAUGUGGUUAAUUUUUAAAAGUAAUUGUUCUAAUUAAAUCAUUGAGUAAGUCUCUUUUGUAUUGAAUAUCAUGAUUUUUUUAUAUCAAUUUGUCUCAUAAUAUUGUAAAGGAUAAGACAAGGAUAUCAAUUUGUCUCAACUCCAAGGUUGUGAUUUCUAGUUCUAAAAGAAAAAAGGGUUAGUGAGGAUAUUCUAGUAAGUUCUUUAUUUUUAGUUUUAAAAAAUUUCUAAUGACAAUACGUUAAUGUUGUUAUCUAGCAUGUUAGUUAUUUCUAGUAUGCUCAUUUUACUAAUGUGUAUUUGGUAUUAAAAUUUCAAUAUUGCAUCGUGCAAUUAAUGGGUUUACUUACAUUUUCUCAUUAAUGUAUUAUAGGCAUGGACCCAAAGGAAGAAAAAGCCAUGGAAUCGAAGGAAGAGAAACCCCACCCCCCUUAAAGAAAAAAAAAAUACAAAUGGAAAACAAUGAAAUAUAUGAUUACAAAGAAUCAAAGUAGAGGGAUAAAAUUGCUCAUAAAGUACAAUGUUGAUGGUAUCUAUGUAGGAGAAUCUUUUGUGCACUUAAGAAGUUACCUAAGUGCAUUGGCUCGUACUUAGGUGCCAAUCAGAUACAACACAUGGCGAGAUAAGAUAAGUUGUGGGAAUCUAUUGAGGUAGUUGAAUUUCUUUUAUAUAUGCAUGGAUUUUCUACAAUUUUUUUUUUUUUUAAAUUAGAAUGUACUAAUAACUUUGUUUGUAAUUUGUAGAUUGCUUUCACAUUAGACUAAAAAAGCAAAAGGAAUUGUAUGCUUAUAUUGGGGAAAUGUUGUUGAUCUUUCAAAAAUAUGUUGACUAUGAAAAAUAUUAUUCCUUUCAAAGAUGAGCUAGAACUUCUUAAGAAACCACCAGCUGAAUACAAUUUCAUUGAUGAUGAAGAUUGGAAUACUUUUGUGGAAAAUUGAUUGUCUGAAAAAUUUUAGGUACAUAUAUAAUUGACAUCAAACAUACUAUACCUAUUUAGAUAUACUAAUCAUCUAUUUUAAUUAGUAGGAAUAUAGGGAAAUACAAAAACAAAGGAGGAAAAAGCAUAUAUAUAAUCAUCAUUUAAGUAGAAAAGGAUAUGUUGGACUUGAGGAAGAGAUAGUAAGUUUUGAUAGGUUCUUAUUGUAGUUUAAUUUUAAAUAUUUGAAUAGGCGAUGAACAAAUAGUUUAUGUGAAUUUCUUAAUUGUAUUUUUUUUUAACAAAAAUAAAUAAAUUAAAGUGUUGUUACAUGUGCCAUCUAGUAACUAUCUUAAACUUUCCAUUUCUUUUUAGAUGACUGAAGUUGGUUCCAUAGAAAGCAUUGAUAGGGGUUUACUUUGGAAGAGAGCAAUGCAAAGAAAAGACGGCAACUAUGAUGAUGUAGUCAUACCAAUAGUGGAAAAGAUAGUAAGUAGUCAUUUUGUACCCAAAAAUCGUAUAUUUAAACACCUUUUUUCAUUUAACCUAUUUGAAAGUUAACUUCAUAACUUCAUCUAGUUUAGGAUGAGUUGAUGAAAGAGUCUCAAGAGACUGGCAUAAGCUAUAGUGGCAAUAAUGACACACUUGCUUAGGCAUUAGGUACUCCAAAGUACACUGGUUGUGUUGGGGUUAAAGACAAGCAUUACACACCUCAACAAUACUUCAAUAGUGUGUCAGAUGAUGAGUUUUGUUGCUGUUGGGGCUAUCUUUAUAAUGUUUGGGCUAUUUUGAUAGGUUGUAAUAUUUCAAAUACUCUUAAUCAUAUUUUAUUUUAGCUAAUUUUCAACUUUGUUUUUUAAUAAUUAAUGGUUGUGAAGUGAGGUUACAUUUCUUUAUCAAGGAAAAAAAAUGAAAAAAAAAAUUAUAAAGAAAAAUAAUGUUGGUUGUCUAUAUCUUUUAAUUAUUUUUCUUGACCAUUAAUAAAGAGUAGGGGAGAGAAUAGUUAUAUUGUUUUGAAAUUUAUUUUAUUAGAACAUGCACAAUUUGUUUGCUUGUUUUUUUUUUCUUUCAAUGUUCAAGAUGCAUCAAUACUAUUUUAAAAUAUAAGCAACCUAUUUAUAUAUAUAUAUAUAUAUUUUACUUUUAAAAUUAAAGGUAAUAUUUUGAAAUCUUAUGAGCAAAAUAAAUUUGAAAAUAAGGAUUUCAUUAGGUAAAGGAAGAUAUGAUAAAUAAUUUGGAUAGUUUAAUCUUACCUCAAUUUGGAAACUCUUUUCCCAUAUCACUUCUAUAAUUAAAAAAAAUAUUAAUUAUUUAUUAAUCUCCCACUUGGGGCGUUUAUGGCAUCCUUGAUAAAAUGAUAGUAAUAAUAAUAAUAAUAUGAAAAUUAAGUUUUGAAGAGAAUUAGUGUAUUAUUAGGCCAUUUUAUUUGUUAGCACUAUUAAUAUACCAUUAGUAGUUAAUUACGUCCACUUCUUAUUGUCUUUGAUAUACCUUUCUUAUUAUCUAAACAUGUUAUAUUUAUUUUUACAAACUAAAUAUUUGCCCCUUUUUUUAAGAAAAAAAAAUAUUAGUAACAAAAUCACACUUUUUACAUCAAAAAAAUAUAUAUAUAUUUUUCAAAAGUUUUAUCAAAUAAACUAGAGAAAAUUUACCAAAAGAAUUCCUACAUGAUCGUACCAAACACAUAGAGGUGGAAACAUUUUAUCAAAUAGAAUCUUGAAGAAAAAGUCAUUUGAUUUCCUUUUGUCAUGUUAGAAGAUCAACUCAGAGAUACACUUACAAAGGCCAUUUCAAGUAAAAGCUUCCACGACUCACUAGACAAGUUGAUCAUUAGAGACAUUUAUGCACCAACUUGAGAGGAGUGUUGGCAUGAGUUGUAAUUCCUUUUUUAACUUAGAGCGAUUAUAGGACUAAUUAGUUGCCAUAUUCAUUAUAAAUCCCUUGUAUUCUGUUAGCCUGAUUUCUAGCCUGGAAUUUCUUUUUCCUUUACUAGUUCUCUAUUGGUCCGUGAACUACUUCUAUAUGGGGCGUACUCUUGUAAACGAAAAAUCGAACAAAAAUAUACUUGCUCCAAUUUAUCAUAGUAAAGAUUUGUUAUAUAUAUUGCUUUAUAACUCAUAAAUUAAUUAAUUGUAUUUCAUACAUAUGAGUUCCAAUCUUAUGGAUGAACAAUAUUGCAUUCUGGUUAGCGAGCAUAGAAAAUACAUAUGCGUUCUAAUUUUUUAAUAUAUUAAUAAGCUAUCAAACUUUUUUAUGUAUUUAUAUUAAAAAAAGGAAAAGAGAAAAACCCCUAAAGAUUAAUUAAGUUAGCUUAUUAUAAGGAUUUAGUUUUUUUUUUUCACAAAUUAUAAAUUUUUAAAAACUUCUUAUCAUCUUAAUAAAUUAGGUGGUUUUUAAUUAACAAAAAUGAAAAAUAAAAAGUUGGACAAGUAAUUUUAUUUUGGAGUGUGGAGCCUUUUUUUUAUUAAACAUCGUUGAAUAAAUUUUUUUAAGCAUUUUAAUAUAAGUACGUGAGUUGAAAAUGGAUACUUCAAUUAUAAAUUGUUUAGAGUUCAGUUAGAUCUCAUAUAUAUGUUAAUGAAAUCGGUCAUUAUAUUCAUUGAUUAAUCUUGAUUCAAGCUAACGAUGUCUUACCGAAAAGAAAUGUAUUCUAUAUCUCAUUAAAGGAUUCUAUUUAAAGAAUAUUUAAAUAAAAGAAUUUGGCUAAUAACUAUUAUUCAUAAAAUCUUUUGCCGCAUUCCUUCCAAAAGUUAAUCUCUAAUCACUUUCUAAUAGAUUAGUAAAAAGUUUCUUUGCUAUAAAUAAAUAUAUAAAUAACAUAAAAUAAUAAUAAUAAUAAUAAGGAAGGAACACUCCUUUUGGUAUAAUAGAGUGAUUGGAGCCCUCAAAUAUUAUGCUAGAGAUUAUCCCAUUAAAAAACAACUUGAUUGUUUUGAGAUUGAACUGCAAUAAAUAAAUAACAUUUGAAUAAAAGUUAAUUACCAUAUUAACCCAAAAUGCAUACCUCAUAUAAUGUGUUACGUUUCAAGAUUUGAGAUUUCAUGACAUAUUAAUUCAAAUUAGAUCAUUGAGCUUUCUCAAAGGAUUAAUUCCUUGGUGCAAACAUAUUAUAAAGGAUAGAAACUAUAUAUAAUUAUUAAGUCUUGAAACAUCUUAUGUUUCAACACUUCUUAUAUCUAUAUCUUGAAGUAUGAAGAAGGAUUAAUUCCCUCAUUCCACUGGAUGUUUCCGACUACUCGUUGUAACAUUUCUAUCCAUCACGUAUAGUCUUCAUAAGUUCAUCUCUAUCCUAUAACAUUUUCCCACCUGAAAGAUUUAUAGAGAUAAUUUUAAUAAUUUUUUUUUAUAUUAUAAGAAAAUAUAAUAUCAAAAUGAUCAAUUCUCAACACAUGAACAAUUCAAAAAAUUGAUAAUAGAGUUCAAGUAGUUUUUCUUUUCUGGUCUUAUCUUAAUUUAUAUAUAACUUGUAAUGAAAUCUUAGCUUGCAAUAUUUCAUUCUUUCUUUGCUACUCUUAUAGAUGUUGCCUCCAAUAGCCAUUCCAACACCAUCCAAUGUCACAUCAAUAAUAAGUAAGUUUUACUUUUUUUUCUUGUAAGAUUGACCUUUUUGCAAAUCUCUAGCUAUUGGCUUUAUGCCAAAAAUUCAAGACUAUGUGACAUUUAGAUUAAGAAGAAGAAAAUUGGCUUGUAUAAAUUUUGAUUUUCUAUAUAUGUAGAGGUAAUGUGACCUUUGGACUAGUCCUAAAACAAACUUUGGGUAUACUUAUUGAUGGUAAUCUAAAAACUCAAGUGGAUAUUGUCCAUCUCUACAGCAUUUCAUGUCAAACUUUUGUUGGGUGGAGUAUCAUAUAUGUUGCUUUAUAUCUCACAAAUUAAUUAAUUUUAUUUCUUACAUAUGAGUUCUAAUCUAAUAGGUGAAUAAUAUCCCAUUCAAGUUUGCGAGCAAAGACAACACAUAUGAGUUCUAAUUUUUUAAUAUAUUAAUAAACUAUAUAUCAAACUUUUUUAUGUAUCUAAAAUUUAAAAAAAAAUGAAAAAAAAAAGAAAAGAAGAAAAAACCCUAAAGAUUAGUUAAGUUAUCUUAUUAUAAGGAUUUAUUUUUCCGUAAAUUAUAAAUUUUUAAAAACUUCUUAUCAUCUUAAUAAAUCAAGUGGUUUUUAAUUCACAAAAAAGAAAAAGAAAAGUUGGACAAGUUUUUUUUUACUAGAGCAUACAUUUAACAAUAUUUGUACUUUUUGUACCUAAAUGUCUUCAAUCUAACACAUACCUACAUACAUACAUACAUAUAUAUAUAAUCCAAAGUGGGUUUUUUAUGAUUUCAAUUAAUAAGUAAUUGAUAAUUUAUAUAUGCCAUCAAUAAAAUGAAUUUAUAAGACUCCCAACUUUUGAUGAAAUAUCACCUAAAAUAUACUCAAAGAAUAUUUUGUGGUUAUUUAGAUGAAGUAUUGGAUAUGAUGAAUUUCUCAAAUAAUCUAAUUUAUCUUUAACAAUAGGAUAAUAAUUUAACCUUUUUUUUUUUAAAUUGUUAAUUUCCAUUAUUGAAUUUUUUUUUUCUCUUUCUCUAGUAUAUUGAAGCAAAAAAAAAAGGACUUAUUCAUAUAAAUAGUACUACCUUUAGGACUAAAUUAAAAUUUUUAGAGGACCCAAAUCAUAUCAAAAUACAUUCUCCAUGUCAUAUGUGCCAACAUCAAGAGCAAGUUUGUAAUUACAGAAUUCCAAUUUUAAAUUUUAAAUUUUAAAAAGAAUUUCAAAUAUUAAAUAAGUAAAAUCCUCUCUAAAUUUUCCUAUCAAUAGAGCAACUUUCUUUUACUUCAAAAGGAGGGAAGGGAAUUGGGCAAAUUGAGGCAAAGCUCAUUAUCAAUUAGAAGGUUUCCUUAUACUCUACAUCCUCUCUUUGAAUGUAAUCUUUGGCCAUGAGUCAAGCAUUAUACCUCUCUAUUGAAACAUUCAUCUUGCAUUUGACCUUGAGAACCCACUUGCUCCUAAUUAUCUUAAGCUGAAAGUGGAAGUUCAACCAACUUCCAAAUGGAGUUGGUUGUAUCUUUUCACAUUUCAAAAGUGAAUGAGAGCUUCCUUGAAGUUCCUUGGCAUAUCAUCAUCAUCAUGCAAAGCAUACAUGAAAACUUCCCCCUUAUAGGGAACAACACCUUUGGUUUUACCCAAUACUCAUCCAAUGCAAUUUUUUUAGUCAAUAAAAUUAGAAAUGAGCAUUGAAAUCACAUUCCUUAGUGACUAAAUUAUUAAAAUCAAAUGAAAUCUAAUGGUGAAAAUGUUUCACAUCUCCAAGUUAUGUGGAAAAUUAUUCAAACCUUAACCAUGCAAUUUGAGUAUAAGGUAACAAUAAUUGAAGAAUUGAACGAUCAUAGUACCAUGACAUCAAAUGAAUUGAUAGGCUCCUUGCAAGCCCAUGAACAACGCUUGGAUGAAAGGUCUCAAAUUGAGGUGAAAGAAACACUAAAAAGCCAAGUCUAAGAAGAGAACAAAUAAGUCUCAAAAAAAUUCUAAAUCAAGUAAGAAAGGUUAGAAUUGAAAAAUAUACAAGGAAAUUCCAAAUUAGGCUAAAAAUGAGGAAGAGGUAAUAUUUCAACAAAAAGAAAUAAUAAAUCUCAUAUAUAAUAUUAUAAUUGAAAAAAAAUGUGGUCAUUGCAAGUUAAAACGUAGGGCUUGGAGAUCGAAUGAAAGAAAUUUUUAGGCUAAUGGUAUAAAAAGUAAAGGUAAAAAUUCAGAGACCUUAUUAGCUCCCAAGUUCCAUUCUGAACAAGAGCAUCAAAUUCAUCAUUCAUGGCUUGUCUCCAUUUGGGAUCGGUUAGGGCUUGGUUAACAGUAUGAGGCUCAAUAUCUAAUGGUUGAGAAAGGACAGCAGUAAGAUUCAUCUUGGUUAGGGGUUUGUGGAUGUUGUUUUUGGCUCUAGUGGUCAUGGGAUGGGUAUUUUUAUGGGUAGGUGGAGCUGUGGUUGAGGCAGAAGAGGUCUCAGAAUUGUGUGGUUCUGGUGGUAAACGGUCAAUAGGUGAGAAGGGGCGGGCAACCGAUUGGGCAUUUUGGGGCGGAUGUUGACACGAGGAAUCCCUUUGUGGAGGCGUAUUAAGUGAGCUAUUUGAAAUGGUUAUAGUUUGGACCGGUGGAAGCCAAUUGGAAAUGAGCUCUGGGGUGGGACGAGCUAGAUGAGAUUGGUGAGUGGUCAAGGGAAAAGUGUUUUCAAGAAAUUUGACAUGACGAGAAAUAUAGGUUUUAGAGGUGGACAGAUCAAGACAAAUAUAGGCACUUUGUGUUGAAGAGUAACUUAGAAAAACACAAGGAGUGGAACGAGAGUCAAGCUUAUGUUGAGAAUAAGGACGAAGCCAUGGAUAACAUAAGCAACCGAACACCUGAAGUUUAGUGUAGUUGGGUGGAGACUCAAAGAGUUUGGCAAAAGGAGAUGAGAGAUGUAGUGUGGGUGUGGGCAUACAGUUGAUGAGAUAUACAACAGUGGCAAAGGCGUAAGUCCAAUAAGUUAGAGGCAUCGAUCCAUGAGUGAGAAGAGAUAGACCGGUUUCAACAAUAUGCCGAUGACAUCGUUCGGAAAUACCAUUGUGUUCAAGUGUAUGUGGUGGUGUAGUAAGAUGGGAUAUACCACUGGUGGAGAGAAAUUUAUUAAGGGCUUGAUAUUCGCCACCAUUAUCUGAAUAGAGGGUAAAAAUUCGGUGUUUAAAUUGGUUUUCGACUAAUGCCUUGAAGCGCACAAAGACAUCAUACACAUGGGAUUUACGUUUAAGUGGAUAAUACCAAAUAUGCCGUGUAUGAUGAUCAACAAAAAUAACAUAGUAUUGAAAACCAUCAAUAGAAGAAACAGGAGAGGUCCAUACAUCAAAAAAGAGAAGUUCAAGAGGAUGGGAUGAGGUUAAGGUAGAAGAAGAAAAUGGAAUUUUAUGACUUUUAUUACAUGAACAGGCAUUACAAUGUGUGGAAAAGGAUAACAGACUAGACAAUGGUAAAGAAAACUUAGAGACAAUAUUUUUCAUAAUAGUAAAUGAUGGAUGACCUAGUCUAAAGUGCCACUCAGAUGAAGUGGUUUGACACUAGAAAAUGCAAGCAAAGGUAAAGAGGUAACAGAAGGGAAUGUAGUUGGCCACUCAUAUACGCCAUCCUUAGGUUCACCCAUCAAAAGGAUUGCCCCUGUGUUUAGAUCCUUCACCUGAAAAGUAGAGGGUGAGAAUUCAACAUAAACAUGGUUAUUAGUGCAAAAUUGAUAAAUUGAAAUUAAGUUCUUUUGCAUGGAAAGGACACAAAGGAUGUUUUGUAAAGUAAAGGUGCGAGAUGAAGUAGGUAUGGUGGUAGAACCAGUAUGUGUGAUGGGAAGGGCCGAUCCAUCGUCGAUCAUGAUAUCAUCAAAUCCUGUAUACGGGCUAUGAAGAGAUAGAUUGCUCAAGUCAGACGUAACGUGGUGAAACGCUCCACUAUCCAACAGCCAAGUAGGAGUAGUAUUGUUGCUGAGAACAGCAUGAUUGGAUCGUGGUUGCCAGGAUGUGAAGGGGCGAUAUCCUUAAGCGCCUUGAGAACAAGGUGUCGGGGAUUGUUGAUUAGUGACAAGCCGAAACAUCGGGCAUCGUUUGGUAGUAUGUCCUUGAAUACUGCAUGCUUGACAACAACCCAAAUAAGGUUUGGGUUGGCAUUGAUCAUGAGGAGAAAACGCAAUGGUAGAGCCUAGUUGUUGUGGAGUGUUGGUUGGUGGACACCAAUUUGGACGAUUCCGAAAGGCUAUAGGAUUUGUUGUUGCUGGUAAUGAUAGAGGAGAUGGUUGAGCGGUCUGAAAAUAUGCGUUUUUGUUGAGAAGUUUCUCAUGGAGUUCAACAAAAGAAAUUGACGUGUCACGAGCAUUAAUGGCAUCAAUGACGGAUUUGUACUCAUCACUUAGUCCUUCAAGAACCCGAUCAAUAAGAUCCUCAUCAUCAAUUGGCUUCCCCAAAAGGGCAAGUGCAUCAGCAUGAGUUUUUAUCGCCUACAUAUAUUCACUAAUUGAUUUUGAGCCCUUGGUACAUCGCUUUAAUUGUUCCUUCAAUUGUUUAAUAUGACCACGAGAUGGUUUGGCAUAGGUAUUGGCUAAGGUUUGCCAUGCAUCAAGGGAAGUGGUGGUGCGGGCAAUAAGCAGUUGUAGUGAAACAGAGAUAGCACCAAGGAGAGUGCUAAAGAUGAGUCGAUCCUGACGCUUCCAGGUUGUGUAUCCUGAAUUUGGGGAUGCAAUAGCAGUGACGUUGACGGUGGGUGGUGGUGGAGUAUGAGCGCCAUCAAUGAAGUGAUGAAGAUCAUAACCUUCAAGAAGAGAUUGGAUUUGAAGGCUCCAUGUGAGAUAAUUGGUGGAUGAGAAUUUGGUGAUAUUGGAGAGAUUGAUUGUAAGGAGGAGAUGUUGAGGAUCUUGGGAGUUUUGGAUGGUGAUAGGAUCAUUGGUGGAAGAGAAUGAUGCAUCGGAAGCCAUCGAGGAGAAGAAAAAAAAAGGGAAGAAAAUACGCCCAAUAAGAUUAGGCUCUUGAUACCAUGUUGAAGUAGAGAGAGGAUUAUUGAGAAACAAUGACUUGGCUUUUCCAUUGAUUAAGAAUGAAUAUAUAUAUAUAUAUAAACCUAAGACACAAAAAUAGGAAACAAUCAACCCAAAAUACAAAAAUAGGAAACAAUCCUAGAAUUAGCCCAAAACACAAAAAUAGGAAACAAUCCUAAAAUUAGGAAAUUACAACAAAAAUAGGAAGUUACAACUAAUUACAAUAAUUUGAAAAUAGAAAGAAAAUCUAUUGUAAUGAAUUCUCUAAUACCACCUUUGUCGUAUCUUUGAUUCACUCCUCUAUAUUUAAUACUACCAAUAGAGUAGGUUCUACAAUUCUAAGGCAGCCCAAAUUGAAACGUUUUUCUGGGUUGAUCAUCAAAGAAUAUGCUCAAUUCAUAUCUAUAAUCAUUAUCAUCAUUAUCAAGUUCAUCAUCAUUAUCAAGUGGAAGAUAAUGGAAGAAUAAAGCAAAUCCCAAGAAAUUGUAAUCUUGAUACCAACUCUUUGGGAACGCUAUUCUUACUUCAUAUCCCAUACUCUUAUCCCUUACCCACUCUGGUAUUCCACUGCUUCCUGGAAUAAUAAUAUUCCGAAUUUCGGGAAAAAUCCACUUGCCUCCAUUGCUUUUAUUUUGCAUAAAAGUAGCAGCAUGUAAAUCUCAUGCCUUGAUACAAAAACUAAGUGUCAUAUGUAGAAUUCAUACCUCAGUUUGUGAUUUGAAGCAGUUGAGAAGAUAUGACCAGAAUAGAUGUGUUGGAUCACUUAAUAAAGUUUCCAGACAUGGACAACCAUGUGCUUCUAUGACUCUUAGACUUGAUGGAAGCUUGUGAAUUUCUUCAAGCAUCAGGCAAUGAUUCAUGUGAAGUUCUGUCAAGUUAGAAAGUUGAAUGCUGCCAGCAGGUAUGCGAUGAAUAUGGUUUUCGCUCACAUCUAAAAAUUCUAGUGAGGAUAGGCGCCAUAAAUCAUUGGGGAUUGCUCCUUCCAUCAGAUUGCAAUGUUGUAGGCUUCUCAAAUUGUCAGGCAAUUUGUGGAGCUUUGAACAGUUACGAACACGAAGAGUCACAAGACCUGUCAAAUUACCAAUGCUGUUUGGAAGAGUCACAAGGUUCUCACAAUUGGUCAAUUCCAAGUCUGCAAGAUUUGUCAGACGUUCAAUUGAUGAUGGCAGCUCUGUUAUGACCAUUCCACUUAAACGAAGGUUAUACAAAUGUUCCAUAUCAAACCUGAUCUCUGAAAAAGCCUCUAGAUUUGAACAACCAUUGAGAGAGAGCUCGAAGAGGUAUUUCAACCCAUAAAUGCUGCUUGGAAGACCACUCAAGUCUUUGCAGUUUUCCAAAUCUAAAUGUUGAAGUCCGAUGAGAUGACCUAUUGAGCACAGUAGUUCUUUUAUAGAAGUACGCCCCGCAAAAGAUCCUGUAGAUUCCUCAUUUUCUUUUGGAUCUCAGGAAACUUCUCAAGAUUUGAGCAACCAUCGACAGAAAGAGUUUGAAGAGCCUAGGAGUUCCUUAAUAGCAGUGUUGUCUAAAUAAAGUCCCUUUAAGCAUUUCAUAUUCCCUUGGAUCUCUGGAAAUUUCUCAAAGUUCAAUCAAUUUGAGAUGUCAAGAAAUUCAAGACAUUCCAAAUAUCCAAUGUUGCUUGGUAGUUCUUUGAUUCCAGUCCCCCUAAAAUUAAUCUUCCUCAAAAAUUUCAUCUCAUGAAAUGUGCCAACAGAUAAAUGAAGAUUGCUAAAACUUGUACAUUAAACUUUAAGAUUCAGUGUCUCCAAUUUUGGCAUGCUUGAGAAUUUUGGUAUUUUCAUGAGUUGUUGUGAGUCACUCAGAUCAAGGAACUUUAAUUCUGCAAGGUACUGUGACUAAAGAUAUUUUUUUCCAUUAAAAAACUUCCAUUAACUAGAAAAUUAGUAUAAAAAAGAAAAAAAAUUGAAUAAUGAUUAUACGUUAUCCCUUUCCCAAAGUUCUUUUAUGUUGCUAGACUUCAAAUUGAUUGCAAUAAGAUUCUCUCCAUGAAAAUUCAAAGGUAAAGACUCCAAACCUUCCCAUUGAAGAUAUCUUAAAUUUGAAGGAAAUUUAAAGUCUUUAGGAAGACACAGUUUAUUCUCCUUCCUCAGCAUACUAUGAUGAUCAUUGUAAUAGACUUUCAGCAACCCAAGUUUUUUCAUCUUGGAAAACACUCUCUUCAUCUUGGCAAACGCUUCUAGAGCGAAUUACAUUUUUUUAAAUUUAGACAAGUCUAGAGAUAUGGUUUCAAUAUUUUUCAUCCCUUGAAAAACAAGAAUGAAGAUUAAGAAAAAAAUUAAAAGGUAAAAACCCCAACUAAAAUUAUAUAAGUAACCAUUAAAAAAUGCAUCAUUAAUAUUUAAAUAACUAAGUCCGUGCAUUUAAUUCUUACCUUUUCCCAUAAAAUGCAUCAUAAAUAUCAUUUGGGUCCCACAACCUACUCCAUUUGCUUGGGUCUUCAGGAUAUUUUUCACGACCCAUUUGUUGUAUCAAGUUAUGCAUUUGUAUCAUAUUGUAUGAAAUAGUUAUUAGACAUUUAUCAAAAAGAACUCUUAUGUUGUAUGUUGCAUAUAAAUUGCAGCCAUCCAAUAUUUUUGACACAAAAGCUUUGUCUUCCCCUUCAAAAAAACAUGCAAUGUCAAGGAAAACCUUCUUUUCCGAACCAUCAAGCAUAUCAUAGCUUAUUCUAAGCACAUCAUUAAUCUCCUUCUUAGGAUUGUUUUUCAGUUUAUCCAAUGCACUUUUCCAUUCAUCUAUUGUCAUGCCACGAAGAGAACCACCCAAAAAUUUAAGGGCUAAAGGGAGGCCCUAAGCAUAAGCUGCCAUGCAAUUUGAGAGGGUUACAUAAUCUUUGUUAGGAGAAUUUUGUUCAAAGGCAUGCUUGUUGAAGAGUUGAAUAGCUUCCGCAUCAUCUAACUUCUUCACCUCAUAUGUUACAUCCGCUCCAUAAUAACGUAGCAACUGUUGGUCUCUGGUUGUUAUAAUAAUUGUAGUUCCUGCACCAAACCAAUUCCUACUUCCAACUAAUGACUCUAGUUGCUCCCUACGAUCCACAUCAUCAAUAACAAUAAGAACCUUUUUUGAGCCAAGUCUAUUCUUUAUUAUAUUGAUUCCAUCAUCGAUAUUACUCAACUCUAUUUUUUGCCCCACUAUAUCAUGAAGAAGUUAUUGUUGUAGUUGAAGUUGACAACCCUUUUUGAAACUCUUUUUGACAUUUUCAAGAAAGCUAGCACCAUUGAAUUCACAUUAAAUCUCAUUAUAAACAAACUUGGCAAUGGUAGUUUUACCAAUUCCACCUGUUCCAUAGAUCCCAACCACACAAAUGUCAUGUAACUAACUAUUUAUCAAUGAUUUUAGUUCUUCUAAGCGAGAAUCCAUCCCAACUAUAUCAUCGCCAACAUGCAAUUGCUUAAGACCCAAUCUUUUACGGAUGACUUCAAAAAUUUCCUCAAUAUACUUUGACUCAUACCUACCAAUUUUAAAGUACAAUAAAACACUUGAUGAGUUAUUAAGUUGCAAAAUAUAACAAACAUAAAGUAAAUUUAGUGAUGUUUACUUGAUUUUGUUAAUAUAACUGAAUUAAGGCAUAUAGAAUGUAAACUAAAAUGGAUCAAACCACAUGAACUAAAUUAGAUAUUUAUGUACAAUUUUGUCAAUGUUAUAUCAAGUGUACAUGCCAAAGAAUAGAGUAGAGAAAUAGAAUAAAAUAUUAUUUGUGUUGGCUGAUGCUACUCUAUGGCUUGGAAGGUUUAUUAGGAAGUUAACCUGUGUAGGAUACUAUUAUAACUAGUGGUGGAGCCAGAAAUUUAGUUUAGGGGACAACAUUUUAAUUAAAAAUUUUUAAAUUAAAUAAAUGUUAACAUAAUUUUUUAUUUUAAAAGGCUUGUAGACCUUGUUAUUGAUAGGGUUAACUAAAAUCACAUAAUAUAAGUAAAUAUUAUAAUAAAAUUUUAAGCAAAUCUAACUUAAUAAAUUAAAUGCAUGAUUAGACAAAAAUUUUGAAUAAAUGAAAUAUUAGAAAAUUUUCAAAAUUUUUUUAAUAUUCUAUAAAAUUUGAUAAAGAAAAACAUAAGAAAAGUAACUUUCAAUAAUCUUACAAUUGAAACAAUUUUUUUAAAUAAAAUUAUCAAAAAAGUUUCAAAAUAUAUAUUAUAAUAAAUUUUAUUUGAAAUAUAAGUGAAUUAAAAGAAAUUUAUGAUAAUUUUAAUAAAAAGUUAACUAAAUAAAGGUAGAUUAAUUUUUUAAUUUUUUUUGUGUAAUUUAAAUUAAAAGUACUUUACUUGCAAAAUUUGGUAUAUAAUUUUUUUAAAACCAUUGAAAAUUAGUUUGUGUUUUUAUCUAUUCAAACAAUUAAAGAUUAACUAUUGAGUUGAUAAUAAGCAAAAUAAUUUUUUUUAAAGAAAAUCAAUUCUUACCAUAGUCAAUAUCUUUAGGAUGGAUGAGAGGCUUCAUACCAGAGUAUAGAUUUUGAGGGAGGGCAUAAGCCUCCGGUCCAAUACUGGCUCCACCUGUUAUUAUAACCCUCUUAUGAUAAGAAACUAUGGUCUUAUGGCAUUGUUAGAGACAACUACCAUUUUGUAUGGUGACAAGCUACCAUUUUUUUUUUUAUUUACAAGUUUUAUUUCUUCAUAAAGAUUGAGAAUAAGAUUGAAAAAUGAUUACAAGAAGGUAUUUUUGGGAAAGAGGGGGAGUUUCGGGAAUAGUUGAAUAUUUUUUAUUUAUUUAUUUAUUUUAAAACAAUACCAAUGAAAAGAAGAUGCAUAUUUUGGUAUAUGGUACCUACCUGCUAAGUUAGAAAACCAAUUUACUUUUAAAAAACAGUACUAGAAGUGUCUUUGCUCAAAAUGGAAACACUGAUGGAAGUUUCAAUAAUAAUAAUAAUGAUACAAUUAGCCUUCAUAUAAACUUGAUGAAUAAGAGUAAAAGACAAUAGGCAUCAUUAGAAUUACAAGAUGGUCAAAUUUUCAAUGCAUGACUUAUAGACUUGAGGAAAAUUUAUAAACUUGACGACCCUUAAUGAGACUUUUUGUUUGUAGGUGACCUUUUUGGAUAAUUCUCCUUAAGAAAUUCCAAUCCAGUGCAUUGUUAGUUUAUUUUAUCUUAUUUAUUUUAAAAAUAAGUUAGAUAAUGUUUGUUUUUUUGGUUGAAUAGAAAAAACCAAAAUAUUUAACUUUUUCUAUUAAGUUAAAAAUAACCUAUUGACAUUAACCAAUAUAAUUAAGAGUUCAUUUGGUAGUAAUUUAAGGAAGCGUUUCUAACCUUUUUAGCAUUUAAAAACUUUUAGUUUUCAAGUAUCAAAAGAGUUAUAAACACUUCCUAAAAUCACUACCAAACAUGCUCUAAAGUAAACUUAUUGUCAAUAAGUUUAAUUUAGUUAUGUUUUAGCUAGAUAAAAAAAGUUAAAUAUUUUUAUUUAUUUUUUUUUUAUUCAAUGAAAAAAACAAACACCACCUUACUCAUGAUUCACUCUAGAUUAUUCCAAACAAGGGAAAUUUUUUAGAAUUAUUUUUAAUAAUCAAUUCAUUGGUUUCAAGAAGUAUUAGAAAAAAAAAACACAAUAUUAAUGAACAAAAGAAGCAUACUUUAAUAUAUGCUACCUAACUCAGCUAAGUUAGGAAACCAAUUUAAUAUUAAGAAAAUAGUUCUAAAAAUGUCUUUUCUAAAAAUGGGAAAAUAUUUUUUACCACUGUUUACUUUUUAUCUCAUUAUUUUUUAAGACAAUUUACUAUCGAUGAAAAAAGUGAAAUUUUUUUAUUUUUAUGGAAAAAAGUUGUUUUUCCUCUCUUUUUUAUUUACAAACUUUAACUUUACUAUGAUUAUUAAAUCAAAUUUCUUAUAUAAAAUAAUAUUAAAUUCAUUUAUUUCUUUUAUUUCUUAUAAUUAAUUUAAAUGUAUUAUUUUAAUGAAUUGUUACUCAAAAAUAAAACUCCAACAUAAAAAUCACAUAAUUUUGAUAAGAAAUUAAUAAAAAUAAAUAAACACACAAAAUUCUAAAAUUAAAACUGAAAUUUUACCACAUAUAGCCACUAUUUUUUACUCAUAAAUCUUCCAAUUCUUAAUGGAAUUAACUUCUAUAAAUUUCCAUGGAUUCCUAGUUUAGGAAUGAAAAUAAAUAUGGUAAAAUCAUAAAAUUUUGAUUAAAAAUUAAUUUAGGAAACUAAAAUAAGCUACCAUCAAUUCUAAUGAAAAAAUUUAAUUAGAAUCCCAAAACAUAAUCUACACUUAUCUAAAUAUCUAUUAGAAUCAAUAAUUUCAAUUAACUUCAAAUAAUAAAAAGCUAGGAUUUGAUACUCCUUAGAUUAAAAUUUAAGCACUAAUGAAUUCAUCUCAAUAAUAAAACAUAUAUUUCAAGUGCAAGCCAAAAAAAUUUCUAAUAUUUUCUUAACAAUUAAACAUAAUUAGAAAUCAUAAUUAUUAUCCAAUUAUCAAUUUUUUAACUAAUUACAUAAUUUCUAAUAUAUAAUUUUUAUUAUGGUAAUAAAUUCUUUUGUUUUGAGAUGUUUCCAAAUAUGUUGAAUUCGUCCUUUUUUUUUUCCAAAUGAUUAGUUUUUAAAUUAAAAUAGGAAUAAAUUUAUAGUUAAUUUUGUAGAUGUUUUUGACAUGCAAAAACAACAUUUAGCAUUUAAACAUAAAUGAAGACAAACAAUUUAACACUUGGCAUCAUUGAGACACCAAUAAGAAAUAAACAACUUAAAUAUUUGAAGGGAAAAAAAGAUGAAUUUAACUAAACAAAAUUGGUUGUAGACAACUUCUCAAAAAUUUGUCUAUAAAAUUCAAGGAAAAGAGAGAGAGGCUUAACACAAGAGAAGAGGAGAUGGGACGCUAGAUUGGCAUAGGGAAUUGUAUGAAAAUUUUUAUAGCGAGUAUAGUAACCAUGGAACAUCCCUUGUGAGCCAAAAUAUUGCAUAUAAGGAGCAUAUAUAAUCAUUCUAAAUACAUGGUUUGGAAUUUGUAUCAAGCAAUGUUAGCUAUUAUAAGGACAUCCCUUCAAAAGAUUUGGAACUAAUUUGGACCCUAAGGCAGUGAGUUCAUAUUUUUAAAAGCUUCCCAACAACACAUAACCACAACCUUCAUGAUAAAAGCAACAUGAUAUAUAUAUAAAAUCAGAAGUCUAAAGGAAGUUGAAAUUACUCAUAAUCCUCGAGCACAUGCCAACCACUUAGAGAGCUUGCUCCGGUCAUGGCCACCCUCCUAGAAAUUUGGUAUUAAUUUGGACAUUGAGUUACAAUUUUCACAAGCUUCCCAACAACACACAACCACAUGGAUCAUGAUGGAAGCAAGAUAUGGUAUAUUAUUUGCAUGAAUAUAUCUCAACAUGAAUAUAUAUACAUAUAUAUCAACAUGAUCCGAUAGUUUUUAUUUAAUACUAAUCUUAUACUCCUUGUGAGCUCCCUUUUAACAGUCUGGGUUUCUAAAACUUUCUUUUUAACUCCUCUUCGCAAAACUUCAAAUCAAUAGUUACAAGAAGCGAAUUAAUUAAGAACUCAAUCAAAAUCCAAAUACUUAAUUAUAACAAAAAUCAAAGUUCAAAGGAAGUUGAAAUUACCCAUCCUUCACAUGCCAACCUCCUAGAUUGCCUGCUUCAGUCAUGGCAGCCCUCCACCUUUGUACCGUCUCCUUGUCUACAUUUUUUUCAUGAACGGCAAAUGCAUCUUCGAAACUCUCUGUUUUUUUCCGCACAUCAGAAGGUUCCACAUGGUAGAAAACUGGCAAGACUAUUUGAUCCAUUUCUUUUCUGCACUCCAUGAUCUUUGCAAACUCAUCCAAACACCAUUUGGAAUGAGCAUACUUUUCUGAGAAAACAAUUAUGGAAAAUCUUGAUCCUUCAAUAGUUCCCAAAAGUUCUUGUGCGAUUUCUUCUCCUCUUUCAAGCUUAUCAUCUCUAAAAGUGCCAAUACCCAUCCAAUCCAAAUUUACGAAUAGAUGAUCCGUAAAAUUGUAGCGGGUGUCUUCCCCUCUAAAACUCAAGAAAACAUCGAAGUUACAUUUUGGGGUUGGAGCUGAAGAAGAAGAGGGUUUUUGGGUGCUUGAGGAAGCCAUUUUGGGACAGGGUUUGUGGGAACUGGGAGGCUACAAGAGAGUUGAGGAUCGACUUGCACAGAGUCACUACCAAUGUCCCUGAAGAGGGUCUUUGAGUACCCUAAGAGUCUGCAAAACCUCAAUCACUUUUCACAGACCUCACGUGAAAAAAGCAAACUUUGCCUCCCAAUACUGAAAGCUCACCCACCAUUAUUGGUUUAUGUGCUCAGAGGCCUCAUUUGUAAUUACGUAUAAAGAAUCACUUCAGUGCACCCCCUUCUCAUAAAAAAUAUAUCGUUUAUUUUCAUAUAAAUUAUAAGCAAUAAAAGUGUUAUUAUUUAUAAUAACUUACUAUAUCAUACAAAUCACAUAGAAAUCAGAAUGUGCAACUAAAGGUCUAUUAAGGAUUGUUUUCAAAACUAGGUCUCAAACAACAAUUUUUAGAAUAGUUUUUAAAAACAAUUUUCUAAUAUUUUUUAGAUAAAAAAUAUAUUUGAGAACUUAAAAUACUCUUAAUCUAUUUUUAUAUUUUUCUUAAAAAUAAUUUUUAUAUUUUCAGUUUUUUUUUUUCAUAUUUAUAUAAUUAUUUUUUAAAAUACUUUCCAAAAAAAAUUAAAUAUAUUAUCAACAUACACUUAGACCAAAUCUUUAAAAAACCGGUUUCUGUGUUUUAAUUAGAGGAUCUUCUUAGAGUAUAUUUGAUUACAGUUAAGACUUGACAUGGUUUGAGUUGUGAAAUACAAGGAAUAUGAAGGAAAUCAGGUAAAUGUAAGAUUGGACAAGGUAGGGAUGGAAGAACCCCCAUAAAGAGAACAAAUUCCCCAUUCUGGACACGGAAUCCCAAAUUUUUAUUUUAUAAUUUUACAUUUCAAUGUUUAAAUUUUAUAGUCAAUACUUAAGGAUUGGGGAGGCUCUUGAGUCAAAAAGUAACGUGGGGAGGUGGGCGGCUUUCAAAAAAAUAGAAAGAAGUUCCCACCCAAUGCAAAAUUCAAAGGGAAUUGUGUUUUAGGGGAAUUGUGUUUUAUACUUGCUUAUGCUUGAUAAUUAAUAAAAGGUCCUUCAAAUAUUCAUAAUUAAUUAUAAGGAUAUAAGGUUGGAAUAAAUAAAAAUGUCCUUUUGACUUACAUCCAUUAUUUUUGUCUUUAUACCACCACUUUUUACAUGCCCCAUCCAUAAAAUUCUCCUUUAUUUAAUCAUUUUUUUAUUUUUCAUUAUUUUUUAAACUCUUUUAAAAAUAACUGAAAAAUCAGUAUUAUUUUCUAUUUUUAAAUUAUAAAUAAACAAAAUUACAUUAAUGAUCCAAAAUUUAUUUUGGAAAAUACUUUCUAAAAAAAUAUUAAUUUAAAUGAAUAAAAAUUAUUUUUUACAUUUUAGAAGUAAAUAAUUUAAUGAUUAAAAAACAAGAUUUAAAAUAAAUAUAUUUACUAUUUUUUUUCUUUUAUACUAAAAAGUAUUUUAAAGCUUAUUUUUUUUACUAUUAUAAAAUAAAAAGUUUAAAGUUUUUUUUUAUAAUCUUUUUCCUUUCAUAUUUUAAUAAUUUUUUGAACAUAGACUUUUGGUAAUAAGUUAUAUGAAUGUUCCAAAUUUGUUUAUUAAGGAAUUUUUUUAAUGAUUUGAAUUAAUUGAAAAAUUAUUGAAAUAAGAAAAAAGAAAAAGAGAGAAAGAGAAUAGAUGAAGAGUUUUUAUUUUAAAUAUCCAACUAAAAUGUUUUCGUAUUUAGAAAUGGAUUAUAUCAAUACAUAGUACAGUAGGUAUUGAAUUUUUCUCAUAUAAAAUGGUUAAAUGAUAUAUUUACUCAUUUUAAAUGAAAACAAGUAGUUAAAAAUUAUAUAAAUUAUGUUUGAGUUUGGUUUUAAAAUAUUUUUUCUAGUUUUUUUUUUUAAAAAAUAAUUUUUAUUUUCUAUAUUGUCUCUUUUUGAAAAUACAUUUAAUUAAAAAAAUGAAAACUAUUUUUAAAAAUGAAAAUUGAAAACCUUAUUUAAUAAAAAGAAUUAAAUUUCAUUUAUUGAUUAUUCUUUUUUUAUUUUUAAAAUAUAAUAUGUUCACAAUUAAAUAAAGAAAUUGGUCAAUUGUAUAUUUUUUUCACAAAAAUGUAAUAUGUUCAUAAAAAAAUUGGAUUUAAGUUUUUCGUCAUUUUUUUAAUCAAACUACUAGAAUCAUGUUUAAUAGACAUAUAGGCAUACAUGCACUAUGGGAAUAUAAAAUUUGUAUCACUAUACGAGGUAUUUACUAACUGUACAAGGGAAAUGUACUAAGUGUACAAGCAGUAUAUAAGAUUACCAUUUAUAAAAGAUUUCAAUUUAUUUUGAAUCACUCCUUUAUUUUCCUUGUCACCCACAAAUUGCAUACUCAUGUCAUGCACUUUAUUUAACUCUCACAUGAAAAUUCUGAUACUUUCCUCGGUAAUGAUGUUUGGGGAAAAGAAAUUAACCUUAAUUCAUUCACCAUUUUCUCAGUUAAACCAUUAGAAAUAUGGUUAACACACCUACGUGGACACAUGAAUUAGGAGAAAUAUAUUGCACCAUUGUAUAAUGGUAUUACGCAAAUUAUACAAGGGAAAUGUACUAAGUGUACAAGGGUGUACAAGGCUACCAUCUAAGAAAGAUUUUAACCAAUUUUGAAUCAUUUUUUCAUUUUUCUUGUCACCCAUAGAUUGCAUAGCCAUGUCAUGCAAUUUAUUUAACUUCCACAUGGAAAUUCCGAUACUUUCCUUAGUAAUAAUGUUUGGGAAAAAAAUUUUUAUCCUAAUUCAUCCACCAUUUUGUUAGUCAAACCAUUAGAAAUAAGGUUAAUAUACCUACGUGGACACACAACUUAAGAGGGAUAUAUUGCACCAUUGUACAAUGAUCUUACACUAAUUGUACAAGGGAAAUGUACUAAGUGUACAAGGGUGUACAAGGCUACCAUUUGUGAAAGAUUUUAAUCAAUUUUGAAUCAUUUCUUUAUUUUAUUUGUCACCUACAAAUCGUAUAUGAAAUUUGCACUAUUGUAUAAGAGUGUUAUACUAACUAUAUAAGAGUGUUACACUCACUGUACAAGGCAAAUAUACUAACUGUACGAGGCAAAUGUACUAACUGUACGAGGCAAAUGUACUAAUUAUACAAGGGUGUACAAGGCUACCCUUUUUGCAAGAUUUCAAUCAAUUCUGAACUUUUUUUUUUCUUGUCACCUAAGGAUUGAACACUUUUCCCCCAUACAUUCAUUCACAUAAAUUUUUUUUUAAUUUUAUCAUCCAAAAUUUGUAAUUGCAUAUUUCAUUUAAGUAGUUUUAACAAUAUUUUUUUCUUACUACAUUACAUCUUAUAUAAAGGAAAAUUAACCAUAAUAUUUAGGUAUUACCUUUUUUUGUGAAAUCAAAUUAAUAUAAAUGGAUAACACAUUAGUGUCAUUGUUUCAAAUGACUUAAGACAAUAUAAACAACAUAUAAUAAUCGUUGAAGAAAAAUUAUCAAUAUUUUUUACCAAACUAUGUCAUUUAGAUCUUCCCUACCAAAAUUAAAACAUAUGAAAUAAAAUUAAAGUUAAUCACAUUUAAAGUGUUUAUUAUAAGUAAACCGAAUGAAAUAUAUAUUUUUACUAUUUUACCUUUAUAAACAUAAUGUCAACAGAGAUUAAAAAAAUCAUAUUUAAAUAGAAUUAAAAAGGAUAAAAAAUCAUAUUUAUAAACAAUAUUUUUUCUUACUACAUUACAUCUUAUAUAAAGGAAAAUUAACCAUAAUAUUUAGGUAUUACCUUUUUUUUUGUGAAAUCAAAUUAAUAUAAAUGGAUAACACAUUAGUGUCAUUGUUUCAAAUGACUUAAAAGACAAUAUAAACAACAUAUAAUAACUGUUGAAGAAAAAUUAUCAAUAUUUUUUACCAAACUCUAUCAUGUAGAUCUUUUCUACCAAAAUUAAAACAUAGGAAAUAAAAUUAAAAUUAAUCACAUUUAAAGUGUUUAUUACAAGUAAACCGAAUGAAAUAUAUAUUUUUACUAUUUUACCUUUAUAAACAUAAUGUCAGCAGAGAUUAAAAAAAAUUAUAUUUAAAUAGAAUUAAAAAUGAUAAAAAAUUAUCUUUGUAACAUUUGUAAUUUUUUUUAAAAAAAAUCAUUAUUUAAAUUAUCAAGUUAAUUUAAAAUAUUUUUUUUUUUUUGUAAUUAUAGUUUGGAAGAUUCUAUGAUUUUUAUAUUAUUACUUUUAAUUUAUUUUUUUUGAUUUUUUAUUUUAAAUUUUAUCUAAACUUGUUUUUUCUUGCAUUUACAUGUUUUCUAUUAUAUCCCUAUUUAAGGUAAUUUUCAUCUAAUUUGUGUUUCAUUAUAUUCUCUUUUAGAUUUUAAUGUGUUGUUAUACCUCUUUACAUAACAAAAGAUUUUGUUAUUUUUCAUCUAAAAAACUUAAUACAAAAGAUAUCAUGUACGAGGAAAAAAAAAAUUAUGAUAUAAUUACAUAAACAUCUCUUAAUAUGAUACAUUUGCUUGACUUAAUGACAUCGUGCUUUAAUAAUUUAAAUCAUGUCAAGUCCACAUCUAUUUUAGAUUUAAAAGGGUAUCCGAAUAUUUUUCAAAUUAUUAAGUUAUAAUAACAUUAUUCAAUUAAAAAUUAAUUAUCACCAUUAGUUAAAAGAUGAUCAUGUUACAAAAUAAUAUAUUAAGACAAUAUCUAUGUAUUGUCCAUAAAAUAGAGAAAAUAUUCAAAUAAUUGUUUAUAACCUUAAAGCUAUAUAUAUAUUGGAUAAAAAAGAAUAAUAAUAUUUUUUAAGGUGUUUAAAAAAUAUUUAUUAUAAAUUUUGUAAGUUUAAAAAAAAAAUUAUUGUCCUUGUAAUAUUCAUCUUUUUACUAUCAUUAUGAGAACAAUAUUAAAUAUAAAAUUCUUUUAUCACUACUAUGAAAUUCAAAACUCUUGAUUAAUUAGAAUAUUGAAGUCUCUCAAAGUAAUAUUUGAUUUAACUCUUUUGACCUAUAAAUUAUUUAAAACUACUAUCAUUAAAGGGAUUUAUGAAUUCGACAUUUAUAAAAUUUAUACAAAAUUAAUUAUUAUUUAAAAUAAACAUUCUAAAGAUAGGGAAGAAAGGAUAACACUAUAAAUUAAAUUCAAGAAGAUAUAUGAAUAUACAUAUUUUAUUCCCUUUCCUUAUUUUAAUAUUUAUAUUUAUCAUUAUCCUUCGUAUAUUAAAUUAAAUUCACAAUAAUAAUGUAAUGGUAAUUCCCUCAUUUAUCAUUUAUGAAUUUAAAUAUCUCCAUUUGAGUUAAUAAUCCUCAUUAACUAGACUAGAAGAUAGAAUAUUCAAAAGAGGAGUUUCUUGUUUUCUUCUUCAAUUUAGCCUUUUAAUUUGGAUUUAACAAAUAUUUUUUAAUAUUUUAUUAAAUAAAUAUAAAAAAUUUGUGAAUAUAAAUAAUAUUAUUAACCUCAUAACUUAAAAAUUUUUGGAACUACGAAAGUAUUAAAAUUACUUUUAUACCAUGAAAGAAUUAUGGUAGAAGAUGAAAAUAAAAUAUUUAUUUAUUUAUUUAUUUUAAAAUUUUAUUUAAUAAUACUAUCAAAUAAACUCCAAAAUUAUAACAAAAUUUGAAAAGAAACAAAAAAGAAAAAUCAGAAUCUUGAAUGACUUUUCUUUGCCUCCUAAAAUAAGUUUAGAUAUUGGUGGUUAGAUCGUCCCUUUCCUCUCCCAAUUAUUUCUCAUUAUCUGUAUCCCUAUAGCAUUGAAUUGUAGUGGGUCUACAUGAGCUCAAGCCCCUACUUCCCUCCAUCAUUUAGUCCAAGCUUUCCUUACUCUUUUGCAAUUUUCUGUGUUAUUUUGUACAUUUUUUUUUGUUACUUGUUCUUUUCUCUCUCUCUCUUUUUUUUUAUUUCCCAAUUGAUCAUAUAAUAGCUAAAGUAUUUUUCUAAAAGCAUAAAAAAUAAAAAAUAUGUCAAAUCCUACUGGCUAAAUUUAUUUAGGCCAUAAGGCCCCUUUAGGUAUAUUAAAUUGAGGUUAUUCAAUUAAUUUUUAUCAUUUUCAUGAGGAAUAUUUAUAUAUAUAUAUAUAUAAUAUUCAAAUAGAUAGAAAUGGGCAUGUUCUCCACAUAAUAUAAAAUGCAUUUAGUAUUCAUUGAAGCUAAAGGUUAUGUUUGGUUCUUGAAAAGUACUAAGGAAAGAAAAAAAAUGUAAAGAAAAAUGGUUUUCUCAUAUUUGAUUUCAAAUUAAAAUUAGUUAGAAAUUUAUAUAUUUUAAAAUUAUUUAAUCUUUAUAUAAUAGAGUAAAUUAAGUGAAAUGAGUUUGAAAAAACAUAUAAAAAUAAAUUAUUAAUUUUGAAUCUAUUUUUUAUUUUCCUUUAUUUUUUCUUUUCUUCCAUUUUUCCUCUCUAUUUUCUUUUCCUCACAUUUUUCCUCAAAUUUUUCGGGACCAAACAUAGCCAAAGACUUCUAAAUCUUCUUACACAAGCAACAAAGAAAACAUUUUCUGAGAAAAUACAAGUACGUAGCUUAUGAAUGAAGCUCAGAUCAACACCCAAUUCAGGGGAUUUCAAAUGGGUAUUUUUGAAUGCAAGCAAAUUCACCCUUUAUUCACAAGAAACACCGUUUCACCAAGAUUGAUGGUAAAAUCACUCAAAUUGACUACUUCACUUCACUUCACUUCACUCAAAUUGACCACCUUAAGGAAAAGGAAAAUGAAGGUGAAGGGAAUUUUUUUGUACCUUAUUUUUAAAUUUAAUAUUUUAGAAAAAAUUUAAAUCCAUGUUGUCAUGUCCUCUUAAAUUUAUUUGAAAAACUAGUGAAAAUAACUUCAACUUAUUCUCUAAAAAUUGUUUUCUAUUUCAUUUUAUUUUUAAAAAUUGUUUACAAAUAACAAUAAACAAUUAGUUAGAAAUUUUUAAAAAUUAGUUUUUUAUUUUUAAAGACAAAAAAUUAUUUUUAAAGCUUUAUAUUUUUUUUAAUUAAUCAAUUAUUAUUAUUAUAUUGAAAAGUAGAAAACUUUAAAUAAUAAAAUGAGAUUAUUAAUGAAUAGAAUGAGGGAAAAAGUAAUAAAAAGUGAUAACUAAAGUAUGAAGAAAGAAGAGUAUGGGUUAGAUGGUUUUAGAUACUUACAAUUAGUAUUUGAAUGUUUUUUUUUUUUUUAAUUUCAAAUUUGUUGAAUAGCUUGAGUUGGUAUAUUUUUUAUCACCUCCUAUUUUUAAAUGUAUAAAAAUAAAUACCCUUGGAAAAAUAUGAAAUUGUGGACCCCGCAUUUCGGCUCAUGCGUUUCCCACUCGAUGGCGAGCUCGAUUUUAAUUUGAAAAAUGAUUUGAUUGAUUAAGAAAAUGACUUGGAGCCGUCACUUAUUUUUGUUUUAUUUUUAAAAGGGUAAAAAAAAUAAGAAAGAAAACCCUAAGCGUGACUCCUUAUUUUGGAAAAGGUGGUCUAUGAAAAACCGGAUCGGGCUCGGGGGUCAGGUUACUUAUUGGGAAGGUACGGUAUAAACCAUAACACCCCUCUAAAUCCCUAAAGUCAGGUCUCUACUAAUACAAUGAAACUGACGUGGCAAUCAACGAGAAAGUCAAUGGAUAUUCACCUAAAUCAUGCACAAUAUGAGAAUCAAAACACGCAAUAGAGAUUGACUAGAAAGGGAGUGGAUGCGUACCUCGGCCACGAGCCACAAUGCGCUAUCAAGAAACGGGAUUAGUGCACAAUUAAUGAAUACAAAACAUAGCUCAUACAUAUCGGAGUGCAAAACGAAGCUCAAGCAAAAUACAGUAAGCAUGAUAAUUGACUAUCAAAAGGGGUCAAACAUAGGGCCCCCAACAAAGCCCGAUUUAUUGUUCAUGAGUUAAUCUCACAAAUCCCAUGUUUUAGAACUAUGAAGGAAUCACUAUUGCUUAUAUAAAAUCAAGAAGAUCAAAAGAUUAUUUAGGAACUGAAAUGUGAUUAAAAACUAUUCGAGUGAAAACUGGAUUAUUGGAGCUUAUUUGAAAAUUGGAGUAUUUGAAAUUAAAUUUUGAAGAUUAGAGCUCCGGUGAUUAAAUUGAAAUUUGUUAAAGAAAAUGAGAAACGGACUUUAGGAAAUUGAACUGCGAGACCAUAGACUUUUGAAAGUUGAAUUUAUAAUAAUGAUAGUAAUAAGGUCUUGAGAGUUUGAAUUAAUAAUAAUAAUAAUAAUAAGAUUUCGAAAGUCUGAAUUAAUGAUAAUAAUAAUAAUAAUAAUAAUAUUUUGAAAGUGUGAAUUAAUAAUAAUAAUAAUAAUGAGAUUUUGAAAGUUGGGUUAAUCAUAAUAAUAGUAAUGAGAUUUUUGAAAGUUGGGUUAAUAAUAAUAAUAAUAGGACUUUGAAAGUUUGGAAUAAUGAUAAUAAUAAUAAUAAUAAUAAUAAAUAGAUGUUGAAAGUGUGAAUUAAUAAUAAUGAUAAUAAUGAGAUUUUGAAAGUUGGGUUAAUAAUAAUAAUAGUAAUGAGAUUUUUGAAAGUUGGGUUAAUAAUAAUAAUAAUAGGACUUUGAAAGUUUGGAUUAAUGAUAAUAAUAAUAAUAAUAAAUAGAUUUUGAAAGUUGAGGUAAUAAUAAUAAUAAUAAUGAGAUUUUUGAAAGUUUGGAUUAAUGAUGAUAAUAAUAAUAAUAAAUAGAUGUUGAAAGUGUGAAUUAAUAAUAAUGAUAAUAAUGAGAUUUUGAAAGUUGGGUUAAUAAUAAUAAUAGUAAUGAGAUUUUUGAAAGUUGGGUUAGUAAUAAUAAUAAUAGGAUUUUGAAAGUUUGGAUUAAUGGUAAUAAUAAUAAGAAUAAAUAGAUUUUGAAAAUUGAGUUAAUAAUAAUAAUAAUAAUAAGAUUUUGAGAGUUGAAUUAAUAAUAAUAAUGAUAAUGAUAAUAAUAAUAAUAAUAAUAAUCAAGAAUAAUGAUAAUAACAAUAGUAAUAAUAGUAACAAUGAUAACAAUAAUAAUAACAAUAAUAACAAUAAUAAUAAUAAUAAUAAUAAUAAUAAUAAUUAAUAACAAUGAUAAUAACAAUGAUAAUAAUAAUAAUAAUAAUAAUAAUAAUAAUAACAAUGAUAAUAAUAAUUAAUAAUAAUAAUAAUAAUAAUAAUAAUAAUAAUAGUAAUAAUGAUAAUAAUUAAUAAUAAUAAUAAUAAAUGAUAAUAUGCAUCCAUCAAGCCCAAGCCCAUAAGCCUAAACCCACUAAUAAGCCCCAUCAUCAAGCCCAGUCCAAUAAGAUAUCAAUGGGCAAGCCCAAGGCAAUUAAAGCCUUCAUAAACUUGGGCUUCUCUUCAUAGGCUUGGGCCUGGGCUCCAAGUUCAAACCCAAGCCCAAAACCAUCAUGGGCAAAACAACCCUUCUCUUCACCAUUUGCCUCUCCACCCGCGAAGACUCCACCGGCGGCACGAUGAAGAGGAGAGCCAUGGCAGUGCGGGGAAAAGAGGAGCAGCGGCGGCGCGGGGAAGAAGGGAGCCGUGGCGGCGGUCUGGUGACGUUCAAAAGGUGCUGCCGCCACGGUGGCUGGCGCAGGCGCGCGCGUAGCCGGAGCAGGUGGUGGCGGCCUGGCGACGUCCAGAAGGUACUGCCAGUUCAGGGAGCGUGAAGAAUGACGACGCCACGCGUGCAUGGGUGCAACCGAGUUUAAUGUCUCCUCUUGGGCACAAGUCCUGGCCGCGUGCAUAGGCUACUUUAGGGACGAUUAGCACAUGUCACCCUGUUUUUGACCGGAUUUGAUGCACUCUACACAGCCGGAAACUUCCCAUGGCUUUGAGCCAUACUCGAAGUUGCCUUUAGGCAAUGGACCAUUGGUGAAAGAUACAGUAGUGUGGCAAGUGGCGCAAAGUAGUAGGAAUAGCACUCGGGAUUUCAGCCACAUUGUGUUCCUCAGAGAGAGAGAGAGAGAGAGAGAGAGGUAGUAAUGCAAGGUCCAGUGAAGAUGGUGGCACGAGGGAUGGGUGUAUUUGCAUGUGGUAUGCAUGGAAUAUGGGGAAACGGGUAUGGAGGACAUAGAAAGAUGAGGGGUGGGGCGCGGAUGUCAUGCGGGCAUACAUGUUUACCAAGCUCCGAAUCAGACAACGCACCAAACAGCACAAAUAUAUGAGUAUUAACAAAGACAAUAGCCUGAGCAUGCGAUGAGUGUUAAACCAACAUGGGAACAUGAUGGUGCCAAGCUCCAUUUUCAAUGACAUUCGUGGGCUCAAAAUGGGUGGAAUUAACGAAUCAAAGAAGAAAGAAAAAAACAAGAACGAAGCAUGUAUACAGAAAACUAGAUUUAACCUAAAGCAAACAGAUUAAUGCUUAGGACUAGAACUGAAAAAAAAAGGUCAAGAAGAAUAGGAGAAUAAUAGAAGGUGGAAGACAUGAGGUUCGUACCGUAGAUGGACUCUCUUCCUAUUCUCGCCUUCUUCAAACUUCACUCUCCAAGAUCCCCAGAACUAGCCAGUCCCCUCCUCUGUCAGCCCCCCUUUUCUCCUUCCUGUCCCUCCUUUUCUUUUUUCUCUGUUUCUCUUUAGCUUCUCCUCCAAGCCAUGUCCGUAUCCCAUCCCAUUUUCCGCCCAAAAGCUCCCCCAUCAGUCCCUUUUUACUGCCCCAAAAAACAGCUCUCCCCAUCAUGUCGAGUGGCUCGGGAAAAAAGGUAGGAAAAAAGAAAAAUAAAUAAAUAAAUAAAAAACUCCCUGCCUCCGGGGGGUCUACAAAUAUGCCCCUCUUUGAUAGAGUUCACAAGUGUAGUUCACUAGAGUGAAAAAGAAGUGUGAAAAGUGAGUGAAAUGAAGUGAACUCUAUCGAAGAACAAAGAAAGACCCCCGAACCCGAAAGGUACAAGUAGAACAUAAACUCACUCGAGGCUCGAACACAAACUCACUCGAGGCUCUAAAAUUCUAAGAGGCUCAAGGAGCCUCUAAAGCUGCAUCGAGGACCCAGACUCCCUCUAAGAUGUCUCUAAAAGUGACUUGAAGAAUCGAUGCCAAAGAUGAGUAACGGUCGAACCACUCUGAAGUACAAGAAAGAGUGUGCCAGGAGGAGACUAUCCUAAAUGAACUAUAUGAAAAUGACAAGUGUAGGGGUGCUCAAUAACAUGACAGAAAUACGUAUUGUGAACUCAAAGGACAUCGUCAUGAGCAGUGAAGAGGGAAACUGGAAGAACAAUGACGAAUAUGAGAUAAGCACAGGGUAACGGGGUGAGAAAAGUAAGAGUAAGUGUGAGGCCAUGAAGGCAAUAUGUGCAAUGCUAGUGGAUAUGAAUACCAGAUACUGUGACUCUGAAUGAUAUAGCUGAGGGAGAAUGACUCUGAACGUCAAAAUACAGAAAGAUGGUGACAAGGUGCCUGAACGGACAAUGUACAAUGGCUCUGAAUGCCAAACUAAAGAAAGAUGAUGGCAUCGAAUGCCUGAAUGAGCAUGAAAAAUGGCUUUGAACGCUAAAGCUAAAAAAAGAUGGUGACUCAAAAUACAUGAAUGGGUAUGAAAAACGGCUCUGAACACCAAACUAUGAAAUAUAGUGAAUCAAAAUGCAUGAAAGGGUACGAAAGGUGGCUCUGAACGCCAAGGAUGGAAGAAAAAUGCUAAUGGCUGUGGAUGUGGAUAUGAGGGCUCCCAACAUCGAACUGAGAAUGAAUAAAGGCUUUGAACGCCAAAGUGAAAAUGUGGCUCUGAACGCCAAAUGGGAAAUGAAUGAUGGCCCUGAACGCUAACUAAAAGCACGACUCUGAACGCUGAAUGGAACAAUGGCUCCGAACGCCAAACUAAAAGUACGGCUCUGAACGCCAAACUGAAAGAGUGGCUUUAAAGAAAAUAGUGAUGGCUCUGAAUGCCAAAACUGAUAACGAAGAUGGCUCUGAUCGCCAAACUGAAUAAGCGAUGAUGGCUCUGAGUGCCAAACCGAGAAUGAUGAUGGCUUUGAACGCCGAAACUGAGAAUAAGGAUGGCUCCGAACACCAAACUGAGAAGUGAUGACGAUGACUCUGAACGUUAAACUAAAAAUAGUGAUGGCUCUGAACGCCAAAACUGAGAAGCGAUGAUGAUGACUCUGAACGUCAAACUGAGAAGUGAUGAUGAUGACUCUGAACGUCAAACUGAGAAGUAAUAAUGACUCUGAACGCCAAAACCGAGAAGUGAUAAUGACUCUGAACACCGAACUGAAAACACGGUGAUGGCUCUGAACGCCGAACUGAAAACAACGGUAACGAAUCUGAACGCCGAAACUGAGGAUGCAACUCUGAAUAUCGAUCUGAAAACCGAUGAUGACUCUGAACGCCGAAACUAAAAAAUGAUGAUGGCUCUGAACGCCGAACUAAAAGCAGUGGUAACGACUCUGAACGCCGAAAUCGAGGAUGUGACUCUGAAUGUCGAUCUAAAAACCGAUGAUGACUCUAAAAGCCGAAACUAAAAAGUGAUGAUGGCUCUGAACGCCGAAACUGAGAAGUGAUGAUGAUGACUCUGAACAUCAAACCGAGGAUGUGACUCUGAAUAUCGAUCUGAAAACCGAUGGUGGCUUUGAACGCCGAAACUAAAAAGUGAUGAUGAUGACUCUGAACGUCGAACUGGGAAGUGAUAACGACUCUAAACGUCGAAACUGGGGAUGCGACUCUGAAUGUUGAUCUGAAAACCGAUGAUGGCUCUGAACACCGAACUGAAAACACGGUGAUGGCUCUGAACACCGAAACUAAAAAGUGAUGAUGGCUCUGAACGCCGAAACUGAGAAAAUAAUACCUUUGGAAGCCAAAUCAAAAAGCUAACUCUAAACACUAAACUAGAAGAAUAAUGGCUCUGGAAGCCAAACCAAAAAACUAACUCUAAAAGCUAAACUAGGAAAUAACAGCUCUGAAAGCCAAACCAAAGAGCUAACUCUAAAAGCUAAACUAGAAAAUAACAGCUCUGGAAGCCAAACCAAAAAGCUAAAUCUAUACGCUAAACUAGAAAAUAAUAGCUCUGGAAGCCAAACCAAAAAUCUAACUCUAAAAGCUAAACUAGAAGGCCCAUAGGUGAAAACCUACGGUGGCGAUACAAUAAAAAUGCCCAUAGAUGCCAAUCUAUGGUGGUGAAACUCUCAAAGGCCCACAGAUAAAAAUCUAUGGUGGUGAUAACCGAAACAAAUGCUCAUAGAUGAAAAUCUAUGAUGGUGAAUCUGAAAUGCCCAUAGAUAGCUAAUCCAUGGUGGUGAAAUAACUGAAAUGCCCAUAGAUGUCUAAUCUAUGGUGGUGAUAAAUCUGAAACAAAGGGGGAUGCCCUAAACAAACUGAAAAUAAGGGGAUGCCCUAAACAGACUAAAAAUAGGGGGAUGCCCUAAACAAGAUGACAGUAACGGGAUGCCCUAAACGAAAUGACAGUGGGGGGUUGCCCCAAACGAAAUGACAAUGGGGGGUUACCCUAAACGAAAUGACAGUAAGGGGAUGCCCUAAAUGAAAUGACAGUAGGGGAAUGCUCUAAACAAACUGAAAAUAGGGGGAUGCCCUAAACAGACUAAAAAUAGGGGGAUGCCCUAAACAAGAUGACGGUAGGGGGAUGCCCUAAACAAAAUGACAGUGGGGGGUUGCCCUAAACGAAAUGACAGUGAGGGGUUGCCCCAAACGAAAUGACAGUAGGGGGAUACCCUAAAUGAAAUGAUAGUAGGAGGAUGCCCUAAACGAAAUGAUAGUGGGGGGAUGCCCCAAACCAAAUGACAGUGGGAGGAUGCCCUAAACGAAAUGACAGUGGGGGGUUGUCCCAAACGAAAUGACAGUGGGGGGUUGCCCCAAACGAAAUGACAGUAGGGGGAUGCCCUAAAUGAAAUGAUAGUAGGAGGAUGCCCUAAACGAAAUGACAGUGGGGGGAUGCCCCAAACGAAAUGAUAGUGGGGGGAUGCCCCAAACGAAAUGACAGUGGGGGGAUGCCCCAAACGAAAUGACAGUGGGGGGUUGCCCCAAACGAAAUGACAGUGGGGGGAUGCCCCAAACGAAAUGACAGUAGGGGGAUGCCCCAAACGAAAUGACAGUGGGGGGAUGCCCCAAACGAAAUGACAGUGGGGGGUUGCUCCAAACGAAAUGACUGUGGGGGGUUGCCCCAAUAGAAAAGCGCUAAAGGGGGUAUGCCCCAGUAUGACGACUCGCAAAGAUCAAGAAAUGGACUGAGUAGUGAGAAAGAUGUGCAAAACAGCCGAUGAACUUAAAGACGGGGGUAUACCCUAGUGUGGCAUGCCGCUGCAAAUCUCAAUCCGCUGGAAAUGACUAAAAGGGACUCUACGAGUCUCGAACGACGCUUCGCUAAGAGCUCAUAUCGAUGAAGAGCUUAGGAAUAAUGGUCAGUGAGGCGAAUACAAUAUAUCUCGAUCGAGUGAUGGAAACUGUAACGGAUAUGUGAGAGAACGAUCGCCUCCAUGGCUAAAUGAAGGCAAUAUGCCCCAGUAUGACAUCAGAUGUACCCGAUCUGUCCUGAUGACCCGAGAAUAACACCAAUGGGACGCGUAACAGAUCUGAUAUGUACCCCUCUGAAAUGAUGAAGCGGGAAAUCCAGGCACCAGAGACAACUCCAUCUAGGAAUCACGACUAUAUCAAAGGGUAUGAAUCUGGCUGAAUGACUCAAGAGAGGCUCCUCGGAGUAUCCGGACAAAAUGAAAUCAAACAUCGACCUGGCGUGUAUCUCAUAAUCGUGGAUGAUCAUGUAAACCAGUGGGGAUCUAUAAAUCUCGAUCAAGAUGGGGAAUAUGCCCCAGUGUGGCAUCAAGAAUGCAAUACGUCGAAAAAUCAGAUGAGCUCAGGUCAUCCAUGCCUGGCUAGAUGGCUCCCAAUAGGCUCCACUAAGGAAUCAUCGUGAGGAUAGCGAAUAUAUCAUCAUCUCUGCAUACAUCUCGCCAAAUAAGGAUAAGCACGCGACUCCCUCAUGAUCUGUAAAUCUCAUUUGAACCGAAAUAUGCCCCUGUAUGGCAUCGAAAUGUAUGAUAGGCCGGAGAUCAGAUAGCAUGGAAUCAUUUAUCCUCGAACAUGUGACCUCUACGAACAUCCAUAAAGAUCCUCCGAAACGGAAUAUGCCCCAGUAUGGCAUCAGGUGCGCGACAGGUCCAAAGAACAAAUGUCAUGAAAUCAUCCAUCAUCGCACAUGUGACCUCCAUGAAAGUCUGUAAAUCUCAUCUGAAACGGAAAAUAUGCCCCAGUAUGGGCAUCGGAUGCACGACAGGUCAGAAAUCGAGCAACAUGAAAUCAUCUGUCAUCGAACAUGUAACAAUGGUCGUCCGAAUCCAUAACUAAAUCAUGCACACAUAUCCAAGAUGUACCUCCCAGAUGGAGAGGCAUGAUGGCAUCCAAGUGUAGAGAAGUGCGGACCUAGCUGGGUGGAUCUCAGAGGCUCUGUAAGGUAACGAUCAUGUCCACGUCUCAGUGAGCAUCCAGUAAGUGAUGAUCGUGCAAGUCCGUGAGGAUCCAUGAACCUCCAAAUGAAAUGGGAUAUGCCCUAGUGUGGCACCAGAGGUAUGAUAGGUCAAAAAUUAGGUGACACCAAAUCAAUCAUCAUCAAACUCACGAUCCUGGUAAUCCGAACACAACUGAAUUAGACCUACACAUCAAAGAGGCGACUCCUAGAAGAAGAAGCAUGGUGAUAUCUAAAUAUCAACCGGAUCUCAAUCACCUGUCCAAGUAGAGGCUGCCGAAGACGACAUCUAAUCCCAUGGCCUCAGGGUGGUCUUAAGACACGGGACGUAACGUAGGCCAAGGUGAUAGGGUGAUAGAAACAAAAAAAAACUAGGCUCAAAUACCCAAUGAUCAAAACUUAUGCCCUCAUAUAUGAAAUGCAACAUGUAUAGUGAACCCCAUGAGCCAUGGACCUGAGGAUGCCUAACGUGAAUAUGAUGUCGAUAAGGAGACAAAUGAAGCAACAUGAAUUGAUAGUGAUAUGUGUAAUGAUGAUGCGAAGUAAGUAUCGAACCCGAGAUGGGUCGCUGUAAGGAGAGAAUAAGAUGUGAAGGGAAUGAGAUGAAUCACAAGCAACGAUAAAAACGACAGCGAAACAAUGGAUAUGUGAAGAAAGGUGGUGAUCGACUCAGAUCAAACAUGAAGUGAAGUCACAUCAAUAAUGAAUGUAAUGAUGGAAAGGACAAUGACUCGGAGUCCUUAGGAGAAGGUCACUCAUCUCUCUCACAAAUAGAUAUGACGAAGCAACAUAAAUAACAUGGGAUCUCGGAGAGCUGGCAUACGAACUCCCAAUAACGAACAUGCUCGAUAAAAACGACCCCUAGAAAUCAAUAUACAUACUCUAUGAUCAAGAACACUACGCACAUACACACAUGUGCUUAUUAUUAUUAUUUCUUUCUUCUUUUUUUUUUCUUUUUUUUUUUACAUAUAUACAAAUACACAUCCCCUGAACAUGAACAAAUGAACCCCGAGGGUGAUGUCGAUAACGGAUGGACACCGACCCAAGUGCUAAGGCAACCCAAAACUCUCUUUAACGAGAUGACCUUCUCAAACUAAGGAUCUCUAAACCAAUGUCCGUGAGAUAGACGGUGGAAAUGAUGUGACUAUCCUCCAUGUGAUGAACUGAGGAGGCUCACCACUCAGGGUGGAGAGAAUAUGAGACAAACAAAUAGUAGAUAGGAUAAAGAAGAAGAGAUGAAUAACACAACCAAUAAGAUGAGAUGAAAAUGCAGAGGUGCAGUGAUAAGAAAAGAUGAUGAGAAAAACAUGCCCCUAGGUCCAAGGCUCAUGAAACUCCCAAACAAUGCAUGCAUACAUUAAAGGGCCCCUAUCCCGGUGUGAAAAUGUGAGCAAGGCGAUAAGAAAGAAAGGCUAUAAUACGCAUGUGAGGCUCAAUGGGCUAGCAACGGACUAUGUAUCACAAAGGAAUAAUAAGGUAAUGGCUAACCGAAAUGAUGGCCACCCAUCCUACGACCAUGGUCUCAAACAUAGUACCUCUUUAGCUGAUCCACAUUAGUUGGCUCUGAGAAUCAGUUUCUGUCUAAAUCUAUCAGCCAUGCAGCGCCCUCUGGGGUCAACUCCCUGAUGAAAUAAGGUCCACUCCAGUUGGGUCUGAACUUCCCUCUAGGAUCUCUGAUCAAUCCCCUGAUGACUUUCAAGACUAAGUCACCUACAUGUAAUGGUUUGGGCUUGACCCGCUUUUUGAAAGCGCGGGCCAUCUUCCUCUGAUAUGCACGAACAUGGUCUGCUGCUCUCAAUCUCCUCUCAUCUAGGAGAUUAAGCUGAUCAAAUCGAGCCUGAGCCCAAUCUGUCUCGGGAAUCUGCUGCUCUAGUGCUACCCUCAACGAACCCAUCUCAAUCUCAACGGGUAGCACUGCCUCCAUGCCAUAUACCAAUGAGUAGGGUGUGGCGCCUCUAGAGGUGCGAAAAGAGGUCUGAUAAGCCCACAAUGCAAAUGGGAGCUUCUCUGACCAAUCCCGAGAAGUCUCGAUCAUCCUCCGUAAUAUCCUCUUGAUAUUCUUAUUCGCGGCCUCUACUUCCCCGCUCGUCUGCGGCCUGUACGCAGACGACCUAUGAUGUCGGAUGCUAUAUCGCUGCACCAAGGUGUCAACCUCUGCCCUGAAAUGUACCCCUCUAUCCGAAAUCAACUCAUGAGGGACUCCGUAGCGACAAAUAAUGUGUGAUCUAAUGAAACUAGCAACUCCAGACAAUGUCAAUCUCGCAUACGAAGCGGCCUCCACCCACUUGGUGAAGUAGUCGAUGGCGAUCAAGAUGAACUCAUGACCACUAGAAGAUUUCGAAGAAAUCUUUCUGAUGAUGUCGAUACCCCAUACUGAAAACGGCCAAGGUGAAGUCAGUGCGUGCAACUCUGAAGGUGGCAAGUGAAUGAGGUCCCCAUGUAUUUGACACUCGGGACAUCUCUGAACAAACUGGCAGCAAUUCGUCUCCAUGGUCAACCAGAAGUAACCGGUCCUCAUGAUCUUACGGGCCAACAUAUGUCCUCCCAUAUGUGGUCCGCAGACUCCCACAUGAACCUCUCUCAUCACUCGAUCGGCGGAGGCACGGUCCAAGCACAAUAAUAGUAUCCCAUCAGCUGAUCGUCUAUAUAAUGUCUCACCACAAAUCACGAAUCGGGCGGCUAACUGUCUCAAUGCUCUCCUAUCCUUGGUCGUGGCAGCCUCAGGAUACACGCCAAGUCUCAAGAAGUGAUAUAUAUCAUGGUACCACGGCAGACCAUCGUCUAUCUCUAUAUCAUCAAUCAGACAACAAUAUGCAGGAGUAGACCUCGACUCGAUCAACAAUGGGCGAACAGUGGCAUCAACAGGAAUGUCAAUCAUGGAAGCCAGAGUAGCUAAGGCAUUAGCAAACUAGUUCUACGCUCUAGGCAAAUGGGUAUAUCUCAAAUCAUCGAAUCUCCCGACCAGUAGCUCUAAAUACACGUGGUAAGGCCUAAGCUUCACAUCUCUAGUCUUCCACUCGCCCUGAAUCUGUCUCAAUACCAUAUUGGAGUCACCAAACACCUCCAUCUGUCUAAUCCCGAGCUCGAGGGCUGUCUCUAAUUCCAAGAUACAAGCCUCAUACUCAACAAUGUUGUUCGUGGCAGGAUGUCGAUCCGAGAAUGCCAAACGAACAUAUCUGGGAAUGUGAUCACUAUGAGGGGAUAUCAAUAGGACGCUUAUCCCGUAUCCGGAAUGGUUGGCUACACCAUCAAAGUACAUGCGCCAACCUGACAGACUAGUCACAGCAGCAACAUCCUCGUCUGGGAAGUCGUCAUCAAUGGCCCUGCCAUCGGGAACUGGUAAAGAAGCUAGAUGAUCUGUGACAACGCUCCCUCUAAUGGACUUCUGAGUGACAUAAUGGAUGUCAAACUCAGUAAGAAGUACCAACCAUCUCAUGAGGCGACUGACCAGGGCGGGCCUAUCAAACAAAUAUCUCAAAGGAUCUAGACGGGAUAUCAAGUGCACCGAAUACUCGGUCAUGUAAUGUUUCAGUCGGCGAGUGGCCCAAACCAAAGCCAAGCAAUAGCGCUUAAUCAUAACAUAUCUCGUCUCGUAGUCUAGCAUCCUCUUACUCAGAUAAGAUAUGGUCUGAUCCUUACCCGAAUCAUGGUACUGAGCUAGCAUGCAUCCCAAAGCCAUGUCUGAGACGGAUAGGUAUAGGAGUAAAGGACGGCCUGGUGUAGGAGGCGCCAAGACUGGGGGUGACAACAAGUACUCUCGGAUCCUCUCGAAUGUGCGCUGACACUGAUCAUCCCAAACAGUGGGUUGACUCUUCCUCAAGAGUCGGAAAAUGGGCUCAUAGAUGUCUGUCGAUCUGGCGAUGAAUCUGCUGAUGUACUGAAGUCUACCCAAGAAGCCUCUGACCUCUCUCUCUGUCCUCGGUGCAGGCAUGUCCAGGAUAGCUCUGAUCUUAUUCGGAUCUACCUCUAUGCCUUUCUCACUGACCAUAUACCCUAAGAGUUUCCCAGAAGUCACUCCGAAAGUGCACUUCUUAGGAUUCAAUCUCAAUCUGAACUGUCGGAUCCUCUCAAAGAACCUCUCCAGAGCUGCCAAGUGAUCUGGUAUAUCUCGGGAUUUCACUAUCAUGUCGUCUACAUAAACCUCGACAUCCUGAUGCAUCAUGUCAUGGAAAAUGGUGGUCGCCGCUCUCUAAUAGGUGGCUCCUGCUUUCUUCAAUCCGAAUGGCAUGACUCUAUAGCAAUAAGUACCCCACUCGGUAAUGAAGGACGUCUUCUCCAUGUCCUCUGGAGCCAUCAAGAUCUGACUGUACCCGGAAAAUCCGUCCAUAAAGGACAACAUCGAAUGACUCGUCGUACUGUCAACUAGCAUGUCGAUAUGUGGAAGGGGAAAAUCAUCAUUAGGACUAGCCUUGUUGAGAUCUCGGAAAUCAACACAGACUCUCACCUUACCGUCCUUCUUGGGAACAGGGACGACAUUAGCCAGCCACUCCGGGUACUUGACCACUGAUAAGAAUCCUACACUGAGCUGCUUCUAAAUCUCCUCCUUGACCUAUAGGCUCCAACGAGGAUGCAACUGUCUCAACUUCUGCUUAACCGGCCUGGCAUGGGGCAGAAGUGGCAAACGAUGCUGGACGAUAGAUGGAUCAAGGCCAGGCAUGUCCUCAUAGGACCAUGCGAAGACGUCCAAGUAUGCUCUGAGCAACUGGAUGAGGUUGUCUCUCUCAUCUACAGAUAGAUCUGACCCGAUCCUCAACUCCCUAGGCUGAUCUGUUAUGCCGAAAUCAACAAUCUUUGUGUCCCUUACAGCAGGUGAAACCCUCUAAUCAACGGCAUCCAAAUCAGAAACAGAAGAUGAGCCAUCAUCUGAGUCAUGCUGUGCAAUCUCAUCAUCAAUAUCAAAAAUCUGUGAUGUGGGUGAAGAUGGUGCAGAUAAAUCAAUAUCAGAAGAGAUAGGCAAAUACUCGAAAAUGCUUAAAUCCAUAGAUGAAAAGUCGGAAACAUAGUCAGGAAGGGAGACAAAUCCGGAUAAAACAUCAAAUGAAAGAGGUGAGUCCACAAAGUCGGACACUCCCUCAACAAGGCCAACAGGGCCGUCAAUCAAAUCAACAGCAACUAUAACAUCCUCGACGACCUCUAGAGUGGGGGCAACCUGGAUCUCCUCGGCGAUCUCAAGGACGAACACCCCGAAGAGAUCAAAUGGUGAAGCAAGCUCCGGCGGGGCUAUCUCCUCGGUCUGGCUCAAGCUCAUCGCGAGCAUCUCAUCAACGUACUCAUCACGCGGCACGGAUCCGUCCACUACGUCUCCAAUCUCGGCAAAAGUCCCAUGAUCAUCAAUCUCAUCCGGGAAGCAAAGCAUCAUAAGGCUCGUGUUGGGGAGGGAGGAGCAAUCAACACAAAAUUCGAAGAACCAGGGGCUCCGUCACUCAACUAUAAUUGCUGGACGAGGCGCUGAAGCUCAGCUUCCUGGGUGGUGCUGAGUCCUCCGAUGAUCCCAUCAGAUGGUGCAUGUGGCUCUAAUGCCCUCACAAAGUAAUCAGCUAGGCUCAUGGUGUAUGGGCGGACAGGAUAAUAAAAGGGCGUAUGAGUCAAGCGAGCCCUCACCCUCUCCCUACGCAGCCGCGCCAUAUGACGAUAGUCGGCCUCAGUGGGAAUGAAUCCAAGCCCGAAUGGUACAUCGCGGUUCGGAAAGGCGAUGAACCCACUAGGCCCGUGCUGACGCCGCCCUAGGCCCAUACCGGGAAGAUAAGACAUGCUCCGCAUAAUAUCGAGCACCACCGUGCUGCUGUGCUGGUCGAAGGACAUGGCUACAAAGUCUCGGCAGAAAUCCUCCAUCUCCAAAGUCUGCACCUCGUCAAAGGUAAAUCUAGUCAGAAAAAGAUCAUCAUCAGCGUGACUAAUCUCGAGUACAGGCUCGGCAGAGAUGAACCUAUCACCCACAGACUGCACCACGACGACCCGGCCAUCAUGAAUAAACUUCACCUUUUGAUUAAGGGAAGAAGGAAUAGCUCUGGCUCUAUGGAUCCAUGGUCGGCUUAGAAGCAGGUUAAAGGAUGUAAGAAUCCUUAAAACCUGAAACACGGCAACAAAAGUGGCUGGACCAAUCAGUAGCUCAAUCUCUAAUGUACCCAUGACCUCCCUCCGAGUGCUAUCAUACGCGCGAACGAUCUGAGUGGAGGGACCGAAGUCAGAAGGAGCGUAUCCGAGGGCAAUGGCAGUGGCGAGAGGACAUACGUUCAGGGCCGAGCCAUUGUCCAAAAGGACAGAUGGGACUCGACGGCCUGAACAACCAACUGAUAUGUAGAGUGGACGCGUGUGAUCCGAGCCCUCCGGUGGCAAAUCAUCAUCCGAGAAUACGAUGCAUGUGGCUCAACCGGCCGUCAUCAUAUGGAUCAAUCCCUCGGGGAAGGUGGUAGUCUCGACCCGGAUUUGGCUCAAAGCCCGAAUCAGAGCAUCACGGUGAGUGCUCGAGGAGGCCAACAGGCUCCAAAUGGAAAUACGAGCCUGAGUGCUCCACAACUGUCUCAAGAUCUCGUCAUCCUCGGCUCUGACCUCUUCGAGAGCGGACGUACCCUCAACUGGCUAGCUGCCACGGGGGGUGGCUGUCGCAUCACUCUACCUCCUCGAAGAACAUACUGAAUGUCCAGAGUCUGAGAAUCAUCAACGUUUGGAGCCUGAACCUCCUCAACAUCCGGGAUCAAGAUGAAAGGCGUCCGAACACUGUAAUGCGGCAAAAUCAAUGGCUCAACGGUGGCAGCCUGCACUGAUGCCGCCUCAGGAACUAAACGGAAUGGAGCAGGCGUCCGAGGACCCAGAGUCACCCCACUCAUCUCAUAAAUCACACCUGGCAUGAUGGGCUCUAGGUCUGAAUCAUCAUCACUCAGCAUGUGGAUGUGGUCAUCGAUCUCAUCAAACUCUAAGAAAUGAAUAUCAUUGGCUGGUGGAGGGACUGCAUGUGUGGUGUGAGCAGGCAACGGGUUCGUAGUCACACUCGGCUAACCCAAGUGUACCAAACCCUGGUCGAUCAAAUCCUGAACAACAUGCCUCAAAGCGGUGCAUCGAUCGGUCUCGUGUCCAGGCUCCUGAUGGUAUGCAUAGUGUAGAUCCAUCCUGAACUGGGGUGGAAUCGGCUGAGGCGGUGGCCGAGGGGUGAGAGUAGUCAAUAACCCAGCCUUUGUAAGCUUCCGAAGAGCCUGGCUCAACGGCACGCCAAUCUGUGAGAAUUGCCUCUGCGUCCUCAAAGCAAAGGGAGCAGAAAUCUGGUGAGCUCUGGGUUGGGGAUAAGGCGCUACGGGUCUCGCAGUGAACUGAGCAGCAUAGCAUGGUUGUCCUAUAGCCAUGUAGGAAACCGAGGGUCUCUCAAUGCCCUGGGAGGCAUAAUAAGGCAAAGCCAAAGUCUGCGGAGUAUAUGUCUAAUCAUAAGUUAGACAAGGUGCCCGUGGCCUGUACUGAUGAGAUGCAUAGGACGAAUGAGGCUCGGGAAACUGUGGGAUUGGCUGAUGGCGCCUGAGAGGCCUCUGACUGGAAGAACCAAUAGCGCUGUUUACUUUAAGAUAAGCUGAGAAUAAUACUUCCAAGAGACACAAUGUUUUGUGAUCAUAGAUCAUAAUAUAAAUCCUGCUAACACUUAUGGCCGCCAUCAUUCUAGCAAAGUCAAAACCUUUGGGCUGUUGAGACUUAUGGUCUCUGUCACUCUAGCAAACUCAAAACCUAUGGAGCUAAUAAUCUUGGGGAGAUGAUGGAGGCAUGCAUAGUUUCUGUUAGUCUGCUUCAUACUCCUUUCUCUUACUAUAUAAUGAGUUUUUGCUCUAAUUUAUGAGAAUGAUUGAUUAAUUAAUUAUUCCGUAGUGUCUUGCACGGACUCUGGUAAAAUGAAAACUCUUUCCACUAGGAACAUUUCUAGGGUACGGAAUUGUUACGGUUGAAUAUACAAUUCAGAUCGUUAAAAUUGUAUGAUAAAAUCUAAGUCAUAUCAUUCGAUGGAACCAAGAUACAAAAUAAUGGGUUUAGGUACAAAUUAAUGGAUCUAAGAUAAGCAAUCGAUGAAACUAAAUACAUGUGCUUUGACCUAAUUUGAUCGCACUUUUUUAUAUAUGCCGAAUUGCAGGACCUUUCAUUGGACAUACUCAUGGCAUGUGACAAUACUGUAAUUUUAACUUGAGAACUCUUCUUUUCUUGCUGCCCCGAGUUCACUCACGUUGUCCAGGUUCAAAGCAACUUUGAUGCCUUGCCUCUGAUUCCACAUCUCAUUUUCAUGACAAAACCCAACAGUAAAAACUUGUUUGAUAGUAAUUUUAGAAAACGUUUUUAAUAUAUUUGAUGUUUAAAAUUUUUUAUUAUUUAAGUAUUAAAAAUACUAAAAUCACUUUCGCACUAAGUUUUUUAUCGAUUGCAAUAAGGAAUUGAGAAUGUUUUUAAUUCACACAUAAUGUUUUUUAUUUUAUCUUUUAUUUUUAUUUUUUUAACUUUGGAACAAUUCAUUAACCAAAAUAUGACUUCUACAACUUUAAGAGUGUGUUGGUAAUAAUUCUAAAAAAUAUUUAUAGUUUUUUUAAUAUUUGAAUAAUAAAAAUUUUCAAGUUUUAAAAAUAUUUGAAUUGUUUCUUAGAUUUACUGCUAGACAAAUUCUAAUUUUGGAUUAUUAAUUAUGCUAUUUUUUAUUAUUUUUCAAACAUCAUUUUAGUAAUAUUAUGUUAUCUUAAUAAAUAUUGGAAUUAUAAUUAGGUCAAAUUAGAAGCCAAUAGUUUCGCAUGGGCUAAGACUACGAAUUAGUCUCAAUUUGAGGUUUUCAAACAAGGGCUACCUAAAAUUCAACACAUUAGUAAAAAAUAAAAUAAAAGUUUUGUAAUAUAAUUACAAUCCUAAAUUGAAAUUUUCCUUAUUUCUUAAGACGGGAAUGAGAAAUGGAAAUGAAUAUUUUAUUUAUAUUCUUAUCCCCUAUUGAAUAAGAAUUUAUUUAAUAAUUAUAUUUUUUUUAUGCGUAUAAGAAUAGAAGGUUGGAAUAAUAAUUUAUUUUCAUCUCAAUAUUAAGUAAAAAUGGAAAUGAAAAAAUAAACAAAUAAAUAAAUUAUCAAUAAUAUUGGUAACUUAUUUUUAUUUUUAUUUAGAAAAAUCUCACACUAUACAGAGUUUGAAAUAGUUAUUUAUUUUCAUUUAAAAAAAUAUUUGAAAGUUUUUUAAUAAAUAAUAAAAACUCAUUUGGGCCUAUGGUUUAAAAACAAAAUUGUUUUAGAAAUUUACAUCACUAUUUAGUUGUUGAUUGUUAAAAUAAUUUUUAAAAACAAAGUAAAAUAAAAAAUGUUCUUUUAAUUUUUUUACUAAAAAAAAUAAAUUUCAAAAUAAAAUGAUACUUUGUAUUUAAUUUAUUAUUAAUAACUCAAAACUAUGAAAAUAUAUAGAAUGAGUAUAAAAAAUAACAGACAUAAUUAUUGCUUUAAAUUAUUUAAAUGAAUAUUUAAAAAAUGAUUAAUUAAUUAUAAAUUAAAAAUCAUUUCUUGUGAAAGAAUUCCUUGUCGUCGGGUCCAUAAAUUCCAAGGGUGUGUCAUUCCUCCAAAGUUUCCAAGCGUGCAUCCAUUCAUCAACUACUGUUAGAUAUAUUAUAUUUUCUGACUCUCAGAACUGAUGGUAAUGAUACUGGAAAAAGGAUGAGAAGAAAAAUAAUCCAGUAUUAGGUUUACAACUCACAUAGCUCAGAAGGCCUUCUGCUUGGUCUGAUUCGUGGAAACAACUACUCCUCUUGCCACUUAUAAUCUCUAAAACUAAGACACCAAAACUAUAGACAUCGGACUUGACACAGAAGCGUCCAUGCAUUGCAUACUCUGGAGACAUGUAACCACUACAAGCCAGCACCCUCAGUAAGGCAAUCCAAUUUAUAAGGCAAGAUAAAAGCCAUAUCUAAUAACACCAAGUUAAAGCAUGCAUUAGACAGUUAUCACAUCUUUCAUUAUUCUUAGUUGAAGGUGACUUUAUAUAUAUAUAUGAUAUGAGAAUCAGUUUUCCCUAUGUUAGAUUGGGUUUUAUGGGAUGAAACAACUGAUAAAUUCAAAACUGAUCUGGAUUAUCAAAAUGUAUUUGAAGCUCCAAAACUUACUAUGUGCCAACAACUCUGUUUGUAUUUCCUUGAGUUUGAUCUACACCAAAAAUCCUUGCCAUGCCAAAAUCUGAAAUAUUAGGGUUCAUAUCACCAUCUAGCAAAACAUUGCCGGCUUUUAGAUCACGAUGUAUAACUCUGAGCCUGGAAUCUUCAUGAAGAAAAAGAAUCCCUCGGGCUAUUCCUCCAAUAAUCUUGUACUGUCUUGACCAAUUCAAUUGUCCUUGUUUAUCAGGAUCUAUGUUUUUAUCAAAACAAAUGUUAAAGUUAGAAUAAAGUAUUAGUGAGAUUAUAAAAACACAAUAAACUUAAAAUUGAGAAGUAGAAGUAAGGCUGUGCCAGACCAAACAGGAAGUAGUCGAGGCUUUUGUUGGGCACAUAUUCAUAGACAAGUAUCUUCUCUUCCCCUUCCAGGCAAAAUCCCAAUAACCUCACUAGAUUUCUGUGUUGAAGCUUGGCUACCAAUACAACCUCAUUUUUGAAUUCUACUGCACCUUGCCCAGAGCUUUUAGAUAGCCUCUUUAUAGCAAUUUCUUUUCCACUAGAAAGUGUACCCUGAUAACAUGCACAGCCUUAUCUAUUCCAUAUUGAACUACAUACUCUUCCCAAUAUCAAGUCACUUAAAUGAGUUGACCAUAUCCAUUCCAUAUUGAACUACAUACUCUUCCCAACAUGUAACGACAUUUUAAAGUUGUGUAGAUAUUUGUUUUUCACUCAUUCUAGUAAAUGAAAAAGAGAGAAGACGUACCUUGGUGAAGGGAGUUGGAAACUAAGCAUGUCUUGAUCUUUUGUGGUGUGGGUCCUCCUCUGUUAGGUCAUCAUUUCUUGAUCUUUUUUUAAGAUGAUCUUGGGCUUGGGCAUAUAUAAGAUGUAUCCCACAACUUUUCACUUUAAAGGCUUCGUUAUCGCCACAUCGAUAAGAACCCUUAAAGCGAGCCUUGAAGUUGUUCCACCGUUUGGAUCGAUACUCACUUGAAAUGCCAAUUUGAGGGAAAAAGGACACCACCAAUGCUGGAUCUGUUGUGCUACCCUUGUCGUAGCUUGUAAAGUCGUAGCUUGUAGUCCCUGAUGUUAAACCACAAAUAUUGUAGGUUCUACAACGGAAAGGCAACCAUAAACUAUCCACCUGUUCAGAUUGAUCACCAUAGGACAUGCUCAAUUCACAUUGAUGAAAAUAAAAUUUUGUGUCGCAUUCAUCAUCAUCAUCAUCAAGUGGAAGAUGAUGGAAGAAUAAUGCAAAUCCCAAGAAGCUGUCAUCUUUAUACCAAUUCUUCGGGAGCUCUAUUCUUAUUUCACAUCCGGUACUCUUAUCACUUACCCACUCUGGUAUUCCAUUGCUUCCUGGAAUCACAACACUAAUAUUGCAGUGGGUCUUGUAGAAGUCUCUUUCGCAUUUAAGAUUCUGCAUAAAAGUAGCAGCAUGUAAAUAUCAUGCCUUGAUACAAAAAUUAAGGGCCAUAUAUAGAAUUCAUACCUCUGUGUCUAAUUUGAAGUAGUUGAGGAGAGAAAACCAGAGUACAUCUGUUGGAUCACAUGAUAAAGCUUUGAGGCAUGGACAACCGUGUGCUUGUAUCAUUCUUAGACUUGAUGGAAGCUCUGAAAUUUCUUCAAGCUUCGGGCAAUGAUUCAUGCCAAGGAAUAUCAACUUAGAAAGUUGAAUGAUGCCAACAGGUAUGCAACGAAUAUGGUUUUCGCUCACAUCUAAAGAUUCUAGUGAGGAUAGGCACCAUAAAUCACUAGGGAUUGCUCCUUCCAUUAGAUUGCAACCAGCCAAAUCUAGUUCUGUUAAGCAACAUUGCAGGCUUCUCAAAUUGUCAGGCAAUUUGUGAAGCUUUGAACAGUUACGAACAAAAAGCCUACUAAGACAUGUCAAAUUACCAAUGCUGUUUGGAAGAGUCUCAAGGUUCUCACAAUUGAUUAAUUCUAAGGAUUUAAGACCUUUUAGACGUUCAAUUGAUGAUGGCAGCUCUGUUAUACCCAUUCCACGUAAAUGAAGGUGUCGGGAAUGUUCCACAUCAACCUCGAUCUCUGAAAAAGCCUCUAGAUUUGAACAACCAUUGAGAGCGAGAUUUUCCAGGUAUUUCAACCCAUGAAUGCUGCUUGGAAGACUCCUCAAGUUUUUGCAGUUUUCCAAAUUUAAGCGACUAAGCCCGAUGAGAUGUCUUAUUGAGUAGGGUAAUUCUUUAAUAGCAGUCCCACUUGCAGAAAGAUUCUUUAGACUCUCCAUAUUCCUUUGGAUCUCGGGGAACUUCUCAAGAUUUGAGCAAUCAUCAACAAAAAGCACUUCAAGAGCCUUCAAGGAACCGAUGCUAUUUGGGAGUUCCUUAAUAGAAGUGUUUUGUAAAGAAAGAUUUUGAAGAGCCUCCAAGCAACCAAUGCUAUUUGGAAGCUCCUUAAUAGCAGUGUUUUCUAAAUAAAGCUCCUUUAAGCAUUUCAUAUUCCCUAGAAUCUCUGGAAAUUUCUCAAAUUUUGAAGAAUUUGUGAGAUAAAUAGUUUCAAGAGAUUUCAAAUAUCCAAUGUUGUUUGGGAGUUCCUUAAUAGCAGUCCCUUCCAAAAUAAGAUUCUUUAAGCAUUUCAUGGUCCCUUGGAUCGUUGGAAAUUUCUCAAAGUCUGAGCAACCUGAGAGGUUAAGAGAUUCAAGAGAUUCCAAAUAUCCAAUACUGCCUGGGAGUUCUUUGAUUCCAGUCUUUCGUAAAUAAAGCUCCCUCAAGUGUCUCAUAUUCGUAAAGAUAUCUGGGAAUUUUUGGAGCUUUGAACACUCUGAGAGAUCAAGAAUUUCAAGAGAUGUCAAAGAUCCAAUGCUACAUGGUACUUCUUUGAUUCCAACCCCAUGCAAAUGAAGCUCCUUAAAAUAUUUCAUAUGCGGAAAUGCACCAAUAGAUGAACGCAGUUUGCGAAAACUUGUACAACCUCCAAGAUUCAUUCUCUCCAAAUUUGGCAUGCUUGAGAACUUUGGCAUUUUGAUGAGCUGUUCUGAGUCACUUACAUCAACGAACUUCAAUUUUUCAUGAUGCUGAAACAAAAGACACUUUGUUAAUAAAAAAAUUCCUUGAACCUGAUAAAAAACAAUAAACUCAAUAAUGGUUUUACCUUCUUCCCUUUCCAAAGUUUUUUUAUAUUGCUAGACUUUAAGUUGAUUGCAACAAGGUUCUCUCCCUCAAAGUUCGAAGGCAAAGACUCCAAACCUUCCCAAUGAAGAUAUCUUAAUUCAGGAGGAAAUUCAAAGCCUUCAGGGAGAGAUAUUUUAUACUUCUUUCUCAUAAGACUAUGAUGAUCACUGUAAUAGACUUUGAGCAACCUAAGUUUCUUCAUCUUGGCAAACACUCUCUUCAUUUGGGCAAAUAUUUUUGAAGUGAACCAUAUUUCUUUUGAUCUAGAUAAUUCUAGAGAUAUGGUUUCAAUAUUUUUCAUCCCCUGAAAAACAAUAAUGAAGAUUAAGAAAAAAAUUAUAAAGUAAAAAUCCCAACUAAAAUUAUAUAAGUAACCAUUAAAAAAUGCAUCAUUAAUAUUUAAAUAAAUAAGUAUGUGCAUUUAAUUCUUACCUUUUGCCUAGAAAAUGCAUCAUAAAUAUCAUUUAGGUCCCACAACCUACUCCAUUUGCUUGGGUCUUCAGGAUAUUCUUCACGAAUAAUUGCCCAACCCAUUUGUUGUAUCAAGUUAUGCAUUUGUAUCAUACUGUCUGAGAUAGUUAUUAGGCAUUUAUCACAAAGAACUCUUAUGUUGUAUGUUGCAUGUAAAUUGCAGCCAUCCAAUAUUUUUGAUACAAAAGCUUUGUCUUCCCCUUCAAAAAAACAUGCAAUGUCAAGGAAAACCUUCUUUUCCGAACCAUCAAGCAUAUCAUAGCUUAUUCUAAGCACAUCAUUAAUUUCCUUCUUAGGAUUGUUUUUUAGUUUAUUCGAUGCACUUUUCCAUUCAUCUAUCGUCAUGCCAUGAAGAGAACUACCUAGAACUUUAAGGGCUAAAGGAAGGCCCUGAGCAUAAGCUACCAUGGAAUUUGAGAGGGUUACAUAAUCUUCUUUAGGAGCAUUUUGUUUAAAGGCAUGCUUGUUGAAGAGUUCAAUAGCUUCCACAUUAUCUAACUUCUUCACCUCAUAUGUUACAUCGACUCCAUAAUAACGUAGCAAUAGUUGGUCUCUAGUUGUUACAAUAAUUGUAGUUCCUGCACCAAACCAGUUCCUACUUCCAACUAAUGACUCUAAUUGCUCCCUACGAUCCACAUCAUCAGUAACAAUAAGAACCUUUUUUGAGCCAAGUGUAUUCUUUAUCAUAUUGAUUCCAUCAUCGAUAUUACUCAACUCUAUUUUUUGCCCCGCUAUACCUUGAAGAAGUUUUUGUUGUAGUUGAAGUUGACAACCCUUGUUGAAACUCUCUUUGACAUUUUCAAGAAAGCUAGCACCAUUGAAUUCACAUUGAAUCUCAUUAUAAACAAUCUUGGCAAUGGUAGUUUUGCCAAUUCCACCGGUUCCAUAGAUCCCAACCACACGAACAUCAUGUAAUUGACUAUUUAUCAAUGAUUUUAGUUCUUUUAAGCGAAAAUCUAUCCCAACUAUAUCAUCAUCAACAUGCAAAAGCUUAGGAUCCAAUUUUUUACGGAUGACUUCAGCAAUUUCCUCAAUAUACUUCGACUCAUACCUACCAAUUAUAAAAUACAAUAGAGUACUUGGUGAGUUAUAAUGAGUUGCAAAAUAUAACAAACAUAAAGUAAAUUUAGUGAUGUUUAGUCGAUUUUGUUAAUAUAACUGAAUUAGAGCAUAUAGAAUGUAAACUAAAAUGGAUCAAACCACAUGAACUAAAUUAGAUAUUUGUGUACAAUUUUGUUAAUGUUAUAUCAAGUGUACAUGGCAGAGAAUAAAGUAGAGAAAAAAUAAAAUAUUAUUUUUGUUGGCUUAUGCUACUCUAUGGCUUGGAAGGUUCAUUAGGUAGUUGAAUUGUCUAGGAUAUUAUUAUAACAAGUGGCGGAGCCAAAAAUUUCGUUUAAGGGGACAAUCUUUUAAUUAAAUAAUUUUAAAUUAAAUAAAUGUUGACAUAAUUUUUUAUUUUAAAAGGCUUGUAGAUCUUGUUAUUGAUGGGGUUAACUAAAAUCACAUAAUAUAAAUAAAUGUUAUAACAAAAUUUUAAGCAAAUCUAACUUAAUAAAUUAAAGGCAUGAUUAGAUAAAAAUUUUGAUUCAACAAAAUAUCUAAAAAUCUUAGUAAAUUUUUUAAUAGUUUAUAAAAGUAACUUUUUAUAAGAAAAUUAAUUUGAUAAAGAAAAAACAUAAAUAUAAAUUUCAAUAAUCUUACAAUUGAAACAAAUUUUUUAAAUAAAAUUUUCAAAAAAGCUCUUUCAAAAUAUAUAUUAUAAUAAAUUUUAUCUGGAAUAUAAGUUAAUUAAAAGAAAUUUAUGAUAAUUUUAAUAAAAAGUUAACUAAGUAAAAGUAGAUUUUUUUUUUAUGUAAUUUAAAUUAAAAGUACUUUACUUGCAAAAUUUGACAUAUAAUUUUUUAAAACCAUUGAAAAUUAGUUGUGUUUUUAUCUCUUCAAACAAUUAAAGAUUAACUAUUGAGUUGAUAAAUAAGUAAAAUAAUUUUUUUAAAAGCAAAUCAAUUCUUACCAUGAUCCAUACCUUUAGGAGGGGAGACAGGCUUCAUACCAGAGUUUAGAUUUUGAGGGAGGGCAUAAGCCCCCGGUCCUAUAUUGGCUCCACCAGUUAUUAUGACCCUUUUAUGAUAAGAACUUAUGAAAUUAUAGUCUAAGGUCAUUGCUGGAGACAACUGCUGUUUUGUGUGGUGUCAAGCUACCAUCUUUUUUGCUCAAGCUUCCUAAACUAAUAAAUUCCAGAAAUAUUCUUAUAAGGAAAAUUUUACAAGUUUAUUUCUUCAUCAAGAUUGAGAAUAAGAUUGUAUUUUUGAGAAAUGCACGGGAGUUUUGGGAAUAGUUUUUAUUGAUCAAUUUAGAAUAUGAACAAUAAGAUUUGACAAAAAAAAUCUUAUUGUCCCCUCCAAAAAUGCAAUCAAUUUAAUAUUAAAAAACAGUGCUAGAAGUGUCUUUUCUUACAAUGGAAACAGUGCUGGAAGUUUUAAUAAUAAUAAUAAUAAUAAUACAAUUAGCCUUCAUAUAAACUUGAGGAAUAGUAGUAAAAGAAAAAGAAUUACAGGAUGGUCAAAUUUUCAAUGCAUGACUUAUAGACUUGAGCAAAAUUUAUAAACUUGAUAACCCUUAAUGAGACUUAUAGUUUAUAGGUGACCUUUUGGGAUAAUUCUCCUUGAGAAAUUCCAAUUUAGUGCAUUGUCGGUGACAACUAAUCUAAUAAGUUUUUUUAUUUUUUCUUAUUUAUUUCAAAAGUAAUAUUUAUUUUUUGGUUGAAUGAAAAAAGUUUAAAAUUUUAACUUUUUUUAUUAAGUUAAAAGUAAUAUAUUAAUAUCAAUUAAUAUAAGUAAAGUGAACUUGUUAUCAAUAAGUAUAAUUUAGUUAUAUCGAUUAAUAUCAACAGAUUAUUUUUAACUAAAUAAAAAAUUAAAUAUUUUAUCUUUUUUUAUUGGGUGAAAAAACAAACAUCACCUCACCCACGGUUCACUCUCAAUUCCAUUGCCCAUAUGUUCUAUCCACUUUCUAAUCAUUUUGUGCAGCUUAGAUUGGUAAGGUCUGGACUCUUCCAAACAAGGGGAAUUUUUUAGAAUUAUUUUUACUAAUCAAUUCAUUGGGAAACCAAUUUAAUAUUAAGAAAAUAGUUCUAAACAUAUCUUUUCUAAAAAUGGGAAAAUAUUUUUUUACAACUGUUUACUUUUUUAACUCAUUAUUUUCUUAAGACAAUUUUACAGUUGAUGAAAAAAGUGAAAAUUUUUAAUUUUUAUGGAAAAAAGUUGCUUUUCCUCUUUUUUUUUUUUUUUUUUUGUUCACAAACAAACAAUUUUAUUAUGAUAAUUAAAUCAAAUUUCUUAUAUAAAAUAAUAUUAAAUUCAUUUAUUUCUUUUAUUUCAUAUAAUAAAUUUAAAUGUAUUAUUUUAAUGAAUUGUUGCUCAAAAAUAAAACUCCACAUAAAAAUCACAUACUUUUGAUAAGAAAUUAAUAAAAAUAAUAUUUUACCACAUACAGCCACUAUUUUUGACUCAUAAAUCUUCCAAUUCUUAAUAGAAUUAACUUUCAUAAAUUUCCAUAGAUUCCUAGUUUAGGAAUGAAAAUAAAAAUAGUAAAAUCAUAAAAUUUUGAUUAAAAAUUAAUUUAGUGAACUAAAAUAAGCAACCAUCAAUUCUAAUGAAAAAUUUUAAUUAGAACCCCAAACCAUAAUCAUCUAAGUAUCUAUUAGAAUCAAUAAUUUUCAUUAACUUUGAAAAAUAAAAAGUUAGGAUUUGAUACAUUUCUUAAAUUAAAAUCAGUAAUGAAUUCAUCUCAAUAAUAAAACAUAUAUUUCAAUUACAAAUCCAUGAAUCCCAAGGUACACAAUAUAAAAGGUGUUAGCUUAAAAAAAUUUAUAAUAUUUUCUUAACAAUUAAACAUAAUUAGAAACCAUAAUUAUUAUCCAAAUAUCAAUUUUUUCACUAAUUACAUAAUUUAUACUUAUAAAAAUUUUAUUAUGGUAAUAAAUUCUAUUGUUUUGAGAUGUUUCGAAAUAUGUUGAAUUCAUUUUUUUUUUUCCAAAUUAUUAGUUUUAAAAUUAAAAUAGGAAUAAAUUUAUAGUUAAUUUUGUAGAUGUUUUUGACAUGUAAAAAUAACAUUUAACAUUUAAACUAAAAACAAACAAUUUAACACUUAGCAUCAUUAAGACAUUAAUAAAAAAUAGGCAGGAACUAAUUUGGACCCUAAGACAGUGAGUUCAUAUUUUUAAAAGCUUCCCAACAACACAUAACCACAACCAUCAUGAUAAAAGCAACGUGAUAUAUAUGUAUAUAUAUAAAAUCAGAAGUCUAAAGGAAGUUGAAAUUACUCAUAAUCCUUGAUCACAUGCCAACCACUUAGAGAGCUUGCUUCAGUCAUGGCAGCCCUCCACCUUUUCACCUUCUGCUCAUCUACAGUUGUUCCGUGCUUCGCAAAUGCUUUUCCAAAGCUCCCUGUUUGUUUCCGCACAUCUGAAGGAUCCACAUGGUAGAAGACUGGCAGGACUUUUUGAUCCAUUUCUUUUUUGCACUCCAUGAUCUUUGUAAGCUCAUCCAGACACCAUUUGGAAUCAGCAUACCUUUCCGAGAAAACAAUUAUGGAAAAUCUUGAUCCUUCAAUAGCUCCCAAAAGUUCUUGUGCGAUCUCCUCUCCUCUUUCAAGUUUAUCAUCUCUGAAAGUGUUAAUGCCCAUCCGUUUCAAAUUUUCGAAUAGAUGAUCCGUAAAAUUGUAGCGGGUAUCUUCCCCUCUAAAACUCAAGAAGACAUCGAAGUUGAAUUUUCCGGUUGGAGCUGGAGAAGAAGAGGGUUUUUGGGUGUUUGAGGAAGCCAUUUUGGGACAGGGUUUGUGGGAACUGGGAGGCUACAAGAGAGUUGAGGAUCGACUUGCACAGAGUCACUACCAAUGUCCCUGAAGAGGGUCUUUGAGUACCCUAAGAGUCUGCAAAACCUCAAUCACUUUUCACAGACCUCACGUGAAAAAAGCAAACUUUGCCUCCCAAUACUGAAAGCUCACCCACCAUUCACCCACCAUUGUUGGUUUAUGUGCUCAGAGGCCUCAUUUGUAAUUACGUAUAAAGAUGCACCCCCUUCUCAUAAAAAAUAUAUCGUUUAUUUUCAUAUAAAUUAUAAGAAAUAAAAGUGUUAUUAUUUAUAAUAACAUACUAUAUCAUACAAAUCACAUAGAAAUCAGAAUGUGCAACUAAAGGUCUCUUAAAAAUAAUAAUUUUUAGAAUAGUUUUUAAAAAUAAUUUUUUAGUAUUUUUUUAGAUAAAAAAUCUGUUUGAAAACUUAAAAUAUCCUUAAUCUAUUUUUAUAUUUUUCUUAAAAAUAAUUUUUAUAUUUUCAGUUAUUUUUUCAUAUUUAUACAAUUAUUUUUUAAAAUAUUCUUCAAAAAUAAUUAAAAUAUAUUAUCAACAUACACCUUAUUUUCAAACCAAAUCUUUUAAAAAAACCGGUUUUUGUGUAUUAAUUAAAGGAUCUUCUUAGAGUAUUUGAUUACAGUUAAGACUUGAUAUGAGUUGAGUUGUAAAAUAUGAGGAAUAUGAAGUAAAUCGGGUAAAUGAAAGGCUGGGCGAAGGGAUGGAGAGAAUCACCAAAACACUAAAGAAUGAAAGGGAAAGGGGGGGUGAUGCCAAUGGUCAGUCACCCUGGCUCUUCACUAUUGACUCUUUGAGUUUGUUAUUUUAAUGGGUGAAAACGGAAAACGGAAGGGCUAUAAUUAGAGCGGAGAAGAAUAUGGUGAGGUUGGCCUCACAUGGGGCCGAGCUGCCAUUACGCGUGAUUUCGGAUAACCUUCGCAACAUCCGCCAGCCACCCAUCUUGCUGUCAUGGCCCUACCAACGUCCAUCACCCAAAAAUAUAUAUAUAUAUAUAUAAUAAAGAAGGAAGAAAGUAAGGAAAGAUAAGAAAAAGCAACAAUUUUUCCCCAAUUACACACCGCCAUUAUCGGAAAAAUUGGGAUUAACCUGCCAAAGAAGAGCUUCCAAUCGCAUAUUGCGCCCAUACUAGUACCUUUUGUUGUACCUAUUUAGGCCACAUCUCCUUCCUUUUCCUUCCCAGCAUGUCUUACCCAGGACAUGAACCAAAUUCCCAAUGUAGAUCCAGAUCGAGAGGAAACUUGGGGCAUGAGCACUGGGUCAUACACGUUAUUGUGGACUCGAGGAGGACCAUGUACAGUCAUGGUGGACCGUCGAUUGAUGGUGGAGAAUCCACAGAAACUUCUCGAUGGAAUUAGGUUCUCUUCUCGAGUCAAAAAGUAAUGAGUGGAAAGGUGGAUUUCAAAAAAAUUAGAAAAAAGGACCCACCCAAUGCAAAAUUCAAAAGCACCUUUGUUUUUUUCCGUUUGUACGCUAGGAAAUUUAUCUCUUUUACUUUAUUCCUUUGUACCAUCCCAUGGUUAACCUAUUACAUUCAACAAAAAAUAUAAUAAUUUUUUAAAAAAAUAUGUUUUUUGAAUAUAUGUGGACCUAGCAUUUCGGUUCAUGCGUUUUCCACUCAAUGGCGAACUCGAUUUUAAUUUUGAAAAUUUGAUUUUAUUUGAUUAUGAAAACUGACUUGGAGUCGCCACUUAUUUUUGUUUUAUUUUUAAAGGGGUAAACAAAAUAAGAAAGAAAACCCUAAGUGUGACUCCUUAUUUUAGAAAAGGCGGUCUGUGAAAAACCGAAUCGGGCUCGAGGGUCAGGUUACUUAUCGGGAAGGUACGGUACGAACCGUAGCACCCCUCUAAGUCCCUAAAGUCGGGUCUCUAUCGAAUAAUUUUAACAUUUCACUUCUUAAAUAAUAUUUUGAUCUUCUUGAUUUUACGUAAGCAAAAAUGAAUUCUUCAUAAUUGAAAAAAACACGGAAUUGGUGGGGGCUCGAUGUUUGAUCCCUUUCGAUUGUCAACUGUUGCACUUAAUGUAUUUUGUUUGAUCUUCAUUUUGCACUUCGAUAUGCAUGAGCUAUAUUCCGUAUUCAUUAAUUGUGUGCUAACCCCGUUUCUUGAUGGCGCAUUUGUGACUCGUGGUCGAGAUACGCACUCACUCCCAUUCUAGUCAGUCUCUAUGCGUGUUUUGAUUCCUAUAUGUGCAUGAUCGAUUUGAGCAUCCAUUGUUUUUCUUAUUGAUUGCCACAUCAGCUUCACUGAAAACGGAAUUCUUGGAGUUUAUUUGAAAAUUGGAGUCUUGGGAAUUAAAUUUAAAAGAUUAGAGCUUCGGUAAUUAAUAUGAAAUUUGCCAAAGAAAAUGAGAAAUGAACUUUAGGGAAUUAAACAGCGAGAAUAUAGAUUUCGAAAGUUGAAUUAAUAAUAAUAGUAAUAAUAAUUAUUAUAAGAAAUGAACUUUAGUAAGUUAAACUGCGAGAAUAUAGAUUUUGAAAGUUGAAUUAAUAAUAAUAAUAAGAAGAAAAUGAACUUCAGGAAAUUGAACUGCGAGAAUAUAAAUUUUUAAUAAUAAUAAUAACAAUAAUAAUACUGUGAGAAUUAAUAAUAAAAAUAAUAAUAAUAAUAAUAAUAAUAAUAAUAAAUGAACUUCAGGAAAUUGAACUGCUAGAAUUUAAUAAUAAUAAUAAUAAUGAUAAUAAGAAUAAUAAUAAUAUGAAAUUAAACUACGAGAGUAUAGAUUUUUAAUAAUAAUAAUAAUAGUAACAAUAAUAAUAAUAGUAAUAAUAAUAAUAAUAAUAAUAAAAAUUCCAUGUGGGCUUGAGGCAACUGGGUGGUGCAGGGUGAGAAGUCCAGGGUGGUGCAGGGUGAGAAGUCCCAAAUUUGUGGGCUUGAGGCAAAUGGGUGGUACAUGGUGAGAAGCCUAAAUAAUAAUAAUAAUAAUAAUAAUAAUAAUAAUAAUAAUAAUAAUAAUAAUAAUAAUAAUAAUAAUAAUAAUAAUAUGAAUUAAGGGCUCCAUCUCCAUCAUAAGCCCAAGCCCACUUGGCAAAAAUCACCCUCCAGCCCAUUAGCAGCCAUACGCUCCUCCUGUACAGGCUUGCAGCCUGUCAUUCUCCUCGUCGCCGCCGGCAAGGAGCUCCGGCUUAACGUCACUGGUGGGGGUCGCUUCCGCCUUUCCCGGAGGGGUGCGAUCCUCUCACAUGCCUCUAUCGUCUGCCAGUGCCGGUGAUGGCAGAGCGACUGCGUGAGCAGGUCUUCCUGCCGAGGAACACCAGCUUCGAAAACCAUCGACGAAGCCACCGAGAGUAAUGACAGAUUGGAUGAAAACAGAGGAGGCAGUCCACGGUGGGAGCGGCGAAGAAAGAGACGACGACAAGGGCGACUCCAAACUGGACGUAUGAGAGACUCCAGGUACAGCUCGUCGACGAUCUGGUUCCUGGCUUUCCUUCGAGUUUUGAGUGUAGCGUCGGCGUCGACGUUGGUGAGACGCGGCGGUGUGAACGAGUCCACCUAACGGCGAGGCGACGCUGACGUAGGCGUGGUCACCGACAUGGGGACAUGCGGAUUCCGCGAGUGGGUAGGGAGAUAAGGAUGGGAGCAUCGGACAAGGCGGAGAUGGCGACCUCAAACUGAACGUUUGCAACAUGAUAAACCCACAAACAAAGAAACAAAACAUAGGAACCCAUUUCAUUUCGGGAUAAACAGAUUCCCCAGUCGAUGGCAUAACAUGAAUCUGUAUCCAGGUUUAUCUCCAAGAUGAAUGCCCGGAGAAGAUAACAGGGGAAAACAAAAGCAAUAAAAUACCCAAGCAACAAGUGAAAAGCUGGAAAAUGACCAGAUGAAUGCAUGAAGAACGAUACCGCGGGGAAAAUGAAUUAAAAAUCCACCAUGCCCAUACUUGGAUGACCUUUUCUGAUUUUCGAUCUCUUCCUUAGACAUUCAUCUCCCCCUCCCUCUCCCUCCUAGUUGCUCGUCCCCCCUUGCCUCUCUCUGUCACCCUCUAAAAAAAAAUCCCCUUGUUUCCCGUCUUCCUCUCCAAGCCACUACCUGCUCCCUGCCCCCCUUGUCCCAUCUGGCCUCCCCAUGCAGCUUAAUUCCGGGGUGGUUAGAAGAGCAAUCAUGAUAGAAAAAAUAAUAGAAUAAAAUAUAUAUAAAAAAAAAAGCCAAAAAAAAACCCUCCCCGAGAGGGAGUCUACAAAUAUGUCCAUCUUCGGUAGAGUUUAUGAGUGUAGGGAAUAUGAACACUGAAGUGAAAAGAAAGUGUGAAUAAUGAGUGCAAUGAAGUGAACUCUACCGAAGAACCCAUGAGACCCCCAUAGGGAUACUAAGGACCUGAGCUCCCUCUAAGAACGUCUCCAGAAGUGACUCGGAAGACUAUAUCAAGGAUGAGUAACGGUCGAACCACUUUGAAGUACAAGAAAGAAUGUGCCAGGAGGAGACUAUCCUAAAUGAACUAUAUGAAAAUGACAAGUGUAAGGUGCUCAAUAACAUGACAGAAGUAUGUAUCGUGUGACAAUAGGGGGAUGCCCUAAAUAAAAUGGCAAUAGGGGGAUGCCCUAAACAAUAUGACAAUAGGGGGAUGCCUUAAACAAGCUGACAAUAGGGGGAUGCCCUAAACAAGAUGACAAUAGGGGGAUGCUCUAAACAAGCUGACAAUAGGGGGACGCCCUAAAUAAAGUGACAAUAGGGGGACGCCCUAAAUAAAGUGAUGAUAGGGGGAUGCCCUAAAUAAGAUGACAAUAGGGGAAUGCCCUAGGUGAUAACCCGUAAAGAUCAACAAAUGGGUCUGACAACCAUGAACUCAACACGAGACACGGUAAACCCAAAGAGAGGGGUGCAUGACCCGACAAGAAAAUCGCUAAAGGGGGGUAUGCCCCGGUAUGAUGACUCGCAAAGAUCAAGAAAUAGAUCGAGUAAUGAGAAAAGUCUGCAAACAUUCUGAUGAACCUGAGGAUGGGGUUAUGCCCCAGUGUAAGAUAGUAACCAACAUAAGACAUAGAAUGUCACCAAACAAGACACUCUAGGGUAUGCUCAAUGAUGAUGCAAUGAAAAAAAAAAAAACACAUACAAAGUCUCAUUGAACAAAUGCUAAAACAAGACCAAACAUCACCAAAACUAUGCUGACAAAGCAAAACUGAAAUAAUGGAUCAAACAAAUGCUGACCAAGACUCUAAGUCUGAAAUGUAAGCAAAAUCAAGACAUGACAUCUCAACUAUCAAUAUGAGAACAUCAUCACAAAUACAUCGACCAUCUAACAGGCCCUACCAUCAUGGAAGAUGUUGAACCUGAUGCCUAAAGGCAUGUGAAAACUCGACCAGAAAACCCAAGAUUGGUCUACACCCUCCUUUCCUCAAGAGAAAAUGAUAAGAUCAUGUAAGACGAUGAAAUGUAUGGGUUCAAAAGAUGCGAGGCUCUGACAAGGUUGGUGUAGGUAUAAAGGUGCCAAAUGUAGGAUGUAUGGGUGUGUAACAAAGGUAAGUGAAUGUCCAAAUCAAACUAGGUACGCUGAGAAGACUGAGCCUAGGGUGUCAAUGACUCUACGAUCCAUCGAAAACAGUAAUCAUAAACAGGAGGUGGAGUCUCAAUGUCAAAAUCCGCAAGGUGGCUAUGAACGUCAAGCUGGGAGAUGAUGAUGGCUCUGAACACCGAAACUGGGAAUGUGACUCUGAACGUCAAACUGAGGAGUGAUACCGAUGGCUCCGAACGCUGAAAUGAAACGACGGCUCCGAACUCCAAACCAAAAGGAACAUCGAUGAAUGUCAAUCUGAAACAAAAGCUCUGCAUGCUCGACUAAACUGGUAACUAGGAAUGUCAUGCUGAGAAAAGACGACUCUGAACGUCGUAAACGAGAAGACACGGAGGCUCUGAAAGCCGAGCUGGGAGAUGAUGACGGCUCUGAACACCGAAACCGGGAAUGAGACAGUGAUGGCUCUGAACGCCAAAACUGAAAAUGUGACUCUGAGCAUCAAUCUGGUAAGUGAUGAUGGCUCUGAACACCGAACGAAGAUGUGAUGAUGACUCUGAACGCCAAUUGAGAUGCGAUGAUGAUGGCUCUGAACACCGAUACUGAGAAGUGAUGAGGAUGGCUUUGAACGCCGAUACUGAGAAGUGAUGGCUCUAAACGUUGAUACUAAGAAGUGAUGAGAAUGGCUCUGAACGCCGAUACUGAGUAUGCGAUGAGGAUGGCUCUGAACGUUGAUGCUGAAAAAGUGGCUCUGAACGCCAAAUAGGAAAAUGAAUAAUGGCUCUGAACGCCAAAACGAAACAAUGGCUUUGAACGCCAAACGGAAAACAAUGGCUCUGAACGCCAAACUAAACUAAAUAACCAUGAACGUCAAGCUGAGAAUGACGACUCUGAACGUCGUAACAAGGAAGGCACGGAAGCUCUGAAUGCCGAACUACAAGGAAAUGAUGGGGGGGAAAUAUGCCCCUGUGGGGCAUCAGAUGUAACCGAUCUGUCCUGAUGACUCAUAAGCAACUCGAUGGGGAUGUACAGAAGAUCUGACAUGUACCCGGUGAAAUGACGAUGCGAGAAUCCAUGAGCCCGAGACGACUCCAUCCGAAAAUCACAUUGACAUCGAAAAGUGUGAACCUGAUGAAAUGACCCAAGGGCAAAUCCAUUGGAAGAGUCAUGAUGAAGUGAAACAAAAUCCUCAACCUGACAUGUAUCUCGUAACAAGGGACAAUCAUGCAAAAGUGAGAAUCUGCAAAUCUAGAUUGAGAGCGAAAAUAUGCCCUAGUAUGGCAUUAAAUGUGUGACAAGCCAGGAAAAUUGAAUGACAUCAAAGUCAUGCAUCGACAGAUAUGUAAUCCUGGUCGUAUGAAUCCAUAACAGUGUCACGCUCAUCAAGCUAAGAUGCACCUCUCGAAUAGAGGGGCACGAUGGCAUCUGAGUGUCGAGAAGUAUAUGCCUAACUGGAUGACUCUCGAGAUGCUCCACUGAGGAAUCAUCAUAACAAUAGUGAACAAAUCGUCGUCCCAGCACGUACUCCGUAAGUGGGAAUGAUCAUGUAACUCCAUGGAAAUCUCCAAACCUCCCCAAAAUGGAAAUAUGCCCCAGUGUGGCAUCAAAUGUACGAUAAGUCGGAAAUCAGGUGAUAUGGAGUCAUCUAUCAUCAGACAUGUGAUCUCCAUGAUCCAAAUCCAAUCCAAAAGUCUAGGGAAUGUCUCUCAAGAUAAAAAGCAUGUAAACAACCCGAUGCCGAGAGAUGCGGACCUAGAUGGAUGGCUCCACCAAGGCUCCACUAAGGGAUCAUCAUAAAAUAGCGAAAACGUCAUCGUUUAAGCGCAUACCCCGCAAGUGGGGAUAAACACGCAACUUAGUGAAGAUUGGAAAAUCUCAUCCAGAAUGGAAAUAUGCCCCUGUAUGGCAUCAGGUGUAUAGCAGGUCUGGCUGAAUGGCCCCAAAGGGGCUCUACUGAAGGAUCGUCAUACAAUAACGAACACGCCAUCAUCUCAAUGCAUAUCUCGCGAAAUGAGAUAAGCACGCAACUCCCUCAUGAUUUGUAAAUCUCAUCCUAACGAGAAUAUGCCUCUGUAUGGCAUCGAAAUGUAUGAUAGGUCGGAGAUCAGAUAGCAUGGAAUCAUCUAUCCUCGAUCAUGCGUCAUAAGUGAAGAUCCAUAAAUCUCAUUUGAAACGGAAAAUAUGCCCCAGUAUGGCAUCAGGUGCGCGACAGGUCUGAAGAACAACAUGACAUGAAGUCAUCUAUCGUCGAACAUGUAAUACUAGUCAUCCGAAUCCAUAACUGAAUUAUGCACAUACAUCCAAGAUGACCUCCCAGACGGAGAGGCAUGAUGGCAUCCAAGCGUCGAGAAGUGCAGAACUAGCUGGGUGGAUCUCGGGGGCUCCGUAAGGUAACGAUCAUGUCCACGUCUCAGUGAGCAUCCAGUAAGUGAUAAUGAUCGUGCAAAUCUGUGAGGAUCCAUAAACCUCCAAAUGAAAUGGGAUAUGCCGUAGUGUGGCACCAGAGGUACGAUAGGUCAAAAAAAUCAGGUGACACCAAGUCAAUCAUCGUCAAACUCACGAUCCCGGUAAUCCAAACACAACUGAAUCAGUCCUACACAUCAAAGAGGCGACUCCCAGAAGAAGAAGCAUAACGAUAUCUAAAUGUCAACCAGAUCUCAUCACCUGUCCAAGAAGAGACUGUCAAAGACGACAUCUGAUCCCACGACCUCAAGGUGGUCUUAAGACACGGGACGUAACAUAGGCUAAGGUGAUAGGGUAAUAGAAAUGAAAGGAAACUAGGCCCAAAUACCCGAUGAUCAGAAAAACAUGCCCUCAUAUAUGAAAUGCAACAUGUAUAGUGAACCCCAUGAGCCAAGGACCUGAGGAUGCCUAACAUGAAUAUGAUGUCGAUAAGGAGACAAAUGAAGCAAAAUGAACUGAUAGUGAUAUGUGUAAUGAUGAUGCGAAGUGAGUAUCGAACCCGAGAUGGGUUGCUAUAAGGAGAGAAUAAGAUGUGAAGGGAAUGAGAUGAAUCACAAGCAACGAUAAAAACUACAGCGAAACAAUGAAUAUGUGAAGAGAGGUGGUGAUCGACUCAGAUCAAUCAUGAAGUGAAGUCACAUCAAUAAUGAAUAUAAUGAUGGAAAGGACAAUGACUUGGAGUCCUUAGAAGAAGGUCACUCAUCUCUCUCACAAAUAGAUGUGACAAAGCAAUACAAAUAACAUGGGAUCUCAGAGAGCUGGCAUACGAACUCCCAAUAACGAACAUACUCGAUAAAAAUGACCCCAAACAUCUAUAUUAUUAUUAUUAUUUUUUUACAUAUAUACAAAUACACAUACCCUGAACAUGAACAAAUGAACCCCAAAGAUGAUAUCAAUAACAAAUGGACACACUCCCAAGUGCUAAGGUAACAAACAAACUCUCUCUGACGAGAUAACCUUCUCAAACCAAGGAUCUCUAAAGCAGUGUUCGCGAGAUAGAUGGUGGAAAUGAUGUGACUAUCCUCCAUGUGAUGAACUGAGGGGGAUCACCACUCAGGGUGAAGAGAAAUAUGAAACAAACAAGUAGUAGAUAGGAUAAGGAAGAAGAGAUGAAGAACACAACCAACGAGAUGAGAUGAAAAUGCAGGGGUGCAGUGAUAUGAAAAGAUGAUGAGAAAAACAUACCCCUAGGUCCAAGGCUCAUGAAACUCCCAAACAAUGCAUGCAUACAUUAAAGGGCCCCUAUCCCGGUGUGAAAAUGUGAGCAAGGCGAUAAGAAAGAAAGGCUAUAAUGCGCAUGCGAGGCUCAACGGGCUAGCAACGGACCAUGUAUCAAAAGGGAAUAACAAGGUAAUGGCUAACCGAAAUGAUGGCCACCCAUCCUGCGACCAUGGUCUCAAACAUAGUACCUCUUUAGCUAAUCUACAUUGGUUGGCUCUGAGAAUCGGUUUCCAUCUAAAUCCAUCAACCAUGCGGCGCCCUCUGGGGUCAACUCCCUGAUGAAAUAAGGUCCGCUCCAGUUGGGCCUGAACUUCCCUAUGGGAUCUCUGAUCAAUCCUCUAAUGACCCUCAAGACUGAGUCAUCCCUCUGUAAUGGUAUAUCAACAAUCUCUACUAUCUUCCCCUGCCGAUGGGAGAUGAAGGAAGAAAUGAACUCAUCUGAUCUCUAUCUCAAACCCUCAAGCUCUCUCCUCGACACCUCUGCGACAGUUUUAAAUGAAAACUGUCACAAAAACUCCUGAGCUUGGGUCAUCCCAUGUUCUGCCUCGCAAGGACUCCAAAGAUGUGAACUAGCGCUGGGCUGCACCACUCAGAGAUAAAGGAAACAUGGUGAUCAUCUGUGACCCGUCUAACCCAUGGGCCCUCAUCAUAGUACUGUAGAGUCGCAGAUAAGUGUAGAGACAACCGACGACCAUGUACCUCUCAAUGUCAAGCAUCCUGAACUUGGCUGGUGGACUGGCCACUGGUAUACUAUCAAGAUCGUCCCAACUCGAUGAACUACCAAAUAAUCUCAACUGCCUGAUACACUACUCAAUACGAUCUAUACAUGCAUGAGCAUCCUCAAGGUCUGUGGUCUAGACUACCGCAGGUGAGGCAACCUCAAAAUGACCAUGUAACAUAUAUGGUGGGGCCCGUGGCACUGUCGAACCAAGUGGUGGUAGUAGAUGUGGCAGUGAACCACAAGGCGUCUCAUCCUGAACUACAAACUGUCUACUCUACUGAUUGUCUAUCUCCUGUCUGGGACUGGCCGAGGCCUCCUGAAUAGAAACCAUGGCGGACGUGAAUUGAUCAACUGUGACAACCCGCUGAUCCAUAUCCGACCUCUCUAAAAAAAAACCGAAUCAAUCUCCCCUCUACUCUGAUCCAAUGAGGUAAAUCUAGACUGAGAACCAAGACCCAAUCCAGAAAGCAUGAAGAGCGGAAUAAGAACAUGUCCCAGGGAGAGUACGAAAGAAAUGAUAAUCUGAACAGAAGCAAGCAAGGCAUCCAAGCGAAGACGGUCUAUCCGAUUGUACUCAAACUCAUCCUGAUCUCAGUGCACUCUCGACAGAAGACUAAAAAGAUGGAGUAUCGGAUCCAAACUGUAACUACGGAGGCUCUAAAAGCCCUCAGAUGCACCCAUGCGUAGGGAGGAAGUCCUAGUCGAAGGAUCUAUGGCUCAACUUACAAGGUCAAGGUGGCUCUAAGAGGAAAUGGGUAGACUUCAAAAGAUCCCUAGCAGAAGCGAUCAUACCCUCCGGCGGUACGCAACCCUCUGCACGCCUCCAAAGAGACGGGACGCUUCCAUGCAAGGUGGUCAUCACCUCCACACAUGCACUACCUCGCAUCCCAGGGGGCUCCUAUGGCGAAAGCUCUCAAACUUGCAACGCUCAAUGGUCAGCUAGAGUGCACAGUGAACGGUGUGGGUGCAUCUGAUAACCCUAUAAAGCUAAAGCCGAAAGAGAAACACAUUGGCCGCACAAAUAUCCAUGAAAUCUAGCUCGGGGCUAUACAGGUCUUCAAUGAUCGGACUCCAAUCCGCAUCAAUGUGUCGCUCUCCUCCAUAAUACUCCCAAACAUCGGUAUAGCCCGUCACUAGACCCUACUCCUAACCUCUAGCUCGAUCAGAGUGCAAGCACACACAAGGCCUCACAUUUGCAAAAGUGAGAACCGAAAUGAAGGAAAUGACCGAAACCAAAGGAUGGGAGGUAAGGGGAUAAAUGUGCUACCCACAGAGACAAGCGGCAUGCAAUCACACGGAAAAAUGGCAGUCAUGCAACAUACAAUCAGACAGUGCUCAGAUAUAUCACCAUGUACACAUAAAAUAAGCGAGAAUACGACAAUCAAGACAAAUAGUGAUAUGAACAUCAUGCUCAAAGGACGAUCAAGAUAAUAUACAAGCAAAUGAAUCAACAUGUCCAACCAAAUGAUAUACAGUGGUGAGUGUAUGCAUGUGAGGUGACCAGAACAAUCAUGGCAAAAUUAGAGUCAAUGUGCUAAGUAAUGCAAGACGAUCAAUCAACAACAAACCAACAUGUCUAUGUCUCAAACAAAUAUAUCAAUGAAGCACAUAAAAUCAUGGUAUUGGAAAUCUCAAUCAAGACAAAUCAAUCAACAUAAUCAACAUGCCAAAAACCCAAAUAGAUAUAACAUCCAAGCAUGCAUCAAAAACUCUCAAUGUGCAAUCAAGAGAUGGGCAUCCACUGAUCGACUCACCAAACGCCAUGUUUGCUUCACUUUAAGUUCAAGCUUGACCCUCUAAAAGGUCCCCAGUGGAGUCGCCAUUUUGUGGACCCCGCAUUUUGGCUCAUGCGUUUUCCACUCGAUGGCGAACUCGAUUUUAAUUUUGAAAAAUUGAUUUUAUUUGAUUAUGAAAACUGACUUGGAGUCACCACUUAUUUUUGUUUUAUUUUUAAAGGGGUAAAUAAAAUAAGAAAGAAAACCCUAAGUGUGACUCCUUAUUUUAGAAAAUGCGGUCUGUGAAAAACCGGAUCGGGCUCAAGGAUCAGGUUACUUAUCGGGAAGGUACGGUACGAACCGUAGCACCCCUCUAAGUCCCUAAAUUCGGGUCUCUACUAAUAAAGUGAAGCUGAUGUGGCAAUCAAUAAGAAAAACAAUGGAUGCUCAAAUCGAUCAUGCACAUAUAGGAAUCAAAACACGCAUAGAGACUGACUAGAAUGGGAGUGGGUGCGUACCUCGACCACGAGCCACAAAUGCGCCAUCAAGAAACGGGGUUAGCACACAAUUAAUGAAUAUGGAAUAUAGCUCAUGCAUAUCGAAGUGCAAAAUGAAGAUCAAACAAAAUACAUUAAGUGCAAUAGUUGACAAUCGAAAGGGAUCAAACAUUGGGCCCCCACCAAAGCCCAAUUUAUGGUUCAUGAAUUAGUCUUACAAAUUCCGAGUUUUUUUCAAUUAUGAAGAAUUCAUUUUUGCUUACGUAAAAUCAAGAAGAUCAGAAGAUUAUUUAAGAACUGAAAUGGAAUUAAAACUAUUCGAGUGAAAACGGAAUUCUUGGAGUUUAUUUGAAAAUUGGAGUCUUGGGAAUUAAAUUUAAAAGAUUAGAGCUUCGGUAAUUAAUAUGAAAUUUGCCAAAGAAAAUGAGAAAUGAACUUUAGGGAAUUAAACAGCGAGGAUAUAGAUUUCGAAAGUUGAAUUAAUAAUAAUAAUAAUAAUAAGAAAUGAACCGUGAGAAUAUAAAUUUUUAAUAAUAAUAAUAAUAAUAAUAAUAAUAAUAAUAAUAAUAAUAAGAAAUGAACUUUAGUAAGUUAAACUGCGAGAAUAUAGAUUUUGAAAGUUGAAUUAAUAAUAAUAAUAAUAAGAAAAUGAACUUCAGGAAAUUGAACUCUGAGAAUAUAAAUUUUUAAUAAUAAUAAUAACAAUAAUAAUACUGUGAGAAUGUAGAUUUUGAAAGUUGAAUUAAUAAUAAUAAUAAUAAUAAUAAUAAUAAUAAUAAAUGAACUUCAGGAAAUUGAACUGCUAGAAUAUAGAUUUUUAAUAAUAAUAAUAAUAAUAAUAAUAAUAAUAUGAAAUUAAACUGCGAGAGUAUAGAUUUUUAAUAAUAAUAAUAAUAAUAAAAACAAUAAUAAUAAUAAUGAUAAUAAUGAUAAUAAUAAUAAUAAUAAUAAUAGUAACAAUAAUAAUAAUAAUAACAAUAAUAAUAAUAAUAAAAAUUCCAUGUGGGCUUGAGGCAACUGGGUGGUGCAGGGUGAGAAGUCCAGAUUCCAAUAAUAAUAAUAAUAAUAAUACUAAUAGUGGUGCAUGGUAAGAAACCCAAAUUCGUGGGCUUGAGGCAAAUGGAUGGUACAUGGUGAGAAGCCCAGAUUCGUGGGCUUGAGGCAACUGGGUGGUGCAUGGUGAGAAGCUCAAAUUCCAAUAAUAAUAAUAAUAUAGUGGUGCAUGGUGAGAAGCCCAAAUUCGUGGGCUUGAGGCAAAUGGGUGGUACAUGGUGAGAAGCCCAAAUAAUAAUAAUAAUAAUAAUAAUAAUAAAAAUAAUAAUACUAUCUGCUAAUAAUAAUAAUAAUAUUCGUUAAUAAUAAUAAUAAUAAUAAUAAUAAUAAUAAUAUUUGUUAAUAAUAAUAAUAAUAAUAAUAAUAUGAAUUAAAAGGGCUUUGGGCUCCAUCUCCAUCAUAAGCCCAAGCCCACUCGGCAAAAAUCACCCUCCAGCCCAUUAGCAGCCAUAGGCUCCUCCUGUACAGGCUUGCAGCCUGUCAUUCUCCUCAUCACCGCCGGCAAGGAGCUUCGGCUUAACGUCGCUGGUGGGGGUCGCUUCCGCCUUUCCCGGAGAGGUGCGAUCCUCUCAUAUGCCUCUAUCGUCCGCCAGCGCCGGUGAUGGCAGAGCGCGACUGCGUGACCAGGUCUUCCUGCCGAGGAACGCCAGCUCCGAAAACCACUGAGAGUAAUGACAGAUUGGAUGAAAACAGAGGAGGCGGUCCACGGCGGGAGCGGCGGAGAAAGAGACGACGAUAGGGGCGACUCCAAGCUGGACGUAUGAGAGACUCCUGGUACAGUUCGUCGACGAUUUGGUUCCUGGCUUUCCUUCGAGUUUUGAGCGUAGCGUCGGCAUCGACGUUGGUGAGAUGCGGCGGUGUGAACGAGUCCACCUAACGGCGAGGCGACGCUAACAUAGGCGUGGUCACCAACAUGGGGACAUGCGGAUUCUGCGAGUGGGUAGGGAGAUAAGGAUGGGAGCAUCGGACAAGGCGGAAAUGGCGACCUCAAACUGAACGUUUGCAACAUGAUAAACCCACAGACAAAGAAACAAAACAUAGGAACCCAUUUCAUUCCGGGAUAAACAGAUUCCCCAGUCGGUGGCAUAACAUGAAUCUGUAUCCGGGUUUAUCUCCGAGAUGAAUGCCCGGAGAAGAUAACAGGGGAAAACAAAAGCAAUAAAAUACCCAAGCAACAAGUGAAAAGCUGGAAAAUGACCAGAUGAAUGCAUGAAGAACGAUACCGCGGGGAAAAUGAAUUAAAAAUCCACCAUGCCCAUACUUGGAUGGCCUUUUCUGAUUUUCGAUCUCUUCCUUAGACAUUCAUCUCCCCCUCCCUCUUCCUCCUAGUUGCUCGCCCCCAUUUGCCUCUCUCUGUCACCCUCUAAAAAAAAUCCCCCUGUUUCCCGUCUUCCUCGCCAAGCCACUACCUGCUCUCUGCCCCUCUUGUCCCAUCUGGCCGCCCCAUGCAGCUUAAUUCCGGGGUGGUCAAAAGAGCAAUCAUGAUAGAUAAAAUAAUAGAAUAAAAUAUAUAAAAAAAAAGCCAAAAAAAAACCCCUCCCGGGAGGGGGUCUACACUAUGACAAUUCAAAAAAUAUUUCAAAUCUACGAAAGCUUGGAAUAAUCUAAUUAGAAAUUAUCUUCCUAAAAUAUAAUUUCAUUUUAAUUUUAAAGUUGUCUUUCAAAAAAACUAACUUCAAGUUGUUUUUUUAAAAGUCAAUUUUCAAUUAAUAUUAAGAGAUUUUGAAAUGGUUUUGAUAUAGGUAAGAUGAAGACACUAAUAUCAUAAUUCUCAUAAAGGAAAGAUUAAAAAAAUAAAUACGAUUUAAAAAAGGAAAUAGUCUAAUCUAAAUAUUUCUACACCUCUACCUUCUAAUAAAUUAAGCCAAGAACAAGUGCAUAUGUGUAGACCCCCUGUUUUAAACCAAGUGUAUUGGUUCAAUGAUAUGUUUUUUUUAUUAUUAUUACCUCAUUUUAUUAUUUUUAUAAGUUGAAGCAAGGUGGCAUUUCAAGAAGGAUCCGAGAGUGGAAUUCAGUGAGGAGUGGGGGGGACCCCUUUCUGCAAAGAGAACAGCUUCAUAGACACGGCAAGAGACGUGGGCAGCCAGGAGAGUGGUUGCAAGCCCAUGCUUGCUGAUGUGAUGAACAGGAAAUGGAGGGUUAGCUUGCUGAAGAAGACACCAACAGAGGGAUGAAGGGAAGGACAGGAAAAAGGUUGAGGAAUCCGGAGAGAGGGGGGGUGAGCUUAUAGAGGAAGGAGCCGAGUAAGCACUGCGGAAGAAGUUCAGGUAUGGCCAACAUGGAUUUCUUUAUUUUGGUUUUCUUCAUUUUCCUUCUCUAUUAUUGCUGUUUUUGAGUAUAAUUUGUUGUUGAUCUCUUGGUUGCUGGGAUUUUGUUAUCGUUGGUCCUUGUCACAUUUCCUGGAGUUUUGUUUGGGUAUGAACUGUCUCUGUUGCAACUUUCCUAUAAAAUGUCUAAAUCAUGCCCGGGUCUUUGUCUAAAAUUUAUUGAUCUCACUCACCAACGUUUAGGCACAUUGAUUGUAAUAUGAAACGUGGCUGUCUACUGGUUCAUUUUAUUUCAUUCUUUUGUGCUCUGUUUGUACUCUGUUUUCGAUGUUUUUCCUUUGUUUCUGGACUGUUCAAAGUGUUGGAUAUCUCAGCUGGGUUGAUCAUUUUGGUUGGGAUAUUUAUGGGAGAGUCCCAUAAGAAGCUCAAUUCUCAUACAAACGAAAAUUUCUGGAUACCUGUAAGAUGUGUGAACCACAUUCAUUAAAUGUUGAGAGAUGCAGAAGGGAGAGCCCGGAUGAGGAUGGAGAAUGCAGUCGUCAUGUUAUGGGACCCUUACAGCUCAACAAAUGCUUUGUAGCAACAGUCACCAAUCGGGACGGUGCACCAGUUACUUAAGGCGGGAAAGCCAGAGAUCCACAACGUUAUAGAGUGCACCGGUAGUGGAGAUUAUUUGAUAUCUCAACUAUGACGAAGGCUGAUUCAGGCGGUUGACCACAUGGAGCAUCAUGUCGGCUGUAACAGGUGCGUCAAGGCAGCAACUUGCGAACCUCGGUUUGGCAGUGAUGGCGUGGGUUCAUAGCAAUCGAUCCAUACGUGGAGCAGAUUAUAUAUUAUGAAGAUAAGGCGAGCCAUUUGAAAUGAGGUCCUCGGUAUUUCCACUAGUGUUUUUGGAUGUCAACUCUUGCAUGGGACUGCCAGACAUGUUGACUAUUUUUGAACCCAAGACCCAGCGUCCCUUGAAUCGCAUCAGGCGGCCAAAGGGCGUUGUUUUCAAACCGGGUAUUCACAGGGGCAAGGUCCCCAAGCUGCAGUUUCAGCUUAGCGCUGGGCUUUCGGGCACUCCGAAUAAUACAAGACUGCCCAAGAACUUCACUUUGUUGGGUCUGGGGGCGGGCUACAUUUGCAGCCAAGCAACCAUCGAAGCUCCUUCACUUUCCCUCUCCUUUGAUGGCCGGUAAAAAAAAAACUUGCUAACAGGGAUGAGCGUGAUCUAUGCAUGAUUGGAGUUGGAAAUUGCUCCCAGUUGCAGUCUCCCUCUUUGCCAUAUAACCCCUUCCAUUUCACCCACCCACAUGCAUGGGAACCACGGGAACCAAACCACCAUUUCUAUACCCAUUUUCUCUCACUAGCUUCUGCUCUUCAUUCCGCCACUCAUAAUCUUUGCUUUCAGAUCCAUUUUUCAAACCAACCAAACACUUUCUUUCACACGUUCAUCUUUCGAUACUACCCAUACCCGUUCCAUCUCACUAUCUUUCCUCUCUCCAGUGCCAUUCACUCCCACUCCUAUCAUACCCAUUCCUCUUACUACCCCAUUACUCAUCCUAGGUUCACGCGGUCUAAGCAUGCAUGGCUGCCCUAAGGUCUCUCCCAAGCUCUCCAUUAAAGUUCAUUUCCUGUCAUAUCUAAGCCCCACGUAGAAUUACUUCAUGCUUGAGACAUCAUGCCAAGCUCAUUAUCCUUUGAAUAUCCAUACCCAUUCAUCAUACCCAUGUACAAUAGCCUCCAUUCAUUUCACCACCAAACAACUAUUUAAUUAUUUAUUCAAUUUUUUUCUCUCUCCCACUUUUUUUUCCUCCACUCUUUCCAACCCACUUUCACGGGCAGCCCACAUUUCCAUUUUAUAUAUUUAUUUAUUUAUUUAUUUAUUCUUUAUUUAUUUAUUUAUUUAUUUAUUUUUCUUUCCUUUCAAAGUUUAAUUUUCCAAAACAAAUUUUUAUUUUCAAAUAAUUCUCCAAAAUUCGAAUAUUCCAAAGUUCCAUUCUCAAAAAUAUUUUUUUUAAGAUUUCAAUUUUUUGAAAUUUAAUUUUCUAAAAUUUCCCUCUCUAAAAUAAUUUUUCCAAGAUUCCAAUUUUCGAAAUUAAAUUUUCCGAAAUACCGUCCUCAAAUAAUCUUUCAAAAUUCCAAUUUCCAUUCAAUUUUUAAAAAAUUUCAUUUUUAAUCAAUUCUUUAAAACUUCCGAUUUCAAAAAUUCCAAAAUUCACGUUUAUUUAUUUAAUCAUUAUUUUCGUUGCAUUUUAAACGAUUCAUUAAAAUUUUCGACUUUCAAUUUUAAUUCUGAAAAUUCCAAUAUUCACAUUAAUUUAUAUAAUUAUUAUUAUUUUAUUUUGUUUAUUCUAGAAUUCCAUUUUAAACAAUUCAUUAAAAUUUCCAUUUCCGAAUUUAGUUUCCAAUUUCAAAAAAUUCCAAUAUUCCCAUUUAUUCAAUCAUUAUUUUCGUCCUUAUAUUAUUAUUCCAUUUAUUUAUUUAUUUAUUUUAAAAUUCCAUUUUUAAACAGUUUUUUCCAAAGUUCCAAUUUCUGAACUUAAUUUCCGAUUUCCAAAAUUCUAAUUUCUUUCAAAUUUAAUAUCCAAAAUUCCAAUUCUUCGAGACUCCAAUUUUCAAAUGAAUUUCAAAAAUCAAAUUUUCCCCUCGAACUGUUUUAUUUUCACUCGGGUUCUCAAAUAAACCUUCUAUUCUUCUUGGUUUUUAUAUAAACAUUAAUGUGAUUCUCGCAAUUCCAAGAUAAUGGAAUUUGUGAGACUAAUUCAUGCAAAAAUAAAUCGGGCUUUGGUGGGCCCCCCACAUAUGUGAUUUCAUGACUAAUUGAUUGAUUGAUUGAUUUAUUUAUUUGCCAUGCGUGAUUGAUUUACUCUGUUCUUGAUAUACAUAUAAUCAUUCUUUGUUUAUUCACUAACCCCAUUCCAUGAUAGCGCGUUGCUGUGUGCUGCCUAGGUACGCAUUCACUCAUUCUGAUCAUUCACUAUACAUAUUCUGAUUCUCAUAUAUAUAUGAUUGAUGUGAGUAUCCAUUGACUUUCUUAUUGACUGCCACAUCAGCUUCAUUUUAUUAGUAGAGACCUAACUUUAGGGACUUAGAGGGGUGCUACGGUUUUUACCGUACCUUCCCGAUAAGUAACCUGCCCCCCGGGCCCGAUCUGAUUUUUCGUAGACCGACCUUUUCCAAAAUCAGGAGUUGCACUUAGGGUUUUUCUUUCUUAUUUUGUUUACCCUUUAAAAAUAAAGCAAAAAUAAGUGGCGACUCCAAGUCAUUUUUUUAACCAAUUAAAUCAUUUUUCAAAAUCAAAAUCGAGAGCUCACCAUUCGAGUGGGGAACGCAUUGAGCGAGCCAAAAUGCGGGGUCCACAAUAUGUCAUAAAACAAAUGAAAAGAAUAAUAUCCUACCGAUAUUUAUCAGCUAUAAAGCCCCUUCUUUGUUCUCAAAUUAUUUAAAAAUAAAUAUAAUGAAAUUUACGAAAAUAAAACUUAUAAAGAUAAGAUGAAAUUGACAACUAUUAAAAAACAUAUCACUUUUCCUUAUAAUAUUCAUCUCUCUGCUACCAUUACAAAAAUAAUAUUAAAUAUAAGAUUCUUUUAUCACUAUUAUGAAAUUCAAAACUCUUGAUUAAUUGGUAUAUUGAAACCUGUCAAAGUAAUGUUUGAUUUAACUCUUUUGAUCUAUGAAUUAUUUAAAAGUAAUAUCAUUAAAAGAAUUUAUGAAUUUGACAUUUAUAAAAGUUAUACAAAAUUAAUUAUUAUUUAAAAUAAAUAUUCUAAAUGUAGGGAAAAAAGGGUAACACCAUAAAUGAAAUUCAAGAAGAUAUAUGCAUAUACAUAUUUUAUUCUCUUUCCUUAUUUUAAUAUUUAUAUUUAUCAUUAUACUUCAUAUAUUAAAUUAAAUUCACAAUAAUAGUGCAAUGGUAAUUCCCUUAUUUAUCAUUUAUGAAUUUAAAUAUCUUCAUUUUACUUAAUAAUCCUCAUUAACUAGACGAGGAAGAGAGAACAUUCAAAAGAGAAGUUUCUCCUUUUCUUCUUCAAUUUGGAUUUAACAAACAUCUUUUAAUAUUUUAUUAAAUAAAUAUAAAUAAUAUAAAUAAUAUUAUUAACUUCAUAACUUAAAAAUUUUUGGAAAAAGAAGGAAAAAACAACUAUGAAAGUAUUAAAAUUGCUUUUAUAUCAUGAAAGAAUUUUGGUAGAAGAUGAAAACAAAAUAUUUAUUUAUUUAUUUUUAAAUUUUAUUUAAUAAUACUAUCAAAUAAACUCCAAAAUUAUAACAAAAUUUGAAAUCAAACACAAAUAAAAAACAAAAGUCUUUGGAUAUUGAAUGACUUCUCUUUGCCUUUUAAAAUAAGUUCAAUGUGGUCCACAUUAGAUUUCUUUAUUUUGGCCAUGAGUAUAGAUGGAAGUUUGCAUCGAACAAAGCUCAACCAUUGAUAUUAACUAACAAAAUUUAAAUAAAGACAAGCUUGUAUUUAAAAUUUUAAUAAAAAGUGAUUUAAACAACAAUAAUUUCCUUGUACUAAUCUAUUAAUUGUAGUAAAAAUACAAGAAAUCAUUUUCUUGCUAACUUUUUCUUGUGAGCUUAUCCUUUCGCUUUCUUAAAACAUAAUAUUGAUUCUUGUCGGCUAGACAAUAAAAACAAGAACUUGUGAUGGAUUAUACAUUUAGCAUAUCGAUAAUUUAAGAAAUGAGAAAAGGCCUUGGAAUUUUGUAAAGAUAAAAGGAUAUAAUAAUUGGAUGUCACAUUUCUAUAAAUACAUAAAAGUAAUAUUUAUAGUCAAUAGAUGAAAACAUAGUAAACAUUCAAAAUGAGUUAAAACCAUGAAUGGUUGGAGCACAAAAUUUAGCAUGUCCUUUACUUAUUUUUGGUCAUUAUUUCUCUUAUCAAGCUUCUUAGGCACCAAAUAUGGAAAUUCUCUAUUUAGUAUCAAGAUAAAAUGAAUAAGAUCUUGUCAACCACAUUUUAAUUUAGCUAUUUGUGUCAAGCAAGAACAUGGACAUCAUAAUACCGCUUAUUCUCUAUUUCUUUAUUUAUGUAAGCAUGUAUGACUUAUUGAUUCCUCAAUACCUUUAUUAAAGGGAGUUUGGUUUGAAUAUUGAAUUAAUUACAAAAAAGAUGUCAAAUACUAUGAAUGUUAGAUAAAGACUUUUUUUUUAUAAAUAAAAUUAACAUAAAGGGUAUGUGAAAGCCAAUAGUAUUGAACUCUUAAUAACUAAUUUUUAAGGUUGUAAAUAGGAAAAGAAAAAAGUAUCUAUCUCACAAAAGUGACUCAUAUGUUAUGAAUAUAUGUGAAAGAUGGGAUAAAUAGAGAAAAUAAAUAGCUCCCUAAAUUAAUAGAUUACAUCAUUAAGGACCAAUUAUGCAUUGGAAGUUUACAAAGUUGCAGGAUUAUCGAGAUUGGAAGUUUACAAAGUUGCUGGAUUUUUUCACUCAUAUUUGUUUACAACUUUUUGUUGUGACAUAUACAAUAGAUAUAUUUAAAAAGUUCAUUUUCAAAAGGUGCCAUUAGAGCAGGUAAGAAACUUACCAUAUGUAGACCCCCUCCCGGGAAGGAGGAGUUUUUGGCCAUUUUUUAUUUUGCUAUCAUGAUUACUUUUCUGACCACCCGGGAAACGAGCUGCUUUGGGCGGCCAUGGGAUGGGAUGAAGCCAUGCUGCUGAUGUGAGGAACAGGAAACGAAGGAGUGGCUUGCCAAGGAAGAUAGGAACAGGGGAUGAGAGAGAAAAGAAAGAAAGAAAAAAGGAGUUUUAGAGGGGAAAAACAGGGAUCUUUUUCGGUAGGCGAGAGAACAGAGGGAGGAAGGUCUUCAUUUUUUGGGAGGGGGGGGGGAGGCGAGAUAACCACAGGGAGACAGAGGAAGCAAAGGGGAGACGGAUAUAGUGGGUGAGUUGAGGGUAGCAAAAAAAGAAAAAAAAACUUACUGAUUUCUGGAGUAUCAGAGGAACACUUCGGGUAUGGUUUCUUUGCACCUUUCUUAUUCUUUCUUCCUCACCGUCACAGGUUUUGAUCAUCUCAUCUUGCCACUUGAAUGUUAUUAUUUUAUUUUACUGGGCAUUGAGCUGUGUGAAAUCUGAGUUUUCAUGCUUACUCUGUUUUGAUGCUUUCCUGGUUUUUUUUUGGAUUCCUUUGAGGAAUAAUUGCUGUUUCGAUUUGCUCCUUUUAGCUCGGUCUUUUAUUAAUCAUGCUAUUACUCCAUGUUUCUUCCACCCGUUCCGGAUCCUCUAAUUAGUACAUGAAGCAGGACCUAGCUCAAUGGCAUGAUUGUUUUCCCGUGGUUAUGCUCUGUUCUUGUUUGCAUUUUUCUUUCUCUGUUCCGGAGACCAUUCUGGAACUGAAAUUAUCGAAGAGUUGGAUUAUAAAGAGGGAGUCGUUGGACGCGUAUUACGCGGCGGCGGUGGAAUGCUCGGUGAAGUUUUUGGUUGGAAUUGGUGGGAAGGAUGGAUGGCUGUUCGUCCAUGGGAGAAUCAGUUUCUUGACAUAAAUGUGAGAAAUGGAGUGAUGAUUCGUGAGGAUGGGUCGACUGAGGGAAAGAAUGGCUCCUAGAGCCCGUAAAAAAUAUGCUGGAAAGAAACCCAUUUCCUUAAAUAUCUGAAAUGGAAAAUGACCCCACCAGCCCUUCACAUAUCUCCCACUACUGCAUGCAGGCAUAGGUUUUUUUAUUAUUUCAAGUGACACGUGGCUUUCCUUUUUAACUUUUCCAUGGUUUUUUUUUUAAAUCCCGCCCUCUCUGAAUCAUUUCUAAAGGAAACUUGUUCUCAUUUCUUUAAAUAAUAAUAAUAAUAAUAAUAAUAAUAAAGAGGGGCUCUGUCUAUGAGUUAACCAUGCCAGUUGUUAACCUAUUAAAGAAAGAAAAUAAAUGGGUUUGAUAGCUUCCACCCAUUUCAAACAUCCCUUUUUAUUUAUUUAUUCAUUCUUUCUCUCUCCCACCAUUUUCUCCACUCUUCCAAUCCACUUUCAUUCGCGUUUAAUUCUUCAUUUUAUUAUUAUUAUUAUUAUUAUUAUUAUUAUCAUUAUUAUCAUUAUUAUUAUUAUUAUUAUUUUUGUUAUAUCAAAGUUUAAUUUUCCAAAACAAACUUCCAUCUCCAAAUAAUUUUCAAAAUUUAAUUUUUCAAAACUCCAUUCUCAAAUAUAUAUUUUUUUUUUUAAGAUUCCAAUUUCCAAAUUAAAAUUUUAAAAUUCCUAUUUUCCAAUAAUUUUCACAAAUUUCAUUCACAUUUAUUCAUUUAAUCAUUAUUAUUUUAUUUUAUUUAUGUAUUUAUUUUUAAAAUUCCAUUUUUAAACACUUCUUCAAAAAUUCCGAUUUCCAAAUUUAAUUCCAAUUUUUCGAAAUUCUAAUUUUCCAAUUUCUAAUUUCCGAAAUUCCAAUUUUCACAUUUAUUUUUUAUAAUCAUUAUCAUUAUUAUUAUUAUUUUAUUAAACAAAUCAAUUUUCAAAUAAUUUUCGAGACUCCAAUUUUUAAAUAAAUUUCAAAAAUCCAGUUUUCUCUUAAACAGUUUUAAUGCUUUUCGGGUUUCAAAUAAUCUUCUAUUUAUCUCGAUUUUAUAUAAGCAUGAAUGUCAUUUUCAUAAUUUCAGAACAAUGGAAUUUGUGAGAUUAAUUCGUGCAAGAUCAAUCGGGCUUUGGUGGGGGCCCAACAUAUGUGAUUUCCUUAUGAUUGAUUGAUUGUUUGUUUGAUUUAAUUGCCAUGCAUGAUCGAUUUUAUUUUGCUCUAUGACAUGCUCGAAAUUAUUCCUUAAUUGUGCGCUAACCUCACUUCUUGAUAGCGCAUUGUGGCUCGUCACCCAAGUACGUAUCUAUUCCCAUUCUGGUAUUUCUAUAUGCAUGUUUUGAUUUUCAUAUGUGCAUGAUAGUUCUGGGUAUUCACUGUUUUAUGCGUCCAUUGCUAUGAUUGCUUCAUUUUAUUAGUAGAGACCCGACUUUAGGGACUUAGAAGGGUGCUACGGUCCUUACUGUACCUUCCCAAUAAGUAACCUGACCCCCGAACCCGAUCCGGUUUUUCGCAGACCACCUUUUCCAAAAUAAGGAGUCACACUUAGGGUUUUUCUUUCUUAUUUUGUUUACCCUUUUAAAAAUAAAACAAAAAUAAGUGGCGACUCCAAGUCAUUUUUCUUAAUCAAUAAAAUCAUUUUUUUUCAAACCAAAAAUCGAGCUCGCCAUCGAGUGGGAAACGCAUGAGCCGAAAUGCGGGGUCCACAAAAUGGCGACUCCGCUGGGGAUUUUUUUUAGAGGGUCAAGCUUGAACUUAGAGUGAAGCAAAUGUGGCAUUUGAUUGGACGAUCAGUGGAUGCUCAUCUCUUGAUUGUAUAUUGAGAAUUUCUUGAUGCAUGCUUAGAUGUCGUAUUCAUUUGAGAUUUUGACAUACUGGAUUAUUGAUGAUUGAUCUUAUUGCAUUGCUUAGCGUAUUGAUUCUGAUUUUGGCAUGAUUGUUCUGAUCACUUCACAUGCAUACACUCGCCAUUGUAUAUCGCUCAGCUUGACAUGUUGAUUAUCUGACCUGUAUACUAUUUUGAUCGUCUUUGAGCAUGAUGUUUUGUAUCACUAUUCGUUUUGAUUGUCGUAUUCUCGCUUAUCUUGUGUGUACAUGAGUGAUAUAUCCUGCUCUGCCUGACUGUAUGAUGCAUGACUGCCCUCCCUUUGCAUGAUUGCAUGCCGCUUGCCUAUGUGGGUCUCACUUCUAUCCCCUUACUUCCAAAUCUCUUGGUCUCGGUCAUUCCUUUCAUCUCGAUUCUCACUAUUGCAAGUGUGAGACCUUCUGUGUGCUUGCUCUCUGACCGAGCCAGAGAUUAGGAGUAGGGUUUAGCGGCGAGCUAUAUUGAUGUACGGGAGCAUUCUGGAGGAGACCGACAUAUCGAUGCUGAUUGGAGUCCGAUCAUUGAAGACCUGUAUAGCCCGGAGCUAGGUUUCAUGGAUAUUUGUGUGGCUAGUGUGUUUCAUUUUAUGUUUUAGCUUCCUAGGGUUAUCGGAUGCACCCACACCACUCACUGUGCACUUUAUUUGACUAUUGAGUGUUGAGAGUUGGAGAGGUUUCACCAUAGGAAACCCCCUGGGAUGUCGAGGUAGUGCAUGUGUGAAGGUGAUGACCACCUUGCAUGGAAGCGCCCCAUCUCUUUGGAGGCGUGCAGAGGGUUGCGUACCGUCGGAGGGUACGAUCGCUUCUGCCAGGGAUCCUCUAAAGUCCACCCAUAUCCAUUUAGAGCCACCUUGCCCUUGUAGGUUGAGCCGUAGAUCCUUCGAUUAAGACUUUCCCCCCUACACGUGGGUGCAUCUGAGGGCCUUUAGAGCCUCUUUAGUUACAGUUCGGAUCCAGUUUUCCCUCUUUUUAGUCUCCAGUUGAGAGUGCUCAGAGAUCUGUUUGAGUUUGAGUAUCGGUUGGACCACCUUUGUCAUGUCACCUUGGAUUAUGUUUUUCACUCGAUGAGUUUAGCAUGUUUUCUCCUUAGGGCUUUCAUUCUCAUUUCUUGGCUCGACACACCCCUUCACUUUGUUUUCACUCGCUCGAUACUUUGGGAUAUGUUCAUCGAUCAUAUUUUUUUACACUGUACGCUUAUCAUGGGCUCAGUACCUCAUCAUUUGUUUGAUCCUUGGUUCAAUUUUCGACUCGAUGCUCGUAUUUUCAUUACGGAAAGGUGAAAGACACAUUUUCACAUCCAUACUUUUUCGAGAGUUGCCUUGAUCACCUUACCAUUUUUUUCUCUCAUGGAGCUCGAGUCGAAAUUUGAGUUAAAGAUAUAUGUUUAUUGGUGGAGUACCGAUCUCGUGAUAGUGUGUUUUUCGCAUCUCUUUUAUCCCGGUUUAUUGAUGGAGAUUCUCUAGUCACAUUUGUAGCCAUCUCGUAGUGGAUAUCUUUAUGACUCUAGAGUUUUCGUCAUGUAUCCAAAUUUCUGAUUGCCACCUCAGGACCAUGUGCUUGUAUGUUGUAUUGUCACCUUUUAGAGUUUUAUUGCGUGUCCUUCAUCCAUUUUGUUUGCAUUGUAGGGAGUCAGUUUAGGAGUCGGUUGAGUCUAGAGUAACAUUCCUGGAGGAGAGUUCGAGGACGAUUGAUCAGAGCAGAUUCACAUCCGAGUUUAGAUAGUUUAGUUGAAAUGUCAGACGAGCUAGCUUCCACACUUGCUUCCAUUCAGGAGUUCAUGGCCGGAGUCAGUAGACGCUUGGAUCAGUUAGAGAGUUCUCGCCAGGAUCCUCAUCCGGAUGGCAUGGUCACUGACGAGACGAUUCCUCAUGCAUCUCAGACGGCACAGACUCGUCCACCUGGGGUUUCACUUAGUACUCCAUUCCAUCUGGCAGAUCAUUAUGAAACCAUUCCACCACCUCCUGUCACAGUGCCGCCUCCCAUGGUUCCUACUAUUGGGGAUACUCAAUUGGCCGAGCAGGAGGCCAAGGUUGAGAGGCUCGAGUCCAUGAUGAGACAGAUCAGAUUGCAGGACGGAGGUUUGACUUGGGAUGACAGAGAUGGCAUACCAGCGGUAGCUUGCCCGCCAAGUUCCGCAUGCCAGACAUUGAGCGCUACAGUGGGAUUGGUUGUCCCAAGAUCCAUUUGAGACUAUACAGCACAGUCAUGAGAGCACAUGGGAUAGAUGAUGCGCAGUUGGUGGCCCUCUUCCCUAUGUCACUUAGUGGGGCAGCUCAGAGGUGGUUUGCUUCAGUUGAGCCUUCGAGACUUCGCACCUGGGAGGACGUGGCUCGUGAGUUCCUGACUCAGUUGGAGGCCACUAGACAGAGGCCAGAGGAGUCCAUUUCUUCCUUUGUCACUCGUCGGAGGGCAAAGGUGGCUGGUAUGAUAGACCGGCCUAAGGAGCAGGAUCAGAUUGAUAUGGUUCUUCGGAACCUACAGCCGAGGUUCGCUAGGCGUCUUGUGGGUAUCCCGUUUCAAGAUCUCAGGAGUUUGGUUCAUGCUGCUUUCAGUGUAGAGGAGGCUAUAGCUCGAGGAUUAUGGACAAAUACUACUCCUUCCCCUGACAAUAAGGGGAAGAAGCUGAUUGGACCAUUGACCAGAUCUGGAGAGGUUGGUGCUAUUAGCUAUCAGCACCAGAGGCCCGCGCAUCACUCAGCUUAUAGGUCUCCUACAGUCAGAGCUCCUUUCUCUCUUCCAUAGUAUCAGUAUCAGCUGGAUUAUGCUCAGGAGCCUUACAUUGCUCAGACUAGCAUGCAGCCGCGACCACCACAUCCGAGAGCCGCUACUCACCCACCACCUAGACCACAUGCACAGAGGCCCCCGAGACAGUUCACUCCCUUGGGCAUGACUUUGACUAGAGCUUUUGAGAAGCUUAGAGACGCUGGAGUGAUUGUUCCUUUGGCGCCAAGGCCUUUGCCCCAUCCUAUUCCUCCUCAUUUCCGUUCACAUGAGCACUGCUUGUAUCAUCAGAUUCCGGGGCACGAUACUGAGCUUUGUUCAGCACUCCAUCAUGCGAUACAGGAUUUGAUCGAUUCAGGGGCGGUUGACUUGGCUAGGCCAAGUGUGACCACCAAUCCCUUGCCUGCACAUUCUACACAUGCAGUUCCUCCUCCUCCUGGUCUUCAGUAGAUUGAUUUGGAUGUUGAUGGUAUUGGUGGUCGUAUGGUAUUUUGGGACACCUCGGGUUGGGGACUUUGUUUCAGUUGACAUGGGUACAUCAUUUUGCAGCGAUCUAGCUCAGAGCACCUUCCAUUUUGAUUUAUGGUCGUCAUCAGAGUCGUUCCCGUUCUGUCGGGUCUAGUGUUUAGCUCAUCAGAGUCGCUUUGUUGAGUCCAGUUUGGUUCAGAGUCGUUGUUUUUCUAGUCGUUUGUAGUCCUUUAUCGCUUCACACAUGAUGUACUCAUUUGGUUCAUUUAGUGACAUGAUCUUUUAUUUUGAGUAUGUGUUAUUCUCUUUUCUCAUGAGUACGUUUUACAUAUUUUGUGUUGAUGUGUGCUAUGCUUUCGAUAUGGGACAUAUUUUCACUUUGGCAUCAUUGAUCACUUGGGCCUAAUCUAUCAUGGAGGAUAUUGAGCCUAUUGAGUUGGGAUCAUGAGAUUGACCUAGAGAGUUUGAGACUAUGACUCGUUUCAUCCUCUGAUUAGAGCAACACCACAUCCAUACCUUGACUCUGUGGACUUGUUGACCUACCCAUUUUGAGCUUGACAUGACACCACCCAUUGGCACCAUUACACGACUUUACUGCCCUUGUUCGCCUUAUCAUGUUACAGUACCAUUGCCUUUCCUUUCCAUCAUUUCCUUGAUCUGACUAGGUAGAGUCCGAGAUGGUUAGACCCGAGGUGGGCUUUACAUGAUGAUAGAUGGAUCAUGAUGAGAGAGUGGCUUGAUUGUUUGACGAUAUUGUUGAGAUAGAGGGGUUAUCAUGGAGCAUCCAGAUUUGAGCCAUUGCACAUGACUUCAGAGGGUAGGGACGAUUAGACAUGGUGAUUUUAUGAGAUGAUGGUGAGUGACUUGUGAUGAUGGAGUGAGGUGAUUAUCAGAGGACAUUGACGGUUAUCACAGAGCAUCAGUGAGAGAUUUCACACGAUUUCAGAGGAGUCGCCAUGACUAUGUUGGAUGGAUGCCAGUCUUUAGUAUUGGCCAUGUGAGACCUCGAAAGCACGAUGUUUGAGGUUUUGGUCAAAGGAUGGGUGACCAUCAUUUCAUGAGCCUAUUUACUUUAUCACCCUCACAUAUAGAGUUACCCGUUGCUAGCCAUUUGAGCCUCACACGAGCACAUAGCCUUUUCUUUCAUCACUUCAUUUACCUAUUACACCGGGUUAGGGACCCUGUAGUGCUUGCAUGCUAUGAUUGGAUACGUCAUGAGUUCCAGACCUGACAUACAUAUUCGAGCCUCAUUCUUCAUUCCUCACUCUUCAUUGUGAUAUUUCCCGCUUGGACAUCAUUCCAUCACUAUUUUCCGAUAUCACAUACCAUCACUUAUGAUAUUCGUUCUCUGUCUUUUCCUUUCCUUAUUGCUUACUCGACCUUAUCCUUGUUUCACCUUGAGUGGUGGUUUUUCACACGUCACUGCAUAGAGGAUUGUCACAUUCUUUCCUAUCAUUCACCCCAUGGGCAGUGGUUCAGAGAUGUUAUUUUGAGAGGUUGUCUUGUUAGUGAGGAUUCAUGUUACAUUCGUAUGUGGAGAGGGUUUGAUCAUUUAGGUAUGUAUUUUCAUGAGAGUUCAUUCAUUAUUGAUCAGAGUAUGCGCAAAAAAAAAAAAAAAAAAAAAAAAAAACCAAAAAAACCAAAAAAAAAGAAAAAAAAAAAGAUAGCGCAUUGUUCAUUUUAUUAUUUUCCAUUGGGCAUGUGUAUGGACGUGCUAGUUUGCUUCAUUGGGUUCAUGUGUUAGAGAGAUGUUCGUAUGAGAGCUUCUUUCUGAGAUUCCAUCUUGGUAUAUUUUGGGUGAGAGUAUGAGUCGCUCAUUCGAUUUUUGUGAAAGAGGCAAGUGACCUUUCUUUAGUAUCUCUGGAUCCUUGCUCUAUCCAUCAUCCCAUCUGUUUUGGAUGUGACUACUUUCCAUGCUUUGAUGCAGGUUGACCAUCACUCACUUUCCUAUCUCUUUACCUUCUUUUAUCUUUGUUUUAUCACUCUAUUUUUACCAUACCUCACCCGAUUUCUUUCUUUUCUCAUCCUUCUUGAUGUUUGACUUGAGUUCAACAUCUACACUUUUUUCUUGCUUAUUCGAUGUGUUCAUCCCUUUAUCAUCACUUUUGGUGUGGGGACCCCUAGAUUCGGGACUCAUGACGUUUUCUAUGCAUUGCAUUUCAUGCACGAGGGGUAUGGGGAUUGUAUCAUUGGGAUCUUUGAGCCUAGUUUCCUUUCAUUUUUUUCACCCUAUUACCUUAGCCUACGUUACGUCCCGUGUCUGAAGACCACCCUGAGUCCAUUACUUCAUAUUGUGCUUGACGGCUCCCACAUGGGCAAUACUCGAGCUUGGUCGGAGAUUAUUUCUCGGAGCAUGAUGGAUGUAGAGUUGAGAUGAUGAUUUACACUGGGGCAUACCCCUAUUAUCAGUGAUGGAUUUUCAGAGGCGUCGUUAUCUACACUAGGGCAUACCCCCCUCAUCGAUGACGUUUUCUUUCGGGAUGAUGCUUUACACUGAGGCAUAGUCAGUUUGUUUCUUUGUGUGGAUUAUGAUGGACUAGGAGUUGUGGGAUGACCCUACACUAGGGCAUAGCCACUUCAGAGAGCACUUUUAUUGGAGAUACAGUCACUCUACUCGAUACUCUGCAUUGCGACACACUCUACUCAUUGAUGGUAGAUUUUUGAGAUGACGAUUUGUUUUGAGGCAUAGCCCUCUCAUCGGUGAUGGACUUUGAUUUUUCAUUAGAGCAUAGUCACUUCAGGUGGUUUACACUGGGGCAUAGCCACCUCAUUCACAUUCAUAGAGCCCGGGGAUUCUUAUUCGUAUGGAUCAUGUUGAGAUAUUAUCAUUUUUGGCAGUGAGACUUGAGAUUGAUUGAUUUGUUGACGUAUACACUAGCAUGAUCUUCUCCAGUAGUUGUUGACUCGGAUGCACUGCUUUACACUGGGGCAUAUCCAUCUUUUGGAGAGAGAUCAGAUUGGUUCUUUACAUUGGAGCAUCUACUAGAUAAUAUGGAGAUUAUUGGAUUAUUUCAUGUUGUCCUCAUUGCAUACUGGGGCAUAGCCACCUAGUUGGAUGUUUUGACAUCGAGAUUUGACUUUCCGAUCAUGGUUAUUACUUCUGAUGGAUUAUGGAGCUAUUGGCACCUCGGGUCUAGUCUUCUCGGCAUACUUGGACGAUCUCGGAUACAUACCUUUCAUCUCGUACUUAGUUAUUUCACCCUGGAUACUUUCAUGCCUCCUAUCAUACCAGAGCCUGAUCAUCACCUUAUUUUAUCCUACGCAUCCCACCGUGACGCAUGACCUCACUCUUUUCUCGAUUAGGAGGAGAUGUAGAUCAGUCCUCGAUCACCUUGGUUGUGUUUUCAUACAUUCUUUUGGACUUUAGGUUCAACAUCUUCCAUGAUGGUAGGGCCUGACAGAUUGUUGACUUAUCAGUGACGAUGCUUUCAUUUUGAUAGUUGACAUGUUGAGUGUUGAUUUGCUUGCUCUUUUCAUUUUAGCACUGGUCAUCAUUAUUGUUGUUAUUCAUCAGUUAGUUUUGUUUUGUCGGCAUGAUGUCACGAUACAUGGUCUUGUUUGGCAUUACUUAUUCAAGGUUGGACAUUUUCAUUACAUGAUGGAUGAGCAUAUCUCAGAGUACAGUAGUUUUGAGGCAUUUUGCAUCUCUGUCUGUUCAUCAUCACAUACUGGGGCAUACCCUCUCUCUGAGAGCAUUGGACCUUCCGUAGGUUUCAUUCACUUUUUGAUCUAGUUGUUGACUCCCUUGAGUUGCAUACUGGGGCAUACCCUCCUUCUCCGAGAUCAUCGGACCUUUCACAGGCUUCAUUAUAUUUCAACCUAGUUGUCAAUCCUCAUGAGCUGUCAUACUGGGACAUAUCCCCUCCUGUCGAGUUUGCUUGCAUCAUCAUCUUAGUAUCACCUGGCUUUGAGUCACUCGAUCAAAUCAUCUUCUUAUCAUUCAUCUUGUCCUGUCAGUUUGAGUCAGGACCGCACCUAUAUCGAUCGGUCAUUCAUCAUGUUAGUCUGAGUCGGGACCGCACCUAUAUCAAUCAGCCAUCUUCCUGUCAGUUUGAGUCGGGACCGCACCUAUAUCGAUCGGUCAUUCAUCAUGUUAGUCUGAGUUGGGGCCGCACCUAUAUCAAUCGGCCAUCUUCCUAUCAGUUCAGUUUUUGGGGCUGCACCUAUAUCAAUCGGGCAUCUUCCUGUCAGUUUGAGUCGGGACCGCACCUAUAUCGAUCGGUCAUUCAUCAUGUCAGUCUGAGUCGGGGCCGCACCUAUAUCGAUCGACCAUCUUCCUGUCAGUUUGAGUUGGGACCGCACCUAUAUCGAUCGGUCGUUCAUCAUGUCAGUCUGAGUCGGGGCCGCACCUAUAUCAAUCGGCCAUCUUCCUGUCAGUUUGAGUCGGGACCGCACCUAUAUCGAUCGGUCAUUCAUCAUGUCAGUUUGAGUCAGGGCCGCACCUAUAUCGAUCGGCCAUCUUCCUAUCAGUUCAGUUUGAGUCGGGACCGCACCUAUAUUGAUCGGUCAUUCAUCAUGUCAGUCUGAGUCGGGGCCGCACCUAUAUCGAUCGGCCAUCUUCCUGUCAGUUUGAGUCGGGACCGCACCUAUAUCGAUCGGUCAUUCAUCAUGUCAGUCUGAGUCGGGGCCGCACCUAUAUCAAUCGGCCAUCUUCCUAUCAGUUCAGUUUCCGAGGCCGCACCUAUAUCAAUCGGCCAUCUUCCUGUCAGUUUGAGUCGGGACCGCACCUAUAUCGAUCGGUCAUUCAUCAUGUCAGUUUGAGUCGGGACCGCACCUAUAUCGAUCGAUCAUUCAUCAUGUCAGUUUGAGUCAGGGCUGCACCUAUAUCGAUCGGUCAUCUUCCUGUCAGUCUGAGUCGGGACCGCACCUAUAUCGAUCGGCCAUCUUCCUAUCAGUUCAGUUUGAGUCGGGACCGCACCUAUAUCGAUCGGUCAUUCAUCAUGUCAGUUUGAGUCAGGGUCGCACCUAUAUCGAUCGGCCAUCUUCCUAUUAGUUCAGUUUGAGUCGGGACCGCACCUAUAUCGAUCGGUCAUUCGUCGUGUCAGUCUGAGUCGGGGUCGCACCUAUAUCAAUCGGCCAUCUUCCUAUCAGUUCAGUUCGAGUUGGGACCGCACCUAUAUCAAUCGGUCAUUUUCCAUGUCAGUUUGAGUCGGGACCGCACCUAUAUUGAUCGGUCAUUUGUCGUGUCAGUUUGAGUCGGGGCCGCACCCAUAUCGAUCGGCCAUUUUCCUAUUAGUUUGUGUUUAGUUUGAGUCAAGACCGCACCCAUAUAGAUCGGUCAUUCAUUCUUCCUAUCAGGUCAGUUCGACGUCCGGGCCUUUGUUUCAGUAUGACAUUCAGAGUCACAUUUUCCAGAUUUGGCAUUUAGAGCCAUUGUGCAUACUCAUCCAGACAUUUUUUGAGUCACCUUGUUUCUUUUCAUUUUAGGCGUUCAGAGUCGUUCUCCUCACCUGGUUAGUUGGUGCUUAUCGCCUAUUCAUCAUUGCUCUUCUAGACUUCCCCUUCCACUACACAUGACAUAGUUCUUUGAGUCCGUGACGCAUAUUUCGAUCAUGUUAUUGGGCACCUUACACUUGGCAUUCUCGUAUAGUUCACAUAGGGCAGUCUCCUUCGGGCACAUUCUUUCUUGUACUCUAGGGUGGUUCAACCGUUACUCAUCUUUGACAUUGAUCUUCGAGUCACUUUUGGAGACGUCUUAGAGGGAGCUUGGAUCCCUAGUGUGGCUGCAGAGGCAUUUUGAGACAUCAUUUUGUUUUAGGGUUAGAGCCUUUGUGUUAGUCUGCUAGCCUGAGUGAGUUUGCAUUUCACUAUUAUCCCUAUGGGGGUCUCCUUGGUUCUUCGGUAGAGUUCACUUCAUUCCACUCACUAUUCACACUUGCUUUUCACUCCAGUGUUCAUAUUCCUUACACUCGUGAGCUCUACCAAAGAGGGGCAUAUUUGUAGACCCCCUCCCGGGGAGGAGGAGUUUUUGGCCAUUUUUUAUUUUGCUAUCAUGAUUACUUUUCUGACCACCCGGGAAACAAGCUGCUUUGGGUGGCCAUGGGAUGGGAUGAAGCCAUGUUUCUGAUGUGAGGAACAGGAAACGAAGGAGUGGCUUGCCAAGGAAGAUAGGAACAGGGGAUAAGAGAGAAAAGAAAGAAAGAAAAAAGGAGUUUUAGAGGGGGAAAACAGGGAUCUUUUUCGGUAGGCGAGAGAACAGAGGGAGGAAGGUCUUCAUUUUUUUUGGGGGGGGAGGCGAGAUAACCACAGGGAGACAGAGGAAGCAAAGGGGAGACGGAUAUAGUGGGUGAGUUGAGGGUAGCAAAAAAAGAAACAAAAACUUACUGAUUUCUGGAGUAUCAGAGGAACACUUCGGGUAUGGUUUCUUUGCACCUUUCUUAUUCUCUCUUCCUCACCGUCACAGGUUUUGAUCAUCUCAUCUUGCCACUUGAAUGUUAUUAUUUUAUUUUACUGGGCAUUGAGCUGUGUGAAAUAUGAGUUUUCAUGCUUACUCUGUUUUGGUGCUUUCCUGGUUUUUUUUUGGAUUCCUUUGAGGAAUAAUUGCUGUUUCGAUUUGCUCCUUUUAGCUCGGUCUUUUAUUAAUCAUGCUAUUACUCCAUGUUUCUUCCACCCGUUCCGGAUCCUCUAAUUAGUACAUGAAGCAGGACCUAGCUCAAUGGCAUGAUUGUUUUCCCGUGGUUAUGCUCUGUUCUUAUUUGCAUUUUUCUUUCUCUGUUUCGGAGACCAUUCUGGAACUGAAAUUAUCGAAGAGUUGGAUUAUAAAGAGGGAGUCGUUGGACGCGUAUUACGCGGCGGCGGUGGAAUGCUCGGUGAAGUUUUUGGUUGGAAUUGGUGGGAAGGAUGGAUGGCUGUUCGUCCAUGGGAGAAUCAGUUUCUUGGCAUAAAUGUGAGAAAUGGAGUGAUGAUUCGUGAGGAUGGGUCGACUGAGGGAAAGAAUGGCUCCUAGAGCCCGUCAAAAAUUUGCUGGAAAGAAACCCAUUUCCUUAAAUAUCUGAAAUGGAAAAUGACCCCACCAGCCCUUCACAUAUCUCCCACUACUGCAUGCAGGCAUAGGUUUUUUUAUUAUUUCAAGUGACACGUGGCUUUCCUUUUUAACUUUUCCAUGGUUUUUUUUUUUAAAUCCCGCCCUCUCUGAAUCAUUUCUAAAGGAAACUUGUUCUCAUUCUUUAAAUAAUAAUAAUAAUAAUAAUAAUAAUAAAGAGGGGCUCUGUCUAUGAGUUAACCAUGCCAGUUGCUAACCUAUUAAAGAAAGAAAAUAAAUGGGUUUGAUAGCUUCCACCCAUUUCAAACAUCCCUUUUUAUUUAUUUAUUCAUUCUUUCUCUCUCCCACCAUUUUCUCCACUCUUCCAAUCCACUUUCAUUCGCGUUUAAUUCUUCAUUUUAUUAUUAUUAUUAUUAUUAUUAUUAUUAUUAUUAUUAUUAUUAUUAUUAUCAUUAUUAUUAUUAUUAUUAGUUUUGUUAUAUCAAAGUUUAAUUUUCCAAAACAAACUUCCAUCUCCAAAUAAUUUUCAAAAUUUAAUUUUUCAAAACUCCAUUCUCAAAUAUAUAUAUUUUUUUUAAGAUUCCAAUUUCCAAAUUAAAAUUUUAAAAUUCCUAUUUUCCAAUAAUUUUCCAAAAUUUCAUUCACAUUUAUUCAUUUAAUCAUUAUUAUUUUAUUUUAUUUAUGUAUUUAUUUUUAAAAUUCCAUUUUUAAACACUUCUUAAAAAAUUCCGAUUUCCAAAUUUAAUUCCAAUUUUUCGAAAUUCCAAUUUUCCAAUUUCUAAUUUCCGAAAUUCCAAUUUUCACAUUUAUUUUUUAUAAUCAUUAUCAUUAUUAUUAUUAUUUUAUUAAACAAAUCAAUUUUCAAAUAAUUUUCGAGACUCCAAUUUUUAAAUAAAUUUCAAAAAUCUAGUUUUCUCUUAAACAGUUUUAAUGCUUUUCGGGUUUCAAAUAAUCUUCUAUUUAUCUCGAUUUUAUAUAAGCAUGAAUGUCAUUUUCAUAAUUUCAGAACAAUGGAAUUUGUGAGAUUAAUUCGUGCAAGAUCAAUCGGGCUUUGGUGGGGACCCAACAUAUGUGAUUUCCUUAUGAUUGAUUGAUUGUUUGUUUGAUUUAAUUGCCAUGCAUGAUCGAUUUUAUUUUGCUCUAUGACAUGCUCGAAAUUAUUCCUUAAUUGUGCGCUAACCUCACUUCUUGAUAGCGCAUUGUGGCUCGUCACCCAAGUACGUAUCUAUUCCCAUUCUGGUAUUUCUAUAUGCAUGUUUUGAUUUUCAUAUGUGCAUGAUAGUUCUGGGUAUUCACUGUUUUACGCGUCCAUUGCUAUGAUUGCUUCAUUUUAUUAGUAGAGACCCGACUUUAGGGACUUAGAAGGGUGCUACGGUCCUUACUGUACCUUCCCAAUAAGUAACCUGACCCCCGAACCCGAUCCGGUUUUUCGCAGACCACCUUUUCCAAAAUAAGGAGUCACACUUAGGGUUUUUCUUUCUUAUUUUGUUUACCCUUUUAAAAAUAAAACAAAAAUAAGUGGCGACUCCAAGUCAUUUUUCUUAAUCAAUAAAAUCAUUUUUUUUCAAACCAAAAAUCGAGCUCGCCAUCGAGUGGGAAACGCAUGAGCCGAAAUGCGGGGUCCACACCGUAAAAUAUAAAUUAAUUAAUUUUUGUUUUUUUUUUUAUCUUGCAUGUUGAUAUUGAUGUAGAAGUUUAUGCUUAUUAAAGUUCAAUUACUAAUAUUAUUUAAUAUCGGCUCUAAAUAAAAUAUAAUAUGAUUGUAGAGUUUUAUAUAUGAAAGAGGACAAUAGAAUUAAAUAACACCUUUCUACAAACAUAUUGAAAAGAAUAUUUAUUAAUAUAAAAAUAAGUAAAUACAUUGAAUGCUUCAAAACCGACUCAUUAAAAGAUUGUCUAAUUUUUUAUUCAUCUUUGGCAACCACUCUCAUUUUACUUUUUCGACAACAAGUUAUAAAUAUUUCAUUUAAAAAUCAACAUAAAAUGCAUAAGAAUUGUCAAAUUUAGCCAAAUAUAUUUGUGCUUGUACUUUGAUUUUUCAAUAUAUAUAUAUAUUACUCGUAUUUUGACUUUUCUCAAAUCAAACAAUUUCAUUUCAAAGGAACAAUCAUAAAGAGAAUUAAUUUUAGAAAUGCAAAUCAUUCAAUCUAAACAAGGGAAGUUCAAUUAAACACUAAUGAAAAUAUAUAUUAAAAAAUUAAUAAUUAAUACUAAAAGAAAAAAGAUAGAUUAGUGAUGGUGAAACUUUCCUUUUUGCUCAAAAGAGAAUGAUUCUAAUUUUUUGGCAUCCACACAUAGAAAUUGACAAUGAGAUAGAUGCCUAGGAAAAUGAAGGAUAUGGAGAGGAUUUGAGCCCCACCAAGUCACCAACCUCCUAAUGGGACUUAUCUCCAUCAGCCUCCAUGGCUGCUGGCUGCUCUUGUCUCCCCAAAUGGGACCUUAUUUAUAUCUCAUUUUGAACCUAUUUAUUACACAUAAUGAUUUUCCUUCUUCCCUUUUUAAUAAUACAAAUAUGCAAGGCUGCAUUUCAAUUUUGGAAGUAAUGGAUAAUAGGAAAAGAAUAAAUAAUAUCGAGGAGUUUCAAAUGUACAUGGUUUGAACAACCCCUUUGUGACUCAUCUUUUUUAUUAUUAACGAUGCAAUCUUCUAUUACAAUAUAUAAAUAAUAAAGUUCAAUCAUAACAUGAUUGAAGACCUCGAGUCCCUGGUCUUUAUGUAUUGAUGACAUGGAUUUUUCCAUGGUAAAAUCUGGCCCAAUUUGGCUGACCGUUGGGCUACAUGCCCCUUUGGGCCAUAACCACAUAAAAUUGUAUGGCUGAAAAUUUGAUUUCCAAACCGAUUAAUCAAACUGUUAUAAUCAAACCGAUUAAAGUUUGAUUUCCAACUACCAUGAAACUCUAGUUAGAUUCGGUCUUGUGUUUCAACCAACUGAUUGCGGCUGAAAAUUGCAACAUGACCCGGGUUGAAAUCACAUGACAAGCAUGUAACCAUUUAAAAAAAUUAUCCUAAAAUAUUUUUCUCGUUAAUUCUAAUAAAUAUUUGAACCUUCAAUAAAACCAAAAAUAGAGAAGGCAUACCUUCCUAGAGCCUUUAGCCUAACCAAAGCUUUAUUGGGUUGGAAACUAGAAAUGUCUUCAUCUUUUCUUUUCUUUGUCCCUGCAUAAGAAUUUUUAUUCUCUUGUAAUGCGUACAAUAAAAAUAUAAUCUCAUAAUUUUUAAUUCAUUAAUAAUGACAAGAUAAUAUAUAUAUAUAUAUAUAUAUAUAUAUAGGUAUAAAAUGAGAAGUAUAUAAGUUACGUGUUUCAAAAUUUUAAAGUCAAAUUGAAAACAACCACUCUUAAAAAAAUUAUUUAAUAAAAUAUAAAGUAUUUAAAUUAAAUUAAAUUUUAUAAAAAAUUAAAUAAAUUUUAAUUAAAAUAAUUAUGUAGUCAUUUAUAAAUUAGUAACAUUUUAUAAUCUCAAAAUCAGAUCGAAGAUAUCCUACCUGAAAAAAUAUUUACUAAAAUAUCAACUACAAAAUACAAAAGACCAUUUUUUAGAAUUUAUUUUAUAAUAUAUAUUAGGGUUUUUAAAAAAUUAUUUUGUAUACAUUAAAUAAAGUAAAAAAAUAUUUUGUGAAAUCCAUUUAGUAUCUAUAAUUAUCUUCUUCUUUUUUUUCUCACAAAGAAAUAUUUUAUAAAAUUUAUUUAGUAUCCUUACUUAUCUUUUAAACAUGCUCCUACUCAUGGAACUCAUAACUUUUAUUGAAAGUUGUAAUUUUAAAAUUUCAUCUCUAUUUUAAAAGAAAAUGAUUCACGCACUUUCUCAACUUAGAGCAAAACAAGUACCAAAAUUCAUGCUUCACCUCAUUUGACUCAAAACAUAAUUAAGUAAUUAAAAAAAACAUAUCAUAAAUAUAUAAAUAAAUAAAAAUUUCAAAUAACAUUUUGACUACAAAAACAAUAACCAUAAUUUUAUGUGAUAGAUAUUCACCUUUGGUUGAUCUAUAUACAUUCCAAUUUUGCCUUCUAAGUUGGAUACUUUAAACUUCUAAAAUCUCAAUAUGGUUUCAUCCUUCUAUAUUCAAUAUUUUAUUUCAAAGAUAUAUAUAUAUACUUGAACAUAUCUAAUUCUACAUUCAACCUUCCAAACAUAUAGCAAUAUUAGAAGUUGUUUGGUUACUUUUUUUUUCACUAAUUCUAUUAAGUAUUUUAAACUUGAGUAAAUGAAACAGAGAGAAGAUGUACCUUGGUGGAAGGAGCUGGAAACUAGACAUGUCUUGAUUUUUUAUGAUGUGGGUGAUCCUCUAUGUCAUCAUGGCUUCUUUUGACAUUGAAUAGUUGAAGGCUUUGUUGAUGAUAAUCUUGGGCAUCGUCGUAUAUGAGAUGGAUCCCACAACUUUCCACUUUGAAAGCUACCUUGCCACCACACCCAAAAAAGCCCUGAAAGCGAGCCUCAAAGUUGUUCCAUCCAAUGGAUCAAUACUUACUUGAAAUGGCAAUUUGAGGGAAAUAGGCUACCCUCAAUGCUGGAUCUGGAGAUGUGCAACCCUUGUGAUCGUAUUCAACAUAAAAUUUUGAACCAUGAAUUGAGCUUGUUUUACAAUUCCCAACAAACGAUAUAGUAUCCACGUGUUCAAAUUGAUCACCAUGGGAUGUUUGCAAUUCCAAUUGUGAACCAUCAACAAAAUGAAAAGAAUCACAUGGAUGAGUACAAUCAUAUAUUGUCUUGCAUAUAUCAUCAUCAUCAUCAAGUGGAAUAUGAUGGAAGAAUAAAGAAAAUCCUAAGAAUUUUUUAUCUUCAUACCAGUUCUUUGGGAGCUCUAUUCUUAUUUCACGUCCCAUACUCUUAUGACGUACCCACUCUGGUAUUCCACUCCUUCCUGGAAUAACAACUUUAAGGUGAUCCCUUCUGUCGCUAUCAAAAUAUCCAUCUACAAAAUCCUGCAUAAAAGUAGCAUGUAAAUCUCAUGCCUUCAUAAAAAAAUAAAAAAUAAAAAUAAAAAAGUCAUUUGUAAAAUUUAUACCUGAAUUUGUGAUUUGAAGCAAUUGAUAAGAUAGGACCAUAAUAGAUGUCUCAGAUCACUUGAUAAAGCUUCCAGGCGUGGGCAACCAUGUUGAAUUACUAUGCAACGAUUAAUGGUGAAAAAUCAAGAAGAACAAGAAAGAAGAACAAGAAAGAAGAACAUAGAGAUUUAACGUGGUUCGACAAAUUGCCUACAUCCACGGAAACAGGGAAAAAGAGGAUUUUCACUAUGUUAAAAUUAGGUUUAUAUAAAAGGGUAUUUAUAUUAACCCUUAGGAAUGAAAAUUCCAAAAAUACCCCUAAACCACCCCUCCAACCUAUCGUUCCCCCCACAACAAAUAUGAGCCACAUACUACAAUAAUCUCCACCUUGGCGAAUAUUCAUUCCCUCCCUUAGAAGACAAGAAACAUAGCUUAUAACUCCACCUAGGACAAUAGGUUGGGGUAUCUCCCAUCUAGCAACUGGAGACAUUAAUCAAGUUCAAGCAAUGCUUGAACUUUUUUGUGGUAACAGGUUUUAUCAACAUGUCUGCUGCGUUCUCAAAGGUGUGAACCUUCUCAAGUAACAGUUCACCAGAAGAGACCAAUUCCCUAAUCUUAUGAAAUCUCACAUCUAUGUGUUUGGUCCUUGCAUGAUACACCUAGUUCUUUGCCAAAUAAAUGGCACUCUGACUGUCACAAUAUAAUUGAACUCCACCUUAUUGAAUACCCAACUCCUUAACCAAACUUGUAAGCCAUAAUGAUUCUUUUGCAGCCCCAGCUAUUGCCAUAUAUUCUAACUCAGUAGUAGAUAGUGCAACUAAAGACUGUAUCAUAGACUUCCAACAAAUAGGUCCCCCACCAAGGGUGAAUACAUAACCUGUGGUAGACCUCCUGUCAUCCAAGUGACCUACAUAGUUUGCAUCAACAUAUCCUCUAACUAAAGGACCACUCUGUUGUUUGCUAAACAUGAUGCCAUAGUUUGUAGUACCCCUUAAGUAUCUAAAAAUCCACUUGACUGCAUCCCAAUGCAUUCUUCUAGGAUUUGAUAGAAACUUGCUCACUACACUAACAACAAGUGCCAAAUCUGGUCUUGUACAAACCAUAGCAUACAUCAAGCAUCCCACUGCACUUGCAUAUGGAACCUUUGACAUGUCUUUCACUUCAUCAUUUGUUUGUGGACAUUGAUUAGCAGACAACCUAAAAUGAUUUGCCAAAGGUGUACUUAUUGGUUUUGCAUCAUCCAUGUUAAACCUCUCCAACAGUCUCUUGACAUAGCUAUACUAAGAUAACCAUAAUCUCCUUGAAGCUCUAUCCCUGUGAAUCUCCAUUCUAAGAAUCUUCUUGGCUGCACCUAAGUCCUUCAUGUCAAACUCCUUACUCAACAAGGACUUCAACUUAUUGACCUCAACCAUACCCUUUGCAGCAAUUAACAUGUCAUCCACAUAGAGUAAUAGAAAAAUAAAUGAUGAAUCAUCAUCUAGGCUCUUUACAUAAACACAACAAUCAUACUCACAUCUCUUGUAACCAAUCCUGAUCAUGUAAGAGUCAAAUCGCUUGUACCACUGCCUUGGGGACUGCUUCAAUCCAUAAAGUGAUUUCCUCAAUUUACAUACCAAGUGUUCUUGUUCAGGUUGAAUAAACCCUUCUGUCUGUACCAUAUAGACCAACUCCUCCAAAUCACCAUGAAGAAAAGUUGUCUUUACAUCCAUUUGUUCCAAUUGCAUGUCAAAAUGUGCUACCAAACCCAACACUAUCCUAUUGGAAGUGUGUCUGACCAUGGGAGAGAAGAUCUCAUCAUAGUUAACCCCUUUCCUCUGUGAGUAAUCCUUUGCUACUAAACGAGCUUUGAAUUUUUCACCCUCUUUUUCUGAAACUGCUUCUUUCUCAUUGUACACCCAUUUACAUCCUAUUGCUCUCUUCCCCUCUGGAAACUCCUCCAAAUCCCAUGUCUGGCUCUUAUGCAAAGACUGAAUCUCCUCCACCAUAACACCAAUCCAUCUACUUUUCUCUUGGCUGUGUAUAGCCUCUUAAAAAGUAGUAGGAUCCUCGCUAUUAGUAAUCAACGCAUAAGAAACCAAAUCUUCAAAACCAUACCUGGUAGGUGGCUUAAUAGUGUGUUUGGGACUGUCUAUGGCUAUAUUGUGAUGCUGUUGAUCUUCUGAACUAGACUUCCCUGCAUUCCGAGUAUGAUCCUCUAUAUCAUGGGUCUCUAAUUCCACCUGUAUCAACUGCUCAUUAUUGCUGCAACUUUUUGGUUCCUAUUUCUCCUCUUUCUGAAUAUAUUGUAACAUGGGUUUCUUAUCAAAAACCACAUCUCUACUGAUCACCACCUUAUUUGCCUUUAAAUCCCAGAGCUUGAAGCUUUUCACCCAUUUCUGAUAUCCCAGAAAGAUACACUGUCUAGACUUUGCAUCAAGCUUUGAUCUCUCAUAAUUAGGAAUGUGCACAUAGGCUGGGCACCCAAAUACUCUCAAAUAAGAGUAAUCUACCAGAUUGCCUGUCCAUACCUCCUCUGCUACUUUCCCAUCUAAUGUUGCUUUGGGUGACCUGUUGAUCAAGUAACAUGCCAUGUUCACUACUUUUGCCCAAAAUUUCUUUUCAAGGCCUGCAUUCAAUCUGAGACAUCGAGCUCUUUCAGCUAUUAUUCUGUUCAUCCUUUCUGCUACACCAUUCUGCUGUGGUGUCUUGCGUACAGUGAAGUGUCUCUUAAUCUCAUGUUGCUCACACAAUUCCGUGAACUUUGAAUUUGUAUACUCAGUACCAUUAUCCGACCUGAGACAUUUUAUCUUUCUCCCUGUCUAAUUUUCUACUUCAGCUUUCCACAAUUUAAACUUGGCAAACGUUUUUUACUUGUGCCGCAUGAAGUACACCCAAACCUUUCGUGAGUAAUCAUUAAUAAAACUCACAAAAUACAUACUUCCUCCCAAAGAUGCUACUCUUACUGGUCCCUAAACAUCUGUAUGAACAUAGUCAAGAACCCCCUUUGUCUUGUGUGUGGCUGUCUUGAACUGCACUUUAUUCUGUUUUCCAAAGACAUAAUACUUGCAGAAAUCAAAUUUACAUGUUUUGAUACCCUUCAACAGAUUUCUCUUAUGAAGCUCCAUCAUCCAACGCUCACCGAUAUGCCCUAAUCGCAUAUGCCACAAAACUGUACUAUCUGACUCAGACUCUGCGGUUGUAACUCCACCUACAAUUGUGGUACCCAUCAGUUUAUAAAUAUUUCCUACUAGUUUCUGCCCUUUCAUCAUUGUCAUAGCACCUUUGCUCACCUUCAUUACUUCACUUGUAGACUUGUAACUAAACCCUUUACAGUUUAAAGUUCCCAAAGAAAUCAGAUUCUUCCUUAGAUAAGGUACAUGUCUAACAUCACACAACGUUCUAACAAUACCAUCAAACAUUUUAAUUCUGAUAUUCCCUAUUCCAGCAACUUUACAUGAAGCGUCAUUACCCAUCAGAACAGAACUAGAAUUUACCGACCUGUAUGUGUGAAACCAAUCUUUAUUCGGUGUCAUAUGAUAAAAGCAUGCUGAAUCCAAGAUCCAAGAAUCUGUAAGAUGAUUCGAACUAGAUGAAACCGACAACAUAUCACCAUCACCACUCUCUGAGUCUUCUUCUGCCACUACAUUCGCAAACUUUGAUGAACCCUCUUUAUUUUCCAAUACCGAGUCCCCUUUCUUUUUCUCUGGACAAUCUCGUUUCAUGUGCCCCUUUUUCCUGCACUUAUAACAUUGUAUGUCCUUUCUCUUCCUGGAUUUAGAUCGAGAUUUAUUGUUGCUCGAUUCACUCUGGAACUUGUUUCUCCCACGUUCCUAAUUACUCUUUACCAUAAGGCCUUCACCCUGAGAACUCUCAUAAUUGGCUUUCUUCCUCUGAUUAAAUCCUAAAAGAACACUCGUGAUCUCCUCCAAAUCAAGAGUUUCUUUCCCCCACAUCAGAGUUGUAACCAAAUUUUCAUACGUAGAAGAAGCAGGAAGGGAAUUUAGUAACAUCAACGCUUUGUCUUCGUCUUCGAACUUCACAUCAAAUCACUAAUGAUCUGAUUGAACACGUUGAUAUGCUGGCUUAGAUCUGAGUCCUCUGCCAUCUUAAGACCAUACAAUUUCUGCUUAAGAUACAACUUGUUCGUCAAUGACUUAGAUAUAUACCAACUUUCCAAUUUCAACCAAAUUGCCACCGGUGAUUCCUCAUCCAUGACAUGGUACAUCACGUCAUCAGCUAAACAAAGCCUAAUCGUUGCCACAACCUUUGCUUCCAAAUCCUUCCAAUCCAUGUCGUUCAUUCCUUCAAGUUUCUUUUCGUAUAAUGCCUUCACCAUACCUUGCUACACUAACAGAUCCUUAACCCUCCUCUGCCAUAGGCCGAAAUUCCCAAAUCCAUCGAACUUGACCACGUUGAACUUUGCAGAAGAAAUCCUAGACAUUAAACCUGGCACUUUGAUACCAAUUGUUGAAUUACUAUGCAACGAUUAACGGCAAAAAAUCAAGAAGAACAAGAAAGAAGAACACAAAGAUUUAACGUGGUUCAACAAAUUGCCUACAUCCAUGGGAACAGGGAAAAAGAGGAUUUUCACUAUGUUAAAAUUAGGAUUACAUAAAAGGGAAUUUAUAUUAACCUUAAGGAAUGAAAUUUUCAAAAAUACGCCUGAACCACCCCCCCAACCUAUCGUUCCUCUCACAACAAAUAUGAGCCACAUACUACAAUAAACCAUGUGCUUCUAUCCUUCUUAAACUUGAUGGAAGCUCUAGAAUUUCUUNNNNNNNNNNNNNNNNNNNNNNNNNNNNNNNNNNNNNNNNNNNNNNNNNNNNNNNNNNNNNNNNNNNNNNNNNNNNNNNNNNNNNNNNNNNNNNNNNNNNAUUUCUUCAAGCAUUGGGCAAUGAUUUUAUGCGAAGGGCAUUCAACUGAGAAAGCUAAAUGAUGUCAACAGGUUUGCGACGAAUAUUGUUGUCGCUUACAGUUAAGUAUCUCAAUGAGAACAAGCAUCGUAUAUCACUGCGAAUUGAUCCUUCCAUCAGAUUGCAACCACCUACAUUUAGUUAUAUUAACCUACAUGACAGGUUUCUCAGAAAGUCAAACAAUUUGUGGAGCUUUGGACAGUUAUGAAUGAGAAGAGUAUAAUAGAUGUCAAAUUACCAAUGCUGUUUGGAAGAGUCUCAAGGUUCUCACAAUUGUUCAAUUCCAAAAAUGAAAGACUUUUUAGACGUUCAAUUGAUGAAGGCAGGUCUUUUAUAGGCAAUUCAAUCAAACCAAGUCUUUGCAAAUUUUCCAUAUCCUCCGUGAUCUUCGAAAAAACCUCUAGAUUUGAACAGCCAUCGAGAAAACAUUCACUUAGGGAUUUCAAUCGAUAAAAGUUGCUUGGAAGACUCGUUAAGUUUUUGCAUUUUCUCAUUUCUAAGCAUUGAAGUUGGGUGAGAUGAUGUAUUGAGGAGAGCAACUCUUUAAUAGCAAUAUCGUUUAGACAAAGGACAUCAAGUCCUGUGAGAUGACCAAUUGAGCUGGGUAAUUCUCUAAUAGCAAUCUCAUCUAAACCAAGAUGCUUUAGACUCCCCAUAUUCCUUUGGAACUCAAGAAGUUUCUCCAAAUUUGAGCAAUGCCAGAGAGAAUUUCAGGUAAGUACUUUCACAAAUUUUCUUUGAUUUUCAAAUAAUCUUUUGUUUCUCUUGAUUUUAAAUAAGCACGAAUAUGAUUUUUGUAAUUCCAAAAUAAUGAAAUUUGUAGGAUUAAUUCAUGCAAAAUCAAUUGGGGGUGGGGGCCCUAUAUAUGAGUUUUCUCUUCUAAUUGUCAACUACUAUACUUAAUGAAUAUUGUUUGAUCUUUGUCUUGCUCUUUGAUAUGCAUGUGAUAUAUUUUGUAUUCAUUAUUAUGCACUAAUUUUGUUUCAUGAUAGCGCUUUAUUACCUGCUGCCAAGAUACGCUCUCACUCUCACCUUGUUUAUUUAUUCGUUAUCAUGACUUGCUUUUGAUCUAUGAUCAUUUUGGUAUCCAUUUAUUUCCUAGUUAAUUGUCAUGCUUGCUUCACUUUAUUUAGUAUAGAUUCAUUUUUAGGGGCUUAGAGGGGUGCUACGGUCUUUACCGUACCUUCCUAAUAAGUAACUUGACCCAGACCCGACUUUGGUUUUCCACGGACUAUCUUUUCCAAAUAAGGAGUCAUACUUAGAGUUUUCUUUCUUAUUUUGUUUUCCCUUAAAAUAAAAAAAAAUAAAAAAAAUAAGUGACGACUCGAAGUCUUUUCUAAAAAUCAUUUUUUUAACCAAAAAAAUAAAAAGCGAGUUUUGUCAUCGAGUGGGAACGUAUCGAGUGAAAUGCGGGUUCACAUUAUGAAGCAGUGUUAUGUCUUCAAUCAUAUUAAUGAUUUACUAAUCUUCCCAUAUUUCAUUCAUAUACCCAUUUUUUUUGCAACAAUCAAUGCUAUGUUGUCCCAUUAUCAAUUAAUUACACUUUUUUACUAUGUCUAUAUUUAUCUAAUUUUGUGCAAUAAUUUGAUAUUACCUUAUUUGAAUCCACAACUCUAGAAAUGUGUUAUUAAUUUGGUUACCUAUAUACAUUUCAAUAAUUACUGACAAUCUUUAUUUUCAAUUCUAUUACCUUCAUAUCCUUUUCAAACAAAGAGGGCAAACCAUUAGCAAUAUAUAAAUACUAAUCCAUCCCUAACAUUCCACUUUUCCUAAGAAAAAAAAUGAUAGUUUCCAAAGAUGGAAUCACCCCAACUUUGGCAUUAAAUACUGGAAUCACAUGAAUAGAAAAUUGGUGACAAAUAACCAAAUUUGUUCAAACCCAACCCCAAAACUUCCACAUAACCUCAGACUUUAAACUAUCCCAAUUUGAAGUCAGAAAAUGGAGAUAAACAAUAAUUUUAGCUUCACUAGUAGCAGUAGAUUUUCAAAAAGGCAUUUCCUAAUAAUUAUUAAUGUGUAAGAAUGUAUGGGUCAUAAACUCAUAAUUAAUAUUGAUGUUAUUUCUUUGCAGGCAUGGGGUUGUGUAGAAAGCACAAUCACCAUGCUGAAUGGGGCUAGACCAAAAUCAUAUCUAUACUUUUGAAAGACGAGAUAAAGUAAGAGUUGCUAAUGAAUGAAGCAUGGCCUUCAAAUUGUAGUCCUAUUUCUCCAAGGACCAAGACCCCAAUACAUGUUACUUUCCUUUCCCCAAUGCCUUACUACUACUUGCUCUACUGGAAUGCGCCUACAUGUGCAUUCUCUUUUACGUUUAGUAUGUUGAAUUUCCUAGAUAACUUUAUGGAAUGGCUUCAAGCAUACCCAUCCAUCUUGGUAUUUUUUUUCUUUUUCCAUUUUUUCACUCACCUUAAUUUUUUCAAUUAAAAAAACUUGUGUAAAAGGACAAAAUAUCCAUAUCCCUUCCAACAUAACCUUACAUUUUUCUUGGAAAUGGGCAGUAACUUCAAUUGGGUAUUGAGCACAAGCAGUACCCAUUAAGAAAAAGCAGAAACCCAACUCUCCAAAAUCAAUUCGUUCAAAGAAAAAAUCACCAGAUUUCAAAAUUAAAAGAAAAACACAAAUAAUAAUAAUUAUUAUUCAAUUAAUAUAGAACAAAAUGGCAGAUUAUGAUUACCAAUAUGGUAGAAAUGCUGAAAUGUUGAAAUGUUGAAUUACAAAGGGAACAUUGUAUAUAUAUCAUGGAUAAUUCAAAGGAAUCUUGCAAAAGAAAGGAGUAGAGAAGAGAAAUUGAUGAAAACCCAAAACUACAAAAAAACUAGAAUUAAAAAAAUGAGUGUUGGGUGGUGGUGUUUGAAUUGUAGCAUAGAGGACAAAUAAAGCACAAAACCACUCACUAAUUCCAUUUCCAUGUUUUUUUUUUUUUUUAAUUGUUUUACCAGAUCUGAGAGUUGAUACUCCAAAAAAAAAAAAAAAAAAAAAAAAAACCUGAAGAUGACAAACCAGCGUGAAGAUCUCCAUGUGAAGUUGUAGAAGUUGGAGAUAAGCAAAUCUGCAAGUUAAAAACAAGUAAAUCUAUAAGUUGGAACUUAAGGAAAAAUAAUAAUAAUAAUAAUACCUAAAGAUGAAGAACUAGAAAGUGAAGAUCUUCAGAUGAAACAAAGAAUGAAAUGAAUUGUUUUCCAACAAUGGUUUCAGUUUGGGAAAGGAUGGCUGAAAGAUGACGAUGAGCCUAGCAUGGAGUUGAAGCACAAAAGGGUUUUUUUUGUUCUCUUUUUUUGUGUUCUAUGCACAGUAGCAAAAAUGAGAGAAAACUCUUUUUUGGUGUUUUGUGAAAACACCAUGUUUUGGGAAGAAUUUCCUAAAAAUAGUUUUAGAAAAUUUUAGAGCCAAACAUGUUUUUUUUUACCCAAAAAAGGUGUAUUUUGUUUUAAAAAACUAAAAACUAUUUUAAGAAUGGUUACCAAACACACCCUUUGCUUUUUUAUUAUUCUUGAGUGUCUUUAUUCCUUCUUAGUGCCUUUUGUCCAAGUUUGGAUGCUCCCAUGCGGUCAUAUAUAUAUAUAUAUAUAUAUAUAUAUAUAUAUAUAUAUAUAUAUAUAUUAUGGCUUUUGUGCUUUUUUCUUGUUUAUCUUGCCUUGGCCCUUUCUGUGACAAAAAAAGAAGAUAAUUAAUAACUUUUAAAAGGGAGAGAUAAUUAAUAUCUUUAAAAAGGUGAGAAUUUUCAUUUUAGGGAGAAUUUUUUUUUCCCUUACAAUACUAUUUCGCUUCCUUUAAUGAAUUAAGUGUAGCUCCUUAUUAUCUUGUUUUGCUUCCUUGAUUAUAUUUUAUCCCAUACAAUGUUUUACCUUUGGUAUAAUUGUUUCUGUGUGUGUAAAAUAUAGGAUUGCGAGAUAUGUACUACAAGUUGAUGCAUUGCCUUCCAUCGAAUCUUUUUUAGAUGAGUGUACUUAAGUGUUAUGUAAACUCCAUUAUGAGAGUUUGGGAGGGUUUAUGUAGUGAUGUUUUAUCACAAAAUUACCAAAGGAGGAGAUUGUUAGGGCAAUGAGUCUAAUUGUAUGUUGGCAAUUUUGUUCCAAUUAUUUUCUAGUUUAGGAAACUUUUUAGAUAGUGACUUACUCUUCAUUGAAAAUUCAAGGUUGUUGUUCACUUAAUUGAAAAGUCAUAAGUAAGUCUAAAAAGGAUUGAGUAAAGGCAAGUUAGUUUUUUUGAUAAGGUAGUGUUAAAUUGGAAGUUUUAAUUGAGUUAAAUUUUUUUAAUUAUUUGGAAAGAAUUUUAAAAGAAAAAUCUUUCUAAAUAACAAAAAUAAUUUGGAAAGAAAUUUUAAGUUAAGGAUUUAAAACUAAGAAUCUUAAAUAGAAAAAUUUUCCAAACCUUUUUAAUUUAAAAUGUGAAAUCUUUCCAAAUCUUUUUAAAACUCUUAAGUUUGUCAAUUGUUUUUAAUGAAAUAUGAUUUCUAAAUUGAUUCCAAUUCCAUUAAGUUUUCUCCGAUAUAUACCCUACCUAAAUAUCUGUUUUUUUGGGUAGAACACAUUGAAAGAGAUUCAACCUAACUUGUCAUUCCAUUCCCAAUCUCUCAAGAAAGAUUCAAUAGUGUUGAAUCUUGAGUUGAUUGAAGACCUGCAUUCCAUUAGCAAGGUAGAGGUGUAUGAAUAGGAGCAAUUGGAGAUUGAUGCAUUGAGGACAUGGAUCAAGUUGUAGGUUUUAGAGAGUGGGUCUUUAGGGCAAAGCAACUGGGUAAAUCUAUGUGACUUAAUCUCAUAUAGUAGAUUUAUAGACCCUAUGGUUUUUUAUCUCUAUAGUUAGUGUGGGGGUUAUCUACAAUUUUUUUUUUUUUUUUGUGUCCAUUGCAUAUCUUUUUAUUAUCUUAAUUAUUUUUAUUAUUCUAAUUAUCCCAAUUAUCUCCUAGGCUUAAUUGGAUUAAAAACUAUAUCCCUAUUUAAGAAAAUUUUAAAAUACAUUCGUUCACCUCAUUUGGGUGUUACCCUACUGGACAUUAGUUUUUCACGUUUUAUCAUGUUAAACAGGAUUGUGAGUAAUGUUAAUGGCAAACUUUGUUUCACAAAAUAAUCUCAUUGGUCCUUCCAAUAUGAUCCUUAAGUCUUCUAAAAUUAUCUUAAGCCAUAAUAAUUCACACACUUCCUCAGCCACUGUCCUAAGCUCCACCUCUAUAGUCGAUCUAUCUACCACAUUCUUAUUCUUACUCCUCCAUAAUCCAAAAUUAUCCCCAAUGAAAGUGUAAUAACUUGUAGUGAUUGCCUAUCAUUGGUUGAACCUGCAUAAUUUGCAUCGGUGUAUGCCUCAAGAACCAAUCUAGUGUUCUUUCUGAACCAAAAAACCCUUGCUAUGAUUAGCCUUUAGGUAUUGCAGUACCUUAUAGAUUGCUUACUGGUGAACCUUUCUUAGGUUCUAAGGUGAGAAAGUGCAUGAAUCAUUUUCUUUUAAAAUAGAAGAUGAAAUUUGAAAAUUACAACUUUCAAUAAAAGUUAUGGGUUCCAUGAGUAGAAGCAUGGUUAAAAGAUAAGUAAGGACACUAAAUAAAUAGUAUAAAAUAUUUCUUUGUGAGAAAAAUAAAAAAGAAGAAGAUAAUUAUAGAUACUAAAUGGAUUUUAUAAAAUAUUUUUAUUUUAUUUUAUUUAAUGUAUAUAAAAUUAUUUUUUUAAGCCUUGAUAUAUAUUAUAAAAUAAAUUCUAAAAAAUGGUCUUUUGCAUUUUGUAGUUGAUAUUUUAGUAAAUAUUUUUUGAGUAUGCUUGGAAUAAUAUGGAGUUCAAUAUGGUAUUAGAUAUAGUCAAGUCAUUUAAAUAGGUUUUUUUUUUAAUGCUUUUUAUUUUAAUUUAUUUGUUUUUAAUUAUCCCCAAAUUUUAUGAAAUUUGGAGGUCCCGUCUAUGAAGUUAAAACUCUUUUUUUUUUUUUUUUCUUUUUUUCUUUUUUUCCUUUAUAAGUAUCUUAGUAACUCUCCAAAGCUUUCUAUUUGAAAUGAAUUAUUGAAUUUAGAAAGAAAAGACCAUGUUACUAUAUCGAUUUUGGUAGGCCAAAAUCUUUAUUAGAAUUAAUUAAUUUUUUAUUUAUAGCUUCACAAUUAUCAUAUGUCUUUAAAUUGUAUAAUUAUCUUGUAAGUUAAGUUGGUAGAAGUAUGAAUUAGUACUUAUUUAGCUCUUACCUUGUUUUUCCAAAGAUGAAAAAAUUCUGGGGCAUUUAUCAUUAUAAAAAUAUGCUUAUGGAAACAUGACUAACCAUUGGACAGGAUCUACAGGAGUGGGAAGCGGUAACGGAGAUGCCAGAGGUGAACCAUAAUUAGAAUACCAUAAAAAAGGCUCUUUGUUCAAAUUAUUGAUUUAAAUUUGUAUGCUUUUAAACAUAGACAAUUUGGAUUAUUGAUUUAAUUGUAUGCAUUUAGGUAUAGGCAAUUUUAUUUAUUUUAAAUUAUUCACAAGUUCUUUCAAGAAUAAUUUUCACACAUUGGUAAAUUAUCUUCAUUUAUCUACUAAGAUCAUGUAUUCAAUACUUAAUUAUAAAUGCAGCCCAUCAUAAUCCAAAUAUUAUAGAAAAUAUUAACAUAAUCCCAAUUAGUGUCGUUAAAUCCUAUCUAUGAAGACACUAGUUUAAAAUUUCAUAAACCUAAAUCCAAAAGUUAUCGUCUUAAAUAUAAAUUUUAUUUUGUUUGAUGACCAUUUUGAAAGGCAUAAUUUAAAAUAUUUUUUGUGUCAACUUUAACCUCUUAUUAUUAUUUUUUAUUCAUUACACAUUUAAUGCACCCAUUUUAUGUCAUUAACAUAAUGAAAGAUUUAUCUCAUAAUAAAAAGAACUUAAAUGAAAUAUACAAAUAUGACUACAUUUGAAUACUUGACUUGUGCAAUGUUUAUAUGGGUAUACUUUUAUUGCUGAAUAAAUUUUUUAUUCGUCAAACAACUCAUUAGAACAUAUUUUUUUAAACAAACUCAAUUUUUUUUUUGUUUUCUUGCUAUCCACCUGAUAUGAUAUCACAACCAAAAAUUUGAUGUGAAUUUGUUAAGUCUAAUUUACUAAAAAGGGUAACUAUAUUUUAUAGUAUAAUAUAUUAUAUCUAAAAUUAAAUAACUAAGAAUUAAAAAAAUGCAACCGGAAAGUUAAAGCAACAAAAAAAAGUAUUUAAAAAAUAAUAUUUUUAUAUAUUUAAAAUUUUAAAUAGAUUAUAAUCAUGGCUAGAAUCAUCAAUUCAUUUAUAAUUCAACUUAACCUAUUUAUUAAUGAGAUUAAACAAGAUGUACUUUGUUAUCUAUGUGAUAAACAAGUUGUAUUUAUAUCAAGUCAUUUGGAUAUGAUUAUUAAAUGAGUUAUAUUUGAGUUUAAUAAUUUUUUAAUAUUUUUAAAAUGAUUAAAUGCUUGGAACAAUAUGGACUUGAAUAUGAUAUAAGAUAUAGUCAAGUAAUUUGGAUAGGCUAAUGUUUUUUUUUCAUUUUAUGCUUUUAUUUUAAUGUUGUUGUUUUUAAUUAUCCUAAAAUUUUAUGGAAUUUGGAGAUCCCUGGCCAUUAGGCCUAUCUAAAAUUAAAACUCUUUUUUAAUCUUUUUUAUCUUUUAUAAAUAUCUUAGUACCUAUCCAAAGCUUUAUAUUUGGAAUGAAUUAUUGAAUUUAGAAAGAAAAUAGAAUAAAUUUUUGUAUUUAAAUUAAUUAAUAUUUUUAUUUUGACCUUCACAAUUAUUGUAUAUUUUUAAAUUGUAUACUUAUUUUAUAAGUCCUAGUUGGUAAAAGCAUGAACUAAUACUUAUUUGGCUCUUACUUUGCUUCAUUUUUAAAGAUGAAGCAACUGAGGAAUGCUUUUGAUAUCAUAACUAUGCUUGGCAUGUGAUUUCAACCCGGGUCAUGUUGCAAUUUUCAGCCUCAAUCAGUUGGUUGAAACACAAGACUGAAUCUAACUAGAGUUUCAUGGUAGUUGGAAAUCAAACUUUAAUCGGUUUGAUUAUAUCAAUUUUUUUGGUUACCCUAGCAAUACAAUUUUAUGUGGUCAUGGCCCAAAGGGGCAUGUAGCCCAACGGUAAACCAAAUUGGUCCAGAUUUUACCAUGAAAAAAUCCAUGUCAUCAAUACAUAGAGACUAGGGACUCGAGGUCUUCAAUCAUGUUAGCAUUUAUGUCUAGUGUUUAAUUGAACUUCCCUUGUUUAGAUUGAAUGAUUUUGCAUUUCUAAAAUUAAUUCUCUUUAUGAUUGUUCCUUUGAAAUGAAAUUGUUUGAUUUGAGAAAAGUCAAAAUACGAGUAAUACAUAUAUUGGAAAAUCAAAGUACAAGCACAAAUAUAGUUGACUAAAUUUGACAAUUCUUAUGCAUUUUACGUUGAUUUUUAAAUGAAAUAUUUAUAACUUGUAGUCUAAAAAGUAAAAUAAGAGUGGUUGCCAAAGAUGAAUAAAAAAUUGGAGAAUCUUUUAAUGAGUCAAACACGGUUUUGAAUGUAUUUACUUAUUUUUAUAUUAAUAAAUAUUCUCUUCAAUAUGUUUGUAGAAAGGUGUUAUCUAAUUUUAUUGUCCUCUUUCAUAUAUAAAACUCUACAAUCAUAUUAUAUUUUAUUUAAAGCCGAUAUUAAAUAAUGUUAGUAAUUGAACUUUAAUAAGCAUAAACUUCUCCAUCAAUAUCAAUAUGUAAGGUCAAAAUAACAAAAAUAAAAAAUUAAUUAAUAUUUUACAAUAAGUUUCUUACUUGCUCUAAUGACAACUUUUGAAAAUGAACUUUUUAAAUAUAUUUAUUGUAUAUGUCACAACAAAAAGUUGUAAACAAAUAUGAGUGAAAAAAUUCAGCAACUUUGUAAACUUCCAAUGCAUAAAAAGUCAAGAAUGAAUAAAAAUAAUUGGGUAUCAAAUUUCUAAUAUUUUCUUUUUGUGAUAUCCUGGCCUCUUCAUGAAAGUAAAGUUUACAUAUCUCAUGUUUUCAUGAAAGAAUUCAUUGUUUUUAAAACCUCCUAAUUGAUCCUUAAUGAUGUAAUCUAUUAAUGUAGGGAGUUAUUUAUUCUCUCUAUUUAUCCCAUCUUUCACAUAUAUUCAUAACAUAUGAGUCACUUUUGUGAGAUAAAUACUUUUUUAUUUUCCUAUUUACAACCUUAAAAAUUAGUUAUUAAGAGUUCAAUACUAUUAGCUUUCAUAUACCCUUUAUGUUAAUUUUAUUUAUAUAAAAAAAAAGAAGUCUUUAUCUAACAUUCAUAGUAUUUGACAUCUUUGUAAUUGAUUCAAUAUUCAAACCAAACUCCCUUUAAUAAAGGUAUUGAGGAAUCAAUAAGUUAUACAUACAUAAUAAAGAAAUAGGGAAUAAGCAGUAUUAUGAUGUCCAUUAUCUUGCUUGACCCAAACAGCUAAAUUGAAAUGUGGUUGACAAGAUCUUAUUCAUUUUAUCUUGAUAUUAAAUAGAGAAUUUCCAUAUUUGGUGCCUAAGAAGCUUGAUAAGAGAAAUAAUGACCAAAAGUAAGUAAAGGACAAGCUAAAUUUUGUGAUCCAACCAUUCAUGGUGUUAACUCAAUUUGAAUAUUUACUAUGUUUUCAUCUAUUGACUAUAAAAAUUACUUUUAUAUAUUUAUAGAAAUAUGACAUCCAAUUAUAUUAUCGUUUUACCUUUACAAAAUUCCAAGGCCUUUUCUCAUUACUUAAAUUAUCGAUAUGCUAAAUGUAUAAUCCAUUACAAGUUCUUGUUUUUAUCAUCUAGCCAACAAGAAUCAAUAUUAUUUUUUAAGAAGGUGAAAGGAUAAGCUCACAAGAAAAAGUUAUCAAGAAAAUGAUUUUUUGUAUUUUUAAUACAACUAAUAGAUUAGUACAAGGAAAUUAUUGUUGUUUGAAUCACUUUUUAUUAAAAUUAUAAACACAAGCUUGUCUUUAUUUAAAUUUUGUUAGUCAAUACCAAUGGUUGAGCUUUGUUCGAUGCAAACUUUCAUCUAUACUCAUGGCCAAAAUAAAGAAAUCUAAUGUGGACCAUGUUGAUACCUCGCGCUCCUGGUAUUCCACGUAGUUGCCAAAUGGAUGGACACGCGAUCUCAACCCACAAAGGUUCUUGAUUCAGUCGUUAUACCUGCAAAAGGCAUCCGGACAGGGUGUCCGGACGCACCCUCCGAUGGUUUUGUUAGCCAUGGUUAGAGAGGGAGAUAUAAAUCAGUUGGCCUUUUACUAGGUAUCAGGCGAUUACCUUUCUCUUCGUGUGAAGGUUUAUAUAUA
rnacentral:lncRNA from 1 species